GGACCUAGUUUUGGAGAUGAUAGGGCCGUCUAUUUGGGACCUAACUAUGGACAUGCAGACAAUUCUCAAAUGGCACAGACGUCUCCAUUGGGAUAUUCUCCACGAGAUGUCCCUGGCCAGGGAUAUUUUCCAAUUGGCAAUGAUGGAUUCAAUCGAAAUUAUCCUCCGAGACUACAGAGACAUAAGUCAAAGAAGUCUGGUGCUGUUGCAUCUCCUCGACAUUCACAGGUGGUCACUGCCUACAGCAGGGGAGCCACGGGCAGUAAUAAGAAUACCCAUCACUGGAAUUCUCAUCAACAGUUUUCGUCCGAAGGCUCUCAGAGACCAUCUAGUGAACAGUGGGACCGGGAUAUGGAUGAAUAUAAAUUGUUGGAUGCAUCUGGUGCAGCACGGUAUGCAUCUAAUUUAGCUAAGCUUAAGAGAGAGAAGGCACAGAGACUUCUUUGCAAAGCAGAUGUAGCAGUUCACAGAGCUGUGGUUGCUCUCAUGACUGCUGAAGCGAUGAAAGCGUCUUCGGAGGAUAGGAAGGAUGAUGGGUAGGUUAUCUGAAGAUUAUCAGUGAACAGAUUGGUAUAGUUCUCAAUUUGAACCUGAAGAAUGUGCAGAUGGCAUGAAAAUAUUUCUCUUGAGGCGGGAGCUGGUCCAAGAUUUUAUCAGAUGCUGGUGCGCCUUUCACCAUGCACAGUUUUUGAAGGAAAAGUUUGUGGAGAGGGUAUUCAUAGAGAUAUAUUUGGUUAUCACAUUUAAUUGUCGAUAUUUUGGCAGUUUUCUAGUCCAUCCUUGCAAUACCUUAGUGAGAUUCCAGUAGUCUCUUACACCAGCAGCAAGUGUAUGCCUCAUUAGUGCUGCUUGUCGUGUUUAUUUUGCAAGAGCAUUGUAUAGAAUCUUUUCCUACCAUUCUCUGUACAGUCAGCCCACCCCCUCUAUCAAAUAAGAAAGAAAAAAAAGGAAAUGAAGAGAGAUUGACCAAACGUAAUUGGUUUUGGCCAGUACCUGAUUGAUGCCCUGAGUCUGUUUUGCUUAGAUAUCCUUGUCAUCAUCUGUGGCUUCGAAUAGCAGAAUGACAAGUCACCAUGCGAUACCUUUUUAUCUUCUCCUGUACAUAGGGCGAUGAGUCUCUGAAGCUUGUGGCCUUCUUUUCGCUUCUUGAGCAAUUUCUGCAUUUGAUCUGUGGCAUUUAGAUUGUGUAUUAAGCCUAUGCUGUUCAUCAUCUUCUAGCACAAGCAAAGAACUGAGUUCCCUUUUAGAUUGGUUGAAAGUUGUAACUUACGCGAAGGGAUGAAACGUGGAACCUGACGAGGCACUGGUAUCCGCAGCGGGGCGGCUCAGACUGUAGGAUGAUGAGCCCUUCAUUGCGUCCUUUCUCUUCGUUAACUACGUGCCCUCUCUGUUGUCUCUCUUCUGCGGCACGCUGUCUCUCUCUCUUCCUGCUCGGCGUCUUCUCUCUUUCUGUCUUUCUUUUCUUUUAAAAAUAUCCCAGGUACCUCACCUCUCUCUCUCUUCCCCCCACUCUUCUUCUUUGUCUCGCAAGAAGCAAACGACAAUCGCUGCCACCGUGAUCCUGCGCAAGCCGCGAAGAAGAGGCAUUUCUUUUAUAGAAGAAAAGUUCAAAGGGUCGGUUUGGAGUGUUGGCGAGGCCCGUUUGGCUUCUAUCUCAGUUCGAUGCCAAUUGUCGGUUUGCUCGCUUCGCGUGAGGCCACGCCACUUUCUCACAGGUUCUCUCUGUCUCUCUCGCUCUCUCUCGUCAGUUCUCGCUUCACGCCACGCCACGCCACGCCACGCCACGCCAUUCCCUUGCGGGUUCUCUCUCUGUCUCUCUGUCUGUCUUUCCAUAGUGCGCGCGCAUAAACUCGCGUGAAAUUUCGCCACAAAAUGAGAAUUUCCUGUUAGCAAUGUCGUGUGUAAAAGUAAAGGAGAUGAUAUGGAUAAAUAUAGGUCAAAUAACUUGAGCACUCCCCUCCAAGAGCAAAAUGAAAAGGGAUUUCUGUAGGCCUCUGUUUCAUAUCAUGUGACUGCCAUUAACCAACUCGAGCAAUCCCCUCCCGUACAAAGCUGCAGCUUUCUUCAUCUUUAUCUCUCGUGCACCAACAAUGACGGAGAUCAUCAGAUCCUCGAAAGCUCGCCGGACAGGAGCCACCCGAACCAAAUUCCGAACAACGAAAAGGGUUCCAUCCUGAAUCCACGCGGAAGUCUUCUGCUUGUUUACUGGUCUUUGCUCUCGAGUGGAGCCAGUGGAUGCUAGCUUUUUCGGGGUGGAUUCCCAUCUCUGUCCUCUUCGGCUGCCCAGCAUAGCUUCGAGCUCCAAGCCCGCGAUGCCACCACCGCUUGGAUCGAGGCUUGUUCGAGGUAGAGAUCAAUCUCGAUCCGAGGCUGCGAGGACCUGGGGACAACCUCCAUUGCCAGUCCCGGUACCUUUGCACAUGUGUAAAAAAGGCAAAGUGAUAACGAAAAGAAAUAAAGAAAAAAGAAAAGAAGAGGAAAGUAAGACGGGUCAUCCUAAUGCGAAGAAAUUGUUUAUCAUUCCUAUUCUGCCCCUUCCAAACAGCAAAUCGGACCGGUAAUCAAACGCUAUAACGAACGCAAGAACUCUGUUCAAAUGAAAUCAUCACCUAGCCAGCAUAUCAAUUCCAAUCAUUCAACUACAUCAGAAGAAAAGAAUAAAAAAAAAAAAAAAGACGACAAAUGCCUCAAUGCAUCCUAAUUAUCCUCGUUCCCUUCCUCAACACGAUACGGGUAGCCACAAAUCGAUUCCGAUUCACACAAAGAUCUUUCCUCUUUAAGAGACAUUGGAAUUCAAAGCAUCCACCACAAAGCAAUAGAGAACUCAAACGAGGCUGGUUCAACUAAGGACGACCUUUCAAUCCGAACUCGCGAUCCUCAACCAAGUGAAGAUGGAGCAGUUUGCUGCAGGUGGACUUUUAAGGGUCUUUAGCUUUUAUGUAUCCUAGGAUUGCUCAUUAUAUAUUCAUUUUAUUAUUCUUUUUAAUUUGAAGCUUGCAUUUAAUUUGACCAGAAUUGGUAUAAAUUUGACCCCAAAUAAUGUUUAUUUGAGUCGGGGGCUUGUCCUUGAUUCGUCGAUGCUGGUGCACCUUUCACCAAGCACAGUUUUUGAAGGAAAAGUUUAUGGAGAGGCCUGAAAUAGAGAAAUAUUUGGUUCUGUUACAUUCAAUUGUUGAUAUUUUGGCAGUUUUCUAGUCAAUCCUUGCAAUACCUUAGUGAUUCCAGUAGUCUUUUACACCAGCAGCAAGUGUAUCCCUCAUUAGAGCUGCCUGUCGUGUUUCUUUUUUUUGCAAGAGCAUUUUGUAGAAUCUUUUGCUAACAUUCUCUGUACAGUCAGCCCACCCCCUCUAUCAAAUCAGAAAAAAAACAAGAAAUGAAGAGAUUGACCAUGCUUAAUUGGUUUUGGUAAGAAUUUGCUCGAUGCUUUAAGAGCCUGUUCUCCUCAGAUAUCCUUGUAAUCAUCUGCAGACUGUAACUUUGUACAGCAGAAUGACUAAUUAUCAUGUGACAUGCCUUUUAUCUUCUUACUUGUACAUAGGGCGAUGCGUCUCUGAAGCUUAUGCCCUCUUUUUACUUCUUGAGCAUUCUUUGUAUUUGAGCUGUAGCUUUUAGAUUAUGCAUUAAGCUUAUACUGUUCAUCAUUUUCUAGCACAAGUGGAGAACUGAGUUCCCUUUUGGAUUGCUUAUAACUUAUGUGAAGGGAUGGAAAGUGGAACUUGACGAAGCACUGGUAUCAGCGUCGGGCCAGUUCAGACCAUAAGAUGAUGGUCCUCAACUCGAUACAUGGCGGCACACUCGAUUGCAAUUUCAAGUUCUUUUUCACAAAACAGACUUAUCUUACAAGCAUGCCAUAGUGGAAUGGAAGUCCUACCCAUCUGACUAUAAUGAAGAGCCAGACAAGAAAGUGAGUUAAGUUGGCCUCCCAAUGUCAUGACGUUUACUACGGUCUGGUGUUUCAGGGAUAGACUGUCUCUGUUUUAUUUUUGCGUAUAAGAUGAUAACUUGGCUUUCAUCGAUGUAUUUGUGGACAAUUUUAGAUUGAAAUCGAAUCUAGUGUGAGACUUUUUUUCUGAUAUUUGAUUGUAAAACAAAUAGAAAUUUAGCAAGCAGACCAUUUGUGAAAUUUGGAGCACAAUUUUAGUGAGUGAUCCAUUUUUGACAUGUACUUGUGUUUAAAUUCCGAGUGAUCCAAGGCGCAUGAAUCUUAUAUAUACUAAGAUGGAAGGGGCGUGGCUAGUAAGUCGGUGAAGUGGCUUCUCGAUGAACUUGCAAUGAUUUUUUAUUUUUUAUUUCUUAACUCAGCAUUCUAUUGCUUUUUACCUAACCCAAAAUAACUAUUACUAUGUGGAAAAAAUUGUUUUAAAUAUAUUAAAUAGAUCGCUCUUUUUCCACCCCUAUCAUGUUAAAAAGCUCCCGUGUUCUGACAAUAUUGGGUCCUACCUUUUUAAGCAUCCUUUGAUUGCUAUUCCACAAAAAGUAUUUCCUCUUUUUAUUUGUUUCCCGUUGGUUUUCUGCUCUCUUUUUGUGGGUCCCACUUUCUCCUCCUCCUCCUCCUCCUCUUCUGUAAUUCUCUCUUCGUCGUCUUUUAAUUUCGGUCAUGGUUAACCAUGGUGGCAUCUGACUGAUAUGAGACCCCUUUCUCAGCAAUCAAAGUGCACUUAUUGCGAGCGCAAGCUUCAGUGCUUCAACCGAUCUACCGAUCGACCUCCCGAUCUCGAGCAGCUCCCGACCUCGCCUCUCUCCUCAAGCUCCCUCAUCUUCCUUGCCAAGAACGCCUCCCUCUCCAGCUUCUUCCUCAUUGGUUGUCACAGAGAGUUCCUCGGCUGGAGAGGCUUUCGGCCAGAACUCGUCUUCCCGACAGGCGAAAAGUUGUGGCGCUUUACAUCUUCACCUCUCGACUAUGGCCAUGAGCAACAUGUCUGCCAACAUCAGUCAUCGCCAUCAUCAUUGUUGAUGUUCAUUAACCUCCCUGGUCUUGUCGAAACUGUCUUCCUUCUUAGCCUUUGCUUCGAAGCUCUGACCAUCGCCAUUGCUGUUGCCUUGAGAAUUGCCAAAAGAAGGGCCUCUGCUACACAGGCACGGCGACGGCGAGGGCUUUGCGUUUGUUCUCUUCAUUUCUUUGGGUGUUGCUCCAGUUGCCGAAGAGCCUUCGGUCGGAACAGGCCAGGAUCAAGAGAGCAAAGCCUAUGAGCCCCAGCAUCGCCACCGGGCCUUGAAACAAUUUCCCUUGCUGUGAAGCCCGCGAGAUCCACUGAAAUAGCAGCGUUGUCCACACGCCUGCAGCAGCUCCAACCGUGUGUCUUCCAUCUUCACCGAUACCCACACCGAAGUUGCUCCACCUGCACGCGUCUUCAACUCGAGUUCGACGCCAGCAAGUUGCCGAAAUUGCUGCUCCAAUUUCGAUCGACCAGUGGGCCUCCAUCCAACAUCUUCGGCUAGGCCCAGCAACAAGCCGGCCCAGUCCAGCAGCUCUUCAGUCGUCCACCCUUGCUUCUUCUCGCGCGGCCCAAAACUGCAGCCCAACAAGCCCGCAGGAUUGAUCCAUUUGAGGCCCAAUUCCAGCAAAUCAAUUGAUGCCCAGCCCACAAUUUGAAGCCCAUCUUCAGCAGGCCCAACCCAACUUGGGUCCAACCCAAAAUCAAGACCAAAUCUUAGUGGGGCUAAGAUUUGUUGGGCCAAGUUUAAGGCCCGGUCCAAGCCCGCCGGUGUCGUCGAAAGCCCAAUUUCGGCUGCCGUCGUGGUGUCCCGGCCUUCGCUUUAACAAGUGAGUUUUACUCACUAAUGCUUUUUUAGUUUACUAAUUAUGCUUAGGGGUUGAUUAGAUUUAAUUAAGUGCACUUAGAUGGUUAGAUUAGUCUAGAACAAUUAGUCAUAAUGCAUGUUAGGUGGUUAAACUUAUCCAUUAGCAAGUAAAUAGGCUCGAGUAAUUAUUGAGCGAAUCUCAGAAAUUUUCUGGGUUCGCCUCGGCCUCCAAUUAGGCAUUACGGGCCUAAAUUGGAUUUACUUUUAUUUAAUAAUUAUUUUUCGAAAUUAAUUAAUUAAUUGUUUAUUUUUCCAGAAAUUCAACCGGGAUGACUGGUGAUCGGAAUUUCAUGUUGAUUGUCGUGGUGCAGUCCGUUUAUUUAAUUGAGUUUCAAUGUAUAUGGAAUUGAUUUAAUUAUGAAAUUUUAGGAUAUUUUCCUAUUAAGUUGGUUUUUGAUUAUUUGGUUGAGGAAUAAUCGUGUAUCGGUUGUUAGUAUCGAUAGUGGAUUGGUAUUAAGUAUGGCAUCUAAAAGGGCACGUGGCUCGGUGAUUUGAUGCGUCACUUUGGUGAACUAGUGCCUUAGAGAAUGCAUGUGGGCCCAACGUUUCGGUAUGACAUCUAAAAGGACACAUGGCUCGGUGAUCUGAUGCAUCACUUUGAUGAACUAGUACCUUAGAGAAUGCAUGUGGAUCUAGCGUUUGAGUAAGGCAUCGUGAAAAAGGGCAUGUGGCUCAGUGACUUGAUGCAUCAUUUUGGCAAAGAGGUCGUCUUAGAGAAUGCACGUGGGCCCAAGGUUUGAGUAUGUCAUCCUGGAAAUUGCACGUGGCUCAGAGACUUGGUAUAUCGUCCUGGAGAAUGCAUGUGGCCCGAUUUCUAGAUAUUCCACCGUGGGGAAUGAUUUGGGUGACAUAUAAUCGACUGCUUCGAUUUGUUUUAAGUGAGUGGGUGCCUAUUAUGAAUUGUACUGACUUGUUGGUUGGAUCUGAGGUCAAGGUAAGUCUUCUGACCUGUGCGUGUUUAGGUAGCCCAUAGUGUAUUAUUGGUUUACUAAUUGGGUCUUAGAGGGUAGAACUCGUUGAGACGUUGUCUCAUGGUUAUUAUAUAACCAUUUUAGGCUUGUAGGUGGCAGCACCUUCACCUCCUCGUCCUGCCAUGCAUUUUGGUAUUUCUAGGAGAUGAUCGAGUUAGAAAUCCACUUCCACAUCCACCCCCACCCAGAAGGACUAGAGUAUGUCCUAGUUAAGUCAAUUGUCUGGGUUGACGUAGGAGAAAACGCCCUGAUGCCCCAUCAUUAUAGGUCACGGUACCGUGAAUACUUUGACGGGUGAAGAGAGGGACCCAUUCUAAAGAACGACGUGCCAGUGUACGUUCUAGAAGAAGCAUUUAGGGAGGGUACAGUAGACCAUGUGGAUGGGUUGGUUGUAAAUGUUUAGGACCUAACACUUGAGGCUGAAGCUCACACUCCUGUAUACUCGAUUGACGAUGACAACUGGAAUGACAAGGAUGGUGAGAUCGAAGAGGAGGUGGAAGGGCCAGAGGAGCACGAGGAAUGGGGUGUAGCAGAGGAGGUACCUAAAGAUGAGCCGGCAUCUGAAGCCGAGGAUGAGCCUGAAGAAGAAGAUGAAGAGCUGGAAGAAAAUGAGCUUAGUUAAGAGGAAUCAGAGGAGGAUCAGGAUGAUCUCAAGUAUGACCCGAAUGAGGACUGAGAUCCCAUCUCGUUUUGUGAACCUUGUAUACUUUUGGAUAGGCAUUAGAUCAGACCUAUGUUAAUAGUAUUGUAACAUACUAUGAGUUGUGUUGAGAAUAAAAGUGUGGUUGUGAGUUUUAGUAUGAAAAAUAUGUCAUGUUUUUCUAUCCCAUUGUUUUAUUGUCUGGGGAUUUAUAGCUUUCGCAUGUACUAUUAAAAAUUAAAGGGGUUAGCGAUAUAUAGUCCUAGGAUAUCGCAUUAUAAAAUCGACCAAGUAGAAGGAUGUGUGCAUACCUGAGGAUCAGGGCGUGACAUGAUUGGUAAGGACAUUUUUCGUCAUUUAUAUAUUUUUAAAUUUUUUUUUCUUUUUUUGGUUUUUCUUCCUUCGUCGUUGGUGGCCGGAUGCCCAAAGAGGGCUAGGCGAUGUUGCCCUCGCCAGACACAAGUAAGGGACAAUGUUGCACACUAGGGGAAGCUAACCUCACAAGAUCUGAGCGAGGGUCGCCUUGCCAAUGGUUGACGAGGGACAGCCUUGCCUAGGCAAGGGAACCCUUGCCCUAGGGAGGCCAGCCUCGCUAGAUCUAGCGAGGGUCGCUAUGCUCGCAACCGCUGGUCCUUACCAGAGGUCGAUGAGGGUUAGGUGAGGGUCGUCUAGUCCUCGCUAGCCCUUGCAGUAGUUGUUGGUCCUCAUUGGAAAGAAAAGAGAAAAGAAAAAAGAGAAUACAAACAAUUUAAAAUUAAAAUUGUACUUGGAUGAAAAUGCCCUUUGACUAGUAGGAAUAUCUAGCCGGUUGGCAACCGGUGAGGUCAGACAUUUAUUUAAAACAACCUUGUUUACUUAAGACUCUUAUUUGAAAUAAACAUAAUUAUUCAAACUCUUAUUUGAUAUAAGAUUCACUUCGAAUUUUUAUUUAAGAAAAUGAUGACAUUUCGAAUUCUUAUUUGAAAUUUUUUCAAAUAAUUAACAACAUUGAGUGUCUCCGACUGCAUUGAAAAGACAAAAAAAGAAAAAGAAAAAGAGGAGAGGAGAGGAUUUUCUUGCAUGGAAGCUGGGUGGAAGACGAAGCUUCGAGCCAAAAUGCCGUGCGUCCCGCAUUGGAAAUUUGUCUUUUCGUUUAAAUAUUUUUGUGAAUAUACUUUAGGAUUUAAAUAGUACCCGGUUCGUCGUCAAGGGUGGAUCAAUGAUUGACCUACUGUCAAUCCAUACGCAAAGAAUUUACGUCUCAAGCCUCCUAAUGGGAAACUGCAAAGAAGUAUCCCGGCACGGGCUGUGUCGAGGAGGGGGACAGUCGCUUUCGCCCCCCUAAAACUGACCCGAGACCUUUCCACACGAGACACGAUCGACGUGACAUAAUAUAAUUAAUUGGAGUGUACAGAAAAAAACUUUAGACAAGCGUCACUUGAUUCCGGGCCGUCACUAACGAAUUGGCGAGUGAUCUAGUUUUUAAAGUGGAGGCGAGGCCCUUUCCAGGCUUGUGAUAGAUUUUAGGAGUUCAGAACAUGUGAUUAAACCGGUCUGUUAUAGAAAGAACCGGUACCUAGGGACCCAUCUUUUCUCUUUUCUUGAAACUUCUAACUUUAAUUUUUUUAUCAAACCUAAAUAAUGAAAUAUCAUACUUCUAUUAAUAUUAAUGAAUUUUACAAAGUCAAAUCAAUUUUUGCUAAAAAAAAGUUUGUGUCUUAAAUCAUCUUAUUCCAAAAUAAUCGAUUCUAUCACAGAACUGGUUUGAUGACAGCAUAAAAGCAUUUCUUGGGGGACCUCGACCCAUCGUUCACGACGAAACUGGUCCGAGAGAAUUCGUGGAAAAUUUUGUGAAGAAGCAAAAGUGAUAGUGAAAAUGAAAUAAAGUUGAAAAACAAAGAAAAACAAGGAGGAUGGGGGCAUCCUAACGUGCAAAAGUAGUCCCGACAUUGCUUUUUAGCGUGAUUUUUAUGUCGUCGGCAAGAUGUUAGUCAAAAGAUUCCCUCAAGGAAAAGAUCACGACAAUGCCUUGUGGUGAGUACAAAUUUUUCAUCAUUGCCCCUUUGCCCCGUCUUUUCCCGUACCACGAAGAGUUUCUUUUCAAAGUUAAAUUUUCUGAAAAAUUCGUCACUUAUAUACUAUCAAGCUAAUCAUUUAUAAAAUGGUGGCGAGAAGAAUCAUUUAUAAAGCAAAUUGUCACGAUAAUUUAGGGUCUCAAGGUAACAUUUAUGUUUCUUCUAAUUUAUAUUCUUUUGUUUCUCGAAACAAAAAAAUAACAUAAAUCCGUUUGUUAAAAUUUUUAUUCCCGAGAAUAAUUUCUCUAUUUUUUUGUUCCUGAAAACAGUUUUGGAAUAAAAACAAGAAAAAAAAAGUAACUUCUUAUUUUCGGAAAUAAUUUUUAGAAAUAAGCCUUCUUUUUUAUUUUUCUUUUGUUUUCCUCUCUUGCCGCGGUCACCUCCAAUUGCCUGGAGCCACUGUCGACUGCCACCAUUGCUCGCUAGCCACCGUCGUCCGUUGUUGCUGCCAUCCGCCGUUGUCUGCCGGCGACAGUGACGGACAGCACUGGAGGCAGCAGCAAUGCCGUCCGCUAUUGUUCGCUGCCACGGUCAGCGAUUGGUGAUCCAUGAGCAAAAUAAAAAAUGAAUAAAUACAAAAAAAAAAAGAAUCUGUUUUGUACUAAACGCACUUUUAUUUCUUUUCUAUUUCAAGAAUAGAAAUUUUGUGUAGUUACAAAAUACUUUUUUUUACUAAAAAAUUGUUCCCCGAGUAGAAAUAGAAAAGAACUAUCUAAAAAAAAAAAAAUUUUGUUCCCCAAUUAAGAAGCGUUACCAUGUGUACCCUUACCCAUCGGUUUGAUGACUAGUAGCAAAAAACCAUUUCUCGUGGACCUCGAUCCAUCAUUCACGGCAAAGUGGCCCGAGGGAAUCCGAGGAAGACGCAAAGUGAUAAUGAAAAGGAAAUAAAAGCAAAAAAAGCAAAGAAAAAAAAGGUGGGUCCUCUUAUCGUGGAAAAAUGACCCGCCAAUGCUUUUCAUCGUGCUUUUGUGCUGUCGCCAAGAUUUUAGUCAAAAGAUUCCCUCAAGCGAAAAAUCAUGACAAGAAAUUAUUCAUUAUUGCUCUUGUGCCCCUUCUUUUUAUGUGCCUAGUUAAUCCUACCGCUCUUGUUCCGAUUACAAUUCAAUCACUCCUUAGAAAUAAAAAGAGUUAAUACCACAAAAAUCUCUAAAUUAAGGUAUAUUUAAUAAAUAUUACUAUAAAUUAACUUUUUGAUUAUGAAAAAUUCGAAACUAGUAAAUUUAUGAUGAAUUUAUUCUAAAGUAAUUUUUUGACCAUGAAAACCCCGAACUGAUAUACAUACCAAAAACUAAUUUUUUUACUAGUAAAAAUUUUAAACUAGUAUACUUGUAACAUAUUUGCCUUUUCGGAUAUUUUGCUGUCAAAUUAUUGAAUCAAUUUGGGGUUUUAUCCUCCAAUUAUCAUAGGUGUAUUGAUUUUGUGAUUUUUCAUGGUAUUAAUCCAAUUUAAUGCAGGGUAUAUUUAUCACAACUUUAUAAAUUUGAGAUUUUUUAUUGUCAAAAAAUUAGUUUAAAAUAAAUUUGUCAUAGAUGUACCUAUUUGGGGUUUUUUGUAGUUAAAAAUUAAUUUAAGAUAAAUUUGUCAUAUAUGUACCAAUUUGAGAGUUUUUCAUGACAUUAACCCAAAUACAAAUAAUGAAUGAACCUAAGUUAGAACUCGAACAUUGGCACAACUUGUUAUUGCUAGCUAGCCUGGCUUGGCACGACACCUAACUAUGAGGGGUUGUGCCGAGCUCAAGCCUAGGAGGGUGUUGGUGUCUACUUUGGGAUUUUUAAUAACACAAGAAAAAGUUUGAGGUGUUGAUGUCACAAUGGUCAUAAUUGAAAGUUUUUGAUGGUAUAAACCCAAGUCAAAAUAGAUUCUCCAGCUUCAAGUUCCUACAUUUCGAUAGGUAUAUAUUCUUGUUGACAAAAUGCUUAAAAUAUUUAAGAACUCAUGAAACUUUUAGAUGUCAAGUAUUAACCAUCCUUAUAGCGGACCUAAAUCGUUGCAGAGUGCACCUCCAUAGUUGUGCCAACCAUUGAUUUGAAUGUGUCUAGUUGUUCUCCUCUUACUCAAGUUUCGUGGUGAUGGUCCAUUUGCACUUUAAGUCGUGGCUAGUAUAAAUGAUGAUCAAAUAGUACAUAGAAUCAUAUUCCUGGAGAUAUAGAAUCUUCUCCACUAACCAAUAUUCUAAAACGACGUUUGGCUUGCCUGAAGAUAUUAUUCUUAUUAUUUUAUCAACGAUCACUUAUGCCACAAAAUUAUGUCACUAAUGCGUGUCAAAGAUCAUAUAUAUUCUCUAGAAGAUUAGGCUAAAGAGAUUUGGAAGAUUUAUUUUUCCGAAAAAUUAUUUUCUUAAAAGAAAAUGAGAAUUGUCUAGAUUUCCACGCUUGUAUAAUAUAAAUGUUCACAAAUCUAUUUAUGCACUGGCUAAAUGUUAAAUUAUGAUUUGGUCAUAUUACUUAAUAUCGAUUUCAGUAUACUUAUUAACGUUACUUGUAAAUAAACCAGAACUUUUUUUUGUCAAACUUCAAAUGAUAAAGAGUGCAUUCUUACUGCGUAGAAUUUUACAUCUUUAUUUUUAACGGAAUUGAAAAAGAAAAAUCCACGUAUUGCUAGCAAUUUUAAUAUAAAAAACGCCAUUAAUUAGUAUACAUUACAUGAAUCGGUGAAAGCACGUCAUCUUAUAAAUUCCCAUUGAGGAUCCAUGGAAAAUAUUGAAAUUGUGGUCUUGAAUCAUUUAUCAAACGCUGCUCGCCAAUAAAGAAAAUGAUUAAUAUCACAAAAAACUCUAAAUUUGUACAAAUUUAUUUUAAACUAAUAUUUUGACUUCAAAAAACCUCAAAUUGAUACACUUGUGAUAAACUUAUCAUUCAUUAGUUUUCGUUAAAUUUCAUCGUUAAGUUACUGAGUUGGAUGACAUGUCAGUUAACGAAUGUACUAAUUUGAUUUGUGGUCUUUUAUGGUAUUAAUUCCAUUUAAUAGAAAUUAACGGAGAGUAAAUUUGUUACAAAUAUACCAAUUUAAGGUUUUUUGGUCAAAAAUUAAUUUGGGGUAAAUUUACCAUAUAUGCACUGAUUUGGGGGGGUGUUUUUUAUAAUUAAAAAUUAAUUUUGGGUAAAUUUACAUAUGGGUACCAAUUUGAAGUUUUUUGUGGUAUUAAUCCUAAAGAAAAUCAUUUAUCAAAUUGUGGCGAGAAGAAUCGUUUAUCAAGCAAACUAUCAAAAGAAUCAACGACAUGGGGCGUCCCCAACGGCGUAUAAAAAACGAAAACAAACAAAAAAAAAAGGAGGAGGAUUUUCCUGCUUUCACAUCGAAGAUGGGUGGGAGACGAAGCUUCGAGGAAGUUUCGCGCUAAAUUGUCGUGCGUCCCGUAUUGGAAAUUUGUCUUUCCAUUUACAUUGUAUUUUUGUGAAUAUAUUUUUAGGAUGUAAAUAAUACACGGUUCGUUGUCGUGGGUGGGUCAACGAUUGACCUCAUGUAAAUCCAUGCGCGAAGUUUUUACGUCUCAGAUUCCUAGUGGGAAACCGUCAGAAGUAUCCCGAAACGAGCGGUGUCGAGGAGGAGGACGGUCCCUUUCGUCCCCCUAAAAUUGGCCGUGUUUCUAGAGGCCGACCCGAGAUUUUUUCACCCGAGACACGGUCGACCCGAGACUUGUGCCCGUGACGGAUUCUAGGAGCUCAAAACUGGUGAUUAGACUAGCUUGUUAUAUAACAGCCUGGUACCUAAGGCCCGAUAUUUUCCUUUUUUCUUGAAACCUCUUGAAAUUUUUAUCAAACCUAAUCUUCUAAAUAGUGAUGAUGAUUAGACUAGCUUGUUAUAGAUUUCCAUUAAUAUUGACAUUUAUAUUUUCCUUUUUUCUUGAAACCUCUUGAAAUUUUUAUCAAACCUAAUCUUCUAAUAGUGAUGAUGGAUUAGAUAAUGAGAUAUCAGAUUUCCAUUAAUAUUGACAUUUUUUACAAAGUCAAAUCAAUUUUUGCUCCACAAAGUUUGUAUCUUUAGUCCUAUCCAGAAUAGUCGAUUCUAUCAUAAAACCAAUUUGAUGACAGAAUAAAACCAUUUUUUGGGGGACCUGGACCGUUGUUCACUGCAAAACUGGUCCGACAAAAUCCGAGGAAAAUUUGGUCAAAAAGCAGAAGUUGCGAGGAGAAUUCAGCACUUAGCAUAAAUAUGGCAGCUUCUUCGCAGCGAAGGCAAGAGUUAUAAGAACCACAACAGCGAGGGUGAAAGAGACGGAUAGAGAUGCGUAGGGACAAAGAGAAAGUGAAAAGCUCUUCUAGACAUUGAUGUGUUAUAAAAAAGUGACAAUAAAAUUUAGGGUUAAAUAUCCAUAAUACAUUUAUAAUAAAUCACUAAAAACCUCAAAUUAAUAUAUUUGUGAUAAAAUUAUCCUUCGUUAGUUUCUAUUAAAUUGGAUUACCAUCACAAAAAGUCACAAAUCGAUACACAUGUGAUAAACGAAGGGUAAAAUCCUAAAUUGAUACAAGUGUCUAUUGCCAUAUGUCAUUCAACUUAGCAAUUUAACGCGGAUACUAACGGAGAAUAAAUUUGUUACAGGUGUAUAGUUUGGAGUUUUUUAUGGUAAAAAAGUUAGUUUUGAUAACUUUGUCACAGGUAAGCCAACUUGGGAUUUUUCAUGGUAUCACAUCAAUUAAUAAUCUCACUUGUAGUUCUUCAACUCAUUUAAAUUAUCCAAUUGAAUUCUCAGAUUUUUAACAUCUAAGUGUAUGGCCUAAGAUUUUAUAUUGUUAUGAUGACCAUCAUCCCAUUGCCAAAAAAAAUUAAAUAAGCCCACCAUCUAAAAUCAACCUUGGCGAAAUUUCAUAAUCUUAUUUGACUUUACUUUUACUUCUCCUAUUAAUCCACAAAAUGAAUUAUCAUUUAAAAAUUAAUUGGCAUUGACAUAAUUUAUAACCUUUUAUAAGAUACACCUCUACUUUAUAUUUUUCUACAUUUAUAAAUCUAUAAAUCUAUAUUAAAAUUUUGCAUCUAAAGAAAAUUAUUAGAGAUGGACUAUCCAAGGAUAAAUUAGAAAUAGAAAAUUCGUAUGAAGAAAAUAGGGAGAUCGUAAAGAGGGGAGGGGGACUGGAGAUGGAGAUGGAUUACACACAUUUGACUAUAUAUGAGUUCGGCUUUGGGCCUAGUGAAAAAGAUUACAAGCAAGAUGAAGAAUAGAACCAUCCAAAUUUUUCUUGUUCAAAGAGCAAAAUUAAUCCUAAGACAAAGUUUAGUCCAAGUGUCUAGGAGUUGAACUUCCUUCAACCAAGCCCCUACUUGGAUCCAUACCUAGCUCGAAUCUUAUGCAGUUCCUUGAGGGCUUUGGCAACGUCCAUCCGAUCCUGCGGUAACUCCAUUGAGCACGCAACUCCAAUCCUUAGGAUGGAGACGACGCAUCCUCUCAUCCUCUCAAUGUCAUUCUCACUUUCUUCGUUAAUAAUGGCUGAGUCCACGAUCUCCAUCACUGGGUUUGGCAAAGCCACCUCGACAAAGUUGUGGAGAUUUAAAUGGUCCUUGAAAGUCUCUUCCGUGGGUCUCCUCCCAGUUAACAUUUCCAAUAAAAGAAUACCGUAGCUGUACAUAUCGCCUUGUGUGGAUACCAUAUCCCCCAUGCCAUACUCUAAAAUAGUGUACAUCAAGCAGUAUACAAUGAAAAUAAAUAUUUAAUAAGAAAACACAAAUAAAAAUUAGACAAUUAAUGAGAAAUUUUCUUACCAGGAGGGACAUAACCUACAGAACCCUUCACAACCACUGAGCUACUGUUGUCAUCAAUGUCCAUGGCAUUUGUUUUCAUAGGGCAGCUAAUUGUAGCCAGCCCAAAAUCUCCAACUCGUCCCAUCAUCUCGUUGUCCAGAAGGACGUUACUUGGCUUCAGAUCUCCAUGUAUAAUCUUUGGGCUACAAACCUCGUGAAGAUAUUCGAUUGCGGAAGCUAUGUCAAUAGCAAUGUCUAACCUUUGCAUUAGUCCCAAAUGCCUUGGCUUUCCAUGUUCAUGUUCAUGCUCAACAUUCUCUUCGUUUCCUUGGUGUAUCCAAUUCUCUAAACUCCCAUUAGCCAUGUAUUCGUACAAUAGAGCUUUGAAAUCAUUGCCCUGAUAGUCUAUGCUUGAACAAACAUUCACUAUUUUCACGAGAUUUCGGUGUCGUAUAGCCCCUAAGGUUCGACACUCUGAGACAAAGCUCUUCGAAGCACCUCUAUGGCCCAAGUUGAGCACUUUAAUUGCCAACAAGCCGCCUUCCUGUGUGGUUGCUUUAUAAAUAGUACCAUAUCUCCCUUUACCGAUCACAUUGAUCUCAGAGAAUCCAUCUGAGGCCUUAAAGAGCUCCUCAUAAGAGACCAUCGAAAAUUUGCAUCUAAAUGGAAAUUCAAUCGAAGAGGUAUUCUUUUUCAACUUCUUUCUUUGAUACCAAAAGACAAACAGACAAAGACACAUAAUGAAGUAUGACAAGAUAGCUGUCACUGUGGUGAUUACUCUAACUUUGUUGGUCCAUAAUGGUUUAGAGGUAUUUGAUUUGCAAGAAGGAAGGUUUAGUUCUGCAAUACCUCCACAAAGAUUCCUAUUCUCAAAGACAGACACUGCACUAGCAUUGAGAAAUACUCCUUGCUUCGGAACUUCUCCUUCAAGCUUGUUUAAAGAUAGAUUCAAGUACUUUAGAUCUGUAAGUUGACCGAGAAAGCUCGGGAUUUCACCAGAUAAGUUGUUAUGGGAAACAUCCAACUCUUGUAAGCCUCGUAAUGUGCUUAAAGCCAGAGGAAUUUCGCCACGAAAGGAAUUGAAUGCUAAGUUGAGCCGCCCCAAUACUAAGCACUUGCCGAUGGAGCUAGGAAUUGGUCCAAUCAGCUUAUUGUAAGAUAGAUCCAAUUUGUCAAUAUUGAUCAAGGACCCAACUUGAGACGGGAGAGAUCCACUCAACUGGUUAUGUGCCAAGCUGAAGAUAAUCGAAAUGGUAGAAAGGCCAAGAACUUCCCUUGGGAUUGAACCACUCAAAUUAUUAUUGGAAAGCUCAAGCUCGAUGAGCUGCCUACAGUUACCAAGACUUUGCGGUAUUUCCCCAUAGAAGUUGUUGAAUGGCAAGUAAAAGCGAUUCAAUAAAGUCAAAUUGCCGAUUGAUGACGGAAUCUCUCCCGUUAGCAUGUUUCCUCUUAAGUACAAUUCGUGCAAGUUAUGGAGUGCUCCAAUACAAGAAGGAACGUGACCACCAAACGAAUUGUUUGAUAAAUCAAGAUAGGAUAAAUUGAAGAGAUUGCCAAUACCUGGAGGAAUGGUUCCAUACAUUGUGUUGGACGACAUAGAAAUUACACUAACACUAUUGGAAAGAUUGCCAAUGGAAUUCGGCAAUAGACCUUCCAGAAAAUUGAGGUCCAAUGAAAUAAUUUCCAGCCUUGAACAAUUAGUCAAUGGGGUAAUGAAACUGAAGUCAUCUCGCAACUCGUUAGAGGUAAGGGAUAUUACUCUAAGAGCUUUCAGCCUUCCAAGAUUUGUGGGUAUCGGUCCAUGAAAACUAUUAUUGUCAUAGUAGACGUACUGAAGGCCAGAGGCAUUCGAUAAAGACGGAGGUAUAACCCCAGUAAAAAAAUUACUAAGAAAAUCAAGAAAAAAUAGAGAAGGAAGAGUAUCACCAAUAUAAGGGGGAAUGCUCCCUCUCAAUUGAUUGUUACUGACGGAGAAAUAUAAAAUGUUGGACAUGUUGAAGAUUGCUAGAGGGAUCUCACCAGUGAGUUGGUUAUUCAUCAAUUGAACAAACGUCAAACCAUAAAGCUUGGACAAUGUCUUGGGAAUCUCUCCUUGCAACCCAUUUUUCCUGAGUGAAAGCUUGCAAAGUUGGGAGAGAUUUCCAAUAGAAUGAGGAAUAGAUCCUGCAAGAUUGUUUCUACUCAAACCUAAAACUCGAAGCUUUGAUAAAGAGCCUAGCUCAUCAGGAAUUUUGCCCACAAGUUGGUUAUCGAUGAGAUAUAAAAUCUCAAGGUUUGAGCACUGAGAAAGAUUGGUGGGCAUUUGUCCACUGAAAGAGUUUAUACCAAGGACGAGAUGAUGAAGGCGAAACAAGUGGCCAAUGCUUUGUGGAAUUUCACCGCGAAAGCUAUUAUUCUGUAGAACAAGGUUUCUCAAGAAAGAGAGGUUUCCGACAUGAGGCGAUAGAAGACCCCCCAAGCCUUUCGACAUUAAGUUGAGGGACACGACUCUUUCGGGAUGCCGUCCACCACAUAUUACACCUUGCCACUCACAGUGAUGAAAAGAGUCAUUCCACGAGCUCAAAGCUCCAAGCGGAUCCUCAUCCACACUGUGUCUGAAGUAGAUUAAAGCAAGCCGAUCCGUCUGGUUGGUUUGCAUCGUUGGACUCAUCCAUAAUGGGAGCUGGGCAUAGAAAAAUAGGAACAUAAUCGCCAUAUGAUUUUCCAUUGUGAGUGGGUUCUAUGUCCUAACAAGCUGCAAGCAAAGUCUCUUCCAGAUUGAAUUAAAGAAGAAAUGAAGACUUUCAAAAGCAUAUGCAUUUCCAUUGAUCAAAAGACACCUUUUUACAUGGCGAAACCUGACCCACAAUGCAAGUUUAACCCAAACAAAGAGUUGGACUUUAAAAGUACUACAGAUUAGCCGAACCAAAGAAAGGGCACACACACACUUCGUCAAAAUGGAGGAUUUGACAGCUGCCCAAUGACUUCCUAGAAAGCCGUGCCGCGAAGAAAGGAAAUCAAGAAUGGAUGUGGUCCUUGAUUUUCGGCCAUUUCAAAGAGAGCUCCUAUUUGUUCGUGGGCAAAGCGUGUAAUAUGUGUUGUGAUUUUUUUAUAUCCAAAUUGUUAAAACCUUGGGUUCAGGUUUAGUUGAGACAUGGGAAAUACUUGAGCAUAUUGAGUAAUUGUAAUUCCAAUUCUCCAAUUAUAGAAAAUUUUUAUUACUAGCUCUCUCCAUAGAUAUAAAUGUUAACACUUGGACUGAAUCACGUAAAUCUUUGAAUCAUUUAUUAUUUCUCGUUUAUUUUUUUGGUGAUUUUUCACUGACUUAAAUACUAAAUCCUUAUUAGCUUCCCUGUUUGUUAAUUUUACCACGGGGUUACUUCUCAUUUGUAAUGAAAAGGAAAUAAAGCAAAAACGCAAACAAGGAGAUGAUGGGUGGGUCAUCCUAAUGUGGAAAAUAAGUCCCGCCAAUGCUUUUUAGCGUGUUUUUUUAUGUUGCCGGCAAGAUUUUUAGUCAAAAGAUUCCUUGACUUCUCCCGUGCUACAAAGAGUUUCUUUUCAAAGUUAAAUUUCUUGAAAGUUCGUCACUUAGAUCCUAUCACUCUUGUUCCAAUUACAAUUCAUCAGGCCAGAACCCCCGUGCCAAGCUCGAACCCAAGACUAAGAGGGCCGGUUUGUGUGGGCCAGCACAACUCAAUUACCAUGCUUAGAUAGGGGUUUUAUAAAUAUACAUGUUAGGAAAAGCAAGAUGCUGAAAUUCAAGUCUGUUUGGCCAUUUGAAACCAAAGAGUUUGCAAAAUAAUGCAUGAGUAUAUGAAUCAAAUUCAGAUUUUGUGAGAGAAGAGGAAUUUCGAUGUGCAAUUGCCGGUGUGGUAUAGAAACAAGUUAUGGUCCUGGUAAUGAACAAAGAAUGCGUGAUGCAAAGUACUUUGUUAGAAACUAAACAAAGAGAAAGAUAUUCUAGAAUUUGGUAGAGAAUUAUGAAUGUUAGCUCUGAUCUUGAAGUCAAGUUUCCCGUGGAAAAUCAACAACGUUGUACAAUCGUGGCCGGCGAGCAUGAUGACCUCCACCAUGAGAAGUUUUCCAUUUCUUUUUCCCUUCUUUAAACUUUUCUUUUUAGGUUCUCUCGAUUUGAUUACCAAAGCCAUCGCAGGACAGUCUCGAAUAUGUAAACUAAGGCAGGACAUCAAUAGUGCUCGACACUAUUGAAGGCUAAGGGAUUUUGAUGAACACCGAUUGAGUUUAGUCAAAGGCCCACUUGUGCAAAUAAAGAUGGUUCAACUCCUUCCACUAUAUGGGGGUAAAUUAUGCACAACUCUGAAUUUUAGGGUAAUACAAAUUUGCCUCCGAUUUUUCACUUGUUAUACAAUAACGUCUGAACUUUUAUUUUGUUCAAGCAAUUAACUCUUCCUUAUAUUGUUAUUAGCAUGCACAUGCUUGUGAAUUUUAAGGGGUAAAUGUAUAGUUUUAUCUCAUUCUUUUUCUAAGGAAGCCCCUUUUUCUAAAAGACCGAAAAAUAUAGAAAAUGGAAGAGAAAUAAAUUAACUAAAAUACUAAUAAUCAAAUAAUAAAUAUCGGUAAUCAUAUUGAAUGAUGAGAAUUUUUCAAAAUUAAAUAAAUAUAGUCACCUUAAUAUAACUAAAUAAGAUAUUUUGAAAAAUUAAUACAAAUUUAUUAGAAUGGGAAAAAGGCAUAAAUAACUAAAAGAUCAAAUAACAAGAAUUGCUUAAUCACUAUGUAUGUUUAAAGGGUAAAUUACUGUAAAAAUUAUUGAUUAACAAAAAUAUUCACAAGGAGGACGAUCAAUCCCUUGCAAAUCUAUCUCUUUUAAGAGGCAAUCUUUCAAGAAGAGCUUUUAGCAUCUUGAGUUCAACAAUGCCCUUUGCAUCGAGUUAUCCGAAAUUUUCUAAAUCGUUUAGGCUUUUAGAUAAGUUUUAAAAUUGGAACUUCCUCGGAUGCAACGGCACAUAUAACUUGCUUCAGUUUUGGCUCAGAUGCUAGUUUUAAGGUCCGCACCACAUUGUGUAACGAGGCAUAGCUUUCUUUGAUAAAGCUACUCUCACCGAAUUAUCUUAAAUAGUAACUUGUGCCAUUUUCCAGGUCCUACGUGCUUGCUUUUGUGAGUUCGAGAUUGUAUUAUAUCUUUCCUUCUUAGACAGUUCUUUGCCUUAUAUUUCUUAUCCAAUUGUUGGACGCAUCCAAGUGCAACCAAAAGCAUCCGAUCCAUUCAUUAAACACAUGAACUCAUAUUCUAGUUAUUCGCCAAAUUUAUGAUAUGGACACCUUGACGCGUUUGUAACUAUUUGGAUUGUGCCUCAAUUUUCAAUUUAUGCUUCAUAUUCUUAUCGCAGGAUUUUGAACAACCACCUUACCCUACUCAAUUUGAUUAACAUCAAAACACUGUAAGUGAUUCAGCUUCAUUACUAAACUAAGUAGAUCACUGAAUCAACAAGCAAUUCACCGUCUCAAUCAAAGACCGGACAUGCUAGCAUAAUAAACCACGGGGAUGUCAUGAAAAAAUGCAUAAUAUAUGCUAAUCACUAAAGGUGAGAAAAUGGAUGAUGAACCCAUUUUGUAAUUCAGAUUCAAUGACCUGGAAUAACAUGAGUUGUUAACUCUCUGUGAUAAAAAGGGAACUCUUUUUUAUUUAUUUAUUGAUUAUAAUCUCAAGCCACUCUUAAAUGUGGUGCGACACUAACAUGGACAUCACCUAUACUUAGUUCACUAAUCAGAGAUAUGGUCAGAAGAAAUCAAGAACGGACCUCACUAAAAGAGUGCACCAUUUCAUGGCAAUAAUAUAAUAACAAUGAAAACAAUAAUAAAUAUAAUAAUUUGUACGCCCUUCAUGCGAUUGGUCGGCUAAAGGUGCUUUGAGUCAUGGUGUAAACCAAGAGUUCAUGUACUAGAUCUAAGAAGGAACUUCUGAUACCCUCAACAGUUUCAUCGUAUUUUUGCCAUUGGGUCUUCCUUUCGUAACACACGCACAGACGGAAGAAAAAAACAUCAUAAGCCAGAAAAACUUUCCGAGGAAUGCACUCGAACUAUUCGUUCUUGAAAAUAUUUAAACCUCUAGCAUCACAUUUAAAUUGUUUUAAUGCCUUAUUGAAAAAAAAAAACAGUUAGUAUCUCUUAGCAAAUCCCUCAAGUUAGCACAUGGAUUACAUAAUCCAUUGCAUAGACAAUCCAUUAAGUAUGCUAUUCAGGAAUUUAAUUAUUGUAAGUAGCGUGUGGUAUCGCAUACGUGUGGAUAAGGAGAGUAGCUAAGCUAAGCUCUUAGAAUAGAUCAGAGGGAUAAAUAAUUAACUUGAUGCUAUGGACUCCUUCGAUGUCUCCUUUUGCAUGUCCAGCUCCAGCCCGUUCCAACCAUUUCAGUGAGUCUUUUGGAUCGAUGGUUUCAUCACUCUGUUCUUCGGUUAUAAAAUGGAAGUUUAGUGGAGUAAUGUCUAACAAUUGAAAGUUUAGAAGGAACCUUGUAUUACCCUUAAAUUAGGGUAAUUUUUGUGUAAUUUUCCAUUGCAUUUAUUAUGUGAUGCCCAAUUUCUAAAACAUUAGUCGCAAGGUGAUAGGGUAGGGUGGAUUUAGAAAAUUAGGUGUAGAAAUAUGAGAAGCCAAACUUAUAUUCUAACUAAGCGUCUCAACUUUUCCAUCAAAGUCACCAAGGAACCACAUAAUAUAAGGUCUAUGAUUAGUGUGAGCCCAUUACAAUGUUGGCCCGACAAAAAUCGAUGGACAUCUGACUUCACAGCCUUGAGUAAGGACAUUCAUAAAUAUCACAAUUUCUUAGUCCUAGCCGCAUGGAACUGGUAAUGUUUUCCCGCAAUGGAUCCAAACCUGUAGAACAGCAAACACCUUUCUACAAACAAGUCUCACCGGCGAAUAUUCUCUUACGAAUUUGUGUUAGCAAGGCAAGACUGUCACGUCAUUUCUUGAAUCAAAUAGAAACUGCACAUUGCCAUUUCCGCCGCCUUCAGUUUAUACACUCUGCAAUGCACGCACAAUAACCGUUCAAUCACAGAGCUUUACCUCAAAUAAAAAAGGAGGACGCGUCACUCCUUCCAUGCAAUGGCUGUUUUUCAGCAAGAUUGAAUAGCAGCAAGCUGUACAGCAUGACAAUAAGGGAAGGAGAUUAACUUCAGUUCUUUCCAUCACUAUUUAUGCUGGCCUAAGCACCGGAUAACUGAAGCUUACCACAUUCUCUCGCCCCACAAUUCUGAGAAAGAAAAUACAGUUGGACAUGUAUCAAACGUGCAACAUCAUCAACGACAAAGAAAUGAUGAAAGCAACAUCCAGAAGCGGGGAACUCUGUAUAAAUUGAAAUAUAAAUACCUAAAAGGAAACCAAUAAUCUUCUCCAAGAGUGAUGAUUGACGGAAAAUGGGAUGCAUCAUGGAAUUUUAUCUAACAUCCUCAAACUAUUAGUUUGGGUCGUAGAUUCAUACUAUAUCUAAUCAUCUAGUUCUUAUUUGUGAAAAUUUUUUGGAUACUCUUGAAGCAUGACGUUUUUGUAAUCGCUUUGACACUAUUGCGUAUCACUGCUAAUGGUGGCCAUACCUGCAAAUGCCACAUCCACUGCAGCGAUUCUGCUUCUUGUAUGUCUGUUAAAAUAAAUAAAUAAAUAAAUAAAGUAAGAUGUUAGGCAUAGGUGAUCAUAUCGUCUUCAACUGCAGGAUCCAACACCCAACACUUUAAAAGAAUAUGUAAAAUGCAAUUAACGAACUUUUUUCUUUCGCAUGUUUGCACGUCAUCCAGCAUUUUUAUGCUCAGGGUUUUGAAAUAUUUGCUAGGGGGAUCGGGCGGACAGAGACUACUUCUGACAUAGAGAGAGACUCGACCAAUGCCACUGUCCAGGACAAAUGAAAGAAAUUGAGCAGCGAGAUGAGAAAGAUUUGACGCACAUCAUCAUCCAAAAACUUACAAGUCCAACAAAAGUACUUCCCCACGCAAACACCACCUGUGAACAUGGAAACCAAAGGUUGAGAAUCAACAUCUGCACUGUAGUUUAUUUUUGGCCAGUCUUUUUAAACAACUUACACAUUUUUUGCCCUCCUUCGGAAAGCUCCUAAGUGCAAUCAAAGUAGGUAAUUAAGGAUAGAAUGUUUAAAAUUACCUCUUGAGCACUAUCAUAGAUUGAACUUACAACCUGAAACAAAACGUGUAGCUAAGUGGGAACAUCAAGAUUAGUCGGUCCAUAAACAUGCUAGAAAUUCGAUAGCAUCCAUCCGCUGAACUUGAUGGCAAGGCGAGUCAAUGCCCUUCUUUUGUUUACAUUGAUAUGUUAUUCUGGUCAUAAGAGAACCGUAUGUCUUCUUAUGAAAAGCAUGUCCACAGGUUGAAGAUUGAAGAAUCGAAAAUUUGACAAAUUCACCAAACUGUGGACUACUCAUCCGAACUCAAAUGACAUGGCGAUUUUUGCACAUAUCCGUCCUACAGGAUUGGCAAACUGCACAUACCAAAAUAUUAGAGCACACACUACGAAGUUAACAACAUGUCAGAAUGCAAUCUCAUCUUAAGAUAACUCAUGUCACUAGCGCCCAAAAUUUAGAGGCAGCUGAAGCGGUGCCUAUAUUUUGGUUAACGAUCAUCCUCUAAUAUAUGGCAAGUAAAAACUCAAUUGCAAUCUAUCAACUGAGCUUGCACGAAAGUAUCUCGUAGAUAUCUAGUGCGUUCUUCAUGCCAUAACAAAAGGAAGUUCUCAAGCACACUUUUAGUCUAUGAGGGGCACAAGGGGUCACCUUUGCAUCAUCAUGACAGUGAAGGCGAUAAAAAAUCUCGUUGCAACAGGGGGCUCUAGUGCGGCACCUUCGAUGGUAAUGAGGACAUCUACCGCAGCAGCAGCAGCAGCAGCAGCAGCAGCGACUUUGAUAUUAACUGAAAGUUGAGAAGGACAAAGCUCGAACUACUAUUGCUCAAGAAUGAGUCGAGAAAUUACUUGUACGGAAAGUACCGCUUUCUAACAAAUCAGUAACAAUAGCAUCUUCACGGUCAGAACAGAGCACCGUCGGAAACACGAUUGGACAGUGCCGAAAUUUUAACAACAGGAGGGAACCGAGUGGCUGCCGAUGAGGAGGAACCGCGACGUUAAUUAUGAGCCAGGAGUGGUGGUGAUCGCCUGAUCGGAAAUGGAGCGGCCGUGGAACCAGAGGGAAAGCAGGACCGAGAGAACGUUUCUCUGUUUUCAGUUCCCCUUCUUGCCCGCGCCCGUGCCUUCGUUCGGGGGAAGAGAGAGAGAGAUAAAAGCAAGGAAGGAAAGAGGCCGGGCCUCCUCUCGGCAUGGGCCAUGGACCGCCAAUGGACUCCAUUUUUCAGCUCCUCUCUGUUGCUAAGCCUUAUUCGAUGGGCUAUUGAACAAAUCUUAAAAGAUCUGGGCUUAAGUCCGAUAUUGUCCGGCGGGGAGCUCGAGUUGUGGAUCUGGGCUGAGGUCUUAUUAAUGUUCUCCGUUUUUUAAAGUAUUUGUUAGCUUGUUUAUUUAUUUUUACAAAAAUGCGUAUUCAAUUUGCCAGCAAAAAUUUGGGUGUCAAUGUCCACAUUGCCAAUUCUGUUGAUUGGAUAUAUAUGCUCAUCCUGUUUUCCAGUGACAAUAAAUGGUUUUGUCAAAGUAUUGAGGCCUGGUGGUAGAUUGACUCUCAUAAAUAACUGGACUAAGGUUGGUAGCCAUAGAAUAGGAUCUUUAUAAUCAAAAGUAAACAACACUUCAAAGUACAAGCAACACAAUCUUUAGGCUUCGUUCGUUUCACAAAAAGUAACUUUUAAAUUUUUUUUUUUUUGGAUUUUCCCUCGUUCGUUUUAUGGAAAAUGAAUUAGUUAAGGGAAAUGUAUUCCACUAUAGGAAAAAAAACACAUUUCGAAAGUGAGAAAAAUGUUUCACUUUUGAAAAGUGAAAAACAUUUUUCAUAACUUUUUCCACCUCACUUUCUUUCACAAAACACAUUUUCAUUUUAUUUUUAUAUUUUGUUUUUCUUUUUUUUCUAAAUUGAUUUUUUAAUUUCUUUUCUGCUUUUCUUUCUUUCCUUCUCUUCUUCUUCUUUGGCCUUGGCCGAUCAUUGGCCAUGACAAUGGCUGGCAACUAGCCAAGGCUUAAGAAGAAGAAGAAGAGAAGGAAAGAAAGAAAAGCAAACAGAAAAAAAUUAAAAUUAAAAUUAAAAGAUUUAAAAAAAUGAAAUAAUGAAAUUUUUUUUGAAAAUGAGUGCAUGCAAAAAAAUAUUUUCCUUAUUGAAUGGCAGAAAAUAUUUUCUCAUACAUUUUCAGAUUUCGGCCGACUACCAAAAAAUAUAUUUUUUUUUCCCAUAAAAAUGACUUCUUGAAAAAUAACUUUCAGAAACACCAUAUUUUCAGCAAAAUAAAUAGAGCAUUAAUACCAAUUAUUGAGGUUAACAAUGCAACCUAACAAAGGGAUGAAUGGGUUGAUUUAUAAAAGUUAAAAAUAAUUUAUGUAAUAACUCAGGUUUAGAAACACAAAUUAAAUAAAAAGGGGGAAAGGCCUCAAUAACAAAAAGGUCAAAUGAUAAUAUUUGAUUAUGCGUUAUGUAUAUAUAAAGGUUCAAUUAAUGUAAACUGAUUGAUCUUCAAAAAUUCUAGAAAGAACUUAUCAAUGAAAAUGAUGUCCUUAACUCAUAAGAGACAAAGAUGAAUCAAAAUCUAAGGUGAUUUUGUAAUAUGUGUGUGUAUAUAUAUAUAUUGAUCAAUUUUCUCUUACAUUAUUUAACCAUUUGACAACACAAAAUGAGCGUCAAAUUUUUGUUAUUUUACUUUUUUGUUGUUUGAGGCAUUUUUCCUUUCUACUUAAUUGCGUUUGACCCAAGCGUCAGUCGCCUAGAUCGCGCGACCCAGGCGACCGUCGCCUGGGUCGCGCGCGGCCGUCGCCUGGUCGCCUGGGUCACGCGACCCCAGGCGACGGCCGCCUGAGGUCGCGCGACCCAGGCGGCCAGAUCUGGCCAUCCGACCGCCAACACGACCCUGGCGACGGUCACCUAAGGUUGUGCGACCCAGGCGGCUAGAUCCGACCAUCCAGCCACCGGAUCCGACGGUCCGACCACCGAAUCUGACGGUUCGAUCACCAGAUCCAGCGGUCUGGUGGCCGAACUUCAAAAAAGAAAAAUAUAAUUUUUUUGUUUUUUUUUUUUAAUUUUAUAAAAGUAAUUUACAAAUGCAAAUUUUACCAAACGGUAUUUUGGCCAAAGUUGUAUCUCAAUGCAAAUUUUACCAAACGAUAUUUGCAUUUCGGAAAACCUCCUUCAUCCAAAUGUAUUUGCAUUUUGACAAAUGCAUUCCCCAAAAGCCGAACCAAACGGGCCCGUAAUGUGUAACAAUCGAAGUUUAUGUCAAACAUGUAUUACUCUGGAGCUUUUUUGUGAAAUUUUUCCAAAAAUCUAUUAUUCGAUGCCAAAUUUCUAAUAUGUUCACAAGGAGAUUAGUGUGUAUUUAAGUAUGCUGGUUGUGGAAAUAUGAGAAGCCAAACUCAUAUUGUACAUAUUUUAGGUAUUUUAGGUAUAUUAGUACAAUUUACUAUUUAAUAAAAUUUUAUUAGAGAAUGAUAGAAGGAAAAAAUAAAAAAUUAAAAAAUUAAAAAAGGAAAAAUAAAAGAAAAACAAAUAAAAAUAAAGUAGGCAAUUGCGAGAGAUUUUUUCCAUCUCUACUUAUAAACUUUUAGGCUCGUUUGCAUUGAUAUGUCGUUUAUACCAAAUAUGUAAAUAAUAUAAUAUGAAUAUAUAUGAUUUUAUAUUCAUUGGUAGGCAGCUGAGUUGAUUGGGCUUUGGGCACUUCACUGCAAAAGUCCCAGGGUUGAAACUUCGCAGCUGCUAACACAUUUUAAGUGAGGGGCUAUGGUGGUGGGAUCUUAUGCUAACUUCUCCCAAGGUAUUGACGCUUGGUCUGAGGUGUAUUAUGCACUGUAUAGGCAUUGGGUUGCUGAUUAGUGUAAGCGAAAGGCGGGCUUAGCGGAUCCUCGGAUACCAAAAUAUAUAUCAGAAGAGAUUAAGUUAGUAUACGGAAGAGAAGUGGAAAAAUUACAGCCCUUCAAAUUCACCCUUUCUUAUAGUGACGUUUGUAAAAGCCCAAUCUCUUAUCAAAAUUUCUGUAUAAGUUUGAAGGGGUAACCCAUGGUGAUUAAUAAAAAUGCCAUUCCAUAUUCCAUUAGAACUUGUUAAAAACACAUGAAAGGGAAGCUUUCACUAGUUACAUCAAAAUUUGCUAAAGAAAAUCCCCAUACAUUCUCUAAGAAUUGGAAAGAAAUUCCUAUACAUCGUUACUAAAAUGUGUAAAAGGAAGUCCUAUACAUUCUGUUUAAAGAAGUACCCGCUUAAUAGUAAUUGUGACAAUUUCAGCGUAAUAUGCAAGAGUCUUUUGGAAUUUUCAAUGAACAUAGUGAGACCAAAGUGAUGAAACUUUUUCUAAAAGUUUUUUUUUUUUUGACAAAAACUUUUUCUAAAAGUUAGAAGCACGAAAAGAUGAUAUAUCAUUAAAUAAAGUAUUUAUCAUCAUAACACGUGAUUCACCCUUUUUGUCGUGUCAUAAAGUAAUAUCAUCAUAACACGUGAUUCACCAUUUUGUCGUGUCCAUCUCUUAGUCUAUCUUUUCAUACGAUUCUCGCAAGUAUAAUCAUCGCUGUGUUUAACUGUCACCCUUUUUGUCAUAAUAAAAAAGAUUAAGUUCUUCAUAGUGGAGGUCAUCCUGCUUUCUAACUAUGAUUAUCUAAUGUUGUUGAUUUUCCACCGACUAGCUAACUCUAAGAUCAGAAUGCAGUGUUUAUCCGUUGGAGAGAAAUUUUUUGAGCGGAAGAAAUGCUCACCAAACUUUCUUCUUACUUGUUACGGAGCAGCUCAUUAUCGGACACGAUUCUAACAAAGAUGAGCUACCCUUGAAUCGGUUUAAGUGGUCUUUGUGUUUGGAUUUGGUAGAGGGGGAGGAGUUCUCGGGUGAGGGUGUCUAUGGUUGGGGCAACGAUGCCGUGUGUUCGGAGUGCAACGUCAACAUUGUGAAGCUAAAAUAUUUAUCCUUGAUUCAAAGACAAACCACGAAGAAGAUACAUGCGAGUAUAAAUACAUCAACGAAGGGCAUUUUGAUAAAUUAACUAUAAAGGGUUGUUUUUUAAUCAAAGAAUGUCAGCACCACCCUUUUUGCAAACUGAUCUUAAUAAACAUAGCAUUUUUCCUUUUUCCAAUUCAUUUUUCAACAUACAACUUACAAGCAGGCCCAACACCCCAACACCUUGCUACUAAUACAUAAUAUUUAUUUACCUCCAAAAUUAGGAGGAAUUUUUAGGUAAUUUUUCAACCAAUUUAUCGUGAUUUUAAAACAUUUGUAAGAAGAUUGGGGCAUAAUUAGGUAUGCCGAGUAUUGAAAUACAGGAAGCCAAACUCAAAAUCUCAAAUUUCCCAUUGGUGUCACUCAAGAACCACAUAACAUAUGGUCUCUAAUCACUGUGAGACCUUGACAAUUGGGUGGACCUAACCCUAAUGUUGCCAAUUUAGAAGGAGCGCAAGGAGGCUCAUCAAUUUGUUGUAGUGAUUUUUUAAGAAGUCACUACGUUGAAGGUCCUAGUGUCUCUCAAUUGAGGGUACAAGGCCGACGGGUCGGUUGAGAGACAUUGUGCGAAGCACAAAUCAAUCUUGCAGUGGUGUUUCACUCACCCCUUCACCUUCAUCAGCUCGGGCGGCUACUAUGCCAACCUACCAAUUCCUCAAACACUCCUUAUGAGAUGCGGUGGAAUCUACCCUCCCCACCUGAAGGACCCCAUAAUUCUUAAAUAUAAUGUUUUCUUCUCCACUCAAAAAGGAAUCCUCCCAAUAUUUCACAUCUCUAAAUUUAGAUGAGACAGUUUAGGAUAUAUACUCAUAUCCAAGAAGGUCAUUUGUUUAGCAGCAAUUUCUCAUCCCAUAAACCUAAACUCGCGAGCCUUCACAAAUGAUUGUGUUAAAAGUGAUUGAGCAUGACAUGAUGCCACGUCACUCCUCCGCUCGCGAGCCAAUCAAGCUUUCGUGGAUUUACACUGGAGACGUAUCUUCUUCUUCUUCUUCUUCUUUUGGUUUUUUGCUAUAAUUCUCAUCCUUCCCUGUCUCCUUUAGAGAAAAUCCAUCUCGUUUGACCUUUCUUGGCCGGUAUCUGAUGCAAUCGUUCUUAGUUGUGUGAUUACCUUAACCUUAUCCAAUACCGCCGAUCGUUGACUUCAAUAGGAAGGAACCGUGGAGAGCACCUCGGUGCCUAUUUUGUUUUCUUGUUUUUUUUUUUUAAAUAACCCAGCAACUCCAAUGGAUCUUAAAACACCCUUCAACUCCUAUAAUUCAGUAAAGUUGAAGCCUUUGACCCGCAUAGAUGGCUUGAUAGUGAGUAACUCGCACGCAAAUGAAAUGAUUUAAACAAACGGCUUCAAUUAUUGAGGGGAGAAUUUAAAAAAAACAAUCCAAACCUAUUGCAAUUGUGCAAAUUCAAUCCUAAACUUCUUUUGUGAGCCAAUUCAUUUCUAAAUCUUUUGCAAUUGCGACAAUUUAGUCAACUUGGCCAAAAUUGGCUGGCCAGCACUGAUGUGGACGCCAGUCAACAACGACCGUUCGAUGAAUGUUGAUGUGGCAAUUUUUUUUAAUUUUUUUAAUUUUUUUUUAAUUUUUUUCUUUUUUUCCCCCACCUUUUCAUUCCUCUAGCGCUGAUCGGCCAGAGGUGAGGGUUGGUGAGGUCAACCUCGCUGGCCAAUGGCGAGGCUCACCCAACCAAGGCAAGGGUCGACCUCGCUAAUGGUUGGCGAGGCUGCUCACUAGAUCUAGUGACGGCGCCAGGCUCACCUUCGCCAGUGGCCAGCGGGGGCGAGCCUCGCCUGCCAGAGGAAGGAGAAGUUGGGGAAAAAAAAAGAAAUAAAGAAAUAAAUAAAUUCGAAAAUAUAUUUAAAAAUUCGAAAAUAAUAAUAAUAAUAAUAAUAAUAAUAAUAAUAAUAAUAAUAAUAAAUAAAUAAAUAAAUAAAUAAAUAAAUAAAUAAAUAAAUAAAUAAAUAAAUAAAAUUACCAUGUCAGCAUUCGCCAGAUGGCCAUCGCCGACCGGUGUCCACAUUAGCAGCGGUUGGCCAAUUUUGGCCGCAUGGACUGGAUUGGCACAAUUAUAAAAAGUUUAGAAUUGAAUUGACAAAAAAAAAAUUAUGACCGAAUUGGCACAAUUGCAAUAGGUUUGGGAUUUUUUUUAUAUAAUUCUUCCAAUUGUUGAGCUACAACCAUUAUUGUCCUAAUAAAUCACGCCAACUUCAAGGGUUUAGGUAGGUUUUUUUUCUUAUAAUCUUUUUCGUAGAAAUGUAACUAUUGGUAGGCCCUCACUUUUGGACAUGACUACGAACUUAAAAGAGCCAAAUUAUGUUAGAGUUGAGUCAUAUGUCUUCUCGUUUGUUAUGGUUUGGCCCCUUUAUGCUAGAUAUCAGUGCAUGGACUCAAUUAAUUUCAAUUCGAAGUUACCACUGGUAUGAGAAUGAUGUACAACUAGAGGUGUAACAGUCAACCUAAUUUAUGGUUGGAAAGAUAAAUGUUUGUCUGUGAUCAUUUUUAAAUAGUGAUUUCUGAAUAUAAAAAAAUUAUUAUGUGAAAUCCUAUUUUUUCAUAACGAGUUGAGGGGUAGGCACUGUUGGCCUAGAAGAAGCAAUAAAUUGGGUUUUAUUGAGAUCAAUGAUCCACCUGUUAUAAAGGAUUUGAAGUGAACCACUAAUUACUCUACAUCAUUUGUGAUCAGAAGGUUCUCUCUUCUUUUGACAAGCCAAGGGGCUCAAGCAUUCAUCUCUUGACUACCUUAAAGCUCAUGAAAUAUUUUUUGCAAGCUUUAUGCAUAAAUUAAGUCCAUAUAUUUGGCCUAUGCAUAUAGCUUAAUCUAGCAUUUGGGCGUAGUUGGUGGAAUUCUGACUUGUAGUUUCUUAAUCAUAAAUUCCCCAAUUCCUAAUCAAUUGAACAAACUUUGGGGAUUGCACAUGUUCAAGAAUGACAAUCUCGUUAUCGUACCCUCACAGGCAUGCUAUUAAUUGGAAAGUUUCUCCACACACAAAAAAAAAAAAAAAAAUUGUCAUGCCCAAAUAACAUCGCACGAACUAUUUGGAGAUUUAUUCACAACGAGGAUUGCGCUUAUGACCCCGUGGAAGAUAGUUGGCCCCUUUAACUCAGGCCAACAUAUUGAAGGUCGGUCCUUCUUUUUUUUUAUUUUUUGGUAAACUUAUUAAACAUUGGUCACAGUUAACAGGAAGCUUCUUCAUGCAACCUUAGUAGGGAUAAAGAUAGACGGUGUCAACUGAGCUCGCAUUUGAUGAGAUUUAAGCACCUUCAGUGUGAAUCUACUUUUGGAAAAUGCUGCUGCAAUUCCACACCCCUCAUAUAAAUUAGUUUUUUUCUAUAAGCUCAAUAAAAUAGCUAGCGAUAGUUCAACCGCGACCAUCAUGGGAAACCUUUAUGAUAACUUAGAAUUCUGAAUAUGUGGGUGCUUUUGUUUCAAAAAAAAGUUUCGAGAUAAAAGGAAAAUAUUUCUCAAAAAAUCAGUUUUUAAAAUGCUUAUUUUUCUCUUUUCAGGUUAGGGAAUUCAUUUUCCCUAACUUUAAGCAUAUAUAUUUUCUUUAAUUAUAAAUAAAUUUUCUAUUGACUAAUCAUUUUCAGCAAACCAAAUGCAUGAAAGUCUGAAAAACUAAUUCAUGGAAAAAAAUUUCACUCAAACAAGCGUAACGAACUCUUGUCAUGUUGAAUUGUUUAGGCUUUGACGCCCUUGCCCCAAGUAAGCAAGUUCUUCAGGACGUUGCUAUGUAAUGUCUUACCAAGAAAACAUAUAAAUUAAUUAUUAUAAUAUCUAUUUUUCUAUGUCAGGACUACUGAUAAAAGUGAAUCAUGAAAUCAAUGACUCACAGAGCCACCAAAAUCACUAAUUAAUACUAAUCUAAUAUUAACAAAAUAGAAAAUACUUAUAGAAUAGAAGAGAACUGUCUUUUAUGUAUACUUCCUCGGUUACACACCCUAUAUUGACAAUUGGGCAAUAAUUUGCUAUAUUACGAAGGUGGUUUAUGCUAUGUUAAACUUCCAAAGCUAAAGCAAUUAGUAGUAGGGUAGUGCAACCGGUUCGAUUCUACUCAAAAAUCAAACCAAACCCGCCAUAAAAACAGGUCCAAUUCGUAAUUUUAGUGGAAACAGGUUCGGUUCUAAGUUCUAAAUUUUUUGAACAAAUAGCAUGUGGUUAGGUUUUAGGUUUUGGGUGUUGAACCCAUCGAUCCAAGAAUCAAUUAGAACAUGUUCUAUGAAGUUGGAAGAAAUUAUUUAUCUUCCCUAUUAAUUUAUAUUUUGCUGAUUUUUUAAUUUGAUCCGUUUUGUUAUUCAUACUAUUUUCUUGUGACUAUUAUUUGUCUUGCUUUUUUAAAAAUAACGAAAGCAAAAAAAAAAAAAACAAAAAAAAAAAUCGGUUCCUAGGCAGGCCCUAGAAUCAUGAUAAACAAAUAAGGUAGGUUCCAAGAUCGAUUCCAAAGUAAAUAUGAUAGGUCUUAGGUUUCAAAAACUGAGAACGAUUCUAAUAAGAGAGGUUUAAAGUUUCAAAACCGAUAACCUACCUACCCUCAAAUCGAUUACCCCUAAUCAGUAGGAAAUUUUCCUUAUAACUCUUGAAAGAAGUGAAAGAGAGAUUUGGUGGCAGCAAAUUCACAUUCCAUCAGCCAAUCGCUCUUCCGAGACUUGAAUUAGUGAAAAAGAAAUAGAACGUUAGGAGGAGCUACAAUUUUGCACUGAAAAUUCAAAUUAAAGAUUCAUUUAAGAUAUGAGUUCUUACAUUAAUUCUACAAGAACGUAAAGAUGAGUUUGAAUUUAUAUGUCCGAUUGGUCGAGUGUAAUUAUGGACAAAAAUGCUUACUUGAUGUUCUACAUGGUUUAAAAUAAAAAUAAAAAGGAAUAUUGAAAAACAUAAUAAAUAUUAAAAACAUUAACAAAAAGGGAAUUUUGAAAGGAAAACAAGGGAUAGACAAGGGAGGGAAGUGGUGCACUGUCGCCUGACUCUAGCAGAUAACGACCGGGUGUUGUGCGACUCCGGUGAUCCAUGAUUAGGGUUACAUAACCAGAUUGCCUAGUCAGUGCUAACAUCGUGCUGAUGUGUCAACUCAUGGUAGUAUUUUCGUUUUUUAUUAUAACAACAUGACCAAUUCAAAUAUUAAGAAAAAUAACAUAAACUUUAAAAGACAAGGUUGCACAAAAAAGCAUUUAUCCCUAAUCUGUUUAACGGUACGUUUCCAAAAAGCAUAUCUUGAUUGAAAGAAUCAAUUUAGAUUGCAAUGCAAGGGCUGUUUAUUGACUUGAUCAGUUCAUGAUGCGGCACCGUCCAAUCCGACGCGAUGCAAGGAGGUCGCCUUCCAACUCGCCACCUCCUGCCUUAUAUCGUCACAUGACAUCUUCACAUCGACUCCCUCUCUCUCUCUCUCUCUCUCUCUCUCUCUCUCUCUCUCUCUCCCCUUUCAUUUUCAACGAGCGUACCAAGAAAGCCAAAUCUGAACUCUCUCGAACGGACCUUUGUACCGUUAGUUAACCCAGCUUUUGUUUUGCGUUCUCUGCUGCUUUGCGUGCGCGCGAGUGACGAGUGUUUGUUAGCUAGUUUAGCUCUCUUUAGGUUAAGGUAAUGUGGUGAUUCGCGUCAGAUUUCUCUCCUUUUGGGUGGUGGGUAGGGGAUGCUUUUGAUUCGAGUGUGUCUGAAAGAGGAGGGAUUCUAAGUCCGAACAGGAACCGAUUUUGGGUUUGUCCGCGCCAUGUUGAGGCAGGGAAUUAGGAUAGUUCGGAGGCAUUGAGGGGUUUGUUGUCUUUUAUUAUUAUUAUUAUUUCUGAUGCAGUUGAAUGAUAUAGGAUCUUGAACGGACUCCUUGCAUGGUCAUAGCGUUUUGACCACCGAUUCAAUAUGCACAUCUUGGUGCUGGAAGAGGUUUCUCUUAAGGAGAGAGAGAGAGAGUCGGCAUCUAAUGGUAUCGUUGUAGAUGUUAGUCUGAUCUUACAAUUUUUGAACUGUUACUCAUUUGGCAGUUUUAUCGCCUGACUUUCCGAUUGAUUAACAUAAGCGACAUCGUGGCUCGAUUAUUGUCGACAACUAGAGGAGUAGCAUGGUGUUGUUUUUUUCCUUUGUCGAAGUGACGGAGUUCCCCCGCUGCUUUCCUUUCCUUUGCCGCCAUCUCGUGCGGAUGUGGCAUUCCAAUCAUUUCCUAGGAACAGGUCGCUCUCAUCCAGUAUAUGUUAUGGACAGUGUGAGUUGAUAGGUGUACAAGUAUGUAAACUGUGAGUGUGGAUUAAUAGUGAGAUCCAUCUAAGUUUCGAGGGUGGAACUACUCAAAACUUUAUCAUAGUCUAUUUUGAAGAUUACUAAUGGAAUCUAGUCUUACUGUGGCUAUUAGUAUAGGAGACUAGACAUAGGCUUGAUAUAAACCAAAUCAUGACAAAUGUAAUUUGCAAUAUCUUUUUAUCUCUUUGCUCGUUUUUCAAUAUUUUUCUAACAAGGGCAUGUUGCAUUGCAUAUAAGCAUAUUGCAUAUUUACGUCUUCUAACGUCAAGCUUUCUCUACUUAUAUCCAAGUCCAAUUUCAAAUAACUUGUAAAAUCUAAAAUAAUAUUAUUAUAUAACAUAUUCACCCCUAUUUAGGUUGUAUCGUUAAUCUCAACAAAUACGAUGGCCUUUUGAAUGUUGCACUCUCUAAAGUUUUUGGAAAUUAUGCCGAGUAGCCCGAUGUUCUCAUAUAAAGGAAAAUUGAUUUCUCAGAGUUCCUGGCCCUAUUUCACUUCUUUGUAGAUGCGUGCUCCAAGAAUUCACAAAUAUGUGUAAACCUUCACUUUUUCUUUUACACUUGCAUUUGAGUUUAGUUUUCAAUUUUGGAAUAUGUACUUUAGAUCCAUUUUUGUCCAUAUAGUUUGGUUAUAUGGAUAUAGUAUGGUCAUAUGUCCAUGCAUGUGUGACAUAAGACAACAACUUGACAUUUAUAUCUUUAAAUUUACAAGUUGCUCACAAAUUGACACCGACCGAUAGACUAUUUGUCAUUACAAAUGACUUUCAAUAUUGUGAGAUUAUAUAUGCAUGCUUUUUAGGGUAUAUCAAUCUAAUAAGGCUAACGUCCUUUUUACAUUAGAACACAUUAGAAUGCCCUAAAGAAUAUUUCGCUUAAAUUUAAUGGAGAAAAAUCUACAAGUGAUUUUGAUGCUGUUGAAACUAUCCUUAAUAUAAUGUUUAAUACGGCAUAUGCAUACACACACACACAUAUAUAUUUAGAAAGGAUUACGCAAUAUUGAUUGUGUGAUCUAGGAUAUGAAAGUAUGCAACAAGUCCAGAAAUGGUUUUUGUCUAAAUACUACCAACGAACCUAAAGAUCAACUAAUGACAAUGUUUAUAUCGUAGCUACAAAUAUCAAGUCAUUGGUAUUAUAAUAACCAUGAACUUCUAGCGAAGUUUGUUGGGUCAGAAAAUUAGCCGUUAUGGCUAAGGAUUUGCACAACAAUAGAAUCCAGUUGAUAGUAGUAAUUUGUGAAGUUGAGUCGUCUAAUAAGUCUGUCAAAAACUGCAAUGAUGGGACAGUGGCAAAUACUAUUCUUACUACAAAUGUUUAGGAAAAAAGAACUACAUGGGUAGUUCUGUUCUUGGAUAGACUCCAAUGGUUCCUUGCUUCUUUGAUCUUCUCUUAAUAGACAAAUUGGAGAUGAAUAUAAGAGAGAAGACCUAAGAAGCCAAGAAGGAGAGACGGAACAACAUUAUCUAAAGAUUUGCAAUCUGCUUUGUUCCUAACGAUACGCUCUUGUCCAAAGUGUUUCACUAAGUUUUAUAUUCAUGUUAUUUGAGUAAUUGUGUUAUAGAUUAAAUGUAGAAUGGUAUGAAUAGCAAUUGGGUCUUGAUAGUGUGAUCUAUCUUAUAAUAGGACUAGUGUUUGCCUAUUGUAAUUGUCUACGUAGCUUACUCAUGCAAUCCAGCCCAACUUGUGGCUAUUAGUCUAAAGAGUGAACGUAAGCUUGGAGAUAAAGCCGAAUCACUAUAUAUUAUUGUGUGUUACUGUUUUACUCUCUUUUACUCUCACAAACACACAAAUCGAUCAUAAACUUUGAAACAUCAUCUUGACCUGAUCUUUACUUAGCAUUAGCUAAUUUCUAAGAAAAUUUGUCGAGUUUUCUUAAAAAACAUAUUCACCCCCUCUAGGUUGUAUUAUUAGCACCCAACAAAAUUAGUUGCUUUGGAGCAACAAAAAGCUACUAAAAAAGUCUUGAAACUGGCUAAAUAUAACAAAAAAUGUUCUUUUCAUAUAUUUUUCUCUUGUGAAGUAAAUACACACAUUUUUCAUGUUCUUCCUUUUUGAAACUUUUGGUGUUUCGAAGACAAAAAGAGUAACUCUCUAAUCAGAUGAUUCAACUCGAAGAGCAACUUAAUGUAAAAACAAACCUUGAAAUUGGAAAUUGAACAGUUGAGAAGAUCAUUAAAUGUCAUGAAGCACAUGAAAGACGAGGAUGAUACUGAAAUUUUGAAAAUAAUUAUUUUGCUAGCGGAUAUGAGGGGAAAAGAGGGGAAUCUUGAGGAUGUAGAAGUGCCGAAUCGGGCUAUCAUAGUAAAGGUGCAUAAUCGCAAUAAUGAGCUUCAAGAAGCUCGCAGAAAAUUGAUCAAUGUAAGUUUGCUUUUUCUCUUCCUUUUUUUUUUUUAUGGUGAGAUUUUUAUUUUAUUUUAUUUUAUUUUUGCAGGGUAUCAUGUUCUCUCAUAUCAUUUGUCAUCUUUUUUUCAUUUUUGGUCUGCUACCUUCAGUUACUUCACUCAAUACAAGUUUCUUUUGCAGGUGUACAUCACUAAUUGACUUAUCUAAGGUGCCAAUUAACUUACUUUGCAAGUAUCAAAAGACAUACAUAAUGAUUUCAAAGUCGAUGGCAACGUUCAAGGUCGACAGAAGACUCCAAUCCUACAGCGAAGCUGCACCUAAACAAGCACGUAUUUGCUUGCGCCAUAGUGGCCUCCGUGACCCCCCUUUUGAUUGGGGGAUUGACCAUAACCGAGCAAAAGGGAGCUCACAGAGGCCACAACAGCGCAGGCGCAGCUUUACUGGAGGAUGGAAGUCCUCGAUCAACUUAGGUUAGAUAUUUCCAUCGACUUUAAAAAUCACUAGAUUUGUCUUCUAAGACUUGCAAAGUAAGUCAAUUAACACCUUGGGCAAGUUAAUCGGUGGUGUACAUUAGUUACAAGAGAAACUCAUGUUGAGUGAAAUAACUGAAGACAACAUCCUCAACCAUAUGAAAUUCAAUUUAAGUCUAGUACUGAAGCUCAUUAGUCCUUACCAAUUAAUUAGGAACUCUACUUCUUUAUUAUUAUUUCAUAUCUUUAUGUGCACGGAACUUCUGGCCUUUCUUUGUGUUUUUUAUUUAGUCCCUUCAUCCCUAAACAAAUUAAUCCUCUCUUCAUUAUUCUUUUACCCAGAACGCUUUUCACUCUCAAGUUCAGGAAGCUCCUUUCCAUUAAUCUUUUCUCUCAUUCUCGCUCAACUCACUCACCAUUCUUCAAGCAAUUCACUCAUAUCUGCACCCUUAAACCCAUGAAUUUGGAGGCAAGUGUCGUGUGCACACAAAGAAAAGAGAUACACCCAGAACACAUGGAGAGAGAGAACACAUGUAUCUGCAUAUAUUGAAAAUGCAUUCACUCAAACGACACUUAUACAGAAGACAUUCUGCAAAGACAAUUUGUGAACUAAUAUGUCAUAACAAACACAUACGCCGGAGAUAUCUAAUUCACUCUCACACACGAUAAUAUAGUUCUUCAAUUUCAGUAUAUGCCUAAUGAAUUCUCCAGCAAUAACCACCAAACUUUCUCAAAUUACCACACUGACAUUACUGAAUUAUUCUAGAGAAUUGAGCUUAACACGUGCAAACAUGGGAGGCUUAUUAGAAUCGAGAUUCUUGGAAUUAACUAACAAGUGAAUUCAUCUAGCCUAUGCAACUAGCGCAGUGGAUGAAUAAAACAGAUGAGGUGAUCAUGGUCAGACCUGAGGUUACGUCUAUUAGUAACGCAGUUCAGACAUUUCAAUGAAUAAUUAGUAAGCAUCAAGUCAGAGAACAACACGAUGACAAGUUGCUGGAAAUCAAGACACGUUCAACAUGAAACUACCACGGUAGAGUUGAGAUCACGGAUAUAAGCUCUGACGUGUAUGAUUUUAAAGCUAGGAAGAACUAGAUUCUCAUCCUCUGUUUUUAUUUUCAUACAUCUAAACCAGAAGAUACUCAGUUAGAUCUAGCGAAAGUUAAUUACCUGCAGCGACGGCUGAUGGCUUUGAACAAAACAAUCACCGAGGCGCUCUAGAAGGCUUGAAUUUGCGAAGGAGUCAAUGGCAGCAACUGGUCGAACUCUUCAAUCAACAAUGGCACUCCAAAAACAGGGACAAGCAGGAAAAUUCCAGAGCAGCUCGGCGAUGACGAACAACCGCUGUAGGCAGGGUUACGACAUCCUGAAAUGGUGGACCAUGAAUGCUGAUGUCAAUUAACCGUGAAGAAACUCCUGGAAAGCGAUGGGAUCAAAGUGUGUUUAAACUACCGUUAGACCCUCAACCGGUAUGAUUUUUUCCCCUCAAACCUCGGUCACAUAACUAGGACUUGACCUACCAAGAACAGAGCAGAGAUGCAAUAAUUACCUUGGAGAUGCAGUAGAUGGUCACGAACAACGAUAGAACGGAGAACUCAAAAGUCCCGGAAGCAUCUCCACCGACGGUCGGGGCCGUGGGGGGAAGAAAUCUCGACCGAGAUCUGAGCUUUCCGGACUACCCUCUGGCGGAACAGGGGCGAACAGAGAGGUGGUGGAGGUCUGCAAAAUCUAAAACAAACCCGUGAGUGCUUUCUAGGGACUCUUUGCAACUCAAAACUGAUGCUCUGUCUUCUUGAUCUGGUGUUCUCUCGGCUGUGAAUCGUAUCCCACGCCCCAACCCCCCCCACCCCCCCCUCCCCGAACGAAUGCCCCCCAAAGCUCGGUCAGUUAGAUGAGAGCGCUUCUCUCGGUCGCCAUCUCUACGCACGCUAUCGGAUUGGCUUUGUUCUGGAAGAAGAAGAGUCAUUACGGGGCGUCGGUUAGAUGAGAGCGAUUCUCUCGGUUCUUUUGGGGUUUUCCGUAUAUUUCAAAUUUUUAUGAUGCACUGUUGUCACUAUAAAAAUUUUAAAUUGAGAAAAACAUGCGUACUUUUAUUUAUUCUAUGUGAUAGUAUAUGCUUAGUAAUUUGAAAAUUUACAUCGUACUAAUUAAAUAUUAAAUCUUACAUUGCCCUACUAAUUAAAGAAAAAAAGAGAGGAGAAAAAGCUUCUAUUUUUUCUUUUUUUUGAAAAGAGAAACAGUAGUCUUACUCACUUAAAAGCUUUGAAGAAUAAUACUUUUAUUUACUCGAUUUGACAAUAUAUGUCGUAUUUGAGGUGCAAUUGCUUGUGUAGUAUAAAAACAAAUAGGUUGCGAUAUGGAUAAGGAACGGAGAAUAUGCCAUGCGAAAUACUAUAAUGGAAUUAUGAACGUUAAUUCCAUUUUUAUUUUUGGGGAGAGAAGAAUGUGUCUUGAAUGCAAUGUCUUCGAGCACCAGAGCCUAUAUGUGUUUACUUUGAUUAUAUGUUAUCAAAAAUAGAGGAAACAAAAAUUACCAAGCUUAUAUCAUCAAAUUGAGUAAAUGAAAGUAUUAUUCGUCAAAGCUUUCUUGAAGAAUAAAACUAUUAUUUCUCUUUCCAUUAAGAAAAAAAAAUCCCUCUUUUUUCUUUUUUCUAGUCGAUACAUUUGAGCGUACUAAUACAUAAUAUCUAUAAUCAAUAGUAAGGCUUCCUCUAGCACUAAUAGUAAAAUUAAAAAUUAUUUACAUAAUUGAUGAUCGGAAUUAGAUUGUUGGUACAAUAUGUUGGACUUGUGUACGAUGUAUACGUGGAAAGUAAAAACUAUUUCAACUAUGGAAUUUUUUUUGCAAGAUUAUUUAUAAAUUAUCUGAUAAAAAGGAUUAAAACUUUAUAAUUGAAAUACGUGGAAGGCAAAGUGAAAUCAUUAAUUUAGGCAUUUUUCCAUUGAUAGGAAUAUUCACAAAAUAAUUAUUUGAAGAUAUUUUGGGAAAGACAACUAUUGUAAUUCCUAAAAGGCGUAGAUACUAAUUUUUAGCAAGCUAAAGAAUUUCAAAUAUCAACAAUUACUAUAACUCUUUUUCUCCUAACCGGGACAAGGUAUAUAGAUAUUAUGUUAUUAGUAGUAGUGCCAAAGUGUUGGGCCUACUCUAAAGAGUUUUAGAUAUCAACCAUUGAUAGAGACACCCCUUUAUAGUUAAUUUAUCAAAAAGCCCGUUUAUUAAUAUAUUUAUGACACAAAGUAAAGAUGAAUGAAGUGGGAGAACUUUUCUGUAUAUUCGUAUAUUGUGUACAAUUACAAUGAUUCGCUUAUAGUGUAAGAAUACAAGGAAUUUAGGAAAUAAUAUACAAAGAAUCAUAAUUUCCUAUUGACUAAGGCAAUUAUAAAUCUACUGAAUCAAUCACAAUCGGCGCCAAGGUCAGAAUCUUCAGUUAUAUCUUCAACAAUUUAUGCCAACAUGUAUCUUCUUCCUAAUUUGUCUUUCAAUUAAGGAGAAGACUGUAGCUUCCCAAAAUUGAUGUUGCACUCCAAGCAUGACGACAUUGUUGUCCCGGCCUUAGACACCCUCACUCGCAAAGUCCUGCGACGCUAACUCCUCAUACCAAAUCCAAACGCAUUAGACCAAAUGACCCAAUUCAAGGGUAGCCUAAAUUUGGUGUGGUCGUGUUUGAUUUUGAGCUGCUCCAUUGUAAUCGAAAGAAAAAAGGGUUUAGUAAGCAUUUCUCCUGCUCAAGGAAUUUCUCUCCAACAGUUAGCAACGUUACAUAAUCAUGGCCAGCAAGCAUGGCCACUUCCACCAAACCCCUCCAAACCUUUGGGGCAAUAUAUGUUAGUCCCAAAUUUUCUACUAUUAUCUAAUACCCUCUUAACUUUCAUUAUGUUUGAACUGUAAAGGCUCCGUUAUUUUUCUUCGUUAACCUAUUCAAUGCACGUGACUUUCAAAAGAUGGAAGUAUUUUGUUCAUCUCUUUUUUUUAAGAAAAUUUCUCGUUUACUCUUAUUUGAUGUAAAGUAAAUGAAAAAUAUAAAAAAUUAAAGAAAAUAAAUUGCGUAUAAUACUAAUAAUAAUAAUAAAAGUAUCUACAAGCUGCGUCUAUCGUCCAAAUUCCAAUUGGAAUAAAAUUGGAUAAAGGGGAAUUUGAAAUCCUCCAAAUAUCCCUGAAUUGCAAAGAUAUCCCAUUAAAUCUUUUCUGCUACCUAAGAUAGGAAUUGAAAUCUUUUUAAAAAAAUCUUUGAAAAUCUUCAACCUAAUAGGAUUGAUAAUCUUUGAAAAUCCUUAGCAUUUGAAAAUCUUUGAAAUUCCCAUCUCCCUAGGGCUUCAAACCUUUUCGAUCACGUGGUUAGUUGGAAAUUCGAUCUCGAUGCAUGACGGCUCCCAAUCGACACGAGUUCACGUAAUUUUUGGAAAAGCCUCGUGGAUAACGAGAGGCACUUCUUGUGGGUUGUACAACCGGACUUCAUCACCGAAGAAGGCCCGCGAGAGGAGAUUCCACAUCACGGUGCCAUUGUGGCUUUUUUUGAUGCACGUCAAUGGGAACUCCAUGCUUGAGAGAAAGGUCUCCAUGAAGCCAAUGGUGUGUUGGCCGUUCUUUGUCGACCAACUAGUGAACAAGCAGCUUGUGAGCCACACGUGAAAGGUUGAGCUUGACAUGAAGGAUGUAUGGAAUUGGGAUGGAAAGGAUGAUUUAUGCAAACCUAGGACAACAUUGUCUUGAGACCCCUUUCACCCUCGCCUGUCAGAACAUAAUUGUCGGUUGGCGGUUGGUGGUGACGACCGACCUAGUGAGGUGACAAUGAUCAUGCUGUCGUCGGAAGUGAUGAUGAUAAGCUAUCUUGGUGGUGUCCUUGUGCAAUGCCGCCAACAAAGUAAUAUAUGAUUCAUCACUCUAUUAGUGAUUUAAAAAAAAAUAUAUAUAUCUAAUCCCCAUCACCUAGACUAGAUUUCUUAUUCAACAUUUUAUCUAAAUGUAUCCAAGUUUAUCCGAUUCGGAAAAUGUCACCAAAAUGUUUUAUUUGUGCAAACAUGAGAUGUCAUGAGAAUAAGAUUUGGUUAUGCUAAAUAAAUCUAAUGCUUUUUCUGUACAUUUUCUUUCAAAAAGAUGAUGUGCAAUCACUCUUUGAUAAUUUUGAUCCUAAGCCACUAACAUAUGAGACAACAAUGAAUCGAAAUCUAACUUGUCAUCAGGAUCUCUAACCGCUACUCGUGCUAACGUCCUUUUUGCAUUAGAAAAUAACAGAAUGCCCUGAGGAAUGGUUCGCUUAAAUAGGCUGCUUUAAAGCAACGAAAAGUCACUAAAAAAGUCUUGAAACUGGCUGAAUAACAGAAAAUGUUCUCCUCAUAUAUUUUUCUCUUGCGAAGUUAAUACAUAUCUUUUCAUAUUCUUCCUUUUUAAAACUUAUGGUGUUCAGAGGCAAAAAGAGUAACUCUCCAAUCGAAUAAUUAUACUGUAAAAAGCAACUCGAUGCACAAACAGGCCUUGGAAUUGGAAAUCGAACAAUUGAGAGGAUCAUUAAAUGUCACAAAGCACGUGAAAGAUGUGGAUGAUACUUCAAUUUUGAAAAUAGUUAUUUUGCUAGCAAAUAUGAGGUAACAAGAGGGAAAUCUUGAGGACGUAGAAGCACUAAAUCGAGCUAUCAUAGUAAAGGAGCGUAAUGGCAAUAAUGAGCUUCAAGAAGCUCGCAAAAAAAAUAUCAAUGUAAGUUUGCUUUUCUCUUCCUUUUGUAUAGUGAGAUUUUCAAUUUGUUUUUGUAGGGAAUCAUGUUCUCUCGUAUCAUUUUGUCAUCUUUUUACCUUUUUGGUAUGCUAUCUUUGGUUACUUUACUCAACACAAGUUUUUCUUGCAACCAUACAUCAACGAUUGACUUACCUCAGGUGCCUUGCAACCAUACAUCAACGAUCGACUUACCUCAGGUGCCAUUGACUUACUUUGCAAGUAUUAAAAGACAUACACAGUGAUUUUAAAGUCAAUGGCAACAUCCAACCGGAGUCGAUUGAGCCCUCCAAUCCUCUAGUCAAGCCAUGCCUGAACAAGUUUGCAUUUGCUUACGCCAUCGUGCCCCCAUGACCCCCCUUUUGCUUGGUGGACUGACCAUAAUCGAGCAAAAGGGAGCUCGUGAAGGCCACAACAGAGCAGGCGAUGACAUACUUCUUCCGACGCCACUUCACUGGAGGAUGGAAGUCCUCAAUCAACUAGGGUUGGACAUUUGCCAUCAACUUUAAAAAAUCACAAAAUUUGUCUUCCAAGAGUUGCAAUGUAAAUCAAUUGGCAAUUGAGGCAUGUCAAUCAGUGGUACAACUGCAAGAGAAACUCGUGUUCAAUUCGAUUUAAGCAUAGCACUGAAGCUCAUUAUUGAGACCAUACCAAUGAAAUGGGAACUCUACUUCUUUAUUAUUAUUUCAUAUUUUUAUGUGCAAGAAACUUCUGUCCUUUGUUUGUGAAGAAGCUUCAGGGAACUUCACGGAUUGAGAGAGGAUUUUCUCUCCGUUCUGGUUUGAAUGGCCUCGGUUCAGUUGCAGCUGAGCCUGAGACCGCCACCGCCAACGGGCAAUUGGCAGUAGCCACGGCCUGAGGACAUCGGAGAAGGUAAGGAAUCAGAAAGCGAGGACACACAGAGGCAACAUCGAAGCACAAGUUCAGAUCCAUACAAUCCUGAUGGCAUCAAAGUGUGUUUACGCUAACGUUAGAUCCUGAAUCGGUAUCGUUUAUUCUUCUCCGACUUCGGUCAAAUAACUCAGGCUCGACCUACCAGAGGAGAGAUGCAAUAAUUACCUCGGAGAUGCAGAAGAUGGUCACGAACAACGGUCGAACGAAGAACUUAAAGUCCCGGAAGCAUCUCCGCCGGUGGUCAGCGACCCGGAGGGGAAGAAAUCUCGAGUGAGCCCACCGUGUCGUGGCGAACAGAUAGGUGAUGGAGGUCUGCAAAAUCUAAAGUAAACCAGGGAGAGCUUUCUAGGAACUCCUCUUGCUCUGGUGUUCUCUCGGCUAUAAAAAAAAGUCUCGGUCAGUUAAGAAGAGAGCGCUUUUCUCGGUCGCCAACUCUACGCACGCCUGUCACCAUCGGUUUGGCUUAGUCUGGAAGAAGAGAGUCUUACGGGGGCGUUGGUUAGAUGGGAGCGCUUAUCUCGGUUCUUUUGGGGUUAUUGUAAAUUUCAAAAUUUUAUAAAGCACUGUUGUCGUGAUUAAAUUUUAAAAUUGAGAAAAACACGCGUACUUUCAUUUAUUCAAUUGGAUAGUAUAAGCUUAGUAAUUUUAAAAUUUACGUUGUACUAAUUAAAUAUUAAAUCUUAUAUUGCCCUACUAAUUAAAGGAAAAAGAAAGGAGAUAAAGCUUCUUCUUUUUUUUAAAAAAGAGAAAUAGUAGGUUUACUUUCCGAAAAAGCUUCGAAGAAGAAAACUUUUAAUUACUCAAUUUGAUAGUAUAAACCUUAUUUGAGGUGCGUUUGCUUGUGUAGUAUAAAAACAGAAAAGUCACGAUACGUGUAAGGAGCAAAGAAUAUGUCAUGCGAAGUACCAUAAUGGAAUUUUGAAUAUAAAUUCCAUAGUUAAUUUUGGUGAGAGAAGUACCACAAUGGAAUUUUGAAUAUAAAUUCCAUAUUUAAUUUUGGUGAGAGAAGAAUGCUGGAUCACUAUUGUCUUGAAAGCAAUAUCUUCGAGCACUAGAACCCUAUUUGUUUGGCUUAAUUAUAUAUUAUCAAAAAUAGAGAAAAAAAAUAACCAAGCCCAUAUCAUCAAAUUGAGUAAAUGAAAGUAUUAUUCCUCAAAACUUUAUCGGUGAAUAAAACUAUUAUUUCUCUUUUCAUUAAAAAAAAAAUUCCUAUUAUUUUUUAUUUCUAGUCUAUACAUUUUAGCGUACUAAAUAAAUAAUCUUCAUAAUCAAUAAUAAGGCUUCUUCUAGUACUAAUAGCAAAUUUCCCUUACUAAAAAUUAUUUAAAUAAUUGAUGAUCGGAAAUAGAUUGUUGGUACAAUAUGCUGGACUUGUGUACAAUGUAUACGUGGAAAGUGAAAACUAUUUCAACGAUGGAAUUUCUUUUGCAAUAUUAUUUAUAACUUAUUAGAUAAAAAGGAUUAAAACUUUAGAAUUGAAAUACGUGGAAGGCAAAGUGAAAUCAUUAAUGUAGGCAUUUUUCCAUCGAUAGGGGAAUAUUCACAAAAUAAUUAUUUGAAGAUAUUUUGGGACAGAAAACAACUGUAAUUCCUAAAAGCGUAGAUACUAAUUUUUAGCGAGCGAAAGAAUUUCAAAUAUCAACAAUUAAUGUAACUUUUUUUUCUCAUAAUCGGACAAGGCAUAUCAACAAUUAAUAGAGACACCUCUUAAUUUAUCAAAAAGCCCGUUUAUUAAUAUAUUUAUACCAACAUGUAUCUUCUUCCUGAUUUGUCUUUCAAUUAAGGAGAAGAUUGUAGCUUCCCGAAAUUGAUGUUGCACUCCAAGCAUGACGACAUUGCUGCCCUGACCGUAGACACCCUCACUCGCAAAGUCCUGUGAUGCUUGCUCCUCAUGCCAAAUCCAAAUGCGUUAGACCAAAUGACCCAAUUCAAGGGUAACCUAAAUUUGGUGGGGUCGUGUUUGAUUUUGAGCUGCUCCAUUGUAAUUGAAAGAUAAAAGGGUUUAGUAAGCAUUUCUCCUACUCGAGGAAUUUCUCUCCAAUAGUUAGCAACGUUACAUAAUCGUGGUCAGCAAGCAUGGCCACUUCCACCAAACCCCUCCGAACCUUUGGGGUAGUAUAUGUUAGUCCCCAAAUUUUCUACUAUUAUCUAAUACCCUCUUAACUUUCAUUAUGUUUGAACUGUAAAGGCUCCGUUAUUUUUUUCGUUAACCUAUUCAAUGCACGUGACUUUCAAAAGAUGGAAUUAUUUUUUUCUCUCUUUUUUUUUUAAAGAAAAUAUCUUGUUUACUAUUAUUUGAUGUAAAGUAAAUGAAAAAUAUAAAAAAUUAAAGAAAAAUAAAUUGCGUAUAAUACUAAUAAUAAUAAUAAAAUAUCUAUAUGCUGUGUCUAAUCGUCCAAAUUCCAAUUGGAAUAAAAUUGGAUAAAGGGGAAUUUGAAAUCCUUCAAAUAUCCCUGGAUUGCAAAGAUAUCCCAUUAAAUCUUUUCUGCUACCUAAGAUAGGAUUUGAAAUCUUUUUAAAAAAAUCUUUGAAAAUAUUUGAAAAUCUACAACUUAAUAGGAUUAAUAAUCUUUGAAAAUCCUUAGCGUUUGAAAAUCUUUGAAAUUCCCAUCUCCCUAGGGCUUCAAACCUUUCCGAUCGAGUGGUUAGUUGGAAAUUCGAUCUCGAUGGAUGACGGCUCCCAACCAACAUGAGUUCACGUAAUUUUUGGAAAAGCCUCGUGGAUAACGAGAGGCACUUCUUGUGGGUUGUACAACCGGAUUUCAUCACCAAAGAAGGCCCGCGAGAGGAGAUUCCACAUCACGGUGCCGUUGUGGCAUUUUUGAGAGAAAGGUCCCACGAAGCCAAUGGUGUGUUGGCCGUUCUUUGUCGACCAACUAGUGAACAGGCGGCUUGUGAGUCACACGUGGAAGGUUGAGCUCGACAUGAAGGACAUAUUGAAUUGGGAUGGAAAGGAGGAUUUAUGCAAACCUAGGACAACAUUGUCUUGAGAUCCCUUUCACCCUCGCUUGUCAGAUUGUAAUUGCCGGUUGGUGGUGACGACUGACCUAGUGAGGUGACAAUGAUCAUGCUAUGGUAGGAAGUGAUGAUGAUAAGCUAUCUUGGUGGUGUCCUUGUGCAAUGCCACCAACAAAGCAAUAUAAGAUGCGUCACUCUAUUAGUGAUUUUUUUUUUUAUAAAAAAAAUUAUAUCUAUUUUGAGUUUAUCCCAUCCCCUAGACUGGAUUUCUUAUUUAGCAUUUUAUCUGAAUGUAUCCAAGUUUAUCCAGUUUGGAAAACGUCACCAAAUAUCGGAGAAGAUAAUUUGUUAUCCUAUCCAGAUUCAAAAUCAGACUACCAAACACAACCAUAAUUAUAUUAAACAAUAAGAAUUUGUUACUAUUUAAUAAAAGUAGCCACUAUGAUAUUACUAAAUAAGAAAUUUUAAGAAUUAUAACAAACAACAACUAAACAAAAAGGGAAAAGGCCUCAUAAGAUCAUGUGCCAAAAUUUGCUUUCAUCGUUAUGUAUAUUUCGGGGGUUAAUUAAUGUAAAUUUGAUUGAUUAACAAAGAAUUUUACAUGAAGAAUAAUCAAUCCCUUGCAAAUUGUGACCCUUUCAGAGGUAAUCCUUAAGGAAGAGCUUUACAUAUGUGCGCGCAACACAUAUAUGACGGGCAUCGUGAACUAAAAGUUGCCUUCGCAUCUAUAAUAAUUCAAAAUUUUCAAAAAAUUCAAAAAUUCUUUUUUAUUUUUAGAUAAGUUUGCAGAUUAGCACCUUCUCGGAUGCGAAGGCAGAUAUAACUUGCUCCAUUUUCGGCUCAUACAUCAUAUUUCUCCCUUGCAGAACUAAUUUUUUGGUUAUGCAAAACUAAAAAAAAAAAUUAUCUUAGGCUCUAAUCAUAUCAUAUUACAAUAUUAUUUUAGGUAAAUUUGCAUAUACGAAUUGCAGCCCUAAAUUUUUAGGCCCGAAUCAUAUCAUAUGACAAUUACCACUUUCUUUGCGCAGGCUACUCUCUCCUAUAUCAUUUUAAGUAGGAAACUUGAACUAUUUUGCUGUUCCUACAUAUUUACUUUCUUUGGGCUGUAUUAUAUGCGGUAGAGUUUCUUAAUCUUUAGAAUCUGGGACAUGAAAGAGGACAUACAUAUAGUUGGGCCGCAUGCGGGGGGAAGUUGGCAAUCGAGUUUGGUCCAAGAUCCAAUUAUGUAAGUAAUUAUGGUUCGCAUUUCAUUAAAUUAGAGAAAAAUAAGCAAAACCCCCGACUUUUAUGGGUAGUAUUGCCCUCAAUUUUUUGACUACUACGUAAUAUUGGAACAAUUGUUCAAAAAAUCCUAAGCUUAUUGUAUACUGACUAGUUCAAUCCUAAACAUUUCAAUUGUGUCAAUUUAGCUAUAGACCUUUAAACAAUUUGUCAAACUAGUCUUAAAUCUUUUAACAAAUUAUCAAUUUAGUCAUGCAGACUAAUUUAGACUAGAUGUCGUUGGCAUGACAGCCCUGUUACUGCUAAUCUUCCCAUGUGGCAUAGGUGAUGAUAACAUAGACAAUUUUAUUUAUUUAUUAUUAAUUCAAUUUUUAUUUCAUUUUAUUUAUUUUUUUCUCCAUUUUUUUACACAUGGCCUACGGCAGUCGAGAGCUAGCAACCUUUGUCAGCCACCAAGUAAAGGCUAGUAGAGUCAUUGGGAAGGGUUUGUGAGCCAUUGCUCAUUGCCAACAAAGGCAUUGCAACCUUUGCCAACCUCAACGAGGACGUCAUGGCCCUUGCCCAAGCCAUUGUUAGCGAGGGCCUAGGUGAGAGCUUCCAAUGCCCUUGCCAAAGUCCUCGUUGCCACAGCGAUGGCUUGUGAGUCUAACGGGGAGGUGAAAUUUGUAAGCUUGCGAUCUCCAAUAACUUCUGUUAGAUUCAAAUUCUCCAGUGUUCAAGGUUGUGAAAGCCAUCUUGUGUCUGGAUAUUACAACUUUUUGAGAUUAAAACGUUCUAAGAGGUUGUGUUUGGAGUCGAUACAGAGGGAGAAUUGUUUGCUAGUUGAGAAACUUUCUCCUUCUGAAUGCACUUACGGUGCGCUUCAAAAUGGAGACGUCCCGUUACUGGCACCAGCUGUUUUGGACUCUUCGCGAGAGGUAUUAUUCUCUUUACCAUUUUCUUCUCAGAAUGUGCAAUUUCUCUGUUCAGGAGUUACGGUUGUGGAGCAAUAUGUGCAUGAUUUUCUGUUGUUUUUGGUAUCUCAACAUUUACAAUUCUUCCAUGAACCAAUUUCUUAAACUCUCCCCCACCCUUCCCUCUUCUCUGUUGGCAUGCGCACGUGCACACGCACAAACUUUUACUUUGUGCUUAGUAUUGUGGUUGUUACUUAUGUAAAACCAGUAUUAAUUGUCCUAAGCUUAACUGAUCAGGGUCUACAGAAGCUGACCGGUGAAGCAAUGCGGCCCUCGGGUGUAUCUAGAGAUAAUGACGACAUUAAUGGGGGAAAUUCUUCUGGUUCUGAUGCAGAGUACAUGAUGCUUCUUCCGUUUGCUCUGUCCUUUUCCGCUGCUCCUACUUUCUUUCUGAGAUUGCACCUGAAGCUUCUUAUGAAUCAUAGUGUCUCCAAAGUUAGUUUUGUUGAGCUUAAUCAGGAGAAGAACACUGAAACUGCAAGCAUUUUGGCUCAAUCUAACAUCGCCAUAGAUGACUGCUCAAAGAAUGAUGUGGGAUUCCAUACUAGCCAAGAAGCUCCAUCAAGAGAAAGUCCUUGUGGUAGGUACUUGCAUUGUGCUAAAGAUGAUCAAGCUGUUCAGCUAGUUGUUUGCGGGUGUGCAGAUCUGAGGACCCCUGAGGAUAACCAAAGCAGUGAUCUUCAUGCUGGCAGGGUUCACAUUGGUGCUGCUGUAGUUGGUGAUGAGGUUGGCCAGGUGCAGGAAGGGCAAGGAAACUAACGCAGCAUCAGAGAAAACGUCAAGGCCUCCGCUUGAUGGGGAGAGGAUCACAAAUGGUGCUUGUCCUUCUUUGAAUGGUAUUAAGAUAGAUACUCCCCAUUAUAAUGAAGGUGAUAAGCCUGCCAAUGAUGGAUCACUGCGUGGUUUGCCGCCUACUGGUAUGGCUCUACAGCGUGACCAUUUCACAUCCGAGGAAAUGGACGAUUUGAAGUUAGGUGCAGGACCAGUCGUAACUCGUAAGAGGUAUUUAUGAACAUUGGCGGCAGAAGAGGCAAAAGAAGGGAAUGCCAUUGAUUCGACUUCUUCAGGUGCCUUUUAAAAUCCUUUUUAUUGUCGUUUAUUGAGUUUGUCCAGAUACAUAUUUAUGUGAGUUGCUGCAUUUAAUUUGGCUUUCUGCAAUUACUGUUAAUCUGCCACUGGGAACAAUUUCUGUCACUCGGUUUUCCAGAGGAACGUUUCCAUGUUGAGAUGCUCGUUUUAUUUUAAUUUGGGGUGUACUUUGUUUGAGUGAAAUGCAAAGGAUUGUCAGGGGACCUGUCGGUAUGUGAUUGCUCUGUUCCUCUCUUCCAUUACCGUUUCAUUUUUAUCUUUUCCUGGAGUCGUUCUUUGGAAUUUUGUCUGAUUUGGGGCUGCUUUCUGCUCUGGAGGAUGUGGAAAUAUCUGGUUUUUGUGAUCUUCCUUUUUCAUUCUUGCAUAAUUGUUAUAUAGUAAUAUCAACUUCUUAGGCCUUCAUGCAUGAUGGUAAUGCUUGGUUUUUCAAUUAAUUGGGCAUUGAGCAUGAAUAAAGAAACAAAUAGCCUUUGAAAUUAGCUCUUAAUUAGUUCAGUUAUUAAUUAGUUGGUUAGAAAUAUUAUUAAAAAUCAGAUGCUAAUUUGUAUGUCUCUUUUUUGUAAAUUAGAUCUUCCCGUCAUGAUUAAUCCUGUCUGUUACCUUUGUGUGCACAUAGUGGGCACUUUUUUGAACUUGUGAUUUAAAUGUCAUGGUAUCAAUUAUUCAAUUCAUGCUCACGCUUUGCAGCCACCAUUAUGGGAAAUGUACCAGCAGCAGUUGAGAGAGUGGGAGCUAGCUUUGAAUAAAGGGAACUCUGCUGCUUCUGAUGGAUGUCAGAAGGCCUCAGCUGCUGAAAGACCUCCCAUGUUUGCUUUUUGUAUGAAACCUAGGGGCUUAUCAAAGCAAAGGUCGCAAAAACGAUUCUCAGUCACGGGGCAAAGCAAUGGUUUUCAUGGAGAUCAGGAAAGUUUCCAUGCUUUUGGUAAUGUUAUGUGAAUUUAACUAAGCGGAACACUUUAGGGUUAUUUUUUCUUGGAUCCAGAAUUUUGACGUCAUUAUUUUUUUGUUCCUGUCAGGGAGGAGAUUGAACGGACCUAGUUUUGGAGAUGAUAGAGCCAUCUAUUUGGGACAUAACUAUAGACAUGCAGACAAUUCUCAAAUGGCACAGACAUCUCCAUUGGUAUAUUCUCCACGAGAUGUCCCUGGCCAGGGAUGUUUUCCAAUUGGCAAUGAUGGAUUCAAUCGAAAUUAUCCUCCGAGACUACAGAGAUAUAAGUCAAAGAAAUCUGGUGCUAUUGCAUCUCCUCGACAUUCACAGGUGGUCACUGCCUACAGCAGGGGAGCCACGAGCAGUAAAAAGAAUACCCUUCAUUGGAAUUCCCAUCAACAGUUUUCGUCUGAAGGCUCUCAGAGACCAUCUAGUGAGCAGUGGGACUAGAUGGAUAUGGAUGAAUAUAAAUUGUUGGAUGCAUCUGGCGCAGCACGGUAUGCAUCUAAUUUGGCUAAGCUUAAGAGAGAGAGGCUGCAGAGACUUCUUUGCAAAGCAGAUGUAGCUGUGGUUGCUCUCGUGACUGCUGAAGCGAUGAAAGUGUCUUCGGAGGAUAGGAAGGAUUAUGGGCAGGUUAUCUGAAGAUUAUCAGUGAACAGAUUGGUAUAGUUCUCAAUUUGACCCCGAAGGAUGUGCAGAUGGCAUGAAAAUAUUUCUCUUGAGGCGGGAGCUGGUCCAAGAUUUUAUCAGAUGCUGGUGCGCCUUUCCCCAUGCACAGUUUUUGAAGGAAAAGUUUGUGGAGAGGGUAUUCAUAGAGAUANNNNNNNNNNNNNNNNNNNNNNNNNNNNNNNNNNNNNNNNNNNNNNNNNNNNNNNNNNNNNNNNNNNNNNNNNNNNNNNNNNNNNNNNNNNNNNNNNNNNGUCGAUAUUUUGGCAGUUUUCUAGUCCAUCCUUGCAGUACCUUAGUGAGAUUCCAGUAGUCUCUUACACCUGCAGCAAGUGUAUGCCUCAUUAGUGCUGCUUGUCGUGUUUAUUUUGCAAGAGCAUUGUAUAGAAUCUUUUGCUACCAUUCUCUGUACAGUCAGCCCACCCCUCUAUCAAAUAAGAAAGAAAAAAAAGGAAAUGAAGAGAGAUUGACCAAACGUAAUUGGUUUUGGCAAGAAUGUGGUUGAUGCUCUGAGUCUGUUCUCCUUAGAUAUCCCUGUCAUCAUCUGUGGCUUCGAAUAGCAGAAUGACAGAUUACCAUGCGAUACCUUUUUAUCUUCUCUUGUACAUAGGGCGAUGAGUCUCUGAAGCUUGUGGCCUCUUUUUCGCUUCUUGAGCAAUUUCUGCGUUUGAUCUGUGGCUUUUAGAUUAUGUAUAAAGCCUAUGCUGUUCAUCAUCUUCUAGCACAAGCAGAGAACUGAGUUCCCUUUUAGAUUGCUUGUAAGUUGUAACUUACGCGAAGGGAUGAAACGUGGAACUUGAUGAAGCACUGGUAUCCGCAUCGGGACGGCUCAGACUGUAAGAUGAUGAGCCCUUCAUUGCGUCCUUUCUCUUCGUUAAUUACGUGCCCUCUGUCGUCUCUCUUCUGCCGCACGCUAUCUCUCUUCCUGCUCUGUGUCUUCUCCCUUUCUCUCUUUCUUUUCUUCUGAAAAUAUCCCAGGGACCUCACCUCUCUCUGUCCCACCACCCCCCCCCCCUCUCUCUUCUUUGUCUCGCAAGAAGUAAACGACAACCGCUGCCGCCGUGAUCCUUCGCAAACCGCGAAGAAGAGGCAUUUCUUUUAGAAAAGAAAAGUUCAAAGGGUCGGUUUGGAGUGUUGGCGAAGCGCGUUUGGCUUCUAUCUCAGUUUCGACGCCAAUUGUUGGUUUGCUCGCUUCGCGUAAGGCCACGCCACUUUCCCACAGGUUCUCUGUCUCUCUCUGUCUCUCUCGCUCUCUCUCGCUCUCUCUCGUCAGUUCUGGCUUCACGCCACGCCACGCCACGCUAUUCUAUUCCCUUGCAGGUUCUCUUCCUGUCUCUCUGUCUCUGUCUCUCGUUCCAUCGUGCGCCCGCAUAGACUCGCGUGAAAUUUCGCCACAAAAUGAGAAUUUCCUGUUAGCAAUGGCAUAUGUGUAAAAGUAAUAGAGAUGAUAUGGACAAAUAUAGGUCAAAUAACUUAAGCACUCCUCUCCAAGAGCAAAAUGAAAAGGGAUUUCUGUAGGCCUCUGUUUCACAUCAUGUAACUGCCAUUAAACAACUUGAGUAAUCCCCUUGAUGCAAGCGGAGGCUUUCUCAAACAAUAGGAUCGGGGGAGAGUAACUCGCGCACAAGAAACGGGACGAACAGUAAUUUCAGCACUGCGCAAGCUCAGGAGAACAGUCGUAUCUUUGUCGAUACAGAUCGGAUCGACCUGAUUCCAAAGCCAAAUGAACAAAGACUUCUGGAUCUACAAUUUCUCUAUUUUGGGUUUUCUCAAAUAAGCACUGUAGGGUAGUCGAAAUUGGGUUGGAAGUAACAAACAGAAUAGGAAAAGAUAGAAACUCCGUUGGUUGCUCUUCUAGGCCUCCAAGGAAGUUGAGGAGACACCGAUUCUUCUAGAUCGAUGAGUGCAACUCUUCAAGGAUGCAGAUUUCAAAAGCUCCGACUCUUCAAGGACGGAGUGAAAACUCUUCUAGGUUUUCAAGGGUUGAACUCUACAAGGUUCACGAUACUUGCUUCAAGCAAAGUUUUUCAUUCAUCAAAAGCUAUUCGUCUUCUACCAGAAAUUGGAUGGCUUAUAUCGUCAAAGAAAUAAAGAUAGAGCAUUGAAACUAGGAGAAAUAAAGACAGAACAUUAAAACUAGGAGAAAUAAUAAAAACAUAACGUCUUCAUGGCUCCCAAGGUGUCUUUCCAGCUUCCGGGAUGGACUCAAGAUGUCGUUAUGGCUUCUCGGUUUCGUCGAGCUUUAAUGCGGGCCGAUCUUCUUGGUCGAGAGAGCCGGUCUUCAAUGUGGGCUGCAUCAUCCUCCCCAUCUUUAAAAGAAUUCGUCCUCAAAUUCUUGCCAUCAUCAUCAGAAGAAUCUCCCACCCUACUAGGUGCCAACGUAAUCUUCUUGCCUCCAAAUUCAAAAGAAUAUGUAUUUCGAUAACCAUCGUGCAUAGUCCUCUUAUUGAAUUGCCAUGGUCGACCAAGAAUAAUGUGACUAGCAUCCAUCGGCAGAACAUCACACCAUAUUUUGUUACUAUAAACAGAACCAAUGGAUAGAUUAACAAGGCAUCGUUUUGAAACAAUUACCUCAGCACCUAUCUUCAACCACAACAUUUUAUAAGGCGUAGGGUGCGUUUUUAAUUCCAACUUCAGCUUGUUUGCUGCUACUUCAGAAAUUAUAUUCUCACAACUAGAGUCAAUAAUUAAUUGACACACCUUUCCCAUGAUUGUGCAAGCAGAAUGAAAAAUAUUGGUACGCAGCCACCUAUCACCAGUGUCGUCUCGAGGAGUAGGAAAAAUUUUCCUCACCAUAAGAAGUUCGCCAGUGUCAGCAUGCACUAUUUGUUCAUCAUCCGCAGCUUCUUCAUCAUUUUUCAACUCCUCUUCAAGUGGAUUCUCAGCAUUCUCAUCAGAAUCAUCAUCCACCAAAAAGGCUUUACCGACUGGUCGAUUCUUAUUGAUUCGACAAUUUGCUAGCACGAUGACCCAACUCUCCACAAGAAUAGCAACAUAUUUCGGAUGUAGCAGGUUGCUUCGAAACAUGGGGUUGAGUAGAAGGCUUACUAGCAGAUUGCUGUCUCCGAGAAUGAGAGCGCUCCAUUUUGAGUGCCCGUUGGUGUGCAUCUCCUAAGUCCCAAAUGUUGAGGACUUCCAAGGUGUCUUGAAUGUAAAAUUGAAGACCGUUCAAGUAUUUGUUCACAAGCACAUCCUCUAGGUCCUGGAUAUUGUUACGGAUCACCAACUCAUUGAAUUCAUUGGUGUAUUGGUCCACCGUUCGCGUACCUUGUUUUAGAUUUUGGUACCGUUGGUAGAGCUCUCUCUUAUAUCCUUUGGGAAGAAAAUAUUUUUUAAUCUUGCCCUCCAUCUUUCUCCACGAAGUGACUUGUGCUUUGCCAAUGGCUUGGCGAGUUUGUUUUUCACGUCUCCACCAAGCAAUUGCCUUGCCUCAGAAUCGCAUAGCAAUGAUCCCAACGCGACGAUUCUCCGGAACAUUUCGAUGCUCAAACACCUCAUUCACAAGUGUUAGCCAAUCAACAAUUUCAUCAGGAGACUCAUUACCUGUAAAUUCUGGAACAUCUUUCUUGAUUUCCUUUUCCCAAUCUGGCUCACGAAUAUGUUGUAAACGAUGUUGAACAUGCCUCCGACCGUGAAUAGAUUGAACACUCUCCGAAGAGGAAGAGUCACCAUGGGAAUCUUCAGUCCUGGAACGGGGUGGAGAAUUAUUUGCUUCAGCCCUCAAUCGCUGAACUUCUUGCGUCAAUUCGUCAAUUUGUUGUUGCAUAUUCUCAGCGAGUGUGUGCAAUUCAUUGAGGGGAAGGGUUCUGCCGCCACGACGCCUAGCUUGUCUUGGAGGCAUUGUCCUCUCCUCCAAAGCUCUGAUACCAAAUGAUGCAAGCCUAGGGGAGGCUUUCUCAAACAAUAGGAUCGGGAGAGUGACUCGCCCACAAGACACGGGACGAACAGUAAUUUCAGCACUGCGCAAGCUCAGGAGAACAGUCUUAUCUUUGUUGAUACAGAUCGGAUCGACCUGAUUCCAAAGCCAAAUGAACAAAGACUUCUGGAUCUACAAUUUUUCUGUUUUGGGUUUUCUCAAAUAAGCACUGUAGAGUAGUCGAAAUUGGGUUGGAAGUAACGAACAGAAUAGGAAAAGAUAGAAACUCCAUUGGUUGCUCUUCUAGGCCUCCAAGGAAGUUGAGGGGGCACCGAUUCUUCUAGAUCGAUGAGUGCAACUCUUCAAUGAUGCAGAUUUCAAAAGCUCCGACUCUUCAAGGACGGAGUGAAAACUCUUCUAGGUUUCAAGGGUUGAACUCUACAAGGUUCACGAUACUUGCUUCAAGCAACGUUUUUCAUUCAUCAAAAGCUGUUCGUCUUCUACCAGAAAUUGGAUGGCUUAUAUUGUCAAAGAAAUAAAGACAGAGCAUUGAAACUAGGAGAAAUAAAGACAGAACAUUAAAACUAGGAGAAAUAAUAAAAACAUAACGUCUUCAUGGCUCCCAAGGUGUCUUUCCAGCUUCCGGGAUGGACUCAAGAUGUCGUUAUGGCUUCUCGGUUUCGUCGAGCUUUAAUGCGGGCCGAUCUUCUUGGUCGAGAGAGUCGGUCUUCAAUGUGGGCUGCAUCACCCCUCCCCUACAAUGCUGCAGCUUUCUUCAUCUCACUCCUGCACCAACAAUGACGGAGAUUAUCAUAUCCUCGAAAGCUUGCCGGACAGGAGCCACCCGAACCAAAUUCCGAACAAUGAAAGGAGUUCGAUCCUGAAUCCACGCGAAAGUCUUCUACUUGUUUACUGGUCUCUGCUCUCGAGUGGAGCCAGCAGAUGCUAGCUUUUUUGGGGUGGAUUCUCAUCUCUGUCCUCGUCGGUUGCCUAGCAUAGCUUCGAGCUCCAAGCCCGCGAUGCCAUCAUUGCUUGGAUCGAGGCUUGUUCAAGGUAGUGAUCAAUCUCGAUCCGAGGCUGCGAGGACUUGGGGACAACCUCCAUUGCCAGUCACAGGGAGGCGUCAGCUGAGAGGAGAGAUGGAAGAGAGAGAGAGAGAGAGACGGAGAAACCGGGAAUAUGGAGAGAGGGGAGAGUUCUGCGGCCCCAGUCGCUACUGGAUCCGCUCUCGCCGUUUCCCAUCAACUCUGCUCCCGGCUUCGAGACUCAUGCCUUGUUCGGAACCUUUGAUGCUCUUAGUGAUUAAUCACUGGCUUAAAGCAGUGAGAGGGAUAGCUAGCAAGGACAUAGCAUGAGCAGUAGGGAGAGUAGCGAAUUGGUAUGGGCUUGGGAGAAUCCGAGUUAGAUAUAGGCUUCACAAUUCAUUAGGUGGUUUGCACCCGAAAAUUUAGGUCACGACAAUCUAUUAGCCAAACCUUAGGUGGUUUGCACCCAAAAAUUUAGGUCGCGAUAAUAGAUAAGGCUCUGUCGUCAAUAACAAGCCAAGCUUGUUUAAAGGGAGGACAUGAAUUUUCUUACCUAAGAAUUUUGACAAAUAUUUGUUCUAAAAACAUCAAUUUUCUUCGUUAAUAUGAAAGAAUCUGACAAUUUCAUUGUAAAAAUUUGACUUCUUAAGUGAAGUAGAUUUGAAUAGUGAAAUAGUGAUAAAGCAUGUUGGGGAUUUUUUUUGGGUAAUUUCAGGCUUCACUUAUUAUAUUCUUAGUUAUAAUUAUACCAUUAAGCAUUUGGAUUAAUACUACAAAAAAAUUCCAAAAUGGUACACUUGUACACUAGAUUUCUCUAAUGCCCUUUCGGUACCAUUCUUUUAUUUUUAAAAAUGCUUUUGCAGGCAGCUUAAAUUUAUUUUAAAUCUAUUUCCCUAACAUGUGAGACGAUCAUGCGAGUGCGCAAACCAUCUAUUCAACAUCCAAGAAAAGCAAUGAAUAAACUGCAAGACUUACAUCAUAGUAACGAAAGCAUCUACAAUGUUAGAUCAGAAUUCACAUCAACAACCCUAGAUAUAAUUUCUAAUUAACACAUAAUUUCUUUUUUUUUUACUUAAUUAAUGAGGAUCAUGCUUUAUGCAAUGCAAUAUAACUAAAUGACCUAAUUCUAAUGACAUGCAAUUUCUAAUUAAAUAGGCCUAGCAACAAUUACCAAAUCUAAUUUUAUAUGACAUGCAAUGACAUUUUUUAUUUUAUUUUAUUUAAAAAAGAAUGCAAUCUAUCCUAGGAAUUGAAACUAAUUUAUCCUAUGUCAUUUUUUGCAUUCUUAAUGUGAAAUUCGAAAUUAAAAAAAUAUGAAAAUUAUCUAGCUAAAUUAAGAUUUUAUCCAACUUAUAUUAAGGAUUAGGUCAGACUAAACCCUAAUUAAACAUGGAUAUUAUCUUAACCUAGCAAUCUCUAACUUAAGAUGCAGUCUAUCUAAAAAGAUUAAUUUAAACGCCUUAAUUCUACAUGACAUAUGCAUGAUGAUUUUUUGUUGUUUUUUUUAUUAAUUUCGAAAUUAAAAAAUUGCCACAUGCAACUUAAAUAAAAGAAAAAACUAACAUCCUAAAUGAAUGCAUUUUUUUGGAUUUUUUCGUUUUUUCAAAAAUUCGAAAUAAAUAAAUUUCUUAUUCUAAACAUGCAGGAUAACCCUAAAACGAUGAAUAUUCUAAAACAAACCUAAUCUAACUCAGAUUUUUUCAGAUUUUUCCUUUCUUUUACGAAGCAAUCAAAAUAAGACAUCAAGAAUAGCACGGCAACAAAUCAGGCAAGAUAUCAUCCAUGUCCAUUUUGGAAAUAAAUUGACGAGGAAAUAAAUUGACGAAUCAUAUCUCGCGCAUGAGAUCGGAUUGACCAAUUUCAAAUAAAAUCGCCGAUCGUAUCUCGAGCGUGAGAUCGGAUUGGCGAUUUUUUUCGUGCAAUUGCGAGAGCGUGAAAUUGGACUGUCAAUCAUUAUGAAAUUGGGAAAAUUUCCCAACUUAAAAGGCAACUCGAGACUACAGAUACAUCAGCAUAUUGAGAAUUUCCAUUAUGUGCAUCAACGAACAUAUCAAAUAAGGAAAUGGAAUUUUCGGAAAUCAAAAUAGACAAAUUUUUUACCUAUUCUGAAUAUUGGCUUCCAAAUUUACGACUUGCGAUUGGCGAGUGAUGGAUGGGCGAUGACCUACUCAGCAGUGGCGGUGCUAAGCCUAGUGGUUCAAGAUUUGGGACAGCGGAUCGAACGGUGGUGCUCGAUCAUGGAGGGUCGGGGCUAGUAAACGGUGCAGGGACGACAAUGUUGAUGAUAUCCGCACUAGAUGGCCAACAAAAAUAGUAUGGCUAUUUUUCUUCACUGAAAUUUGCACAUCGCCACGCGCCCGAGCUGCUCACGCUCAUCUGGCCAAGGAAAUUCUUUUGCAUGCAUAAAGUAAAAUCACAAAAAUCCAACGUGUUAUUGUCCAAUCUGGACAACAUGCAAAAGAAGAUAAAUCCACCACUUGGAAUUAUUCAAUCGAGAUUCUAGUAAUUCUUUUAACCGUGAACUUUAGGCUCGCCAACGGUGAUUGGUGGGAUUCUUGGUGUGUGGACGAUCACUGGAAAACCUACAAAAAGAAGAGCACAAUGAACUCCAUGAAUUGAAGUGCCCGAGAAACAAAGAAGGAACAAUUUGCUGGCUUUUGCUGAGGAGCCUGCGGGAUUGCUCGCUGAAUCUUCAGUGAUUGGAGUCGAGGCUUCGCGAUAUGCUUUUCUAUUUUUUCUUAUUUUUUCUUGCAUUAAGCGAGGCCAUAAAAAUCACAACUUUUGCUGCUUUCUUCCAUCGAAAUCUGGACAAAGACCAAAAAACAACAACAUCCACCGCCUUCUGCUUUCCUUUGCAAGUGCACGUGUGGUGUGCCCACUAAUCUUUUCAGUCGCAGUCUGGUGUCUUUUUGCUUGACCGAGUCUCAGGCUCUGCUCAAUCUCUUGAAGACCUACCUCAUCAUAGCCUCCCUUCGGCGUCCGAGACGUGCGUUGCCAGUGAUGUCUCAAUUGCAAGCUUGUGGAUAUUGGUGAAACGUGUUGAGGUGCAGCAAGCUGCCGUCGCCAAUGUCAAGCGAGGACUGGACGAGGCGAAGUUGAUGAACCGCGAGCGAGCCGUCGAUGGCAUUUAGGAAGGAGGCGCAUCGAUAGAUGGGGACAAGCAACGAGAGAAUUUUUUAAUCUCACUUCCCACGUCAAUCGUCAAUCCCUUCGUGGGGUGAACACUCCGCAAAGGAGGCGUGAAUCACUCUCUCUCAAUUGUGGCCGUAUGUUCAAUAGUGUGGCUUCCCUUUUAAACCCUACGCGAAUUAACUUAUUUAUAGGCCACGAAUUAGGGUUUCUUUAAUUUUUCAAAUCGGUAUCCACAAAAAUUGUUUUUUCCAAAUGCAAUAUUCGUUUUGCCGAACGCAAUAUUCGUUUUUCACUUGCCCUAUCCGAAAAAAUUCCAUCAUAUCUCGAAAAAUUUCAAAUUCUUAUUUUCACGAGAUAAUUUCCGAUUAUCAUAAAAACAAGCUUGGGUUAAUUCGCUCGCCUCAUGGGCCUAGUCCGGCCUAUUAAGUUAAAACUCAAAACCACUAAUUUGAACCCAUCCACCAUCGGUCCAAUAAAUGCAAAAAAUGCAAAUUAAAAAUAAAUGCAUCUAAAUUUACAUGCUAUGCAAUUAAUAUUAUUUUUUAGGGAUAAAAUUAAUUCCUAAUUUUUUAAUGCGAUAAAUGAUUAAACGAGCCGCCAAAAUUUAGGUGUCAACGUCUAUAAACAACAGAUUAGGCAAACAUAAGGCCAAUUGCACUUCUUUUCAAACAUCAAUUGGACUCCUAAGCACACAGAAAACUGUUGCCCAGAGCGCUUGCGGCCGUAACAGUUCCAUUCCCACAUCUUAAAUACUUGCAGAAAAUACAAACAACAAAUUCCAUCUCUUGAUCUUAAAUUCGAGAGUAUCAUACCAACAAAAGGUAAUAGAACAUAUCAUGCUCCCAACUUUUUAAACAGCUACUUCUAAUUGAUUUUCCCCUUUUUGGUGAUCUCGUAGAACGAACCACUUCCAAUGUCCUUCAAAUGCUCCACCGCUUGUUUCCAUUUCUCUUGCUUCUUUUUCAUACUGUCCUUGUGCUGCCGGAUGAAAGAAAUGCAUGCUAUCAAAUCAAAUUUCACAUCUUUACAUAACAACUCGUUUACUACAAUAAAGUUGUACCUCUAAUUAUGCUAAAUUUGUGAGAUGAUCUUCCGACAUUCUCAGCAUUAACCACAACAUUGUUGGUAUUUCUUAGUAGAGAAAUGACUCGAUUGUCUUCCCAUCCAGGCUGCUAAGAACCACAUACUCAACUUAAUAGGGCAUUUAUAAUCAUUCAAGUACACAGUUUCUUCAAAGCAGGGUUGAAAGUACCUUUUGAGUGGAGGCAUCGUUAUGACAUCUCCGUGAUAAGUUGAUUGACUUAUCUUUGUCUGAUUCUUUCUUCAUCUGUAGUAAAGUCUGAAAAUAAUGACACAAACAGAAACUAGAGACAGAAUGAUUGAACCUUACCUAUCUUUUGUUUCAAUGCGAUUUCAGUGCCUUGUCUUGACACUUCAAAUUCAUUUUUGGAUUCUCCUCCUUCUGUUAUCUUGUCUCUUUAAGCCUACUAGGCAUAAUUCGAGGCGUUGGUGCCACCAAAGGUUUUUGAUCACUGGAAGGUCAAAUGUGUGAAUGACGCACAUUAUUAGCUGAUGCCAAAUGAGGGAACUGAUUUAUAGACUUCCUACUGUUUGUAAACUUAGUAUUCGAUUUGAUAUGAUGCAAGCUGUAAUUGAAUUUCGCCGGAUAACAUUUAAAGUAGGAAAAAUCAUGGGCAACUUGUAGAAUCAAGACAGGUCAAGAAAAGUCUUAGAACAGAAAGUGCACCAAGCUUAACUAAUCAUAGUGCAACUGGGAUAAUGAGUAAUUUGAGCACAUGCGACUGCUCCAAUUACUGACAGGGGGCAUGACAAAUUAUUGCACAUUUGUUUUUGCAAAAUAAAUGGUCAAUUGGAUUCCGAAAUUGCAUGUUCAUGAUAGUUGAACCUUUUUUUACAAUUGAGCUUCAAUAUCCCAAAUAGAGCGCAAUCUCAAAUGCAUGGGAAAAGUGUUAAAAAAAUCCUAAACCUUUUGGAUUCGUGUCAAUUUAAUCCUAAACCUUUUUAUGUUAUGCCAAUUCAAUCUUUUCCGGCUAAUUUUGGCUGGAUUUUGCUGACUGGACGCUGGCUAGUUAACAUGGCUUGAUCGGCGUUGAUGUGGAUAAAUUUUAAUAAUAUUUUAAUUUUUUUGAUUUUUUGAUUUUGAUUUUGAUUUUGAUUUUUGAUUUUUGAAUUUUUUUUCUUUUUCCUUUUUCCUUUUCCUUCCUCCCGCUAGUCGCUUGACCUCGGCAAUCGGCAGGAGGAAGGAGAAGGAAAAAAGAAAAUUAAAAAAUAAAUAAAUAAAUAAAUAAAAUUCAAAAAUAUUAAAAUAUUAUUAAAAGUUGUCCAUGUCAUGUCGGCGCCGAAUAUGCUAUGUCAGCCAGUCGAUGUCUAGUCAGCAAAAUCCGGCCAAAAUUGGCUAGAAAAGACUGAAUUGGCACAACAUAAAAAUGUUUAGGACUAAAUUGGUACCAAAAAAACGUUUAUGACUAAAUUGGCAUAAAUGCAAAAGGUUUAGGACUUUUUUAACACUUUUCUGUAUUAAUCCUAAAGAAAAUCAAUCAUUUAUCAAAUUGUGGCCAGAAGAAUAAUUUAUCAAGCAAACUAUCAAAAUAAUCAACGACACGGAGCGUCCCCAACUGCGUGGAAAAAAAAGAAGGAGAGGAGAGGAUUUUCCUGCUUUCAGAUUGAAGCUGGGUAGGAGAUAAAGCUUCGAGGAAGUUUCACGCCAAACUAUCGUGCGUCCUGUAUUGGAAAUUCGUCUCUUCAUUUACAUUGUAUUUUUGUGAAUAUAUUUUUAGGAUGUAAAUAAUACACGGUUCGUUGUCGUGGGUGGGUCAAUGAUUGACCUCAUGUAAAUCCAUGCGCGAAGUAUUUACGUCUCAGAUUCCCGGUGGGAAACCGUCAGAAGUAUCCCGGAACGGGCAACAUUGAGGAGGAGGAUGGUCCCUUUCGUCCCCCUAAAACUGGCCGUGUUUCUAGAGGCCGACCCGAGAUUUUUUCACUCGAGACACGGUCGAUGUGACAUAAUAUAAUUGAUAGGAGUGUAUAGUGAAGACCUUAGACAAAUGCCACUUGAUUCCAAGGGCGUGCCUGGCAAAUUGAUGAGAGAUCCAGUUUCUGAAGUGGAGAUGAGACCCUUUUGUGCCCGUGGCGGAUUUUAAGAGCUCAAAAGUGGUGAUUAGACCAGCUUGUUAUAGAACGGACUGGUACCUGAGGACCGAUAUUUUCCUUUUUUCUUGAAACCUCUAACUUGAAAUUUUUAUCAAUCCUAAUCUUCUAAAAAGUGACGAUGGACUAGAUAAUGAGAUAUCGGAUUUCCAUUAAUAUUGAUGAAUUUUACAGAGUCAAAUCAAUUUUUGCUCCACAAAGUUUGUAUCGUUAAUCCUAUUGAUCCAAAAUAGUCGAUUAUAUCACAUAAUCGAUUUGAAGACAGCAUAAAACCAUUUUUUUCGGGGACUUCGACCGUCGUUCACUGUGAAACUGGUCCGACAGAAUCCAAGGAAAAUUUGGUGACAAAGCAAAAGUUGCGAGGAGAAUUCAGCACUCAGCAUAAAUAUGGCAGCUACUUCAAAGGCAAAGGCAGGAGUUAUAAGAAUGGCAACGGCGAGGGCGGAAGAGACAGACAGAGAUGCGCACGGACGAAGAGAAACUAAAAGCUCUUCUAGACGUUGAUGCGUUAUAAAAGAGCGAUAAUAAAAUUUAGGAUUAAAUAUCCAUAAUAAAUUUAUAAUAAAUCACCAAAAACCUCAAAUUAAUAUAUUUGUGAUAAAUGUAUUCAUCCAUUAGUUUCUAUUAAAUUGGAUUACUAUCAAAAAAAGCCACAAACUGAUACACAUGUGACAAAUGGAGGGUAAAAUCUCAAAUUAGUACAAGUGUCUAUUGCCACAUGUUAUUCAACUCAACAAUUUAAUACAAAUACUAACAGAGAAUAAAUUUGUUAUAGGUGUAUAGUUUGGAGUUUUUUGUGGUCAAAAAAUUAGUUUGGAUAAAUUUGUCACAAGUGAACCAACUUGGGAUUUUUCAUGGUAUUACAUCAAUUAAUAAUCUCACUUGUAGUUCUUCAACUCAUUUAAAUUAUCCAAUUGAAUUCUCAGAUUUUUAACAUCUAAGUGUAUGACCUAAGAUUUUAUAUUGUUAAAAUGACCCCCCCCCCCCCCAAAAAAAGAGGCCAACGCCUAAAAUCAACCUUGGUGAAGUUUAAUAAUCUUAUUUGACUUUACUUUUACUUCUCCUAUUAAUCCACAAUAUGAAUUAUCAUUUAAAAUUUAAUUGACAUUGACAUAAUUUUAUAAGAUACACCUCUAGUUUAUAUUUUUCUACAUUUGUAAAUCUAUAAAUAUUUAUUAAAAUUUUGCAUCUAAAGAAAAUUAUUAGAGAUGGACUAUCCAAGGAAAAAUUAGAAACAAAAAAUUCAUAUGAAGAAAAUAAGGAGAUCGUAAAGAGGGGAGGGGGAAUGGAGAUGGAGAUGGAUUACAUACAUUUGACUAGUAUAUGAGUUUGACUUUGGGCCCAGUGAAAAAGAUUAAAACCAAGAUGAAGAAUAGAACCAUCCGAAUUUUUCUUGUUCAAAGAGCAAAAUUAAUCCUAAGACAAAGUUUAGUCCAAGUGUCUGGGAGUUGAACUUCCUUCAACUAAGCCCCUACUUAGAUCCAUACCUAGCCCGAACCUUAUGCAGUUCCUUGAGGGCUUCAGCCACGUCCAUCCGAUCCUGUGGUAACUCCAUCGAGCACGCAACUCCAAUCUUUAGGAUGGAGGCAACACAUCCUCUCAUCCUCUCAAUGUCAUUCUCACUUUCUCCAUUAAAAAUGGCCAAGUCCACGAUCUCCAUCACUUGGUCUGGCAGAGCCACCUUGACAAAGUUGUGGAGAUUUAAAUGGUCCUUGAAAGUCUCUUCCGUGGGUCUUCUCCCCGUUAACAUUUCCAAUAAAAGAAUACCGUAGCUGUACAUAUCGCCUUGUGUGGAUACCAUAUCCCCCAUGCCAUACUCUAAAAUAGUGUACAUCAAGCAAUAUACAAUGAAAAUAAAUAUUUUAUCUAAAAGCGAACACAAAUAAAACUUAGACAAUUAAUGAGAAAUUUUCUUACCAGGAGGGACAUAACCUAUGGAACCCCUCACUACCACUGAGCUAUUGCCAUCAUCAAUGUCCAUGGCAUCUAUUUUCGUAGGGGAGCUAAUUGUUUCUAGCCCAAAAUCUCCAACUCAUCCCAUCAUCUCGUUGUCCAGGAGGACGUUACUUGGCUUCAGAUCUCCGUGUACAAUCUUUGGGUUACAAACCUCGUGAAGAUAUUCAAUUGCAGAAGCUAUGUCAAUGGCAAUGUCUAACCUUUGCAUUAGUUCCAAAUGCCCUGGCUUUCCAUGUUCAUGUUCAUGCUCAACGUCCUCUUCGUUUCCUUGAUGUAUCCAGUUCUCUAAACUCCCAUUAGCCAUGUAUUCGUACAAUAGAGCUUUGAAAUCGUUGCCAUGAUAGUCCAUGCUUGAACAAACGUUCACUAUUUUCAUGAGAUUUCGGUGUCGUAUAACCCCUAAGGUUCGACACUCUGAGAUGAAGCUCUUCGAAGCACCUAUAUGGCCCAAGUUGAGCACUUUAACUGCCACCAAGCCACCUUCUUGUGUGGUUGCUUUAUAGAUAGUACCGUAACUCCCUUUACCGAUCACAUUGAUCUCAGAGAAUCCGUCUGAGGCUCUAAAGAGCUCCUUAUAAGAGAUAAUUGAAAAUUUGUGUUCAAACGGAAACUCAAUCGAAGAGGUAUUCUUUUUCAACUUCUUUCUCUGAUACCAAAAGAUAAAUAGGCAAAGACACCAAAUGAAGAAUGACAAGACCGCAGUCACUAUGGCGAUUACUUUAACUUUAUUUGAUUUGCAAGAAGGAAGGUUUAGUUCGGCAAUACCUCCACAGAGAUUCCUAUUCUUAAAGAUGAACACUGCACUAGCGUUGAGAAAUACUCCUUGCUUCGGGACUUCUCCUUCAAGCUUGUUUGAAGAUAGAUUCAAGUACUUUAGAUCUAUAAGUUGAGUGAGAAAGCUUGAGAUUUCACUAGAUAAGUUGUUAUGGGAAACAUCCAACUCUUGUAAGCCUCGUAAUGUGCCUAAAGCCAGAGGAAUUUCGCCAUGAAAGGAAUUGACUGCUAAACUGAGCCGCUCCAAUACCAAGCACUUGCUGAUGGAGCUAGGAAUUGGUCCCAUCAGCUUAUUAUAAGAUAGAUCCAGUUCACCAAGAUUGAUCAGUGACCCAACUUGAGACGGGAGAGAUCUGCUCAACUGGUUAUGUGCCAAGCUGAAGAUAAUCGAAAUGGUAGAAAGGCCAAGAACCUCCCCUGGGAUUGAACCACUUAGAUUAUUAUUGGAAAGCUCGAGCUCAAUUAGCUGCCUGUAGUUACCAAGACUCUGCGGUAUUUCCCCGUAGAAGUCGUUGAACGCUAGGUAAAAGCGAUUCAAUAACGUCAAAUUGCUGAUCGAUGACGGAAUCUCUCCUGUUAGCAUGUUUCCACUUAAGUACAAUUCGUGCAAGUUAUGGAGUGCUCCAAUACAAGAAGGAACAUGACCGCCAAGCAAAUUGUUUGAUAAGUCAAGAUAGGACAAGUUGAAGAGAUUGCCAAUACCUGGAGGAAUGGUUCCGUACAUUGUGUUGGACGACAGAGAAAUUGAACUAACGCUAUUGGAAAGGUUGCCAAUGGAAUCCGGCAAUAGACCUUUAAGAAAAUUGUCUGCCAACCAAAUAACUUCCAGCCUUGAACAAUUAGUCAAUGGGGUACAUGAAACUGAAGUCAUCUCNNNNNNNNNNNNNNNNNNNNNNNNNNNNNNNNNNNNNNNNNNNNNNNNNNNNNNNNNNNNNNNNNNNNNNNNNNNNNNNNNNNNNNNNNNNNNNNNNNNNUAAGGGAUAAUACUCUAAGAGCUUUCAGCCUUCCAAGAUUUGCGGGUAUCGGUCCGUGAAAACUGUUAAUGGAAUAGUAGAUGUAUUGAAGGCCAAAGGCAUUCGAUAAGGAUGGAGGUAUAACCCAGUAAAGAAAUUACUAUGAAAAUCAAGUAAACAAAGAGAAGGAAGAGUAUCACCAAUAUAAGGGGGAAUGUUCCCUCUCAAUCGAUUGUUACUGAUGAAGAAAAAGAAAAUGCCGGACAUGUUGAAGAUUGCCAGAGGGAUCUCACCGGUGAGUUGGUUAUAUGCCAAUUGAACAAAUUUCAAACCAUGAAGCUUGGACAAUGUCUUGGGAAUCUCUCCUUGCAACCCAUUUUGCGUGAGUGAAAGCUUGUAAAGUUGGGAAAGAUUUCCAAUAGAAUGAGGAAUAGAUCCUGCAAGACUGUUGGCAGCCAAACCUAAAGCUUGAAGCUUUGACAAAGAGUCGAGCUCAUUAGGAAUUUUUCCCACAAGUUGGUUAUCGAUGAGAUUUAAAAUCUCAAGGUUUGAGCACUGAGAAAGAUUGGUGGGCAUUUGUCCACUGAAAGAGUUGUUACUAAGGACGAGAUGACGAAGGCGAAACAAAUGGCCAAUGCUUUGUGGAAUUUCACCACGAAAGAUGUUAUUUUGUAGAACGAGGCUUCUCAAUAAAGAGAGGUUUCCGACAUGAGGCGAUAGAAGACCCCCCAAGCCUUUCGACAUUAGGUUGAGGGACACAACUCUUUCGGGAUGCCGUCCACCACAUAUCACACCUUGCCACUCACAAUGAUGAAAAGAGUCAUUCCACGAGCUCAAAGCUCCAAGCGGAUCCUCAUCCACACUGUGUCUGAAGUAGAUUAAAGCGAGCCGAUCUGUCGAGUUGGUUUGCAUCGUUGGAUUCGUCCAUAAUGGGAGCUGGGCAUAGAAAAAUAGGAACAUAAUCGCCAUAUGCUUUUCCAUUAUGAGUGGGUUCUAUGUCCUAACAAGCUGUGAGAAAAGUCUCUUCCAAAUUGAAUUAAAGAAGAAAUGAAGACCUUCAAAAGCAUAUGCAUUUUCAUUGAUCAAAAGACACCUUCUUACAUGGCGAAACCCGACCCAUAAUGCAAGUUUAACCCAAACAAAGAGUUGGACUUUAAAAGUACUACAGAUUAGCGGAACCAAAGAAAGGGUGCACACACACACUUACGUCAAAAUGGAGGAUUUGACGGCUGCCUAAUGACUUCCUAGAAAGCCGUGCCGUGAAGAAAGGGAAUCAAGAAUGGACGUGGUCCUUGAUUUUCGGCCAUUUCAAAGGGAGCUCCUAUUUGUUCAUAGGCAAAGCGUGUAAUAUGUGUUGUGAUUUUUUUUAUAUCCAAACUGUUAAAACCUUGGGUUCGGGUUUAGUUUAGAUAUGGAAAACACUUGAGCAUAUUGAGGGAUUCUAAUUAUAAUUCUUUAAUUAUAGCAAAUUUUUAUUACUAGCUCUCCUCGUAGAUAUAUGUGCCAACACUUGAAUUGAAUCACGUAAAUCUUUAAAUUUUUUAUUAUUCCUCAUUUAUUUUUAUCUUUUUAUGAUUUUCCACAUACUUAAAAACUAAAUCCUUAUUAGCUUCCCCGUUUGUUAAUUUUACCACGAGGGUUACUUCUCACCUGUAAUGAAAAGGAAAUAAAGCAAAAACACAAACAAGGAGAUGAUGGGUGGGUCAUCCUAAUGUGGAAAAUAAGUCCCGCCAAUGCUUUUUAGCGUGUUUUUUUUUAAUGUUGCCGGCAAGAUUUUUAGUCAAAAGAUUCCUUGACUUCUCCUGUACUACAAAGAGUUUCUUGUCAAAGAUAAAUUUCUUGAAAGUUUGUCACUUAGAUCCUAUCACUCUUGUUCCGAUUACAAUUCAUCAGGCUAGAACUCCCGUGCCAAGCUCGAACCCAAGACUAAGAGGGCUGGUUUGUGUGGGCCAGCACAACUUAAUUACCAUGCUUAGAUAGGGGUUUUAUAAAUAUACAUGUUAGGAAAAGCAAGAUGCUGAAAUUCAACUCUGUUUGGCCAUUUGAAACCAAAGAGUUUGCAAAAUAAUGCACGAAUAUAUGAGUCAAAUUCAGAUUUUGUGGGAGAAGGGGAAUUUCGAUGUGCAAUUGCUGGUGUGGUACAGAAACUGAAGUUAUGGCCCUAGUAAUGAAUAAAGAAUACGUGAUUCAAAGUACUUUGUUAGAAACUAAACAAAGAGAAAUAUAUUCUAGAAUUUGGUGGAGAAUUAAGAAUGUUAGCUCUGAUCUUGAAGUCAAGUUUCCUGUGGAAAAUCAACAACGUUGUACAAUCGUGGCCGGCGAGCAUGAUGACCUCCACCAUGAGAAGUUUUCCAUUUCUUUUUCCCUUCUUUAAAAUUUUCUUUUUAGAUUCUCUCGAUUUGAUUACCAAAGCCAUCGCAGGACAAUCUCGAAUAUUGGUAAACUAUGGCAAGGCAUCAAUAGUGCUCGACAUUGUUAAAGGCUAAGGGAUUUUGAUAAACACCGAUUGAGUUUAGUCGAAGGCCACUUGUAUAAAUAAAAAUGGUUCAACCCCUUCCACUAUAUGGGGGUAAAUUACGCUCAACUUCUCUAGAUUUUGGGGUAAUACGAUUUUGCCUCCGAUUUUUCACUUGUUAUACAAUAACGUCUGAACUCUUCAUUAUAUUGUUAUUAGCAUGCACAUGCUUGUGAAUUUUAAGGGGUAAAAGUAUAAAUUUUAUCACAUUCUUUUUCUAAGGAAGCCUCUUUUUCUAAAAGACUGAAAAAUAUAGAAAAUGGAAGAGAAAUAAAUUAACUAAAAUACAAAUAAUCAAAAUAAUAAAUAUCGAUAAUCAUAUUUAAUGAUGAAUUUUUUUUUUAAAAUUAAAUAAAUAUAGCCACCUUAAUAUAACUAAAUAGGAUAUUUUAAAAAAUAAAUACAAAUUCAUUAGAAUGGGAAAAGGGCAUCUUUAACUACAAGAUCAAAUAACAAGAAUUGCUUAAUCACCAUGUAUGUUUAAAGGGUAAAUUACUGUAAAAUUUAUUGAUUAACAAAAAUAUUUACAAGGAGGACGAUCAAUCCCUUGCAAAUCUAUCUCUUUAAGAGGCAAUCUUUUAAGAAGAGCUUUUAGCAUCUUGAAUUCAAAAAUGCCCUUUGCAUCGAUAGUUAACCGAAAUUUUCUAAAUCGUUUUGGCUUUUAGAUAAGCUUUAAAAUUGGUACCUCCUCGGAUGCAACGACACAUAUAACUUGCUUCAGUUUUGGCUCAUACGCUAGUCUUUAGGUCCGCACCAUAUUGUGUAACGAGGCAUAGCUUUCUUUGAGAAAGCUACUCUCACUGAAUUAUCUUAAAUAGUAACUUGUGCCAUUUUGCUGGUCCUACGUGUUGGCUUUUGUGAGUUCGGGCUUAUAUUAUAUCUUUCCUUCUUAGACAGUUCUUUGCCUUAUAUUUCUUAUUCAAUUGUUGGACGCAUCAAAGAGCAACCAAAAGCAUCCGAUCCAUUAAUUAAACACAUGAACUCAUAUUCUGGUGGAGUUAUUUGCCAAAUUUAUGAUACGGACACCUUGAAGCGUUUGUAACUAUUUGUAUUGUGCCUCAAUUUUCAAUUUACGCUUCACAUUCUUAUCACAUGAUUUCGAACAACCACCUUACCCUAAUCGAUUUGAUUAAUAUCACUGUAAGUGAGUCAGCUUCAUUACUAAACUAAGUAGAUCACCGAAUCAACAAGCAAUUCACCACCUCAAUCAAAGACCGGACAUGCUAGCAUAAUAAAUCACGCGGAUGUCAUGGAAUAAUGCAUAAUAUAUGCUAAUCACUAUAGGUGAGAAAAUGGAUGAUGAAUCCAUUUUGUAAUUCAGAUUCAAUGACCUGGUAAUAACAUGAGUUGUUAGCUCUCUGUGAUAAAAGGGAGGUCUAAAACUUUCUUCUUCUUCUUUUUUUCCUCAAGCCACUCUUAAAUGUGAUGCGACACAAACAUAGACAUCACCUAUACUUAGUUCACUAAUCAGAGAUAUGAUCAGAAGAAAUCAAGAAUGGACCUCACUAAAAGAGUGCAACAUUUCAUGGCGAUAAUAUAAUAACAAUGAAAUCAAUAAAAACUAAUAAUAAUUUGUACGCCCUUCAUGCAAUUGGUCGGCUAAAUGUGCUUUGAUUCAUGGUGUAAACCAAGAGUUCAUGUACUAGAUCUUAGAAGGAACUUCUGAUACCCUCAACAGUUUCAUCUUAUUUUUGCCAUUGGGUCUGCCUUUCGUAACACACACACGCACAGACGGAAGAAAAAAACAUCAUAAGCCCGAAAAACUUUCCGAGGAAUGCUCUAUCGAAAAAAAAAAAAUGAGUUAGUAUCUCUUAACAAAUCCCUCAAGUUAGCACAUGGAUUACAUAAUCCACUGCAUAGACAAUCCCUUAAAUAUGCUAUUCAGGAAUUUAAUUAUUGUAAUUAGCGUGUGAUAUCGUAUACGUGUGGAUAAAGAGAGUAGCUAAGCUAAGCUCUUAGAAUAGAUCAGUGGGAUAAAUAAUUAACUUGUGCUAUGGACUGCUUCGAUGUCUCCUUUUGCAUGUCCAGCUCCAGCCCGUUCCAACCAUUUUAGUGGGUCUUUUGGAUCGAUGGUUUCAUCACUUUGUUCUUCGGUUAUAAAAUGGAAGUUUAUUGGAGUAAUGUGUUACAAUUAAAAGUUUAGAAGGAACAUUGUAUUACCCCUUAAAUUAGGGUAAUUUUUGUUUAAUUUUCCCGUACAUUUAUUAUGUGAUGCCCAAUUUCUAAAACAUUAUUCACAAGGUGAUAGGGUAGGGUGGAUUAAGAAAAUUAGGUGUAGAAAUAUGAGAAGCCAAACUUAUAUUCUAACUAAGCGUCUCAACUUUUCCAUCAAAGUAACCAAGGAACCACAUAAUAUAAGGUCCAUGAUUAGUGUGAGCCCAUUACAAUGUUGGCCCGACAAAAAUCGAUGGACAUCCGACUUCACAGCCUUGAGUAAGGACAUUCAUAAAAAUCACAAUUUCUUAGUCCUAGCCGUAUGGAGCUGGUGAUGUUUUCCCGCAAUGGAUCCAAACCUGUAGAACAGCAAACAUCUUUCAACAAACAACUCUCGCCAGCGAAUGUUCUCUUACGAAUUUGUGUUAGCAAGGCAAGACUGUCACGUCAUUUCUCGAAUCAAAUAGAAACUGCACAUCGCCAUUUCCGCCGCCUUCAAUUUAUACAUUCUGCAAAUGCACGCAUAAUAACCGUUCAGUCACAGAGCUUUAGCUCAAAGCAAAAAGGAGAGUCAUGACGCGUCGCUCCUUCCAUGCAAUGGCUGUAAUUCAGCAAGAUUGAAUAGCAACAACCUGUACAGCAUGACAAUAAGUGAAGGGGAUUAACUUCAGUUCUUUCCAUCACUAUUUAUGCUGGCCUAAGCACGGGAUAACUAAAGCUUACCACAUUCUCUCGCCCCACAAUUCUGAGAAAGAAAAUAGAGUUAGACAUGUAUUAAACGUGCAACAUCAUCAACGACAACGAAAUGAUGAGAGCAACAUCCAGAAGCGGGGAACUCUGUAUAAAUUGAAAUAUAAAUACCUAAAACGAAACCAAUAAUCUUCUCCAAGGGUGAUGAUUGACAGAAAAUGAAAUGCAUCUAGGAAUUUUAUCUGACAUCCUCAAACUAUUAGUUCGGGUCGUGGACUCAUACUACAUCUAAUCAUCUAGCUAUUAUUUGUGAAAAUUUUUUGGAUGCUCUUAAAGCAUGAUGUUUUCAUAAUCGCUUUGACACUACUGCAGUAUCAUUGCUAAUGGUGGCCAUACCUGCAAAUGCCGCAUCUAUUGCAGCGAUAUUGCUUCUUGGAUGUUUGCAGAAAAAAUGAAGUAAGAUGUCAGGUCCAUGUGAUCAUAUCGUCUUCAACCGCAGGAUACAACACCCAAUACUUUUGAGAAUCUGUAAAAUGCAAUUAACGAACCUUUUUCCUUCACAUGUUUGCACGUUAUGUGACAUUUUUAUGCUCAAGGUUUUGAAAUAUUUGCUAGGGAGAGAGGGCGGACAGAGACUACUUCUGACAUAGAGAGAAACUCGACCAAUGUCACUGUCCAAGACACAUGAAAGAAAUUGAGCAGCGAGAUAAGAAAGAUUUGACGCACAUCAUCAUUGAAAAACUUACAAGUCCAGCAAAAGUACUUCCCCAUGCAAACACCACCUGUGAACAUGUAAACUAAAGGUUGAGAAUCAACAUCUGCACUGUAGUUUAUUUUUGGCCAGUCUUUUUAAAGAACUUCACAUUUUUUUGCCCUCCUUCGAAAAGCUCUUUAGUGCAAUCAAAGUAGGUAAUGAAGGAUAGAAUGUUUAAAAUUAGCUCUUGAGCACUACCACAGAUUGAACUUACAACCUGAAACAAAACAUGUAGGUAAUGGGAACAUCAAGUAAUCAGUCGGUCUAUAAACAUGCUAGAAAUUUGAUAGCAUCCAUUCGCUGAACUUGAUGGCGAGGCAAGUCAAUGCCUUGCUUUUGUUUACAUUGAUAUGUUAUUCUGGCCAUAAGAGAACGGUAUGUCUUCUUAUGAAAAGCAUGUCCACAGGUUGAAGAUUGAAGAAUCGAAUAUUUGACAUAUUCACCAAACUGUGGACUACUCAUCCGAACUCAAAUCCAUUCUGCAGUAAUGGCAAACCGCACGUACCAAAAUAUCAGAGCACACACUACAAAGUUAACAGCAGGUCAAAAUGCAAUCUCAUCUUAAGAUAACUCAUGUCACUAACGCCAAAAAUUUAGAGGCAGCGGUGCCUAUAUUUUGUUUAACAAUCAUCCUCUAAUAUACGGCAAGUAAAAACUUAAUUGCAAUCUAUCAACUGAGCUUGCAUGAAAGUAUCUCGUAGAUAUCUAGUGCAUUCUUCAUGUCAUAACGAAAGGAAGUUCUCAAGCACACUUAAGUCUAUGAGGGGCACAAGGAAUCACCUUUGCAUUAUCAAGACAGUGAAGGCAAUAAAAAAUGCGGUUGCAACAGGGGGCUCUAAUGCGGCACCUUCGAUGGUAAUGAGGACAUUUGCUGCAGCAGCAGUAGCAGCAACUUUGAUAUUAAUUGAAAGUUGAAAAGGAAAAAGCUUGAACUACUAUUUGUUAAGGAGGAUAAAUAAAAAACACCGACUGAUAUUAAAGGAGAAAUAACAGAGGCUGAGAUUAGAAAGAAGGGAGAGCUGCAAAGCAACAAAGUAAAUAACACAGAUUGGAGAAGACAUGACAACUCAAAUAAACAAUCGUGAUGAAGAGUGAUAUGGAUCAUCAUCAAUGGUUAAGAAUUUGCGAUGAAGAUCGACAAGGAUUGCCAACUCAUGAAGACUCGUGAGCAGUUAUUCAGUUGAAGAGUAAAACAGAUUGGAAAAACAGUCUUGUGAAUUUCAGUUUUUCUGUUGUAUCUUCGUUUUCUUCUAUAGGAAAAAUAUAUAAGGAGGCUUAGCAGAAUCAUUUUUAAGCUAAGCAAGAGAAUGCAGAAAGAUAGAUAGAAGAUUUCUGCAAAUGAAUGUUCUGCAUUUUACAGAAGAACAAGAGAUAGAAAGAAAGAGCAUGUGUGAAGUUUAGAAGCUCAAAUCUUCCUUGUUCAUUGAUGAUUCAAGAUAUACAGAGUCUGUAUUACAAUCAUAUUGAAAUACAUGAAAUCAAAGCUUCUUGAUUGAUCUUCAGUUCUUCGAUAUAUCUCUCCUUCUUCACAUUGUCAAGUUCUUCAGUUCUGUUUCUUCAUCUUCACAUGGUAUCAGAGCAGUAGAUCAUACCUGUUAGAAAGGCCUGUUCAGCAAUCAUUCAUCAAAUCAAAGGUGAAGAAACUGAAGUUGCAGCAGAUCGCAGUAUCACGGUAAUUGAGGUUACUAUCAUAAUAUCAUUGCCGUUAUCAUCUUCUUCAAAGCUGAGUUAAUAGAAUAAUGGCAGGAAGAACACAGAAGUAUCCUUUCCCAAUACAUGUGAACAUCUCUAAUUUUGUCACAAUCAAACUUGCCGAAGAUAACUUUCUGUUAUGGCAAGCACAGAUCCACAGGUUUUUGAGAAGUCAAGAACUCUUUGGCUUCAUUAAUGGUGAUAUCCCAUCACCUCCUCGAAUGCUGCAGAUUGAAAGAGAAGGGUGUGAAACUGGAGUUAUAAACCCAGAUUACACUGAUUGGACAAAGACUGAUCAGCUGAUUUUGUCUUGGAUAAGCAGAGCUGUUUCUGAAAACAUUCUGAGCCUAAUUAUUGGCUUAGAAACAUCUUAUGAGGUAUGGCAAACCCUGCUCAAUAGAUUUACACAAAAAUCUGUGGCUAGGGAAUUUGAGUUGAGAGGAAAGCUGCAAGCUUGUCAUAAACGAGAUCGAUCUCUGGCUGUGUAUCUUAGAGAAUAUAAAUCGAUCUGUGAUCAACUCAAUGCUAUAGGGAAGCCUAUAGAUGAAAUAACAAAGCUAUUUGGAGUUUUGGAGGGUUUAGGAUCUGAAUAUGAGAAUUUCAAAACCACCAUCUACUGUUUAAAACCUCAACCAAACUAUGAUGAGGUGAUAUCUCAGCUAGAAAGGUUUGAAGAGAGGUUACAAAGGUACUCAUUGAGUUCAUACAAUCCCAAUCUGGCGUAUUAUAGUCAAAGAAAAAUAGAAGUUCAACAAAGGGAAGAAUUUGACAGAGAACCUAUGCAAUACAAUUCUGGUUUUGGAACUUUAAGGGUGAAUAGUCGUGGAGGCCGUAGCUCUGUAAGAGGAAGAUUUCCUAACAAUAGAGGUCGAGGCUUUAGAUAUCCUGGAAGAGGUUCAAUUUACAGAUCAAAUAAUAUCAAUUACAUACAAGAGGGUCAGAAAGUUAAACAAUUUCACAAUCCCUCUGGUUCUGUUUCUAAUCCAGGAUUUCGCCCUUAUAUGGUUCCUCACAGAGAUAUCAAGAAACAAGAUCCUAUCCCAACUCAAGUCUAAACUUUCCUAAGGAUUUACAGGAUGAGAAAUCAGCUGACAGCAUGAGAUUAGAGUGUCAAAUUUGCAAGAGACCAGGACAUGAUGCUUUACAUUGCUAGUAUCGUUUUGAUAAUUCCUAUCAAGCUGAGGAAAUCCCAACAGCUCUAGCAGCAAUACAUCUCGAAGACUCCAAAGGAAGUGAGUGGUAUCCAGAUACUGGUGCAACUGCACAUAUCACGGCCGAUCCUGGUAUACUUCAGAAUCCUUCUAGAUAUACAGGUUAUGACACUAUUAUGAUUGGUGAUGGAUCAUGUUUGCCUAUCACCUAUACUAGUAAUACAUUAUUACAUACUGAAAUGAAUUCAUUGCCUUUAAAUGAUGUGCUAAUUGUUCCUGAGAUUAAGAAGAAUCUUCUGUCAGUAUCUAGGCUAACAGAUGACUAUCCAUGCUCAUUUGUUUUUGAUAAAUUUGGUGUCUAUAUAAAGGACAAUUGCACCAACGCAACUCUGCUGCUCGGGAGGAAAAUUAAAGGACUAUAUCAAGUGAAUUCACAGACAACAAAAGCUUUCCUAACUCAGAGAAACAGAGCGGUAGGAGAGGAUACAUGGCAUCAACAAUUAGCACACACUAAUUCAAAUGUCUUGAAGUACCUGCGGAACCAACAACUGAUUUAGUGCAGUACUAGAAUGCAGAACAUGUGUAGUAGUUGUCAAAUUGCUAAAACCACAGCAUUACCAUUUCCUUCAUCAUAAUCUGUAUCUACUAUGCCCUUAUAGAAAAUUCAUUGUGAUAUCUGGGGACCGUCACCAGUUACUUCUUUUCAGAAUUUCAAAUACUAUGUUCUUUUUGUAGACAAUUUCUCUCGGUUUAGCUGGAUAUAUCCAUUGAAAUUGAAGUCAGACUUUUAUAAUGUCUUUGUUCUAUUUCAAAAGCAAGUAGAGAAUCAGUUUGAGUCGAAAAUCAAGAUAUUCCAGUGUGAUGGUGGAGGAGAAUUCCUUAGCCACAAGUUUCAAACUCAUUUGCAGAACUGUGGUAUCAAAUAGCACAUCUCUUGUCCUUACACACCUGAACAGAAUGGCAUUUCUGAAAGGAAGCAUCACCACAUUGUUGAACUAGGUCUUGCCAUGCUUUAUCAUGGCAGAGUUCCACUGAAGUACUGGGUAGAUGCAUUCAUAACAGCUAACUAUGUUAUCAAUAUACUUCCAACACCAAAAUUACAAAUGCAGUCACCUCACAGAAGAUUAUAUCAAGAAAAGCCAAGUUAUGAUCAUCUCAGGGUGUUUGGAUGUGCAUGUUAUCCAUGUUUGCAACCCUAUGCUCAACACAAGUUUGAUCCAAGAUCUCUAACAUGUGUGUUCAUUAGAUACAGUGAACGUCAUAAAUGUUACAGAUGCCUUGUGCCUACAACAGGUCGUGUGUAUAUUAGUAGACAUGUCCUAUUUGAUGAAACCUCUUUCCCUUUUACUAAGACAUGUCUAACAGAGUAUGCACCACUCACAUCACUCUAUCAGUUAUGGGCAGAAGAGACUCAACUUAUGGAAUCAAAAAGCAAAGAAACAGCUCCUGUUUUCUUAUAGACAUAUGCAGAACAUUCACAGACUAAUGCAGAUAUCACUACAAAUGGUUCUCAAACUUCACAGCAAGUUACAAUACCAUAUAUUGAUCUUUCAUCAUUGCUGUCAAAUGUAACCCAAACACAUGGUACCUCUAUAACAUCAACACAAGAUGAAGUCUCUUCACCAGUACAGAACCAAGAGACGUCUUCAACUGAAACAUCAACAUCCAAUAAUAUGAGUGUUGAAUCUGAACAUGCCAUUCUUCCUCAUGCCUCACAAGCAACAACUUCGAGUCAUUCUAUGCAGACUCGAUCAAAGUCUGGCAUUACAAAACCUAAUCCCAAGUAUGCAUGCCUUGCUGUAUAUGAAGUACCCACUGAACCACGAUCAGUUAAACUAGCUUUAGCACAUAAAGGCUGGUAUAAAGCCAUGACAUAAGAAAUGGAUGCACUUUAUCAUAAUAGAACUUGGGAAUUAAUUCCUAGAACUGAUCAAAUGAAUGUGAUUGGCUGCAAGUGGGUAUUUAAAACAAAACUUGCAUCUGAUGGUAGUCUUGAUAGACUGAAAGCUCGACUAGUUGCUAAAGGUUUUCAUCAAGAAGAAGGAAUAGACUUUACAGAGACUUUUAGUCCUGUUGUCAAGAAUGCUACAAUUCGAAUAGUUCUCUCUGUUGCAAUGAUGAAACACUGGCCAAUUCAUCAACUCGAUGUUAAAAAUGCAUUUUUACAUGGUACUCUUAAUGAGACAGUUUACAUGGAGCAGCCUCCUGGCUUUCAAGAUCCCAAGAAACCUCAUCAUGUUUGUCUCCUCAAGAAGUCUCUCUAUGGACUUCGACAAGCUCCCCGAGCCUGGUUUGACAAGUUCAGCAACUUCUUACUUGAAUAUGGAUUCUCUUGCAGCUCUACUAAUCCAUCCUUAUUCAUAUUUCACACUGGUACAAACACAAUUCUUCUACUACUAUAUGUUGAUGACAUUGUCUUAACUGGAAGUUCCUCUCAGUUGCUUUCUAAUCUCAUCCAUUCUCUCAGUCUCCAGUUUAAUAUGAAAGAUCUCGGUCCACUACAUUACUUUUUUGGCAUUGAAGUUAAACAUACUUCUGAUCAUCUAUUUCUUUGCCAAACUAAAUAUGCUAUUGAUCUUCUUACUCGAGCUCAUAUGUUGGACUGUAAACCAAUCUCAACUCCUCUGUCACUAAGACCAAUCAUUUUGACAAAUGAUUAUGUUCCUCUAUCCAAUCCUGUUGAGUAUCAAAGCUUGGUUGGUGGUCUUCAAUACCUGACUUUAACACGGCCUGACAUUGCCUAUGCUACGAAUUCAUUAUAACAAAAACUACAGACACCUACUAUUGCAGAUCUUCAGAAACUCAAGAGGGUCUUGCGAUAUGUUAAAGGCACCAUAAAUCUUGGGAUUUUCAUUCAUUCUCGAAGCUCCUUACAUCUAUAUGGUUUUUCAGAUGCAGAUUGGGCUAGAUGUACUGAAACCAGAAGAUCAACAACUGGUUUCUGUACAUAUCUCGGCUCCAAUCUCAUUUCUUGGACAACUAAGAAGCAAUCCACAGUCAGUUGAUCCUCUACACAAGCUGAGUAUCGUGCUCUUGCUUCCACCUCUGCUGAACUUACUUGGAUCAGUUUUGUUCUUCGUGACAUAGGAUGCUCUCUCCCUCGUCCAACACAUCUCUUUUGUGACAAUAAAUCAACCAUUGCUCUUACUGCCAACCCAGUUUUACAUGCUCGCACUAAACAUAUUGAAGUGGACUUCCAUUUUGUUCGGGAAAAGGUCUCCUCAGGGUCACUACAUGUAAGAUAUGUUCCAAGCAACUGUCAACUUGCUGAUAUUUUCACAAAAUCUCUGCCUCGUCUUACACAUUUUCAGUUGCGCAUCAAAUUGGGUAUUGGUUCUCCACCCAUUCCCAAUUUGAGGGGGGAUGUUAAGGAGGAUAAAUCAAAAACACCGACUGAUAUUAAAGGAGAAAUAACAGAGGCUGAGAUUAGAAAGAAGGGAGAGCUGCAAAGCAACAAAGUAAAUAACACAGACUGGAGAAGACAUGACAACUCAAAUAAAUGAUCGUGAUGAAGAGUGAUAUGGAUCAUCAUCAAUGGUUAAGAAUUUGCGAUGAAGACCGAUAAGGAUUGCCAACUCAUGAAGACUCGUGAGCAGUUAUUCAGUUGAAGAGUAAAACAGAUUGGAAAAACAGUCUUGUGAAUUUCAGUUUUUCUGUUGUAUCUUCGUUUUCUUCUAUAGGAAAAAUAUAUAAGGAGUCUUAGCAGAAUCAUUUUUAAGCUAAGCGCGAGAAUGCAGAAAGAUAGAUAGAAGAUUUCUGCAAAUGAAUGUUCUGCAUUUUACAGAAGAACAAGAGAUAGAAAGAAAGAGCGUGUGUGAAGUUUAGAAGCUCAAAUCUUCCUUGUUCAUUGAUGAUUCAAGAUAUACAGAGUCUGUAUUACAAUCGUAUUGAAAUACAUGAAAUCAAAGCUUCUUGAUUGAUCUUCAGUUCUUCGAUAUAUCUCUCCUUCUUCACAUUGUCAAGUUCUUCAGUUCUUCAGUUCUGUUUCUUCAUCUUCACACUAUUGCUCAAGAAUGAGUCGAGACAUUACUUGCACGGCAAGUGCCGCUCUCUAACAAAUCAGUAGCAAUAGCAUCUUCACGGUCAGAACAGAGCACGGUUGGAAGCACGAUUGGACAGUGCUGGAAUUGUAGCAACAGGAGGGAACCGAGUGGCGGCCGAUGAGGAGGAAAUGCAAAUUUAAUUAUGAGCCAGGAGUGGUGGUGAUCGCCUGAUCCGAAAUGGAGCGGCUGUGGAACUAGAGGGAAAGCGGGACUGAGAGAACGUUUCUCUGUUUUCAGUUCCCCUUGCCCGCGCGCGAGCCUUCGUUCGGGGGGGGGAGGGGAAGAGAGAGAGAGAGAGAGAUAAAAGUAGGGAAGGAAAGAGGCCGGGCCUCCUCUCCGCAUGGGCCUUGGACCUAGGAUGGGCUACAUUUUUCAGCUCCUUUCUGUUGCUGAGCCUUUUCCGAUGGCUAUUGGACAAAUCUUAAGAGAUCUGGGCUUAAAGUCCGAUACUACCGGAAAAAAUUUGGGUGUCAACGUCCACAUUGCCAACUCUGUUGAUUGGAUAAAUACGUUCAUCUUGUUUUCCAGUGACCAUAAUUGGUUCUGUCGAAGUAUGAAGGUCUGGUGGUAGAUUGAGCCUUAUAAACAAUUGGACUAAGGUUGGUAGCCAUAGAAUAGGAUCUUUAUAAUCAGAAGUAAACAACACUUCAAAGUACAAGCAACACAAUCUUUAAUGCCAAUUAUUGAGGUCAAUAAUGCAACCUAACGAAGGGAUGAAUGGGUUGAUCUACAAAAGUUAAAAAAAAAAUUGUGUAAUAACUCAAGUUAAGAAACACAAAUUAAAUGAAAGGGGAAAAGGCCUCAAUAACAAAAAGGUCAAAUGAUAAUAUUUGAUUAUGCGUUCUGUACAUAUAAAGGUUUAAUUAAUGUAAAAUGAUUGAUCAACAAAAAACCUUGAAAGAAGUUAUCAAUAAGAAUGAUGUCCUUAACUCAUAAAAGACACAGAUGAAUCAAAAUCUAAGGUGAUUUUGUCAAUAAAAUAUUUUUAUUGAUCAAUUUUCUCUUACAUUAAUUAACCAUUUAACAACACAAAAUGAGCGUCAAAUUUUUGUUAUUCGACUUUUUUGUUGUUUGGGGCAUUUUUCCUUUCUACUUAAUUGCGUUUCUUUUUCUUCAAAUACUUACUAGUUCUAUUAAUAUAUCCAUUAAUUUUCUUCCAAAUUUCAUUAUCUAUAUUAUUAUUGAUAGUCAUUUUUUAUGGUACUGAUAAUUUAGUUUUUUUUUUCUCCAUUUUCUGUAUUUUUUAUUUAUUUUUCUUACAGAAAUCAACGGUAAAAGGCAGCCUUCUUUCACGAAAAAUGAGUUGAAGAACAAGUUUACCCCUUCAAUGUCAUCUGCAUUGCACGUGUGAUUGGACAAUAUAGUGAAACAUUAAUGGCUAUAACCAAAUAAAAGUUCAAGAAGUAAUGUGUAGCAGUGGAAAGUUUAUGUCAAACAUGUAUUACCCCGAAAUUUGGAGCAAUUUUGUGUAAUUUUUCCAUAAAUUUAUUAUGCAAUACCGAAUUUCUAAUAUAUUCGCAAGGAGAUUAGUGUGUUUUUAGUAUGCUGGGUGUGGAAAUAUGAGAAGCCAAACUUAUAUUGUACAUAAGUUUCGUAAUUAGUUUAUCAUAGUGAUGUUUGUGAAGUCACUACGAGAAGGUCCUUUGUUUAGCUGCAAUUUCUCAUCCUGUAACCCGAACUCGCAAGUCUUCUUUUCUUUUUCUUUUUUUCUUUUUUUUCUUGGUGAGUACCAAAAAAUCUGCCAUCAAAAUGACAAAAGAUUGUAUUGAAGUGAUUGUAUUGAAGUGAUUGAACACAAAAAAAUGCCACAUAAUCCUUCCAUUUCUAAUCUGAUAUAUCUCUCUAAAUUCUCCCACCGUCCCUGUCUCCUUCCGCGAAAAUCAAUCCCCCCUUCUUCUUUUUUUUGCUUGACCGCUCUUGGCCGGACUUCACACGUGCCACCCUUGACAGGCCCAGCCAAAAUGAUAAUCUUUACACGUGUCAAAUAUAUAUUUUAAAAUAAAUUUUAAGAUAAUAAUUUUUGAGACUGCGUUUAGCAAUCAAAAUAAAAUUGAUUAUAUUUUACGUUUGAUAUUUGAUCAAGAUAGGAUAAAAUCGGAUAUAAGAGAAAUAUAAGUCGGAUAAAAUUAUUCCACGAGGAAAGUUGGAUAAAAGUGGAUAGAAUUUCGAAUAUUCAUAAUUGAAAAUUUAUUUUUUUCGAAUAACAAACUUCUUAAAAUUAGAAAAAUUAAAAUUAUAUUUCAAAAUAACUAAUAUUUGAAGUCCAAUAUAAGAAAUUCAAAAUGACGAAAAAUAAUAAUUUAUUUUUUUAAUUCAAUCUUAUUUUUACUUAUAUAUUUGAAUUCAUUUCUAUCUUAUAAUACAAAUUCGAUAAAUAAAAUGUAAAUAUAUAUUUAUAUAUUACUUAUUUUUAGGUAUUUUAAUAUUUUAGGUAUGUUAUUACGGUUUACUGCUUAAUAAAAUUUUAUUAGAGAAUAAUGGAAAGGGAAAAAAAUAAAUAAAUAAUAAAUAAAUUAAAAAAUAGAGGAAAAAUAUAAUAAAAAAGAAAAUAAAAAUAAAGUAGGCAAACAUGAGAGAUUUUACUAUUUCCAUUUAUUAAUUUUUAUAUUCAUUUACAUUGAUAUGUCAUUUAUACCAAAUAAUGUACAUGAUAUUAUGAGAAUAUAUCCAAUUUUAUUAUUACGAUAAUCAAAUAGUGGAUAUGAUAUGGUAAAAUCCCAAUAUUUUAUAUCCCAUCAUAUUCAAUUCUAUUUUGAUUGAAAAUUCAUACGACCGAAUGUAACCAAAAAGGAUAGAGAGAUUGACGAGCCGAUUCGAGUUCAGCGCACGCAACACAUAUAUAACAGACAAAAAGUGCCUUUGUAUCUAUAGCAAUUCAAAAUUUUCACAAAUUUCAAAAAAUCCUUUUUGUUUUUUAGAUAAGUUUGCAAAUUAGCACCUUCUCGGAUGCGAAGGCAGAUAUAACUUGCUCCAUUUUCGGCUCAUACAUCAUAUUUCUCCCUUGCAGAACUAAUUUUUUGGUAAUGCAAAACUAAAAAAAAAAAAAAAGCCAUCUUAGCAUAUUGGGCUAGUGCCUUUAUGCUACCUAUGUUUGUCUCGGAUAAAAUUGAACAAAUCCUUAAACAAUUUCUUUGGAAAGGCCCAGAGAUGGGAAGAGGGGGUGCAAAGGUAUUCUAGGAGGAUGUUUGUUGCCCAAAAGAGGAGGGAAGCCUUGCUAUACGAAGACUUCGCGAGUAUAAUAAAGCAGCCAUGCUAAAACAUAUAUGGCUUCUAUUCUCGGACAAGGAAUUGUUAUGGUGCAAAUGGAUUCACUCAACUUUCUUAAAAGGGUUGAAUUUCUGGGUGGCCAAAAAGCCUACCUUCUAUUCGUGGGCCUAGAUGAAGAUCCUCCAACUCAGGACUGAAGUCCGUAGUUCCUUCUAUUGGAGGAUUGGAGAUGGCCGAUCAAUGUCUCUUUAGUUCGAUAAUUGGCACCCUAGGGGUCCCUUGAACUUUUAUUUUCCAGAUGUUGCCAUAUAUAGCUCCGGCCUCUCUCGGGAGGGCGACAGUGGUAGACCUGUUCACAUUUGAUGGUGAUGCGGUCAGGAUGAUCUUGGAUACUUGGGAGGAUCCCCUCCCAACCCUCUCCCAAAAUCUGGAUCGCUUUAGCUGGAAGGGGAACACCUCCCACCUCUUCAUGGUGGCUUCGGCUUAGGAAAUCAUUAGAAGAAAGAAGACUCCGGUCUACUGGCAUGUGCUCAUUUGGAACAACUUGAUCUCUCCAAGGUACCAACUAAACAUUUGGCUUAUUGCCAAUCGUAGGCUUCCUACCCAAACUUUUACUAUUUUAUGGUAGGAUAGAUAGUGUCUCGUGCCCCUUUUGUAACAAGUGCCUGAUUCCAUAAACCACCUAUUUUUUGGAUGUCACAUCAUUGCUGGCAUUGCGUUCUUUUGGGCCACGAGAUGCAACCUUCCCUGGUGGAACAGAUCGUGGGCCGAGAAUCUCGAUUGGGCCAUUUCUGUUCUUGCCGACAAAGAUUUCUAUAAGUGCAUUGCCCGUUUAUCUUUUGGUGCUCUCUACUAUUUUAUUUGGAAGUAUAGGAACAACAUUCUCUUUAGAGGAGAGACCUUAACCAUUCCAGCGGUGAAGAAUCAACUCUUCAAAGUCGUCAAGGAUAAAACCAUCACUUUCAAGAGUGUGGAUGAUACGUUUUGAAAUAGGAGGCUGCAACAAAGUUGGGGCAUUGAUCCGAUUAUCUUCUCAGCUGGGGAUACCACAAAUCCUUUAGGGCCCUAGCUUGUCUGAGAUGUCGAUUCGCUUAUACCCUUUUUACGGUUUGAUCCUUAGAGUCUCUUCACUUUUGUCGCUUUUGGUCAUGGUUUGAGGUUUGGAGUCUUCCCGGCCCUACGCGGCCCUCUCCUGCCUCUUGCUAGGUCUCAUUUGCCUAUUGUUUAGGUUGUUCUUUGCUUGUUUGUUCCGCUCUUUGCGGACUUCUUUUGCAUUCGGCUCCCUUCCACUCACUCUGACUUAUUGUCUUAUUGAGUGUAAGUUUUGUGGCGCCGGAUCUUUUGUAAUUAUUGCUUAAAGCUUAAUACAAUAUUACCCUUUAACCAUAUAUAUAUAUAUAUAUAUAUAUAUAUAUAUAUAUAUAUAUAUAUAUAUAGAAGGCUCUAAUCAUAUCAUAUUACAAAAUUAUUUUAGGAAAAUUUGCAGAUACGAAUUGCAGACCUAAAUUAGGCUCGAAUCAUAUCAUAUAACAAUUACCACUUUCUUUGUGCAGGCUAUUCUCACCUAUAUCAUCUUAAGUAGGAACCUUGAGCUAUUUUUCUGUUCCUACAUAUUUACUUUCUUUUGGGCUAUAUUAUAUGCGGUAGAGUUUCUUAAUCUUUAGAAUCUGGGACAUCAAAGCGGACAUACAUAUAGUCGGGCCUCAUGCAAGGAGGGAAGUUGGCAAUCGAGUUUGGUCCAAGAUCCAAUCAUGUAAGUAAUUAUGGUUCGCAUUUCAUUAAAUUAGGGAAAGAUAAGCAAAAUCCCCAAAUUUUACGGGUAGUGCUGCCCUCAAUUUUUUGACUACUACGUAAUAUCGGAAAAAAAUGUUCAAAAAAUCCUAAACUUAUUAUAUAAUGAUUAAUUCAAUCCUAAACAUUUUGAUUGUGUCAAUUUAGCUAUAAACCUUUAAACAAUUUGUCAAACUAGUCUUAAACCUUUUAACGAAUUGUCAGUUUAGUCAUUCAAACUAAUUUAGACUAGAUGUUGUUGGCAUGAUAGCCCCGUUACUACCAGUCUUCCUAUGUGACACAAGUAAUGAUGACAUAGACAAUUUUUCAAAUUAAAUUCAGUUUUCAUUUCAUUUUAUUUCCUUUUUUCUCCCUUUUUUUACACAUGGCCCAUAGCAGUCGAGAGCUAGCAACCUUUGUCAGCCACCAAGUAAAGGCUAGUAGAGUCACUGCGAAGGGCUUGUGAGCCAUUGUUCAUUGCCAACAAGGGCGUUGUAGCCUUUGCCAACCCCAACGAGGGCAUCAUGGCCCUCGCCCAAGCCAUUAUUAGGGAGGGCCUAGGUAAGAGCUUGCAAUGCCCUUACCAAAUCCAUUGAGGGCCACAAUGCCCUUGAUAGAUCUGGUGAGGCGAAGGCAUCACAACCCUUGCCUCAGCAUGCCCUCAUUAGGGUUGGCCCUCGCCCAAGCCAUUAUUAGGGAGGGCUUAGGUAAGAGCUUGCAAUGCCCUUACCAAACCCACUGAGGGCCACAAUGCCCUCAAUAGAUCUGGUGAGGCAAAGGCAUUGCGACCCUUGCCUCAGCCCUCGCUGCCACAGCGAGGGCUAGCGAGCCCUUGCCAAAUCUAGUGAGGGCCAUUGCCCACCUAGUGAGGGCUCUACGGCCCUUGCCUUGGGGUUGUGAGACCCCUUUGACAAUGUGUGAAAAAAGGAAAAUGAAAAGAAAAGAAAACAUCAAUAAAUUGACAAUGCUUUAAAAGGUUUAUGAUUAGUUUGACAAAUCAUUUAUAUAUUUAAAAUAAAAUUGGCAUGAUAAAAAAAUUUCGAAUUGAAUUGAUUUUCAUAUAAUAAAUUUAAAUUUUUUUAGACAAGUUUCUCACCGAAUAACUCAUGUACUUUUGUGUUCUCACGUCCCAUGAACCCUGCACUUGAGGUCAUACCUCGCGAGUCUUCCAUUUUGCUGUAAGAGCACAAAAAAUCUGCCAUUGAAAGGACAGAUGAUUUGUAUCAAGCGAUUGAACCCGAAAUGAUGCCACUUCACUGUCCCACUUACGAUAAUAAUAUCAUUGUCAAAUCUUCCUAGCUUUUGGUGGAUAUUUCAUUGGGAGACAGGUCUUUUCUGUAAUGGUAUCCGUCUAGAUUCUGGACCGUCCCGGACUCCAUCAGAGAAAAUCCAUGUUCGUGACUACUCCGGGGCCGACACUACUAGAGUUUGGCUAAUUUGGCUAAGCUUAAGAGAGAGAGGCCACAGAGACUUCUUUGCAAAGCAGAUGUAGCAGUUCACAGAGCUGUGGUUGCUCUCAUGACUGCUGAAGCGAUGAAAGCGUCUCCAGAUGAUUUGAAGGAUGAUGGGCAGGUUAUCUGAAGAUUAUCAGUGAACAGAUUGGUAUAGUUCUCAAUUUGACCCCGAAGAAUAUGCAGAUGGCAUGAAAAUAUUUCUCUUGAGGCGGGAGCUGGUCCAAGAUUUAUGAGAUGCUGGUGCACCUUUCAUCAUGCACACUUUUUGAAGGAAAAGUUUAUGGAGAGGGUAUUCAUAGAGAUAUAUUUGGUCGUCACAUUUAAUUGUCGAUAUUUUGGCAGUUUUCUAGUCCAUCCUUGCAAUACCUUAGUGAUUCCAGUAGUCUCUUACACCAGCAGCAAGUGUAUGCCUCAUUAGUGCUGCUUGUCGCGUUUAUUUUGCAAGAGCAUUGUAUAGAAUCUUUUGCUACCAUUCUCUGUACAGGCAGCCCACCCCCUCUAUCAAAUAAGAAGGAAUGAAGAGAGAUUGACCAAACGUAAUUGGUUUUGGCAAGAAUUUGGUUGAUGCUCUGAGUCUGUUCUCCUUAGAUAUCCUUGUCAUCAUCCGUGGCUUCGAAUAGCAGAAUGACAAAUUGCCAUGCGAUAGCUUUUUAUCUUCUCUUGUACAUAGGGCUAUGCGUCUCUGAAGCUUAUGGUCUCUUUUUCGCUUCUUCAGCAAUUUCUGCAUUUGAUCUGUGGCUUUUAGAUUAUGUAUUAAGCCUAAGCUGUUCAUCACCUUCUAGCACAAUAACUUGACGAAGCACUGGUAUCCGCAGCGGGGCGGCUCAGACUGUGAGAUGAUGAGAACUUCAUUGCGUCCUUUCUCUUCGUCAAUUACGUGCCCUCUCUGUCGUCUCUUCUGCCACACGCUCUCUCUCUCUCUCUUCUUGCUCUGCGUCUUCUCCCUUUCUCUCUUUCUUUUCUUCUAAAAAUAUCCCGGGGACCUCACCUCUCUCUCUCUCUCUCUCUCUCUCUCUCUCUCUCUCUCUCUCUCUCUCUCUCUCUCUCCCCCCUUCUUCUUCUUUGUCUCGCAAGAAGCAAACGACAACCGCUGCCAUCGUGAUCCUUCGCAAUCCACGAAGAAGAGGCAUUUCUUUUAUAAAAGAAAAGUUGAAAGGGUCGGUUUGGAGUGUUGGCGAGGCGCGUUUGGCUUCUAUCUCAGUUCGAUGCCAAUUGUCGGUUUGCUCGCUUCGCGUUAGGCCACGCUACUUUCUCACAGGUUCUCUCUAUCUCUCUGUGUUGGAGGUUUGUUUGUCAAAACAAGCUAAGUGCGUUUGCCAUAAUAGUGCAGAGUAAUAUAGAACUUCUCACUAAAACAAGAGGUUAGUGUAUGUACAGUAUGUCCAGUUCUAUUACAUAAAAGUACAAAUUUAAAGCCGAGCUACUUGUCACUUUGAUAGAUCUUUGAUAUACUUGCACUAAGUAAAUGUUUAACUCGAAAGAGACCUUUAUGUAUGUAUAUUAAUCUUACUGAAAUUCUAGCUGUACAGUUUUUAAAAUUUUAAUUUUGAAAUCUUUGUUUUACAAACAAAGUGGGGGAUUGUUGGAGGUUUGUUUGUCAAAACAAGUUAAGUGUGUUUUCCUUUUCCCACAUAAGAAAAGUUGGAGGAAGUGGGUCAAUUUAUAAGUAAGGGGUUUCCUUGUGUACCUCAAGGAAUGAUUACGGGUGUGCGAUUAUUUGACGCACUUAGCACUAAUCCCUUUGCCAUUUAUUUAUUUAUUUAUUUUAUGUUAUUAAUUUUUUAAUCAAUUCAAAGGUUGCCUUUUGUUUUUGAGAAUUUUCGGAAAUAAAUAUAAAAAAAUAAAAUUCGAAAUUUUAUUUAUUAAAAAAAUUAUUAUUCUGAAUUUUGUUUGUGUCUUUUGAAGACAACCUUUGGAAAAAUUAAUUAUUCGGUUUGCAACUUUUCCCAAAGGGUUGCAAUUUUUCGGUUUUCGACUUCUUCCGAAGGGUCAUAUUUGUUUAUCCGAACAAUUUUCUAAAUGACGUGUUUGUUCAUAUUUUUUGGAAAUUUUCACGAAGGGUUGCAUGUAAGACUGUUUUAUAUAUAUUUGUUGUUUUCAAAAGAAGAUAAGUGAUCAUUUUCUGAACCUUCGUUCAAAAAAAACUGCAGCCAAUUUUUCGAUUGUUUCCUAGAGAGAUCCCGGAGAAAUAUUAUAAUUGCUAUUUAAUAUUCUCAAUUGAGACUUUGUUGUAUCUUUGGAGGAUUUUUUCCUAUGACCAUUAGCAACUUUGUGAGGGCAAAUAAAUCCUUAAAGAAAGUGAUAUUACGCUUCAAAGUCCGACUUGAGUAUUCUAAAGAUCCGUCUUCAUUGUUCUACUCAAUUCGAAGCCUUAUUUUCCCAACACUUUGUCUCUGUCUCUCUCGCUCUCUCUCGUCAGUUCUUGCUUCACGCCACGCCACGCCAUGCCAUGUCAUGCUAUUUCCUCGCAGGUUCUCUCUCUGUCUCUCUUUCCAACGUGCGGCCGCAUAAACUCGCGUGAAGUUUCACCACAAAAUGAGAAUUUCCUGUUAGCAAUGUCGUGUAAAAGUAAUAGAGAUGAUAUGGACAAAUAUAGGUCAAAUAACUUAAGCACUCCCCUCCAAGAGCAAAAUGAAAAAGGGACUUCUGUAGGCCUCUGUUUCAUAUCAUGUGACUGCCAUUAACCAGCUUGAGCAAUCCCCUCUCGUACAAAGCUGCAGCUUCCUUCAUCUUUCUCUCUCCCGCACCAACAAUGAUGGAUGAUGGGUUUUUAUGUGUGAUAGGCCUACUUAAGCCCGUCUGCUCAUGUUGGGCUAAAACCUAGCUUGUAAGUGAAUGGCCUAUAAAAGAGUGCAGUUACUGUAAUAUAUAGAAUAAAAAAAGGUAAAAAGGGGAUAAGUGAACAGUUGCAUUUUUUAGAAGAGAGAAAUAUGUUUUCUCUAUUUUCCCUCUUGAAACAGUACACGCUUUCUCGACAAAUUGAACCAAGGCUUCGAAGGAUUCCUUAGAAACUAUGAUGGUACUUAAUCUAUGGCAAUUAAGGUAUGUCCGACUUUAUGAUAUGCCUUUGAUUAGUGUUACAUGUUUCUGGGCACGUUUCCGCGUUCGUUUUCGGUAUUUGAUCGUUGAGUAUCGGAUCAUUUUUUCGGGAAUUUGUUUUUUCCCUACAUUGGUAUUAGAGACAUGAUGUUCAUGUUUCUCGAUCACUGUUGAUGUUUAUAAAUUGCUUUUGAUUGAAAUUUUGAGAAACGACGUCAUCGGAUGCUUGGGGAUAGAAAUCCCAACACCUACUCUUGUUCAAUCCCUCUUUUUUGAUUUUUAGUAAAUCAAAAUUUAUUUUUGAUAGCGUAGGGUUAUAGUUCUUGUCGAGACGGGUGGCCUGUCGCUAGGGGCCGCCAGAUGUGCCACCACAUGCGACUAGAAGGUCUGGCAUCGUCAGCGCGUGGCAUGCGUGCAGCAACGGCUACCACGUGCUCGUGCUUGCGCGGUUUUACCAUUUUGCCCCUCUUUUCUUCAUAAUAUUAUGUUGUUGCCAUUGAUAGUUGUUUUUGCGAUUAUGCCCUUAUUGUUCAAUGUUAUUACUAUUUUGUCCCUACUUGACCUGUUGACCCUACCCGGUCAUUUGUUGACCAUUGACCGAUGUUGACCACCAUUGAUCGCCCCCUCCCCCCCCCCCCCACCCAAAAAAAGGAAAAUUUUGUUUAUCUGAUUUUGUUCGUUGUAGAUUAUGAGUAAUCCAUUUUGUUCUGCAUUUGUUGUAGGAACCAUGAUGCGUUUUGUACGCACGCUUAUAUUUCCGAGAACGGAUGAACAAAAUGCAAGACUUGAAGGGCUAAAAAUAUAAUUAGCUAAUUAUCGGUGGAAUGACAGUAAUGUAGUAUCACAUGUGGUCAUGGUCAAUUAAAUGAUACAAGAAAUCAUCUGGAAUAGUUAUCCUAUACUGAAUUUUUAGAAAGUGCCGGCCCUAAUAAACACUAUUCCAUCAAAAUGACAAGCAGUGUUAGAUCACCUAUGGGAGGCCAACGUGGUCCCGGAUUAUAGAAGGCUUGCAAUAGCUUUUGUAAGAGAGUACUAUAGAAUCGAGGUAACCAAGACUUCAACCCUCGAGUUGAGUGUCACAUGGUGUAGAAUGAAUGCCCCUUGGAGGAGCCAUGAGGGCUCUCCACAGGUUUCUUCGCGGUUGACCAAUGUGCCUUUAAAAUUCUCAAAGAAUUUUACUAAAAGAUUAAAAGAGACUUUUCUAGUUUAUAAGAUAGAUGAGAUUAUUUGGGUUUAAUUAUUUUUUUCUUUGAUUAGUUUGAGAUGUUUUAGGUGCAAAUAUCUCUUUAUAUGUUGAUAUAUUUCCUUUGAAUAUAUUACUUAGUGUAAAUGACAUGUUUAAUUAUUGAAAGUUCAACGUUAUCUGUCGUUGUAAAUUAGUAUGUUAAUUUACAAUUCUUUGUAGGAAGUUCAAGAAAGUUUUAACGACUUUGCUGAACUUAUUUUUUCAUGAGUAAUUAUAUUAAUGAUAAUUUCAAGUUAAGAAUUUUGGAUGAUGAUUGGAAAUAUAGUAACAUUUUGAUUCUAAAAUCUUAUUUAAAAUUAUUCAUUAAUAUGACGGGUUUAUACAAAAUGGAUGUAUAAAUGAUAGACAUUAAUAGUUCGUGCAUUUGUGUUUGAUAUGUUCAAAUCCAAUGGCUUCAAUAACUAGGAGUACAAUUGUUGAGUUGAACAAAGAAAAGAAAUUGAACAGCGAAAAUUGUGAAAUAUUGAAUUUGAAAAUUUAAUAUGUGCUUAAAAAGCAAGAAGUACUAAAAGAUCUUAACUAUGUUAUAAAAGAACUUGAGGAUAUUGUGCACCACAUUGAGCUAACAGAAGAUCACCUAAAUACUUUUGAGCGGGAAAUAGAUAUUUGUUGUGCUGGUUUUAGCUCAAAAGGGGUUUCGAGUUCUAAGCGCAAGUGCAUUAAUUCGUUUAAAAGGUGAAAAUGUAAGGGAUCAAGUCCUUCAAGCAAGAAACUAAGACUUGACCAAUAUGAAAGAGGAAAGCGUCCUCAAAUAAAGAAAUUGUUAAUAUGAAAUGUUAUAAUUGUGAUAAGAAGAGUCACUAUGAUCGCGAUUAUCACGAGCUAAAGAAGGUAAACACCUAUUGUAUUUUUGAGAACUUUGCUUAUAUAUCAAGUUAUGUAUUCUUAACUGAAUUUAAUCCUAUGUGGACUGUAGAUUCGAGAGCAAUAGAUUAUGUAGCAAAGGAUAGAGACUCCUUCAUAGAAUUUUGACGAAUACCGACUAGAACUAAAUGGAUCUAUGUAUAGAACAACACUAGAGCUGAAGUAAAAGAGAUUGUCACCUGCCAAUUAAAUAUGCGUGGUGGAUGCACUUUGUUUCUACAUGAUGUAUUAUAUGCUCCGGAGAUUCGUCAGAAUUUAGUGUUUGUUUUAGUGUUGAUAAAACUUGAUUUUAGUUUGAACUUUCAUAAUAAUGGUAUGGAUUUGUAUUUGAAUACAAACUAUUAUAAUUGUGGUUAUUUUCUAGAUGGUUUUAUUGUACUGAACGUUGACUAUGGUAAUAUCAAUGUUUGUUAUUUCCUCUUCAUGUCUUAUAAUUCAUAUGAUAAUGAUGUGAAUGUGUGGCAUGUUAGACUUAGUCAUAUUGGCCAACAACGUAUGAAUAGGCUAACCAAAGAGGGCUUGUUAGGCAACAUUGAAAAAGUCGAUUUGCCCAUAUAUUAGUAUUACCUAACAGGGAAAACAACAAGGAAACCAUUUGGAAAUGGUAAAAAUACUUGAAUUUCCUUUAUAAUUAAUACAUUAUGACAUUUGUGGUCCAAUGAAUGUGAGAGGAAGGCACAUGACUGUUUAUUUCAUCAAAUUUAUAAAUGAUUAUACACGAUUCAGAUAUGUCUAUUUGAUUUCUCACAAAUUUGAAGUAUUAAAUUGUUUCAAAAAGUUUAUGAGCUUAGUAGAAAAUCAAUUAGAUAAAAAAAAAGUAUUAAGAUUCGAUUGAUGUCAAGAAUAUUUAUCUAAUGAGUUCAGAAAUUUAUGUGAUGAAAAAAAUAAUAGAAAAACAAUUGUCUAUUCCCUAUAUUCCUCGACAAAUUGGUAUUGCGAAAAUGAGAAACAGAAUCCUACUAUAAAUGGUUAAGUCCAUGAUGGUGUAUGCUAAGUUACCCAUUAUCUUUUAGGGUGAUGUUUUAUUAACUGUUACCUAUAUACUUAACCGCGUGCCUUCCAAAUCAGUUACUUCCAAUCUAUAUAAUUUAUAAAUAGGUAGAAAACCAGACUUAAGUUUUCUUAAACCGUGGGGUUAUGCUGCCUAUACUCAUGAGCCCUCUCACAAGUUUGGGAAAUUGGGUCCCAGAGAUAAUAAUAGUAUUUUCAUAAGAUACUCUGAACACUCGAAAGGGUAUGUGUUUAUAUGCGAGCAGGAAAGUGGGAGUAUAACUGAAUUUGAAUUACGGGAUGUUAUAUUUUUAGAUAAUGAAUUUCAUAAAAAUGAUGAAAUAGAUGAUGAUUACUCUUUAUUUGAAACCUUGGAUCAAGAUAAUGAAUUUAGUAAAGUUCGUCCAAGUGGGAGUAACAUAAGAAGUGAUGAAUUGAAUUCAACUCACUCUCAAUUACAACAAUAUGAUGAGACCAUAUUGUUAUUAUCUAAUCCGAGUGAGAGCAUAAUGGAGAAUAAUGUGCAAAGUGUAUAAUCUCCCGUACAACUAACAAGUUGCAAAAAUAUUACCCGUUGACGUUCUGACAUUGAAAGGGAAACUCUUAUAAUUGCUUCAUAGGAUGAAGAUGAGCCAAGAAAUGUAAAUGAUGCUCUAAAUUGCCUUAGUAAGAAAAAAUGGAUGCAUGCUAUGGAAGAGGAAAUUGAGUUAAUGAAGUUUGUUACGCCCUAAUCCUCCGAGCACGUACCCAUCCCUCUGUGGUCAAUUAAAUAACGACGUCUCAAGACGCAUUGUCGACCCAUUCAUUUUAAUAUACACAUGCAGAAGCAGUUAUAUAAUCCUUAAACAACAACAAGAUGUGAUAGAAAGAUAGGAUCAUUUUUUCACAAAUUACCUUUUUAUAAACACACGGGUAUAUACACAAAGGUUUAGGAAAGGGAUGGGCUUCCAACAAAAGUGAAUUGUCCUAUGACUAGCUAGUCGGACAUGAUCGCCAAUUCUUCAGGUUUCACCUCCUAAACUUCGGGUUUCGGGUCCUCCACCGCUUUUAUCCCACAACGGGGUGAGAUGACGUCUCAGCAAGUUCAACUUCCUAAGCCCCAACUAGGAAGAAAAUACAUCCACAAGGUUUACUUAUGCACAAUCACGAGAUAUUGGACUUACCUUUGCCUCAAAUUCUUCUUGCACAUCAGUACAAUUAUAUAUUCAUCAUAUCAUUUCACUCAAUCAAAUCAUCAAACCGAUCAAAUCAUCGAUCAAUCAAACUAGACGAUUCCAUGUUAUCACGACCUACUCUCUGUUGGCACAUUCAAUACUCAAACCAACUAUUAUUCACGACCACUCACGGGCACAACCUAUUCCAGAUUCAAUGGCUUCCUAGUGUAACUAGGUUAAUUAUAGUCUAAUGGGCACAACCUUGAUUAUGUGGUAAAUCACGGUCCGAUAGGCAUAACCUUUAUUAGGUGGUAAUCACGACCCAAUGGACACAACCUCUAUUAGGUGAUAAUUACGGCCUAACGACACAACUUCUAUCAGGUGGUAAUCACGGCCUAACGGCACAACCUCUAUCAGGUGAUAAUCACAGCCUGAUAGGCACAACCUCUUUUAAGUGGUCUUCUUAACCUCACCCAUAUUAUCACACGAUUACUCGCCCAUGGUCCAUGACAUUGAGCUUCACACUUAAUUUUCUCAAUUAACAUAACGUCAUGACUUAUUUUCUUCAUAUUCAAAAUACCCGACAAAAAUAAUCGUGUGUAGGUACACGAUCGGCCUUAUCCAAAAUACAAUAUUUUCACUUUUGAAAAUCCCACUAAAUUUAGCAGUCUCAAAAUACAUUUUUGCCGCUGUAGACCGAUACUCGGUAAUUUUCUAAUUAAUUACUGAAAUUAAUUAAUUUUGGGAUAAUUACCCAAAAUUGCAAACAUCCAAUUUGUACAAAAUAAUAGUCAAUUAAAUAAACAGAUCACACCACUACAAUCAGCAUGCAAUUCCGAUCACCGGCUAUCCCGGUCUAAUUUUCGAAAAAUAAAUAAAUAAAUAAAUACAAAAAAUAAUUAUUAAAUGCAAAUAAAUAAGACUUAGGCAGAGCCAUGGUUCCGUUUUUAAGGUUAUCCAUUCCAUGCGUUUGGUAGGUGAAUCCAGUGCUGAGAAGAUCCCUUCUCAUCAUGUCUACAGAACCUAAAAUCCUCGAAGCACCAGUUUCUCUUGCUCCCUCUCCUUCAUCCUCAACACCUCAAGAGUUUCGUGUUUCCAAUGCUUCUAAGAUAGAUUAUCUCUAUGAAGUCUCUCUUAGCGAUGAAACCAAGAUUUUUGAAACUCAACUUCCUCUCAUGAAUCCUUACUCCGCCUUUGUUAAACCAAACUCGUCAUUCUCACCCAUUCGCUCCAUUCGCCAGCUCAUUCACUAAACCCCAAAGCAAGUAAAGGAGUACGUCCAGUCCUCUAAAUUCGACCAGCAUCCUAUUUCUGCUACUAAAAAAUAGUACUUUGUUACUCUCCAGAUCCCUCCAAAGUUUCCCAGACAAUGGGCUCAACAAGGAUACACUCAUGUCCAUUAUGGAGCUAUUCGUCUUGCUCUUACCUUUCAUAGUCGUAAAUGUUUGCCAGUUGUGGCAAGAAUUGCUUUAUUGAAUACUAGAUUUUUACAAUACCAGCAUGCUUGCAUUGGUACUGUACAAAACUACUUUGAAUGUCAGAACAGUCCUUGUAACUUUGUAUCCAAACUUCAACAUCGCUCUUUCAGAUCCCCAGUUACUUUCUUUCUUAAAAGUCCAAGUAUAGCUCACUGGAGCCCCUCAAACUGCUGACUCUGUAGCUGCAACUCUACAUUACCAGAUGGUUUAUCGAGUGCAGAAUCAUGCUCUUGAUCUCAACUUCAACAAUGGUAAUGAAGAUGCUUUGUUUAUCUCCAUGCAAAAUGAUCAUGCAUCAUGUAUCCAUGUUCUCAAACAGAUCUCAAAGGAUACGUUGGCCAAGCUCCUUCCAAAGACUUGGAUCACCAACUACGAAAAGCUACACCAGCAUAACAAGCCUUUCCAGUCUACGGACUCAGAGUUCGUCCGGAAAAAAGAUGGAACUGUUUCCAUCAAAUUUGGCAAGGAAAAUGAAGAAAGUCCUUCUAUCUUCCAAAUCCUCUUCAUGAUUGAACCAUGUGUUCCAGAAUUGAUUUCCGAGUCAGACCCAAAAAAACUUGUUCGACACUUCAACAGUAAUGGACAUCCAGUCCAUUACUACAAAGACAACUAUGGUCAUUGUUUUUUGAAUCCUUUUUGUCAAUGUUCCUAUUGUACAAAUUCCCCUAAUGAGGUAGACCCUCUUGCAAGACCUCCACCUCAACCAAAAAGGCCAAAGGAUAAGGUGUACCAAAGGUACUUAAACGGAGAUCCCUCCUUUGAUACUCUUGGUGAGUGUGAUAAAUACCAAUUCAUGGUUUCCUAUGCACCACCUCCACCACCAGAGUUCAGUACUACAUCCCAAGCUUCACUAGAUCCACCAAAAUCACCUCAACUUUCUCUCCCUCAGAAAAAACAAGCUCUUUCUCCGUUUUACAAACCAAUUCUAAAAUGGGCUAAGAAGCAUUCUUACCCACUUGAAGCUCCAGCAGAAACAUUACCCACUUCUUCUAUCGCCAUGUUCCAUGAAAUUGACUUUCCCCCUCUUGUCAGAGAAAGUUCCAAAUUAUUGUUUCCUACUCCCGAGGAAUUCAUUGAUCCACAAAACAGAUAUCGUCAUGUUCCAAAAAUAGCAACCCCCACUGAUGUGGAUGAACAUGAGAGAUAGAGAAAGACCCCUGUUGCUGAAGCAGUUCUAAAUUGACAAUGCCUUUAAGGCAAUUGAUUCCAAGAUUGGAAAUGUGCAACAAGAUCUCCAAAGGUAUGAUGAAAGCACCAAAAAGAUACUUUCUGAGUUCCAGAAAAAGCUUCAUGCCUUAGAAUCAAGACAACAUCUUGGGUAUCAUUAUUGUGAAAGUCCAAAGCCAUGGAGAGGUUUUUCACAAAGCACACACUUUACUUCAAGGGACUCUACCCAACACACUACACCCUCAUUGAAAUCCUGGACAUGCCUAGAAAAUUUCCGAACUACUUUAGUUAAAUACUAGAGCUUGUCUAAGCUUUAAUUACACUACUCUAACCACUUAACAUGCAAUAACAAUUAAUUAAAUUGCUAAUCGAAUCUAACUAUUCUUCUAAUCCAUACUAAGUCUAAACUAAUCAACCCUUAAACGUCAUUAACCUAUUAACUCACUUGUUAAGCAUUCUGUUUGGAUCAAAACGACGGGGGUGCGGCGAGGGACGAGAUACUUCAAAGUAGGACCGUUAAAUGGGGUCAGGAAUGGCUUGAAAACGGGCUGAACAGUGGCUGUGAUACCCAGGGGCUUUGGCUUCUGUUCGGGGUCGACGAAGGGCUGCUCGGCAAUCGGUUGGGUGGAAAUGGCUAGGUUGGACCGGUGGUGGCUAUAGCAAGCUUAGUAGGUGAAGGCGGUGGUGUACGGCGGCGAAGGGAGCUUCGAUGGUGGCCCGAGCUGGUCUGGCGAGUUCCUGGACGAGAAAGCAAGGCUGGAUAGCGGUGGAGGACACACGGAACAACCGGACAAGUGGCGAGGCCCGCGAAGGCGCACGACAACAAAUGACGGUGAACGGUAACUUUGGCGGGAUGCUCGACGACCAGGGGUGCUUCUGGUUUGACUGCUCUAGAUUGCUAAGCUCAAAAACAACAAAUGAAGGAGGGGGAGGCUACUCGACGGUGGGGGAGAGAGAGGAAGGAGGGAGGGGACAAACUGGCUUGGAGGGGGCCACCUUUUGUCUUUCUUAUCCCAUUUGGUCCCUCCUUGACCGGUCCUACCUCCACAACUGGUGUCCACUAAGAAUUUUCAAGCCAAAAUGCCCCUUCUAGAAGGCUUGAGGAGGUCCAAUUGUUGGGUCCAAUGGGGCACACGAAUUUGCAAUAAAUUUCCCUUAAAUUGGACUUCAAUCCUUCUUGAAUCAACUGGAUUCAACCUCUAUAAAUCCCACCGACAUACCAUUGACAAAUUGGUAUUUUUCCAAGACAUUAGAACCUACUUGCAUCCCAAUUAUGCGGUAAAAAAUGAUCCUCUGACUUUUCUGGACGAAAACAGCUCUACAUCGACUUUUUUCACCAAAAAUCCUGAUUUGCAGAAAAAUCUUCGGAGACCGAGUCGACGUUUCUAAAAUGACUUGCGACAUGACAGAACUUUCAAUUUCUAAAAUCAAAUUCAAAUUUGCGGUUAAUUUCGAUUUGGCGCUAUUUUAGCGUGACCUAAACUACCAAGUAGCUUUCAUAAAUUUUUAGUGUAAAUGACCCGUGGUCGAUUUUCUUCGAGCCACAAUGAACCUCUUCGACACAUUGACGAUUUUCGGUUGCCGUGAAAAUUUCAAAGAUUCAAAUAUGGAUACAUGGUAUCAAAAUGAUAGAAAAAUCAGUCUAGUGUUGGUCAAUGAGAAUUUUGUAAUUUAGUGAAACCACCCAUGUUUAGCCACACAUCUCAAUCGAAUCGAUCUAUCUCUGAUUUCUAAUUGACUUAUAUUUGUGUCGUAAUAACAUCUGCAGAUGAGCACGGUCGAAUAGCCGAUUUCUAGUCGAACCCUCGAGUUUAUUGCGUUAAAUUUCCUUAAUAACUUCCAUAGAUAGUCUAAUUAUUUCACAAGUAAACAAUUAUGAGAAUAGCACUAUAGACGCAUCGAUGAAAGGCUCGAUUAAUUUAAUUGAAAGCAGAAAUAAAAAUUCAGGAUGUCACAAAGUCAAACUAUGUUUGGGAAUUGGUUGACUUUUCAAAAGGAUACAAAGCCAUUAAGAAUAAGUGGGUUCUCAAAAUAAAGUGUAAAUGUGAUGGCUCAAUAGAAAGAUAUAAUUAUUGUCUUGUGGCGAAUGGGUAUAAUCAACGGGAAUGAAUUAAUUAUGAGGAAACAUUUUCUUCGGUAGUGAGAUUGACCUCAAUUUACAUUAUUCUGGCAAUAAUAGUUAGUAUGGAUAUUGAGUUACAUCAAAUGGAUGUAAAGACUACUUUUCUCAAUGGAGAAUUAGAAGUAGAAAUAUAUAUGGAACAACCUAUUAGUUUCAUUUUGAAAGGUCAAGAACAAAAUGUAUGUCGACUUUUGAAAUUGAUAUAUGGCCUCAAGCAAUUGUUGAGACAAUGAUAUAUGCGUUUUCAUAAUGCUAUAAUGACAUAUGAUUUUACAAUAAUUGAUGAGGAUCAUUGUAUAUAUAUCAAGAGAUUUAAAGAUUAAUUUGUGAUCAUAUUAUUAUAUAUUGAUGAGAUACUGAUUGUCGGAAGCAAUAUGGAGUUUGUUAAUACUGUCAAGAGUUGAUUAUUUUCCAACUUUGAGAUGAAAGAUAUGGGUGAGACUGCAUACUUUUUUGGAGUUAAGAUUUCAAGGGAUCAUUCGAAGAGAUCAUUAUCUCUUUUGUAAGAAAUAAGAUUAUUGAAUGAUUUCGUAUGCAAGAUUGUAAACCCAUAAAUACUCCUAUUGCAAAAGGUGAAUGAUUGAAUAAUAUAAUGUGUCCAAAGACUCCAUAAGAGAAUAAACAAAUACAAUAUGUUCUUUAUGUUAAUGUUGUUAGAAGCUUAAUGUACAUUAUGAUGUGUACAAGACCUGACAUAUGUUUUGCAGUUGGAAUGGUAAGUGGAUACCAAUCCAAUCCAGGUCAAGUACAUUGGAAAGCCGUCAAAGAAUACUUAGGUAUCUAAAAGGAAUUGCUUAUUAUACACUAAGUUACCAAAGAAAAGAUCUGCGACUUGAAAGCUAUUUAAAUGCUGAUUGGGAAAGAGAUUUAGAUAAAAGGAAAUCUAUCUUUGGAUUUGUUUUUUAACUGAAUAAUGGCGUCAUAUCUUGGAGCAAUAAGAAACAAACAUGUAUAACUUCGUCCACGAUGGAAGCUGAGUCCGUGGCAUUAUCAGCAGUAAUACAAGAAGGUGUUUGGCUUAAGAGAUUUUUGGAUCAUUUAGGCGUUAUUGUGAAUAUUGCAAACUCAUUGUUGGUUAACUAUGAUAGCCAAACAGCAAUAGUGUAUACCAAAGAUCUAAAAUAUCAUCAUAGCAAGACUAAACAUAUAGAUACCAAGUAUAAUUUUGUCAAAGAUAUGGUUGUAUAAAAAGAUGUGAAUAUUGUAAUUUCAUUUAAGUGUUCACAUUUAAUGACUUUGUAUUUUCAUUAUUAAUGCCUCUAAGUCUUUGUUUGAUGUUUAUGCAUUUUAAUAUUUAGUGCAUUAUGUAAAAUUGAAGAAAGUAUGUCAAACAUAUAAGAGAUUAGCCCACUCACACAGGUAAUCGCCUCUAUUUACUAUGUGAUAUAUAGAUAUGAGGUGGUUUUUAAGCUUAUUAACUAAGUGAUAAUCGAGAGCUCAAGCUUAAAAUAUAUAUGUUACAUUAACUGAGUGUUAAGAUGAGGACAUAGUAUUUAAUAUGUGCAAAAGUAAAAUAACCAACAUAUUUUACUUUAUUUGUCUAUAAUGCUAUAUGUGAGUUCUGAUGAAUUUCGUGAAAAAGUAGAUACGUUAACUUAAGUUGGAUAUUAGGUGUGUCUGAACUAUCAUCUGUACGGUAUUAAAGGUGUAGACAUACGUUUCAUAGGGAAUGAGUUAAUACCGUAAUACAUAUUUCAUACUACGUAUGCAUGAGACAAUCAAUAAGAGUGGCAAAAUUUUUUAUCUCAAUUUUUAUACCGUGUGAGACUCUUGAGGAAAAGAGUUCCUCAAUUUAGUGCCCUUAUGGCUCUUACUUAUUUUCAAGAUUUCUAUUUAGUAUUUACUAUCUUAGAAUGUUGCCAAUGAUCAUGAGUUGAUUCAAUCUAAUAAGAUAUUUCUAGAAAAACAAGUUGAAUUGAAAUUGAGAGUUUCAAGAAAAGAGAAAGAUCGAGUUUGAUGAAUUACAUUCUUAUUUUGUAUUCUCUAGUCAACCAAUUAUGAUUGUUUCGGGAUAAUCAUAAUUGUGAAUACAAUAUAUCAUUGUUAAAAAGAGAUAAAAUAAUGAUGUAAAUGUGAUUAAUCGAUUUAGGGUACUGCAUACUAUAUCUACUAAAAAAUGUAAUGUCCAUUAUGAGCUGCCAUAUAUUCCUAACAUAUAUAUGAUAACGAGUUAUCAAAGUAUGUUGGUCGCACGAAUUAUUUACUAGUGUGAAUGUUGUAGAGAGGUAAAGAGAGUUCUAUUCGGCCAACUAUGUGUGAGUAAAAGAUGAUGGGUUUUUAUGUGUGAUGGGCCUAUUAAGCCCGUCUACCCAUGUUGAGUCAAAACCUAGCCCGUAAGUAAAGGGUCCAUAAAAGAGUGCAGUUACUAUAAUAAAUAGAAUAAAAAGAAGUAAAAAGGGGAUAAGUGAACAGUUGCAUUUUUUAGAAGAGAAAAAUACGUUUUUCUUUUCUUUUUUCCCCUUGAAAUAGUACACACUCUCUCAACGAAUUGAACUAGGGCUUCGAAGGAUUCCUCAUAAAAAUUGCGACGGUACUUAAUCUGUGGUAAUUAAGAUAUGUCCGACUCCGUGAUAUGUCUUCGAUUGAUGUUAUAUGUUUUUGGGCACGUUUUCGCGUUCGUUUUCGAUAUUCAAUCGUUUGAUUAUCGGAUCCUUUUUUUUUUUGGAAUUUUUUUUCCUACAACGGAGAUCAUCAGAUCCUCGAAAGCUCGCCAUAUAGGAGCCAACGUAACCAAAUUCCGAACAACAAAAAGAGUUCGAUCCUGAAUCCAUGCGAAUGUCUUCUACUUGUUUACUGGUCUUUGCUCUUGAGUGGAGCCAAUGGAUGCUAGCUUUUUUGGGGGUGGAUUCCCAUCUUUGUCCUCAUCGGCCGCCCAGCAUAGCCUCAAGCUCCAAGCCCGCGAUGCGAUCAUCGCUUGGAUCGAGGCUUGUUCAAGGUAGUGAUCAAUCUCGAUCGGAGGCUGCGAGGACCCGGGGACAACCUCCAUUGCCAGUCAUGGGGAGGCGCCAGCUGAGAGGAGAGAUGGAAGAGAAAGAGAGACGGAGAAACCGGGAAUAUGGAGAGAUGGGAGAGAGCUGCGCCCUUAGUUGCUGCUCGAUCCGCUCUUGCCGUUUCCCAUCAACUCUGCUCUCGGCUUCGAGACUCAUGCCUUGUCCGGAACCUUUGAUGCUCUUCGCGAUUAAUCACUGGCUUGAAGCAGUGAGAGGGAUAGCUGGCAAGGACAUAGCUUGAGCAGCAGGGAGAGAGAAGGGGACAGGAGAGAGCUGCGGAGUCUCUGCUAGUGAAGAGAGACCCCCAACUACUUGAGGGUAGUGUAUGGAGUUGAUGUAGGGCUGUAUUUAGCGCCCUCCCUUCGUGGUAUUAACCCAAAACUAAAACCUUUGAAAUAGGCACGCAACAUAUUUAGUUUUCGACUGUGCUUGUGUUUAUAGUUCCGGUGAUACAAUGCACAUAUGUAUAUUAUAGGACUGAAGAGGUGUGAAUAGUAAAUUGGUGAUGCGACUUCUUGAUGAAUUUGCAAUGAUUUUGUUCUUUUUCUUUUUAAUCAAUUCAACACUUUACUGCUUCCCCUCUACAAAACAACUAUUAGCUCUGCGAAGGGGUGUAUUUUAAAAUGUAUUAAGUGAAGUAGAUGUUAGGGAUUUUUAUUUUUUUUUUAAUUUCAGGCUUCACUUAGUAUAUUCUUAGUUAUAAUACCUAAGCAUUUUGCUUACUACUACAAAAAAUUUCAAAAUAAUACAUUCGUGUCACAUUACUAAAAACUAAUUUUCAUGUCACAAAAAAACUCCAUACCGGUACGCUCACAUCACAUUUACCCCAACUAAUUGUCAUGUCACGAAAAAUCUCGAAUUGGUACAUCCGAGUCAUAUUUAACUCAAACUGAUGAAAAGAUCUUAAAGUUUGAGGUAAAUGUGGCAUGGAUAAACCACUUGAAGGUUUUUGAAGAAAUUAGUCCUAAACAUUUUGCUAUUUUAAAAAAAAAAAUUAUAUAGAUGAACUUUUGGAUUAUGCAAAAGUCGUCUUACUUCUUGGAUCGGGAUUGCAGUUGUCCGAUUACUUUCAUAUGUCACACUCUUUAGGAAAUAUGCUUAUACUAUUAGUAUUCCUACCCCAAAGUUUUUUAUUGCAAUGCAUAUUGCAACACAAUAUAUGUUAUUAAGAUGGAAUGAGGAGUAUGGAUUGCGUUUGUCUUCUUAGGAUAGUGGGUUGAUUUUUUCUUUCCGAUUUGCAAAACUAGAUAGUAUAAUUUUAUUUUAUUCGUGAAGAAAACAAAAUAAUAUAUGAUGAAUUGAUGACAUGGCUUUUUAGAGUUUAGAUUGGAAAGUAAGAAAAAUUUCAAAUAAAUGCAUGAAGUGUCAUUAUUUUUUCAAAUAAUAGCAUGAAGUGGACAUUGUUUCAAAAAAUGGUCCAAAGUGUCAUUAUUUUCUUAAAUAAGAGUUUGAAAUAGACAUUAUUUUAAAUAAAUAUUUGAAGUGGUCAUAUCAAUUUUAAAGAAGAGCUCGAACUCACCGGCUAGUGAAGGGCAAUUUGUCUUUUAAUUUUUAAUUUUUUUCCUUUUUGAUUUUUUUUCCUUUUUUUCUUUUCAUAAAAAAACUAAAAAAACUAAAACUUCUAAAAAAAGGAAGCAAAAACAUAUGUGGGAGGGCUUCAUCUCGUCUGUGGCUGCCGCCUCACUGCUGAUGGGGUAGCGGCAAUGGUUGGUCAGGUUGUUGACUCUUGGCGAGGGUCAUGGCAAGUUGGCCCUCACAUUGGCUUGGUGGCCCUCCCCCAAGGCCUUCGUACCUCGCGCCUACCUUGAUGGCCAUUGUCGUUGCCCCAUUGGCGAUGGGGUGACGGCCAUGGGAGCCUUUCCUCUCGUAUUUUUUUAUCUUCUUUUAAUUUUUAAUCUAGUUUAACUUAAUUUAAAUUUAAAUUUAAAUUCUGUUUGGAUGAAAAUAUUCCUUGAGACUUGAUCCUUAUUUGAAACAGUUAUAACCACUUUAGGCUCUUUUUUGAAACUGAUAUAGUCACUUUAGACUCUUAUUUGAAAUAAAAACUGCUUCAUAUAGUUAUUUAAGAAAAUGAGGGCAUUUUGAGUUUUUAUUUUGAAUUUUUUUUUUUUGGGACAUAUGCAAUCACUUUUUCCCCCUUUCUUAUGGCAAUUGUCCAGCCAAACGUUGAAGGCCAACUAACUGACAAGGUAAAAGAUGAUUGAUGUAAUGGAAAGCUACUACAUAGGAACUUUAGCUUUNNNNNNNNNNNNNNNNNNNNNNNNNNNNNNNNNNNNNNNNNNNNNNNNNNNNNNNNNNNNNNNNNNNNNNNNNNNNNNNNNNNNNNNNNNNNNNNNNNNNNNNNNNNNNNNNNNNNNNNNNNNNNNNNNNNNNNNNNNNNNNNNNNNNNNNNNNNNNNNNNNNNNNNNNNNNNNNNNNNNNNNNNNNNNNNNNNNNNNNNNNNNNNNNNNNNNNNNNNNNNNNNNNNNNNNNNNNNNNNNNNNNNNNNNNNNNNNNNNNNNNNNNNNNNNNNNNNNNNNNNNNNNNNNNNNNNNNNNNNNNNNNNNNNNNNNNNNNNNNNNNNNNNNNNNNNNNNNNNNNNNNNNNNNNNNNNNNNNNNNNNNNNNNNNNNNNNNNNNNNNNNNNNNNNNNNNNNNNNNNNNNNNNNNNNNNNNNNNNNNNNNNNNNNNNNNNNNNNNNNNNNNNNNNNNNNNNNNNNNNNNNNNNNNNNNNNNNNNNNNNNNNNNNNNNNNNNNNNNNNNNNNNNNNNNNNNNNNNNNNNNNNNNNNNNNNNNNNNNNNNNNNNNNNNNNNNNNNNNNNNNNNNNNNNNNNNNNNNNNNNNNNNNNNNNNNNNNNNNNNNNNNNNNNNNNNNNNNNNNNNNNNNNNNNNNNNNNNNNNNNNNNNNNNNNNNNNNNNNNNNNNNNNNNNNNNNNNNNNNNNNNNNNNNNNNNNNNNNNNNNNNNNNNNNNNNNNNNNNNNNNNNNNNNNNNNNNNNNNNNNNNNNNNNNNNNNNNNNNNNNNNNNNNNNNNNNNNNNNNNNNNNNNNNNNNNNNNNNNNNNNNNNNNNNNNNNNNNNNNNNNNNNNNNNNNNNNNNNNNNNNNNNNNNNNNNNNNNNNCUUUUUAGCUCCUUUGAAAACAUUUUUCAAAUACAAAAGUUCAGUAUCUUCCCACUGAAUUAGUGAAUUAGGUAGCACUCCUUUGUAUAGAAUAACACACACCAAAAUUAAUCUUUCAUAAAUUGCAUUUCAUUGUAAAUGUGAACUACUUAUACACAUAAAAAUAUAAAUCAAAAUACGGGAGAUAAAAAAGAUGCAUGGUCAUUUGUCUACUUGGCUAGUUAGGGAAAGGUUUUGAAAAUAAAUAAAUAAAAUAACAAGUCAUCAAUGGAAAUGGAAUGAGAGGGAUUUGAACCCUUGGUACGAAAAACUCAUACAACGGAUUAGCAAUCUUACACUUUAGUCCACUGAGCCAUCUCUCCCCAUUGAAAAAGGAUAAUUAUUAUCUUACAUCACAAAUGAUUAAUUGAUCUCUUUUUCUAGCUCCCUUACUCUAUGUUUUUGUUAAUCCCGUCUAUAAUGAUUGAUGAAUUAACAACUAUCAAUUGAACUUAUUCUUUCAUUUGAAUUGGUAUUUUUGCUUAUCUUCAUAUAUUGAAACUUAGGGAAGUGUUUUAUAAACAUAUGUAUAAAAAGAACACAUUUCAUUCAGCUCCUUCAUCUUCAUGCAAGCAUGACAUCAUUAUGAACAUGAAGUCCACACUUUCAGAGAGAGGCUAGCCCAACUUAAAUGGGAUAGGAUAGCUUGGUCUAACAUUCUUGCCAAUACAUUAUCCUUAUUCUAUUCCGGAUUGUAAUCUCUAAUGAAAAAUAUAAGCACUAUAGUGAUUAAAGUGAUCUUUUUCAUAUAUUUUUUAGCCCUUCCAAUGGAUCCUGAAAGUCGUAUCUACUAUACCAUAAAUGUGUGGGAGGGGGAGUGACAAUAUUAACUUACUUGCUCACUUUUUAUUUCUCUCUAAACUAAAGAGUUUUCUAAAAGAUGCCACUCUACGAGGAAAGUCCACGGGUCAAGUCUUGCGAGUUCAUCCCAAAGAAAGCGAUCACCUUCCUAGUUAGGAAGAUGCAUAUAAAAGGCCAAUAGCCUCAUGUCACCUUCCACGGCAUAAGCUUUAAAGAAGAGAGCUAUUCAUGCUAAUAAUAAAUAAAGAUUUCAUAAGAUAAGAAAAUCAAUUUUUUUUUGAAAGGGAAAUCCCAAGAAAUCACCAUCAAUAUCUCGGUGUAGGUCCGAGAUAAUCCUUUGUUCCAUAGUCCUAGGGUGGGGCUAUUUACAACUAGCCAAUUGAAAAUUCUCCGAUGUACUAGUACUAGCAAGUGUAUCAAAGAUGCAGUUAUCGAUUCUCUCGAAAGGCCACAAUUACUGUGAGAAAACCAAGGCAAUGAUCAGUAAUUGGUCUGAGUGGAUGAUUAGCCACAUUGAGACUAAGACACGGCUCAGACUCUUAUGGGAGGUAGCAAUAGGGAAUUUUCUGCAAUGGGGGAAAGCCUAGAGUAAGCUACCAUGAGAGAAAAGAUCUUAUUUCUAAAAGGAUUCGAUUCGGAAUUAUCAUAUAUCCAAGGUCCAAUAUUGAAAUAAUUUCACAAUUUUUCCAUGACUUUAGAUGCAAAUCUUUUGAUUCUAUCUCUAAUAUUCUUUACCCCUUCCCAUGUCAAUAACUAAAACGGAAAAAAAAAAAAAGGGAAUGUAAAUGCAUCCGGAAAUAAACAAUUGAUCCCUAUCAAAAGACCUGCUAAAGCCCCAAACCAUACACGUUCACUUAAAAAAAAAAAAAAAAAUCCUUCUGUACGAAUCAAUAAUUAAGAAAAAUUGAGAAACUUAACACAAAGGUGGAAAUCAACCCGCGUCUUCUCCUUGUCAAAGAGAAAUUUUACCAUUCGACUAUAUCCGCAUUUUUUUUUUCAUUCUUGAUACCUUGAUACGAGGUGUUUGGAUAAUAUUUAUCCCUAGCUAGGCCACAUACUGUGAAACCUUUUAAGCACGGGAUUGGACAGUUGUGAUUGGAUUUUAUUUACUAGUCGUAAUUGCGCUUUCAACCAUGAUGGAAUUCUUUGAGCUAGGAUCUAAAGAGAUGGUGACAAGACUCAUUCGACUCACAAUUCGUACUGCAUGGGUCGAUACGCAUAGCGUCUAGUGUCCAUCGUUUACGACUAGGACUACCGGGGCAUCUAAUCCCAUUCGCUCCCUUAACUUUUGCCUCUGAGUGUCAAUGUCGGCCAGCAAAGUGCUUUUGCCAUUAGUGUUCUUUUCGAUCUCUCCACAUUUCACCGCUCCACUAGAAAUUCCCUCUACCAUAGUUAAUGGUUCCAAUUUAUCCUAAAUUUUGGCUUUUGUGAUUGAAAAACCACAUUUGAUUUUUCAGUUUUUCAAUAUCAAUAUAAAAAAGAGGGAAAUUUUUUUAGAUAUUUAGUUUUUGAGAUACUAUACAUACAAACGAAGGGAAGGAUCCGAUUCGUAUAGCUAAUUCCUAUAAAUGUCUAUUUUCUAGGCUAUUCAACCAACAUGUUUCCCUGGAGAAUCGGUAAAUGCUUCUGCUACGAAAAAGGGUUGGGAUAUGAAAUGCUCAAUUUUUUGUGCUCUUGCUACGGUUAAGCAAUCCUCUUCAGAUAAUUCAUCUAACCCAUAGAUAGCUAUAGUGUCCUAAAGUUCUUUGUAACGUUGUAAAGUUUGCAUCUAGGGUUUCUUGAACAAUGUGAUAUUUCACACCAGGUAAAUCCUUAACCCUUUCCCCUCUUACUAAGACUACAUAAUGUUCUUGUGAAUUAUGACCAAUACCAGGUAUAUAAGUAGUGAUUUCAAAUCUAGAGGUUUGGCUAGGGCAUUAUAACAUGACCCAAAUAAGCCUCACUCACCGAUAUUUGAGCAAUUCUUCUUGUUGCUUUUAUAGAACUUCCCUCUUGUAUCAUCUGUAGGGAAUUACUGAUUCCCUAAAAUGGAUUCGACACUAAAUUGAACCCCUAAAAUGAAUGCGGAAGACGAGCCCAAGAACAAACAUGUAUCACCGAUCAAAGGCACACAACAUAAUCGAGCGUACCUUAUUAUCCACAGAUUAAACACCAACGUUGAAGUUUGAGAAAGAAUCUUGAUCUCGUUCUACUGAGGAGUGUACUGUUGCUGGAAGGGGAAAAACGUCGUUUUUGAGAGCGUAGCGUCUUACGCUUCUUGGAGGGAGAGAGAGUCUUAAACAACAUACGUACCCCAAAGGGUACGUUCCCUUUUUCUUUUUCUCUCUUACGUUUUCUCCAAAAGACGUAUCUCUUCAACGUAAAACAUUCCUCCAAAAGACAUAACCCCUCAUAUCUAAAUAACGUAGCCUUUCACAUUGCAACCGUUCCUCCAUGGGCCCUUAUCUUGCGGGUUGGGCUUUUAGGCCCAACAUGGGCGUACGGGCCCACUUAGGCCCAUCAAUAUACAAAUAAAACCAUCAUCUCCCACUCGCACAUGGUGGGCCGAACAGGAUCCUCUUUACCUCUCUACAACAUUCAUACCGGUGAAUAAUCCGUGCGACCAGCAUACUUUGAGAGUUCGUUACUAUACAUAUGUUAGGAAUAUAUAGCAACUCAUAAUAAGCAUCACACUUUGAGUAGAUUUAGUAUGCAGUACCCUAAAUCGAUCGAUCACAUUUAUAUCUCUCUUGAUCUCUUUUUAAUCAUUGAUAUAUUGUAUUCACAAUUACAAUUAUCCCAAAAACAGUCAUAAUUGGUCGACCAGUGAAUACAAAACUUAGAAUGUGAUUCUCCAUAUUCGAUCUUCCUCUUUCCUUCAAACUCUCAAUUUCAGUUCAAUUUGCUUUUCUAGAAAUGUCCCAUCAGAUCAAAUCAAUUCAUGAUCAUUGGCAACAUCCUAAGAUAGCAAUCAUUAAAUAAAAAUCUUGAGAAUAAGUAAGAAUCAUGAAGGCACUUAAAUUGAGGAACUCUCUUCCUCAAGAGUCUCACACGGUAUAAAAGUUGAGAUCAAACUUUUGUCACUCUUAUUGGUCGUCUUAUGCAUACAUAGUAUGAAAUACAUAUUACAGUAUUUAACUCAUUUCCCAUGGAGCGUAUGUCUACAUCUUUAAUACCGUACAUAUGAUAGUUCAGACAUACCCAAUGUCUAACUUGAGUUCACAUAUCUACUCAUACACAAAAUUCAUCAGAACUCACAUCUGGCAUCAUAGACAAACAAAGUAAAAUAUGUCGAUUAUUUUACUUUCAGACAUAGUAAAUAUUAUGUCAUCAUUUUAACACUCAGUUAAUGCGACAUAUUUUAAGCUUAAGCUCUCGAUUAUCACCUAGAUAAUAAGCUUAAAAACCGUCUCAUCUCUAUUAUUACACAGUAAAUAGAGACGAUUACCCAUGUGAGUGGGCUAAUCUUUUAUCUGUCCAACAUACUUUAUCAACUCAAUAUAAUGCACUAAGCAUUAAGAUGCAUAAACGUUAAACAAAGAUUCAUAGGCAUUAAUGAUGAAAAACACAAAUUCAUUAAAUGUGAACACUUCAGAGAAAUUAUAAUAUUCAGUAUAUAAGCCUCUACGCAGUCCUAGAAAUUUUACAUGACCACAAAAUACAUCUCUAGGUAUUGGCUUUGUCAUAGGAUCUGCUACCAUUCUAUGCGUAGAUAUGUACUGUAAGUUCACAUCUUUUUGUGCAACCAUAUCCUUAACAAAAUUAUACUUGAUAUCUAUGUGUUUGGUCUUGCCAUGAUAUUUUGGAUCUUUGGUGUACGCUAUAGCUGUUUGGCUAUCACAAUUAACCAAUAAUGGAUUUGUAGCAUACCCAAUAACAUCUAAAUGAUCCAAAAAUCUCUUAACCCAAACACAUUCUUGUAUUGCUGCUGAUAAUGCCACGAACUUAGCUUUCAUCGUAGAUAAGGCUAUACACAUUUGCUUGUUACUAUUCCAAGAUAUGGCGCCAUUAUUCAGUAAGAAAGCAAAACCAGAGGUAGAUUUUCUUUCAUAUAAAUCUCCUCCCCAAUCAGCAUCUGAGUAGCUUUCAAGUCACAGAUCAUUUCAUUGGUAAUUCAGCUUGUAAUCAACAGUUCUCUUCAGAUAUCUUAGUAUUCUUUUAACGACUUUCCAAUGUACUUGACCUGGAUUGGAUUGGUAUAUACUCACCAUUCCAACUGCAAAACAUAUGUCAGGUCUUGUACACAUCAUAGCGUACAUCAAGCUCCCAAUAGCACUAACAUAAGGAACAUGUUUCAUUUGUUCCUUCUCUUGUGGAGUUCUUUGAUACAAUCUAUGGCUCAAUCAUUCACAUUUUGCAAUAUGAGUAUCAAUGGGUUUACGAUCUUGUAUACGGAAUCGUUCAAGAAUCUUAUUUAUGUAUGUUUCUUGCGAAAGAGAUAACGAUCUCUUCGAACGAUCUCUUCAUAAUAUUAACAAAUUCCAUAUUGCUCUCGGCAAUUAGUAUAUCAUCAACAUAUAAUGAUAUGAUCACAAAUUGAUCUUUAGAUCUUUUGAUAUAUACAUAAUGAUCCUCAUCAAUCAUUCUAAAACCAUAUGCCAUUAUGGUAUUAUGAAAACGUAUAUACCAUUGUCUUGACGACUGCUUAAGGCCAUAUAUCGAUCUCAAAAGUCAACACAUCUUUUCUUCUUGGCCUUUCAUUUUGAAACCAAGAGGUUGUUCCAUAUAUAUUUCUUCAUCUAAUUCUCCAUUGAGAAAAGCAGUAUUUACAUUUAUUUGAUGUAACUCAAGAUCCAUACUAGCCACUAUUGUCAGAAUAAUGCGAAUCGAGGUAAAUCUCACUACAAGAGAAAAAGUUUCUUCAUAAUCAAUUCAUUUCUGUUGAUUAUACCUCUUUGCCACAAGGCGAGCUUUAUGUCUUUCUAUCGAGCCAUUAGCUUUACGCUUUAUUUUGAGAACCCAUUUGUUCCCAAUAGCUUUGCGUCCUUUUGGAAAAUCAACAAGUUCCCAAACAUGAUUUGACUUCAUUAACUCCAUCUCUCUUCCCUUGCAUGAAUCCAUUUUUCUAUUAGGGCAAUUUAGAGCCUCAUAAUAUUUCUUAGUUAAUCCUUAUCUUAUGGAGCAACCCAUAAAAUUUUCCCUUUCAAUGUCAAAACAUCGACGGGGAAUACUUUUGCGACUUGUUCGCCGUAUAGGAGAUUGUGCACUUUGUACAUUAUUCCCCAUCAUGCUCCCACUUGAAUGAAAUUAUGACGAUAUCAUCUCAUCAUGUAGUUGUAAUUGAGAGUGAAUUGAAUUAAUUUCAUCACUUCUCAUGUUACUCCCGCUUGGACAAACUCCAUCAAGUUCAUUAUCUUGAUCCAAGGUUUUAAAUAAGGAGUAAUCCUCACCUAUUUUGCCCUUCUUAGAAAUUCAUUCUCUAAGAAUGUGAUAUCCCGUGAUUCGAAUUCAGUUAUACUUCCACUUUCCUGCUCACCUAUCAUACCCUUUCGAGUGUUCAGAGUAUCUUAUGAAAAUACUCUUAUUUUCUCUGGGACCCAACUUCCCAAACUUGUGAGAGGGCUCAUGAGUAUAGGCAACAUAACCCCAUGGUUUAAGAAAACUUAAGUCCGGUUUUCUGCCUAUCCAUAACUCAUAUGGAGUAAAAGUAAUUAAUUUGGAAUGCACUCGGUUAAGUAUAUAGGCAGCAGUUAACAACGCAUCACUCGAAAAAGUGAUAGGUAAGUUAGCAUGUGCCAUCAUGGACCUAACCAUUUCCAAUAGGGUUCUGUUCCUUCUCACCGCAACACCAUUUUGUUGAGGAGUAUAUGGAAUAGACAACUGUCUUUUUAUUCAUUUUUCAAUACAUAAUUUUCUGAACUCAUCAGAUAAAUAUUCUCAACCUCGAUCGGAUCGCAAUACUUUUAUUUUCUUGUCUAAUUGAUUUUCUACCAAGUUCAUAAACAUUUUGAAACAACUCAAUGCUUUAGAUUUAUGAGAAAUCAAAUAGAUAUAUCCGAAUCGAAUAUAAUUGUGACAUCCUGAAAUUCGACCCUGUUUCGAUAAAGUGAAAUGGGCAUUUCAUCGACGUGCCUAUGGCUCUUUUUCUCUGAGCUGAUCACUCAUGAGUUAACUAACCUAUUGGGUGAAGCCGUUAAGGGAUGUAUCAGCUGUAAAAUCCCUAAAAGCUACCUAAUUGGUUGGAUUGAGCUAAAAUCACGUCUGAUUGAUUUUUAACCACGAAAUUGAACUCGAUUUCGGGAAUCGAAUUUUAAGCGCGUCAUAAUUCUUAUUUUAAGGAUCCUGUCUCAUCGCUCGUCAAUUUAUUGACGGGUCCGAAAUUUCAAUAAAGAAAUUAUCGGAAGAAAAAUUGAAGCCCAAAAGAAAAGAAAAGAGAAAGGAAAAGGAAAAUUGAAAUAAAGAAUUAUGCAUUUCCUUUUCUCUUUCCUCUCUCUCUCUCUCCCUCUCUUUCUUUCUUUCUUUCUUUCUCUCUCCUCUCUCCUCUCCCUUUUCCCCCUCGUGCGAAUUCCCCACCGCUCACUUUCCCUCUCUCUUUCUUUGACCGGUCAAUGCAUAUCCUUCUCUCUCUCUCUCUCUUUCUUCUUCUUCUUCUUCUUCUUCCUUCCUCCGCACGUCCAGCAAGCGAAAACCAGAAGCCGAACCAGAACCAGCUCGCCUCUCAGCCGUCGCCGCUUGUCCUGCCGCCACCCGCGCCCGAGCGCCCGCCACUCACCGCCGUCCGCGCGCGCCCAGGCCGCGCGAUCCAGCUCGGCCCAGCCCUGUUUCGCCUCUGUUCCGCACCGACCAGCCACCGUCCGGCCACCUCCGGCCACCGCUUAGCCCCGUCGGACCACCCUCGCGACCCCCUCGCCCUCCGCCGGCUUCCCCUCGCCGCCCUAGCCGCCGAAGCAGCCCCGAUCAGCCCCGUCCAGCAAACCCGCGAGUGGGUUUCCAGCUGGUUCAAGGCCGUUUUGGGCCGUUUCCGGGCCUCGAAUCCGUGAGUCGCUUUGGGAACAAUCGUUCCUCGCGUCGCCGCCGUCGGAUUGAUCCGAUUUGGUGAGUAAUCUCACUAAUCUCAGAUUAGUUGGCUAAUUAUGCUUUAAGGUUGGUUUAGUUUUAAUUAAUUAUGUUUAGGUUGUUAGAUUAGAAUAAAUUAGCAAUUAUUAGUCAAUUUUUAUGCGAUUUAAAUAAAUUGAUUGUGCAAUUAACAAGUAGACGUGGUCUACUAUUUAUUGGAAGCAUCUUGGGAAUUUUCCGACCCCUAAUUGGGCUUCAAUUUGGCGAUCCGGGCCUAAGUGGGAUUAUUGGCAUUUAAAUAUUAUUUUUCGAAAUUAAAUUAAUUAUUUAAUUAUUUUCCGAAAAUUCAACUGAGAUGGCCAGGAACCGGAAAAUUAUGCUGAUGACGGUGGUGGAGUUCGUUUGUUUAAUCGGGCUUUAUUUUGAACUAAAUUAGAUUUUUAAUGUUAAUUAUUUAAUUUUCGAAAUUAAUUAAUUAUUUAUUUAUUUUCCAAAAAUUCAACUGGGAUGGCCCGUGACCGGAAAUUUAUGCUGAUGAUCGUGGUGAAGUCCGUUUAUUUAAUUGGACGUUAUUUUGAGCUAAAUGGAAUUUUUAAUAUUUAUAAAUUAAUUUUUUUCGGAAAUUGAAAUUGAGAUGGCCGACGACCGAAAUCUCGUGCCGAUUGUCGUGGCGCAGUCUGUUUAUUUAUUUGAGCUUUGAAUUGUGCCAAAUUGAAUUGAAUGUGGAAUUUAGGAUAUGUUCCUAAAUCAUUGUGGUUAAUUAUUUCAUUGAGAAAUCAUUGAAUUUCUAAAGUGGUCGAGUGGGACCGUAAAGCCAUUGAAUAUCGAAAGUGGUCGAGUGGGACCGUAAAGCCAUUGAAUAUCGAAAGUGGUCGAGUGGGACCGUAAAGCCAUUGAAUUUCUAAAGUGGUCGAGUGGGACCGUAAAGCCAUUGAAUAUCGAAAGUGGUCGAGUGGGACCGUAAAGCCAUUGAAUAUCGAAAGUGGUCGAGUGGGACCGUAAAGCCAUUAAAUAUUGAAUGUUGCUGAGUGGGACUCUGAAUAGCAAUAGCUUGAAUGACCGGGAAAUGGUCAGGUUGACAUGUAAUCGACGAGGUCGAUUGAUCAUUGUUUUGAUUUGAUGUUGUGAAUUGAUUGACUGAAUGGGAACGACUGUGAGUGGUCUUGUUGGCUUGUAAUCGACUAGGUCGAUUUGAUCGAUGCUUUGAUCGGUGAUACGAUUGCUUGAGUGCCUAUUGUGAAUUGUAAUGACUUGCAGGUGGGAUCUGAUGCUAAGGUAUGUCUUCUGACCUAUGCGUGUUUAGGCAGCCUUUAGUAUAAUGGUUUACUAAUUGGGCUUAGUGGGGUAGAACUCGCUGAGACGUAGUCUCAUCCCAGUUUGGGGAAAACCAUUUCAGGACCCCGCUAAGGAGCUGAGGAGGAAGAGUUGGAGAAGGAUUUUUGUGGGAGAAGAAGACAAUCUCGAGAGGGGCCGUGAGUACGGCCAAGAUGGACUGAAACUUUAUCUUCUUUUGAGAUCUCCUUUUUGAUGUGAAUAGUUAUGAAGUGAAUUAUGGUUUGUAUAAAAGUUUGGUUAUAAAUUUCAAUAUGAAAAAUAUGGCCCUGCUUUUCUAUCCCAUCGUUUUAUUGUCUGGGGAUUUUAACUGCUUCCGCAUGUGCUUAAAAAUGAAAGGGUCGGCGAUACAUUGUCCUGGGAUAUCGCAUUAUAAAAUCGACCAAAUAGAAGGAUGUGCACGUGCCCGAGGAUCGGGGUGUGACAAUAAUCAUCUAUAAAUGUGAUGAAAUAAACAGCUCCAUGCCUUCCUCUCACAUUCAUCGGACCACAAACGUCAGAAUGAAUUAAAUGCAAAGGAAAUUUAGCUCUUUUACGCUUUCCAAAUGGUUUCCUUGUCGUUUUCCCUACUAGGCAAUGCUCACACAUGGGCAAAUCGACUUUUUUAAUGUUGCCCAACAAGCCCUCUUUGGCUAGUCUAUUCAUACGCCGUUGGCCAAUGUGACCAAGUUUAGCAUGUCACACACUCACAUCAUUAUCAUAUGAAGUAGAAGACGUGAAAAGGAAAUAACAAACAUUGACAUUACCACAGUCAAUAUUUAGUGCAAUAAAACCAUCCAGAAAAUAACCACAAUCAUAGUAGUUUGUAUUCAAAUACAAAUCUACACCACUAUUAUGGAAGUUCAUAUUAAAACUAAGCUUAACCAACACUAAAACAGACACUAAAUUCUGACGAAUCUCCGGAGCAUACAAUACAUCAUGUAGAAACAAAGUGCGUCCACCACGCAUGUUUAGUUGGCAGGUGCCAAUUUCUUUUACUUCUGCUCUGGAGUUGUUUCCUACAUAGAUCCACUUAGUUCCAAUUGGUACUCGUCAAAAUUCCACGAAGGAUUCUCUAUCCUUCGCUACAUGGUCUAUCGCUCCCGAAUCUAUAGUCCACAAAGAAUUAGAUUCAGCUAAGAAUACAAAACUUGAUACAUUAGCAAAGUUCUUAAAAGUACAAGGGGUAAGUACCUUCUUUGACUCGCGACAAUCGCGAGUGUAGUGACGCUUUUGGUCAUAGUUGUAACACUUCACCCUCGAAAUACUCUUCACUCAAGGACGUUUUCAUCUCUUAUGUUGGUUAGCUAUUGGUUUCUUGCAAGAAUGACUCGAUCCUUUGCAUUUCCAUAUAUUGAACGAAUCAAUACGCUUGCACGUAGAGCUCGAAGCUCCUUUUGAGUUGGAAGCAAUAUAGCAAAUAUGUGUUUCCUUCUCAAAUGCCUUGAGGUAGUCCUCUGCUACCUCAAGAUGGCGCAUAGCAUUCUCAAUUUCUUCCAUAACAUGGUCAAUAACUUCUAGUGCUUCUUGUUUUUCAAGCACAUAUUGAAUUUUCAUAUUCAAUAUUUCACAAUUCUCACCGUUCAUUUUGUCUUCUUUGUUCAAAUCAGCAAUUAUGUUCUUAGUUGCUAAAGUCAUUGAUCUAAACAUAUCAGACACAUAUGCACGAAUUAUUAAUGCCUAUCAUUUAUACAUCUAUUUUGCAUAGACCCAUCAUAUUAAUGGAUAAUUUUAAGUAUAAUUUAAGAAUCAAAAGGUCACUAUGUUUCCAAUCAUCAUCCAAAAAAUCCUAACUCAAAACUAUCAUUAAUAUAAUUUUAUAUGCAAAAUAAGUUCAGCAAAGUCACUAAAACGUUUUCGAACUUCCUACAAUGAAUUGUAAAUUAACAUACUAAUUUACAACAAUAAAUAACAUUGAACUUUCAAUAAUCAAACAUGUCCAUUAUACUAAGUAAUAUAUUUAGAGGAAAAAAUAUCAACAUAGAAAGAGAUAUUAACACCUAAAAACAUCUGAGACUAAUCUAAAAAGAAAAUAGGGAAAGUCUUUUCUAAUCUAUCAGUAAAAUUCUCUAAGAAUUCUGAAGGCACAUUGGCCAACCAUGGAAAAACUUUUGGAGAGCUCUCAUGCCACCUUCAAGGCGUAUUCACUUUGCGCCAUGUGGCACUCAUCCCAAGGGUUGAAGUUUUAGUUAACUCGAUCCUAUAGUAUUCUCUUAUAAAAGCUACCGUAAGCCUCCUAUGAUCCGGGACCACGUUGACCUCCCAUAGGCGAUCUAACACUACUUGCCAUUCAGGUGGAAGGGUGUUAAUUAAGACCGGCAGUUUCUCAAAAUCCGGCAUAGGAUAACCAUUCUAGAUAAUUUCUUGUAUUAUCUGAUUGACCCUGACCACGUAUGAUACCACAUCACCAUCAUUCCACCGAUAAUUAUCUAAUUAUGUCAUUAGCCCUUUAAGUCUUGCAUUUUCCUCCUCCGUUCUCGGAAAUGCAGGUAUGCAUGCAUAACGCAUCAUAGUUUUUGCAACAAAUGCAGAACAAAAAUGAAUUAUUUAUAAUCCACAAUGAACAAAAGGGAAAAUACAUAAUUUUACAUGUUUCAUGCAACAAAUGCAAAAAAAAAAAAUUUAAAAAUGGAUUACUUAUAAUCCAUAACCAACAAAUUGGAAAAUACAUAAUUUUCCUUUUUUUUUUAGCCAAUCAACGUCGGUCAACAGUGGUCAACGCAGGUCAACGGCCGGUCAACGGUGGUCAACUCUAGUCAAUGGUCAACGGAUGACUGGGUCAAGUCAACAGGUCAAUGGGUUGAGUCAAACGGGUCGGGUCAACAGGUCAAGUCAACAGUCAACAGGUGGUCGGGUCGGACCGGACGGACCGGACGAACUAAUCGGCUCGGUUGGACAAGCCGACCGGCACGUGACACGCGCGUACCUGGCUAACGUCACAAUGACGUCAGUCGGCGCGUGCGCGGCACGCGCCAGCACCGUGCGCGUGCGUCGCACGUGCCUUUGGCUGAAACGGUGCGUGUGUCGCACGCGGCUGCGGGGGACCGAAUCGGCACGUGCAUUGCACACACCGAUGACCCCCGUUCAUUCCAGCCACGCAUGGUGGCACGUCUGGUAGUCCCCGGUGGCAAUCCGCUACUCGUUUUUCUCGUAUCGACAAGAGCUUCGAUCCUAUGAUUUUAGAAAAAAAUUUUGACUUACAGAAAAUCAAAAAACAGGGUGAGUAGUGUACGAGUGUCGGGAUUGUCCAUCCCCGAUUAGCUGACAGCGGUGUUUAACGAAAAUUCAAUCAAAAAUUAAUUUAUAAAGAUGAAAAGGGGUUGGGAAAACAUGAAAGAUGGCUCUGAUACCAAUGUCGAGAAUUAUUGAUUCCCUAAAACAGAUUCGACACUAAAUCGAACCUCUAAAAUGAAUGCGGAAGACGAGCCCAAGAACAAACAUGUAUCACAGAAUCGAGUAUACCUUAUUAUCCACAGAUUAAACACCGACGUUGAAGUUUGAGAAAAAAUCUUGAUACUGUUCUACCAAGGAGCGUACUGUUGCUAGAAGGGGAAAUACGUCGUUUUUGGGAGGGUAGCGUCUUACGCUUCUUGGAGGGAGAGAGAGUCUUAAACAACAUACGUACCCCAAAGGUUACGUUCCCUUUUUCUUUUUCUCUCUUACGUCUUCUCCAAAAGACGUAUCUCUUCAACGUAAAACGUUCCUCCAUGGGCCAUUUAUCUUGUGGGCCGGGCUUUUAGGCCCAACAUGGGCGGACGGGCCCACUUAGGCCCAUCAACAUACAAAUAAAACCAUCAUCAUCAAACCGUCACCCAUUAAUACAACACUAACAUUAUUUGAUUCCAAAUUCAAAGCAAUCCCUAUUGUACCCUCUUCAAAUUCUACUAAUUCACCCGCCAUGUUCAAAGACGUAAAAUGGUUAUUUGUGAAUUAUUUCAAACAAAUGUGCAUUCUUCUCUUUUUUUGGACAUAAUAGACAAAUCCCCUUUUAUGGCAAUUUGAUGAUAGCAAAUCCCACAGAUCGAAAGCCAUCACCUUCUCAUCCAAAAUCCCUUCAUCCUGUCUUAGCUUCCCCUCAUUUGCUUCCAUAUACAUUACCAUUUCAUCUAUUGGUUUUUGGAUCAGAUUCAAUCACAGUCCCAUAAGCAGUAGGGACCACGAGAGAGCUUAUUUCGUGCUCAAGAUCCCCUAUGAGAUAUUCUUCUAGAGAAGCCCUUGCAUAUGCUACCCUCAUCUAUUCAUGGUUCCAGAUAUGGAACUGGAAUGGGCUUUGACUUCGGUCACGGACCUGGAUUAGGAAUAGGCUUUGGAUCCAUGGCCUUGGAUGUUCUAUCAUGACUCCGGAAUAGGUUUUUCAAUGAUUUAUGGGAAAAAACUAGGCAGGUAAUGUCGAUCUAAAUCCAAAGGCUAUGGUUUGACAAUGAAUUCUUCAUCCAUCAAUUUGAACUAUUGUGAUUUUCCCUCCCUUCCUAGAGCUAGCAAUCGUUGCUUCAUUCGAUUUAGUAGUAGAAGCAGCUAUAGCUUUACCAGUUGUACCUAUUCCAAUUGGAUAGUUGAAGCAACUUCUGGGGGUACCUAUCCAACUGUCUUUGCCGUCGGUAGAAUUGGAUAUUGAUCCAACGGGUUCAGACGCAAGCGAAGGGAAGCUAGGUUCUUUGUUUCCAUGGGUGAGGAUGCUAGGUUACCUGGUUCUCAAAUUAGGUAUUGAACCAUCUUUCCCUCCUGCUGCAACCUAUGCUUCUAUCUCUUUUGGGUCUUGAUCUCGAACUCAAACUGAUGCUUGGUAUUAUUCUAGAUGCUGAGAUGUGAGGACAUGAUACUAACGACUGUGGACAGAUCAAUAGAAUGUGAGAAGUAUGAUGACAUCUGUCCCAACUUCACCAUAAGGUUCGAUCGGCCGCCCUAGGACUAGUAGAGUUUACCAAAAGUUCCUCCUAGGACAAGCAGGCCAGAAGUCCGACCCUACAUAGAAGGUUGAAUAGAAUCUAAAUGAACACGCGCCCUUCAGAACCAUUUCCGAGUACUAUGACCAAAACGAACUCUUGCUUCCAUUAUCUCUUCGCUUGCUCCUGUCACGACAUUUGCGCGUCUAGAUGCUAUGAUUGUAUAAUCAAGAGGAUUAGCUGCUAAAGGUAUUUGUCUAGCAGUAGAUCCUUUAGAUUUAACAUCAACUGUGUUCCAACCUCGAAUCGUUGGUGAGGAACAUUAUGAAAUUGCGCAAAGAGUUAACGGGAGAAUUUAUCUUGGAAGCAGAAGAAUUAUUGAAACAGUGCAAAACCAUCACAAGAGUUUAUGUACAAAAAACGGGCAAACCCUUAUGGGUUGUAUCCGAAGAUAUGGAAAGUCGCUUUGGGUAAAAAUGUAUUAGUAGCUUAUCUAUCAUGGGAAAGUUGCAAUUUUAAAGAUGCAAUACUCAUUAGAGAGCAUUUGGUAUAUGGAGAUAUUUAUACUUAUUUUCACAUACGGAAAUAUGAAAUUCAAACUCAUGUCACAAGCCAAGGACUUGAAAGGAUCACCAACGAAAUAUUGCAUCUAGAAACCCAUUUACUCCGCAAUUUAGACAAAAAUGGAAUUAUGUUACUAGGAUCUUGGUAGAGGCAGGCUUGGAGAAAGACGAUCCAAAAAUUCCCAUUCAUGGUCCUUGCAGUUCAAAUCAUCCAUAAAAUAUACAAAAAGAAACUCUAGAUAUUUGAUAUAUUUCUCUUUGAAUGAGAUCUCAAUUUCAACAACAGAUCCAUUAGAUAUCUUACAACUAGAAUCUCUCUUUUUUACAAUCCAAUUCCUCUGCCAUCAUGACCCCAAUUAGAUUUAGGCAUGAUACAACUUUUCAUUAUUGGGAUAACUCAAGUCUCUUUCGGAUCUAGGAAACUACUCUCAGAGAUAUUUUUUCCUUUUAGAAGAUAGAGGAGAGGAACUACGAGUAGAAAAUUAGUAGUCACUCUAAUACUUAAAUCACCAUAUUGCGUAAGAGAAAGAGCGAGAUAUUGAGAAGCCGAAACUGUUAUGAAAAGAUCGAGGAGGAUUCAGGAGGAGGAGGAGUAGUAGGAGUCUGACAAAAUCGAAUGAUAAUAACAAGGAUGGAGAAGUUUGAGUGGGCCUGGGUGUUAGCAAGUAUGUUCAUUGUGCUUGGACUCAUUUCUUCAAUUUGUUUGAUCCUAGGCAUAAGUUUAUUGGUUCAAAUGAAACGGCAAUAUCUCGAGGAAGGGUAAGACGUGGGUUAGAGAAAUUGGUCAACUCGUCACGCUCAUGACCUAAAGACUACAAGUUCGGAUCCUAUUCCCGCAUAAUCAUCUGGAGGCGUAGUCAGCCUCAAGAUUCCGUAAGUAACUCAGUGCAUGGCUUAAAGGCUUAGAAAGAGAAAGUGAAAUAAGGAACAACUGCGCUAGUUGUAGUUGUUUAGCUCUUUUCUCGAAUAAAAGUUUAUCAUGACUCAUUUAAUUCCCUUUUUGGUGUCUUAGAGUUUGUAAGAUCACAACUGAUCCUAAAAGGAAUAAUUGAAAAAAAUAGCAUGUCAUAUCAAUAGAGAAUUCUGAAAAUAUUUCAUUUUUACCAGAUCAAUUCAAAACCUUGGUUGAAUUCUUCGUGAGAAAAAAAUUAAACGAAUUCAGGGUUGGGUCGAAUGAAUAAAUUGAUAAGAGUCCUAUAACCUCAAUUAAUUAUAAAGAAAGAAAAAGCAAUGAGCUUUUGUUCAUAAUUUCUUAAUUUGAUUGAUCACCCGAUCUAAUUAUAAGUUGAAAAGAUUUUUACCAAGAUGAGAACAAUGUUCCACUACUGGAGCGGCUGAAUAAUCGAGGAUUAGGAUAGCAGUUUUACCGGUGAUGAUAUCUAUGAAAUCAAUGGUCUUUUGCAAUAAAAAGUCAGUUUUUUACAAUGAAAAUGUUAGAUUCUUUAAUAUUUGCGAAGAAAAUUGAUGUUUUUCAGAACAAAAAUUUGUCGAAAUUGUCAGGUAAGAAAAUUCAUGUCCUCCCUUUAAACAAGCUUAGCUUGUUAUUGACGACAGAGCCCUGUCUAUAAACAACAGAUUAGGCGAACAUAAGGCCAACUGCACUUCUUUUCAAACAUCAAUUGUGCUCCUAAGCACAGAAAACUGUUGCCCAGAGUGCUUGCGGUCUUAACAGUUCCAUUCCCACAUCUUAAAUACUUGCAGAAAAUACAAACAACAAAUUCUAUCUCUUGAUCUUAAAUUCGAGAGUAUCAUACCAACAAAAGGUAAUAGAACAUACCAUGCUCCCAACUCUUUGAACAGCUACUUCUAAUUGAAACAAAAGGUAAUAGAACAUACCAUGCUCCCAACUCCUUGAACAGCUACUUCUAAUUGAUUUUCCUCUUUCUUGGUGAUCUUGUAGAGCCAACCACUUCCAAUGUCCUUCAAAUGCUCCACCUUGUUUCCAUUUCUCUUGCUUCUUUUUCGUACUGUCCUCCUUAUGCUGCCAGACGAAAGAAAUGCAUACUAUCAAAUCAAAUCAACUCAUUUACUACAAUAAAGCUGUACCUCUGAUCACGCUAAGGUGAGAUGAUCUCCCUACUGUCUCAGCAUUAACCACAACAUUGUCGGUAUUUGUUAGUAGAGAAAUGACUCGACUGCCUUCCCAUCCAGGCUACUAAGAACCAAAUACUCAAGUUAAAAGGGCAUUUAUGAUCAUUCAAGUACGUAGUCAGAAGUUACUUAAAAGCAGGGUCAAAAGUACCUUUUGAGUGGUGGCAUUGUUAUGAUGCACGUCUGUGACAAGUUUGAUUGACUUCUCUUUGAUUCUCUCUUCAUCCUGUUUACUUAAGAAAGUAAAGUCAGAAAAUAAUGACACAAACAGAGACUAGAAACACAGAAUGAAUGAAUCUUACCUUUGCCUUUUGUUUCAAUGUGAUUUCUGUGCCUUGUCUUGACACUUUGAAUCAAUUUUUGGAUUCUCCUUCCUCUGUUAUCCUUGUCUCUUUAGGCCUAAUAUGCAUAAUUCAAGGCGUUGGUGUCACCAAAGGUUCUUUAUCACUGGAAGGCCAAAUGAUUGAACAAUGCACAUUAUUAGCUGAUGCCAAACGAGUGAACUGAUUUUAGACCUCCUACUGUAAGUAAACUUAGUAUCCAAUUUGAUAUGAUGCAAGCUGUAAUAGAAUUUCGCAGACAACAUUUCAACGAGAAAAAAACAUGCACAACUCGUAGAAUCAGGACAGGUCAAGGAAAGUGUAAGAACAGGAAGUGCACCAAGCUAAACUAAUCAGAGUGCAACUGGGAUAAUAAGUAAUCUGAGCACAUAAAGACUGCUCCGAUUACUGAUGGGACAUGACAAAUUAUUGCGCAUUUGUUUUUGCAAAAUAAAUGGUCAAUUGGGUCCCGAAAUUGCAUUUUCCUGAUAGCUGAACCUUUGUUACAAUUGAGCUUCAACAUCCCAUAUAGAGCGCAAUCUCAAAUACACAUCUCUGGACUCUGGUGACCUUGUUCUUCACACCAGAAACAUUUUCAGAUUUGGUAUCAAUAGCAACCUCUAUUGAUCUGACAGCAAAAUCAACUCCGGUAAGAUCUCAACCGUGCAAAACUUUGAUCCCAAGACUUCCAACCGCAGUGGGUACAACCAUUCCAACCCAACUCUGACAACAACUUCCCAAAGCAAGACCCUCUACGUUCUUUAUUAACGAAACAAAGUUUAUCAGCCAAACAAUGAAUAGCUUCCACUUUCGCAUGAAGAUCCAAGCCUGAAUCACAAACAACUCCCUUUGAACAAAGACUCCAAAAGACCUACAUAAGGUUGCCAAUAAUAAUAACAAAUUGAAAUACAUUCGUCCUAAUAAUUUUGCACUCCAAAAGACGCUUCCCAUGUUUUUCCUUUUCAGCAAGUACUUGCACUAAUAAGAGCUUAUGUAUAACAUAAGGGAUUAUUUCACAGUGCAUUAUGUCAAAAGACAUCAUGUCUACCAUCUUGAUUUGACUCAAAAGUACAGGUAAAUGACAGAUGGCAUUAUUAACUCAACAAAAAUUAAGAAGUAUUAUUUGGGCUAAUCUAUUAUUUGCCUUCGACUUUUAGGUAUAUCCCGGAUUAAAAAUGAACAUGGAUUCAUAGUCAGCAAAAUUAGAGUUGCAAUUUUCUUGAUUAAUUCAAGUAAUUCACAAUGAUUUUGCUUCUGGCCUGUUUCCUAGUUUAUUCACAACCACAUUACUAGGAGAAGACUUUGCUCUUGCAUUUAGUGUUCUCGACUGAUACAAUUACCUAAAUCAGCUAAUGCAAACAAUUUUUGUGAGAUAAAAUGGUGGAAACAAUGGUUGGACAAAUUUUGUACCAAAUCAGUAGUGUAUGCAUACUAAGGAAUGCCCUCUCAACACCAUUAAUUCAUUCUUAGGCGUACCUUAGAUACAUGCAGUCAUGAACUGCGUUGUUUGCACAGAGCAAACUAAAACCUCACAUCAAAAGUACCUCCACAUGGGGUCCUUCAUAUAGCAAUUCUUGACCUAUAUAGCAAUUCCUGUCUACAUCAUUUUUUUAUUUAGUAAUUCCAGCAUUCCAGAAUCAACCAACAUGGAAAAUCUUUAUUUUUAUGCAUAGGAUGAAGAAUCUUACCUGAAGACUAAUGACAAAUGAUGCACUUAGAAGGCCUUUUGAUCUAUUUCAUUUACUGGCAUGAUAAGCAGCAACAUUUUGCCAAAGUACACACAUUAACUUCCAUGAACAUCUCCCCUGGAUUCCCUAAAUUCAAGUAAUAACACUAACACUCUCAACCAGGAAAUACUAAUGAAAAGGUAAUAAUUAUUAAAAGAAAUUGCACACAGGAAACAUAAAUGAAAAUUGGGUGAUAGAUCUCAAAAGAUUAAAGGUAACUCACCUGCUUUGCGUGCUUUCCCUUGGAAAUGUGGAUUAUCUCCACCAAACUAACUCAAACCAGUCGUUUUGUCCAAAUUCUCAUUCCACGACAUGAGUCAAAAGGCCGAUUCUCGUAAUUUCGAUAAAUCCGUGUUCCAGUUAAUUCUGGUAUUAUUUUGAGUGACUUGCAUCCAGAAAUGUCCAAUUCCACUAAUUGCUCCAAUUUCUCCAGCCCUCGAAGCUCAGUCAGUUUCUCGCAAUUUUGCACAACUACACUGAUCAAGUUGGUGCAUGAUGACAAAUCAGGUAAGAUUUCGAUCAAGGAACAUCCUGAGAUAGCAAUAUGCUUUAGAGAUGUUGACUCCUCAAGCCUCGGGAUCUCCCGAAGUUCACAACAAUUUGAUAGAAGCAAUGUCCGUAAAUUACAAAAAUUUGACAAGUUUGGGAAUUUUGCUAAAGACUUGCAAUCCUCAAUCCAUAAACUUGUGCAGAAUGGGAAUCUCUCUGGGAUCUGAAUAUCAAGAAGGUUGUCACAACAAUUGAUUGCCAAAUCAUGCAAGGUGUCAAAGCAACAUAAAUCUGGUAACCUUCCAAAGGAAGUGCACCCGGACAUAUCUAGCACUUUUAAGAACUCCAACCUAUCAAGACCUUGAAUUACAAAUAAGUUUUUGCAAGAUCCAAGAUAUAACUCCUUCAAACCCUUGGAUUUUGGAAGGUCUAGCCUCUGAAUUAAAGUGCACCCAUAGAUAUUCAUCCUUUUUAAGGAUUCUACCCUAUCGAGGCCUUGAAUUUCAACCAAGUUUUUGCAAUUUGUAGCAGCAAAUGUUUUCAGACCCUCGGAUUUUGGAAUGUCUAGCCUUACAAUUGAAGCACAUCCAGAAAUAUCUAUUUCUUCCAUGGACUCCAACUUAUCAAGGCCUUGAAUUUCAACCAAGGUUUCGCAAUUUUUAGCAUCAAAUAUCUUCAGAGCCUCCGAUUUUGGAAGGUCUAGCCUCACAAUUGAAGUGAACCCAAAUAUAUUUAUUUUUUCCAAAGAUUCCAACCUAUCAAGGCCUUGAAUUUCAACCAAGUUUCUGCAAGAUUUUGCAUCGAAUAUCUUCAAACCCUUGGAAUUUGGAAGGUUCAGCCUCUCAAUUGGAGUGCACCCAGAGAUAUUUAUUUUUUCCAAAGAUUCCAACCUAUUGAGGCCUUGAAUUUCAACCAAGUCUCUGCACUUUUCAGCUUUGAAUAUCUUCAUAUCCCCGGAUUUUGGAAGCUCCAGCCUUGCAAUUGAAGCACACCCAGAGAUAUCUAUUUUUUCCAAAGACUCCAACCUUUCGAGGCCUUGAAUUUCAACCAAGUUUUAGCAAUUUUCAGCUUUGAAUAUCUUCAAAUUCCUGGAUUUUGGAAGGUCAAUUAAUUGAAGAGCAAGCUCUGAUUUCCAAGCUUUCCAAAUAAUUCAAUUUGUCAAGACCUCGAAUUUCAAGUAUAUUAUUGCAAUACUUGGUAGAUAAUGUCCUCAGAUGGUUAAAUUGGGAAACGGCCAGUGCUUCCAUAAGCUUGCAUCGAUCCAUUUCCAAGAUUUCCAAUUCGAAGGGGGUGUUUAGAGAUUUUUCUAAUAGUGUUGAUGGAUGCUCCCAUAUGCACUCGAGAAAUUCACAACAAAUAAGUCGUAGUACCUUGAGAUGGGUCAGUUUGAAAAGUGAAGGCAAUCUGCGACUUUGACAGGUGACAUUCAAAUACGUUAAGCUGGAAGGAAGCAUUGACAGAGACUGGAGCUUCUUGCAAUAAAACAGAUCAAGGUGUUGCAGGGAAGAAAGAUUACGGAUGCUUUCUGGCAUUUCCCCUCCCAGUUUUGUGCAAAAUGAAGCAUCUAAAUCUCGGAGGUUUCUCAGCCUUCCAAUACCACUGGGCAAUCUUUUUAUCCCGGUCCAACCAAUAUCCAGAAUUUCUAAGUUCUGCAAAUCCUCUAUGCUGUCUGAUAAUAAAGAAAUGUUUUUACAAAAUCUUAGAAGGAGUUGCUCUAGUGCUUCUAAUUUACCCACUUCUGCUGGCAGCCCCUUGAGCUGCCCACAUCCGCUUAAGUCCAAGCGUAAUAGACUCUUCAUGUUUCCAAUCGAAGAGUCAAUAUGCUCCAGUCUCUGACAAUCUCUAAGGAUCAGAACUUCUAAAUUCUCAAAAGCUGAGAGGAAGGAAGUUUUCUCUAAAUAUCCACAGCUUGUAAGGUCGAGAUAUCUUAGCUUCUCUGCCAUCUGAUAAAAAUAUAAUAAUUGUCAAGAGGUUAGCCUAGAGUGGUUAUAAUUUGAAAAGAAAAGAAAAAAGAAACUUGUUCUUCCAUCUUACCAUGAUGCAACUCCAUCCUUGCCAUUCAUCUGAUAUCUUGCUUGCCGACAAAUUGAGUACAAGUAAUUCCUUUAGAUGAAAAUUGUUUGCUUCAAAAGUCGAGGGGCAAUUCUGCCAUUGAAGCCAUUUUAACUUCUUAACUGAAUUGUCAAAAUCUCCAUUAAAAUGUGCCCCACUCGCGUCAAGGAACCUUAGAUUCCUUAACUUUUUGAAUUGUUUGCUCGUGAGGAUAUUGUCACCUUGGUCAGCCAUUUCGCGCAAGCAUUUUGAGCUGUCUUUGCCCAGAUAAAUGGCCUCAAUCUCUUCUGUUCCCUAUAAGUAAGAAGCAACGUUCAUUAACACUAUUUCUAUCCAAUUAAAAUAAUCUAAUAUCAUUUGUUCAUAUCUCUGUUAACAUGCAUCAAUGUCUUUUAGAGACUAGUGCAGUGAAGAUACGAUUCCUUCCUUGUCCAAUAAACUGUAUUAAAGGCUAACAAAGCAAAGGAUGUGAACUUUGAUUAUGAAAUUGGCCGUAAGUACUCGUGGAUCUUAAAUUAUGAUGUUCUCUUUUUUAGGGUUUUAUUUGGUUCUGAAUAAUAAUUUAUAGUUUCUUAUACAUAUUAUAAGCAUACUUUUACUCUUGGGAUCAAGAUAACACAAGUGCUUUAACUUUCGUACUAUGCUCACUUCGGCGUGGUAACUUUUUUUAUUUUUGACCACUUAAGCGCAUAACUUCUAAAAAACGUUCAUUUGAGUGCCAUAACUUUCAAUCAAUCACUUAAGUGCCAAAAGCUUAUAAAAAUGUUCACCCGAGUGCUGGAAAUUCGACGUGGCAUGGCACUUGUGGUAAACAUUUUCAAAAAGUUAUGACAUUCAAGUGAGUACCAUAAAUUAUGGCAUUCAAGUGAUUGGGAAAAAAAAAAGUUAUGGCACUUAAGUAAGCAUCGUACUAAAGUUAUGAUACAAUGUCCUUUUCCAUUUUACACAUUGAUCUAAUGGCUCAUAUGUAUAACUUGACAACUUGUUAAUCCUCUUCUUUCCUGCGAUGUAGAUUAAUACUAUAAUAGUUAGCAAUACAAGGGAUCUAACUAAGUUACCGUACAAAAUUGAAAGUUGUUUUGUUUAUCUUAUAGAAAUAUGUUUUCUAUCUCUAAAUCAUAUUAGAUAUCCAAAUGAACUAUUAUCACAUAGAGACGUGGUUAUUAUAGUAGUUGUGACAAUUGAGAAAAACAAACUUCUCUUAAAAUAAAGAAAAUCUAAACUUAUGAAGUCCUUUUCUUUUCCCUUUUUCUUAUGUAUAAUUUUCGUGCAUAUUGCUCAACGUCACUACUUACAGUUAAAAUAACGUAUUCUUGUUGUUUUUGCCAUUGGAUUCAUAACUAAUUAUGAGUGACUAAUCUUGUGAUGGUAGUUAUAUUAAUAUUUUCUGAUGUGUUUUAUUUUAUUAAUAGUAACUUGAAAUAUGAAUUAUAUUUAUGCUUUCUAUUAUUAGCAUAAUUUAUUAAUUGAAAUUUUAAAAUAUAAUAAACAAUCCUUAUUUGAUAACUUUGCUUUAAUGUUAAAUAAUAAUUAAUAAAAAUGCAAAGUCAUUUUUGAAUUAUGAAAUUUGAAGCUAUCCAGGCUUCAUGGAAUAACUAUUAUUUCCUUGGGCUCCUUGGAAUAGUUAUUCCUGAUUUUGAGAGAACAGCUAAUUCUAAUCCAUUUUCGAAUCAAUGGAACGAAUAACUGCUUCAUCAGAAUAGACUAGAAAUAUUUCUAAUUUAAAUGUGCAGCAAGCUUUCACCAAGAAAAAACACUCAUGCCUGAGAAUUUUAGAAGUAAUACAGAAAUUUCAUGGAUUUCUAAAUCCGGGUCAGUUUCUCCGAACUAGAAAAAUGUAUUAUCAUACUUCACAAUGUCAUACAAGAUUUCAUAGAUACUCAGGGGAGAAUGUCAUAAUUAGUGGAGAAGGAAUUAUAUCUCAACACCUGAAAGGUAUCCAAGAAAAGAAUAGUUCUAACGAAAGUAAGCAACUUCCAAGAGAACUAAUCAUGCUCUGAUUAGUGAUUUCCCUAUUAAGAGAUCCUAUAUGUCAUCAAAAUUCUGUGUCUUCAAGUGUGUAAUUUUUUGAAAGUGAAAAGUUGCUUUUCUCUGGGAGCUUGAAAAGGUGUUAUUUCCAUCCUACAUGCAAAGAUUGGGCCUCUUUAGGACUUUUUAAGGCUGCAUUUUUUUUUUUUUUUUGUUCUGGUUCAAACGGUUGUGCCUUUUUUUAUUUGGCUGUAUACUCACUAAUAUCAUAGGAGUGUGUUCAAUUAUGCUUUAAAUGUCUUUCAGAUUUUGUUUACUAGUAAAUUGUUCUAGUGCUCUUGUCCAUGCUUCGCACUACCCCUUUUUUUUUUCAAAAUCGAAGUUGAUUGUACUUUUAGAUAACACAUGAAUAUAACUUUAUAUAUUUUGAUUAAAUGUAUGAAUAAACUUAAAAGAAGAUCGUGCAUCAGGUUCAUCAAACAAGUGCUAGUCUUUUGAGCAACAACUUUGAAUCAAACUGAAUGAUGGAUUCAAAGUAAUAGAGUCAAUUCGACCAAAAAAAAAAAAAAAGUAAUAGAGUCAAAGCUAUGAUUGAUUUCACAAACACAAUACAAUCACAUACUUAAAUAUACACAAAAUAUAAUUUUAGAGUAAGUUAUCUCUGGGACUUUCUAUGUGGAAAAAAUAGGACAUUUCUCUUUUUAAUGGUCAUUGCAUGAAAAGCGCUUGACGUUUAUCCAAGGAAGCAGCCCUUGGAUCCUUGGUGUUGUUUCUAGAUUACCUCAUCAAGGACCGGGGAGUUGCCUCCCUGAGAGGGCUCCAGCACCUAUCCCUAUCUUGUGGGGUGACCUGCCUGGAUGCACACCUUUUUUACCUUAUUUUAACAUGUCAAGGCCUCUCACCCUCAAAUUCCCCCGCAUCUUUUUCUUCCUAGGAAGAGGGAAUGUAGGAAGAGGGAAUGUCCUUUUCUCAUUUAACGUCUAGGGGUACCAAGGUCCGUGCGAGGCAAUUUAACAUCCUACUCAGGAUGGACAAAUACAAUACAGUCACAUAAUUAUAUACAAAAUUAAUUUUAGAGUAUUUAUCUUUGGGACUUUUUAUGUGGAAAAACAAGACAUUUCUAGUGGUCAUUGCAUGAAGUACGCCUAACGUUAUAUAUGUCUAUAUAUGUCCCUGUUCUAGCAGGUGAAUUUUGGUAAAAAGGUAAUUCCUAACCUAAUAUUACACGAAAUUAAAAAAAAAAUCCCUUCCAUUCUCAAUUAGGGUAUAAUAUUUGAAAUUUCAUGAAAAAAUGCAGGCACAAUUACUCCAAUUGUAUUAAUUCUAAAACCCAAAGUUUAGAAUUCUAUGAUUUAUAUAUCCUAAUUAGUUAUUGUUCACAGUAGCAUAGUCAAGUUAUUUGUUGCACGUGCCAAGGACAUUACCCCAUCAAUUAAAUAAAUUCAGAUUCAUUUCAAUGUAGAAUACCCCUAUUAAGUAUCUAAUAUAGUUAAAAAUGAUUCUUGGAAAAAAAACUUUGUAAUGUACACUUUGUGUAAGAAAAAUCUCAGAUAAAUUGCAAUACUUACUAAGAGAGAGCUACUUCCUGCUUUCUAAUCAUGUCAAUGAAAUGACAUGAGGAGAAUAAUAUUAUAAGGUUCUCUCUUAAAUAGAGAAAGCACUAAGUAGAGGACCAACAUCACUUUGACCGUUAAAAAGGGACUAAGGGAGGAAAAGAAGAGAAGGGUUACCUCAUUAUCCUCUAGCAUUUUCAAGACUUCCUUGGAGUCCCAUAACCUACUGCGGUAUUGAGGCUUAUUCUCAUUUUCCUCACGGACAAUCCACCUACCAAGAUCUCUCAAUUGAUCAUGCAUUCUAAGCUUAUGAUCCUCUCCAAUUUUUAUUAAUGACAUAAAUCUCAAUACUUCAAUUCCCUCCUCUGGGAAAAAUUCACAGGCAUCCCACAUGUAGGAUGCAAUUCUUUUGUUAGUGCCAACGAAAAAACAAGCAAUAUCCAAAAAUAUUUGCUUUUGUCCUCUGUCUAAUGCUUCAUAACUUAUCUUUAACUUUCCUUGCACUUUCUUAUGAGGGACUUUUUUUAACUUCUCUAUCAUACCUCCCCAUUGUGAUGCCUUUUUUCCACAAAAAAGUGAACCUAAAACCUCAAGAGAUAAGGGAAGCCCCCCUAUGGUGGAUAAAACAUCAUUAGUGAGUUUCUUCAAUUCACUUGGAGGAGCAUCCCCUCGAAACGCAAAUCUACUAAACAGAAUCACAGNNNNNNNNNNNNNNNNNNNNNNNNNNNNNNNNNNNNNNNNNNNNNNNNNNNNNNNNNNNNNNNNNNNNNNNNNNNNNNNNNNNNNNNNNNNNNNNNNNNNUCCCAUUCCGUGGAUGCCAACAAAUAGGGUAGUGCGAGAAUUAUUAUCUAUAAAUUCCGCAACCUUCUUUACAUGACCAUCGAUUCCAAUCAGAUUCUCAGGAAUAACCAACUCAAACUUUUUCUUUAGUUCGCUCAACACUUUUUGGACAACUGAUUUCACCAGCUCUCCUUCAUACCUGUCAAAUGUGACAAGUUCAAAUACAUGGAAAAAGUAAUUUUAUGUUGCUUACCUAAUGAUAACACAAUAAUAAACAAAUCAGAGGAUAAAUUGCACAACUUAAAGAAUUGUCUUGCCACACCUCCAUAUAUUAUCUUAUACGCUAAGAUUAAAGCAGGAAAUGGUGGUGGUUGCUUCAUGUGUCGUACCCCAUUCCAUUAUUGCACUAACAUAAUUUAUUGAGCCAGAAGAAACUUGAAGGUGUCAAUAAUGAAUCUUGAAUAUUACAUGAGUUAUGGAUUUGAGUUAAAUUUCAAACCUGUUGUUUGUUAGAGAUAUUAGGGAUGAUGUGGACAUGACAUCAAAAAAUUUCUAUAGCAUCUGGAAAGGCAAAAAUUCAAUAAGCCAGUCCAAUAUGAGAGUUCAGCCAUUAAUCAAGAAAUAUGUCAUAACUUUAGACACAAGUGGAAUUCAGGUCCUGAAAAUCAUUCGAAGUGCUAUACUAUUGAGGUACCUGAAUACACUUAAGGGAAUUUCUCUUUGUUUGUGCAAUUUUACAUGCUUGCAAGUUUCUACUCUUGUUAUGGAUUUAAUAUCAUUCUAGAUUCGUACACUUAUCAAUUUUUGUUGAGUCAUGGGAUGAUAACAGGUUGUAUUUAAUUUUCAUUUUUAGUAUCGAUAUUCUAUGACUAAUUUUGAUCUGAUAUUGUUUUUAUGGGGAAGUAGAAGAAUGAUCUUUCCUCAAAAGAAGAACAUUACUUUAAUUUAUGCAAGUGUAUGAGAUAGAAAUUAUGGGCCAAAGAUGGGAUAAUGCAUUAAAGAUGAUUAAGGUGAAUAAAUGAUAAAGAUUUUUUUUUUUCCUUCUUUAUAUAUGCAACCAUUUUAAUAGCUAUCAAUUGAUGUCGUUAAUGAUUUAAUAAGUACAACUUCUAAAGAUAAAGAAUUAUGGCUUUGAAAAUUGACAUGCAUGUUUUAUUAUGUUAUGCGCUUUAAUUAGAAACCACCAAGUUGUACUAUUAAUCUCAAUAAAUGUGAUUAGAAAAGUUUGUGAUGAAGAUUAAUGUAGCAAUGUUAAGAGAUCUUUGGAUAUAAGAGUUAGAUAUCAUUUAGACUUGUUAUAUUAUUCAACCGAAUGGGAGCCUAAUAAUAAAUCUGUAAUUGAAUUGGUCAAUAUCAUUAAAGUAAUUCUAAAGAGAAGAAUAACUUAUAGAACUCAUGCAUCGCAGGAUCUUACUGCUAGCCAGAUCUUACUGUUUUUUCUUUACGAUACAAAAUUAAAAGAAAGAAAACGAAGGAGGUAGGAAUAAGAACAACCGCAAAAUACCCACACAAAUUAAAAGAAAGUAGAAAAUGUCUCGGUGAAAAAGUGAAGUACCCUUUGGCUUCCCAUGCUUUCAAGGAACAGACUUUACUGAGUGCUUGCUUCCAUUUCUCCAAAAUCCGUGGGUCAAAAUACUUCUCACGUGUAUGAAAUGCGUCUCCGAAACUCCCUUUUUGAUAUCGCACGUCAGCUGGUUUCACUUUGUAGAAUAUAGGCAACACUAUAGUCCCCGUGUUAUCAUUCUUGCACUCCAUCAUUUGAACCAGUUCAUCUAGGCACCAUUUGCUUGAACCAUAAAUCACAGAGAGAAUGAGAAUCAGGAUCUUACUGUUCUUGAUAGCUGCUGAAAGAUCUGGGCCGAUCUCCUCACCUUGGCGGAGCUCUUCAUCGUCUCUGAAAGCAUGAAUUCCGGCAUCAACGAGCCCUUUGUAGAGGUGAUCAGUAAAGCCUUCUCGAGUAUCUAGGCCUCUAAAGCUCAAGAACACAUCGUAGUGGUCUCCACUUGGUGCUGUGAACGAACUAGAUGCACCAUUGUUAAUUUCUGUUGGAGACGAACUAGAUCCACCAGAAUUAGUUCCCGUUGGCAUAGUCAACGAACCAAAUGCACUAGUGUCAGCAUCUUUGGCAUUUCCACGUGCACUGACUUUCUUCUUAUUGAGAAAAUACAACGCGAGCCUGAAGAGAAGGAUCAGUGCCAUGAGCUCAUUGAAAGAAUGCCCCAAAAUGAGACGAUGGAUUUCGUCUUUGCUCUGACUCUGCUGUUAGAUUUUUGCUUUCAUGUCUGACGGAGAAGAAUAAAUCAGAAUUGCACCAAGAAGUCAAACUCAAGCUAGAUAUAAAUUAGUAAUUUAUUCACCGGAAAAAAUUUCAAUGCACAAGAGGAAAUUUCGAUGAAGAAGCAAUGGAAAGAAAGAAAACCGAUGGUAAUUGUUGGGAAUGACUGAUCCCCGAAAUACCGGAUUCGACACUAAAUCGAACCCCUAAAUCAAUGCGGAAGACGAAGCCCGGGAAAACAACACGCAUCACCGAUCCUAAAGCACACCACGGAUUCGAGCGUACCUUUUAGCCACAGAUUAAACACCGACGUUGAUGGAGGAAGAGAAACUUGGUCCUGUUCGAUCCGGUGAAGCAAAAUCGCCUUGGCGCCUCACUGUUUGCUUUUUGGAGAAAACGACAGAGAGGAGGAGAAGAGGAAGCGUACGUACGUCUUUUUCCCUAUUAAAACAAAACGGUACCUUUUUCCUUUUUCUCCUCCCUUUUAUACCUCUCUCCUUCCAUGGGCCUUAUUCCCGUGGGCCAGGCUUUCUCGGCCCAACUUGGGCGGACGGGCCUUAAGCCCAAUUCUUAUAAAGCCUUCAUCUCCCACUCGCACAUGGUGGGCCGAACAGGAUUCUCUUUACCUCUCUUCAACAUUCAUACUGGUGAAUAAUCCGUGCGAUCAGCAUACUUUGAGAGCUCGUUGCUAUACAUCUGUUAGGAAUAUAUAGCAGCUCAUUAAUGGGCAUCACACUCCGAGUAGAUUUAGUAUGCAGUACCCUAGAUCGAUCGAUCACAUUUAUAUCUCUCUUGAUCUCUUUUAAACAAUGAUAUAUAUUGUAUUCACAAUUAUAAUUAUCACAAAAACAAUCAUAAUUGGUCGACCAGUGAAUACAAAAACUACAAUGUGAUUCUCCAAAAAUCGAUCUUCCUCUUUCCUUCAAACUCUCAAUUUCAGUCCAGCUUGCUUUUCUAGAAAUGCCCCAUUAGAUCGAAUCAUCUCAUGACCAUUGGCAACAUCCUAAGAUAGCAAACACUAAAUAGAAAUCUUGAGAAUAAGUAAGAGUCAUGAGGGGACUUAAAAAAUUGAGGAACUCUUUUCCUCAAGAGUCUCACACGUCAUAAAAGUUGAGAUCAAACUUUUUGCCACUCUUAUUGGUCGUCUCAUGCAUACGUAGUAUGAAAUACGUAUUACGGUAUUAACUCCUUUCCCAUGGAGCGUAUGUCUGCACUUUUCAAUACCGUACAGAUGAUAGUUCAGACAUACCUAAUGUCUAACUCGAGUUCACAUAUCUACUCAAUCAUAAAAUUCAUCAGAACUCACAUCUGGCAUCAUAGACAGAUAAAGUAAAAUAUGUGGGGUAUUUUACUUUCGGACAUCGUAAGUAUUAUGUCAUCAUCUUAACACUUAGUUAAGGCGACAUACGUAUUUUAAGCUUGAGCUCUCGAUUAUCACCUAGAUAAUAAGCUUAAAAUCAGUCUCAUCUCUAUUUAUCACACAGUAAACAGAGGCGAUUACCCGUGUGAGUGAGCUAAUCUUUUAUCUGUCCGACAUACUUCUCAACUUAAAAUAAUACACUAAGUAUUAAGAUGCAUAAAGAUCAUACAAAGAUUCAUAGGCAUUAAUGAUGAAAACACAAAUUCAUCAAAUGUGAACACUUAGGGAAAUUACAAUAUUCAGUACAUUAGCUUCUACGCAAUCCUAGAGAUUUCAUAUGGCCACAAAACACAUCUCUAGGUAUUGGCUUUGUCAUAGGAUCUGCUACCAUUCUAUGCGUAGUAUGUACUCUAAGUUCACAUCUUUUCGUGCAACCAUAUCCUUGACAAGAUUAUACUUGGUAUCUAUAUGUUUGGUCUUGCCAUGAUAUUUUGGAUCUUUGGUAUACGCUUUUGCUGCUUGGCUAUCACAGUUAACCAACAAUUAAUCUGCAGCACUUCCAAUAACACCAAAAUGAUCCAAAAAAUCUCUUAAGCCAAACACUUUCUUACAAUGCUGCUGAUAAUGCCACGAACUCAACUUACAUCGUGGACAAGGCUAUACACUUUUGUUUCUUACUGCUCUAACAUAUGGUGCCAUUAUUCGGUAAGAGAACAAACCUAGAGGUAGAUUUCCUUUUAUUUAAAUCUCCUCCCCAAUCAUCAUUAGAAUAGCCUUAGAGUCACAGAUCCUUUCCAUANNNNNNNNNNNNNNNNNNNNNNNNNNNNNNNNNNNNNNNNNNNNNNNNNNNNNNNNNNNNNNNNNNNNNNNNNNNNNNNNNNNNNNNNNNNNNNNNNNNNNNNNNNNNNNNNNNNNNNNNNNNNNNNNNNNNNNNNNNNNNNNNNNNNNNNNNNNNNNNNNNNNNNNNNNNNNNNNNNNNNNNNNNNNNNNNNNNNNNNNNNNNNNNNNNNNNNNNNNNNNNNNNNNNNNNNNNNNNNNNNNNNNNNNNNNNNNNNNNNNNNNNNNNNNNNNNNNNNNNNNNNNNNNNNNNNNNNNNNNNNNNNNNNNNNNNNNNNNNNNNNNNNNNNNNNNNNNNNNNNNNNNNNNNNNNNNNNNNNNNNNNNNNNNNNNNNNNNNNNNNNNNNNNNNNNNNNNNNNNNNNNNNNNNNNNNNNNNNNNNNNNNNNNNNNNNNNNNNNNNNNNNNNNNNNNNNNNNNNNNNNNNNNNNNNNNNNNNNNNNNNNNNNNNNNNNNNNNNNNNNNNNNNNNNNNNNNNNNNNNNNNNNNNNNNNNNNNNNNNNNNNNNNNNNNNNNNNNNNNNNNNNNNNNNNNNNNNNNNNNNNNNNNNNNNNNNNNNNNNNNNNNNNNNNNNNNNNNNNNNNNNNNNNNNNNNNNNNNNNNNNNNNNNNNNNNNNNNNNNNNNNNNNNNNNNNNNNNNNNNNNNNNNNNNNNNNNNNNNNNNNNNNNNNNNNNNNNNNNNNNNNNNNNNNNNNNNNNNNNNNACCCCUUCACACAAGGCGGAGCCUAUGCUUCAAUCGAGCCAUCAGCCUUCGCUUUAUUUUGAGAACCCAUUUGUUCCAAUAGCUCUGCGUCCUUUCGGAAGAUCAACCAGUUCCCAGACUUGGUUUGAUUUCAUUGACUCCAUUUCCUCUUCCAUUGCAUUGAUCCAUUUUUGCUUACUAGGGCAAUUCAAAGCCUCAUUAAUAUUUCUUGGCUCAUCCUCAUCUUGUGGAGCAACCAUAAAAGUUUCCCCUUCAAUGUCAAAACGUCGACGGGGAAUACUUUGGCGACUUGUUCGCCGUAUGGGAGAUUGUACACUUUGCACAUCAUCCCCCAUCAUGCUCCCACUUGGAUUAGGUAAUGAUGAUGUCGUCUCAUCAUGUGGUUGCAAUUGAGAAUGAGUUGAAUUCAAUUCAUCACUUCUCAUAUUACUCCCACUUGGACGAACUCCACUAACAUCAUUAUCCUGAUCCAAGGUCUCAAAUAGGGAACAAUCUUCCCCUAUUUCGCCCUUCUUAGGAAAUUCAUCCUCUAAGAAUGUGACAUCUCGUGAUUCAAACUCAGUUAUACUCCCACUUUCCUGCUCACCUAUGAACACAUACCCUUUCGAGUGUUCGGAGUAUCUCAUAAAAAUACUCUUAUUUCCUUUGGGACCUAAUUUCCCAAACUUGUGAGAGGACUCAUGAGUAUAGGCAGCACAACCCCAUGACUUAAGAAAACUUAAGUCCGGCUUUCUACCUAUCCAUAACUUAUAUGGAGUGGAAAUAACUAAUUUGGAAGGCACCCGGUUAAGUAUGCAGGCAACAGUUAACAACGCAUCACUCCAAAAAAGUGAUAAGUAAGUUAGCAUGCGCCAUCAUGGACCUAACCAUUUCCAGUAGGGUUCUGUUUCUUCUCUCCGCAACACCAUUUUAUUGAGGAGUAUAUGGAAUAGACCACUGUCUUUCUAUUCCUUUUUCAUCACAUAAUUUUCUGAACUCAUCAGAUAAAUAUUCUUGACCUCGAUCGGAUCUCAAUACUUUUAUUUUCUUAUCUAAUUGAUUCUCUACCAGGUUCAUAAACUUUUUGAAACAACUUAUGCUUCAGAUUUAUGAGAAAUCAAAUAGACAUAUCCGAAUCAAGUAGAAUCAUCUAUAAAAGUGAUGAAAUAAACAGCCCCAUGCCUUCCUUUCACAUUCAUUGGACUACAGACAUCAGAAUGGAUUAAAUGCAGAGGAAAUUCAGCUCUUUUUUAUUUUCCAAAUGGUUUCCUUGUCGUUUUCCCUUCUAGGCAAUGCUGACAUAUGGACAAAUCGACUUUUUCAAUAUUGCCCAACAAGCCCUCUUUGGCUAGUCUUUUCAUAUGUUGUUGGCCCAUAUGACCAAGUCUAGCAUGCCACCGUAUUCACAUCAUUAUCAUAUAAAGUAGAAGACGUGAAACAAGGGAAUAACAUAUUGACAUCACAACAGUCAACAUUUAGUACAAUAAAACCAUCAAGAAAGUGAUCAAAAUCAUAGUAGUUUAUAUCCAAAUACAAAUCUACACAUCUAUUAUGGAAGUUUAUACUAAAACCAAGCUUAACCAACACCAAAACAAACAUUAAAUUUCGACGAAUCUCUGGAGCAUAUGGAACAUCAUGUAGGAACAAGGUGCGUCCACCACGCAUGUUCAAUUGGCAGGUGCCAAUCCCUUUAACUUCAGCUCUGAAGUUAUUUCCCACAUAGAUCCACAUAGUUCCAGUUGGUAUCGUCGAAAUUUCACGAAGGAUCCUCUAUCCUUCGCUACAUGGUCUGUCGCUCCUGAAUCUACAGUCCACAAAGGAUUAGACUCAGUCAAGAAUACAGAACUCGACACAAAAGUAAAGUUCUGAAAAGCAUAAGGGGUGUUGACCUUCUUUGGCUCACGACAGUCGCGAGCAUAGUGACCCUUCUUGUCACAAUUAAAACACUUCACCCUUGUAAGCUUCUUCAUUCGAGGACGCUUUCCUCUUUCAUGUUGGUUAACUUUUGAUUUCUUGUAAUAAUGACUUGAUCCUUUGCAAUCCCACAUAUUGGAACGAAUCAAUACGCUUGCGCUUAGAGCUCAAAGCCCUUUCUGAGCUAGAACCAGCAUUGUAAAUGNNNNNNNNNNNNNNNNNNNNNNNNNNNNNNNNNNNNNNNNNNNNNNNNNNNNNNNNNNNNNNNNNNNNNNNNNNNNNNNNNNNNNNNNNNNNNNNNNNNNNNNNNNNNNNNNNNNNNNNNNNNNNNNNNNNNNNNNNNNNNNNNNNNNNNNNNNNNNNNNNNNNNNNNNNNNNUUUGUUCAGCUCGCAACUAUGCUCUUGUGCCUGAAGCCAUUGAUCUGAACCACAUCAGACAUAUGCACGAAUUAUUAAUGCCUAUCAUUUAUGCAUCCCCUUUUUUUUACAUAGACCCAUCAUAUUAAUGAAUAAUUUCAAGUAAGGCUUCAGAAUCAAAAUGUCACUACGUUUCCAAUCAUCCUCCAAAAAUCCUAACUUAAAACUAUCAUUAAUAUGACUGUCAUAUGCAAAAUCAAUUCUAUGAAGCUACAAAAACUUCUAAAACUACCCACAGCAACCAGCAAUAACAGAAAGCAACAUAUAAUAGAACAUCCAAUAAAAACAAUAAUGCUUUCAAUUAACACAAUUAGGUAGUAAUCAUUACAUAAUAUGUCCACAAAUCACACUUAACACAUAUCAGCCAAUACAACUAACACCAAGUCAGCACACGAACUGGGAAAAAUCCUCUUUUGUUCAAUUUCUUGAUCUUUUCCCUUGAAACAAUACAAUAAUAUUCAUUUACAAAAUCCAUCACAAUUUUCUUAUAGGAAGCAGCUCCGUUGACAUCCCAUAUGCGAUUCAACACAUCUUGCCAUUCAGGUGGAAGAGUGUUUAUGAAAAAUCGCACCAUCUCUGACUGUGACAUAGGACGACCAUUCCAUAUGACCUGUUGAAUUUUCCCGUUGACUUCAAGGACAUGAUCAAUUAAGUCACCUCCCUCCCAUCGAUGAUCAUUCAGCUCAGCUAUCAACUUAGACAGCCUAUCCUUUUGUUCAUCGGUAACGGCGCGAAUAGGUGUGCGCAACCUCAGGGGAGGCAUUGUUCCUGCAACAAAUGCAGAACAAAUAAGAGAUCACAUUAUAAUCCAUAUAGACUUAAUUGAAAAGGAAACACAUUUUUUUUUUUUUUUUUUUUUUUUUUUUUUUUUUUUUUUUUUUUUCGGGUCAAAAUCAACGGGCAACGGUCUUCGGUCAACGUGGUCAACGGUCAACGGUCAAAGGGUCAACGGGCGUCGGUCGUCGAACCGGUCGGACCGGUCGGGCCGGUCGGACCGCUCGCGCGGACCGACGCACGUGCCGCGCGCGUGCGGGGGAUGACGUCACGCAGACGUCAUCCGCACGUGCCUGCCACGUGCCUUGGUCUCCGGUGGGUCGGGUCGCCGGCCGGUGACCGUCCGGCGAAAAGACGUCAGUGAUGACGUCAUCAGUGACGUCAUCCGAACGGUUAUCGACCGUUGGAUGACGUCACGGUGACGUCAUCACGUGACGUCAGCACGCGUCGGUCCGCGGACCGGCGCGUGCCAGUUCGCCCGCCGGCGGCGUGCACGCGCCGGUUCGCCGACCGGCGCGUGCACCGCACGCGCUGGCCAAUGCCAGCGCUUCGGGCGCGUCGCGCCCACGCGCAGCACCUUCCAGCCGCGCGUGUGGGUGCGUGCAGCGGCUCCCGGCGGUGGUCGACACAUCGCCGGACUCGUCUCGACGUCGCGCUUCUUCCUAUGCAAUCAGAAAAUAGUUUCGACAUACGAAAACUCAGUAAAAAGGCCGAAGAACGCUCGGGUGUCGGGAUUUUUGUCCCGAUCCGUACGGCCGAGAGUUUCUUCGCGAAAACUCAAACAAAAAACAUCAAAUUGAUCGGGAGAACGUGAACUAGGGCUCUGAUACCAAUGUUGGGAAUGACUGAUCCCCGAAAUACCGGAUUCGACACUAAAUCGAACCCCUAAAUCAAUGCGGAAGACGAAGCCCGGGAAAACAACACGUAUCACCGAUCCUAAAGCACACCACGGAUUCGAGCGUACCUUUUAGCCACAGAUUAAACACCGACGUUGAUGGAGGAAGAGAAACUUGGUCCUGUUCGAUCCGGUGAAGCAAAAUCGCCUUGGCGCCUCACUGUUUGCUUUUUGGAGAAAACGACAGAGAGGAGGAGAAGAGGAAGCGUACGUACGUCUUUUUCCCUAUUAAAACAAAACGGUAACUUUUUCCUUUUUCUCCUCCCUUUUAUACCUCUCUCCUUCCACGGGCCUUAUUCCCGUGGGCCAGGCUUUCUCGGCCCAACUUGGGCGGACGGGCCUUAAGCCCAAUUCUUAUAAAGCCUUCAGUAAUAGACAAGUGCUGUCAAAAUUCCAAUAAACAAGUGUUCGAGAAGAUGAAAAGUGGGGAGAAAUACAUACAAAAGCGUCAGGGUGGUGAUGAGGGCACGCUUAGCCCAGUGCUUUGCACUGUUGAGCUUUCCUUUCCUUUUGCUAAUUUAUUUUCCAUCAGAGAAGGCAUUUUGGUGAAUAUAAAGAAGCUUUUGAUCACACUUAGGAAUUUCGCCCUCCCACUUUGAGCCUGUUACAUAUUGUAGUAUCAAAUGGAUGAACUCCAUUUCACUACUGAAAUGGAAAAUCAUUUCUUGAAUCAAAAUCAUGUGUUGAGCCUGUUACAUAUUGUGGCCUUGAAUCAUCUAUCAAAGGCUGGUGCCCCAAAAAGGGAAAGCAUUUAUCAAGCAAACUAUCCAGAUAAUUAGCGAUUUCUUGUGGACCUUGACCGUCAUUUAUGGCGAAAGUGGCCCAACGGAAUCCAAGGAAAAUUUUGUGAAGAAGCAAAGUGAUAAUGAAAUUGAGAUAAAACAAAAAAAGCAGAGAAAAAGAAGGUGGGUGAGUCAUCCUAACGUGGAAAAGAAGACCAACCAAUGCUUUUUAGCGUGCUUUUAUGCCGUCGGCAAGAUUUUAGUCAAACAUUCCCUCAAGAUAAAAAAUCAUGACAAUGCUUUGCAGUGGCAAGAAAUUAUUCAUUGUUGGUCCUUUGCCCCUUCUUUUCCCAUGGUACCAGGAUUUUCUUUUCAAAGUUAAAUUUAAGAAAGUUCAUCACGUAGAUCCCAUCACUCUUGUUCUGAUUACAAUUCAGCAUUUUUUAAAGGUAAAAGUAAAAAAAUAAACUUGGGAUAGAGCCCAAACAUUGGCACAGCCAGUUAUUGCUAUCAGGCCUGGCUUGGCAUGACCCCUAACUACAAGGGGUUGUGCCAAGCUUGAGCCAAGGGGACUAGUCCAUGUGGGUCGGCACGACCCAGUUACCAUGCGUAGGUAGGGGCUUGUUAAUAUACAUGUUAGGAAAAGCAAAAUGCUGAAAUUUGAGACUUUUCCAAACUUUGGCAUUUCAAAGGCAAAGAGUUUGAAAGGUAAUGCAUGAGUAUGAAGAGUCAAAUUAUGAUUUUGAGGAAAAAAAGGGAAUCUUGAUGUGCAAUUAACGGUGAAGAAUUAAGGGGAAAAAAGGUAUAUUAGAAUUUGGUGGAGAAUUAAGAAUGCUAGUUCUGAUCUUGGAGUCAACUUGCAGGUGGAAAAUCAGCAACAUUAUACAAUCAUGGCUAGCGGGCAUGAUGACCUCCACCAUGAGUAUUUUUCCAUUUCUUUUUCCUUUUUUUAAACUUUUCUUUUUAGGUUCUCUCAAUUUGAUUAUCAAGGCCAUCACAAGACAGUCUCGGACAUUGGUUUACUGAGGCAAGGCAUUAACAGUGCUCAAUGAAGCCCGAUUGAGUUUAGCUGAAGGCCCACUUGUAAAUAAAGAUGGUGCUGCCCCUUCCACUAUAGGGAGUAAAUUACACAAAACUUCUCUAAAUUUUAGUGUAAUACAAGUUUUUCCUUGGUUUUUCAACUGUUAUACAAUAGUCUCUAAACUUCUAUUUUGUUCCGGCAAUUAAGGGUGUGUUUGUUUAUGUUUCUUUUUUUUGUUUUUAAACAUUUUUUUCUGUUUUUUUGUUCCUGGGAACAAAAAAGGAACAGAAACGCGUUUGGGUGCGUUUCUGUUCCUUUUUUGUUCAUUUGUUCCCAGGAACAAAAAAGAAACAGAAAUAAGAAACACAAAUUUUGUGUUUCUUAUUUCUGAAACAAAUCUUAAAAACACUUUUGUAUUUCUUCUUCUUUUUCUUCUUCUUAUUUUCUUUCCUGAGACAUAUCGGGGUUUUACAACGGCCGAGGCCGGCGAUCGGCCAAAAGAAGAAAAAAAUAAAAAAAAAAGGAAAAAAAAUAAAAAAAUAAAAAAAUAGAAUAAAAAUAUUAAAAAAUAAAAGAAAUAAAAAAAUUAUAUAAAUUUACCAAACGUGUUUCUGUUUAUUUUUUAUUCCCGGAACAAAUUUACCAAACGCGUUUUUUUGUUCAAAAAUUGUUCCCCGGAACAGAAACACUUUUUUCUAUUUCUGUUCCCUGGAACAAUUUUUAAACAGAAACGCAAACAAAUGCACCCUAACUCUUCGUUAUAUUUUUAUUAGCAUGUGCAAUGCAUGUGACUUUUAAGAGGUAUAAGUGUAAUUUCAUCUCAUUCUUUUUUUUCAAGGAAGCCUCUGUUACCCUUAGUUGAUGUAAAAAACUGAAAUAUAGAAAAUGGAAGAGAAAAGGUUUUUUUUUUUUUUUUUAUCGAGGAAGAGAAAUAAAUUAACUAAAAUACUAAUAAUCAAAAUAAUAAUAUCGAUAAUCAUAUUGAAUGAUAAGCAUUUUUCAAAAUUAAAUAAAUAUAGCCACUUCAUAUAACUAAAUAAGAUAUUUAAAAAAUAAAUACAGAUUUAUUGAAAAGGGAAAAGGCAUCAUUAAUUAAAAGAUCAAAUAACAAAAAGUGGUUAAUGGUUAUGUAUGUUUAAAGGAUGAAUUAAUGUAAAAAUGAUUGAUAUAAGGAGAACGAACAAUUGCUUGUAAAAUUUAUCCCUUUAAGAGGCAAUUGUUCAAGAAGAGUUGGUUAAUACCACGAAAAACCCUAACUAGGUAUAAGUUUAACAAAUUUACCUAAAACUAAUUUUUUGACCACAAAAAAUUCCAAACUAGUACACUUAUAACAAUUUUAACGAAAACUAAUAGAAGGUACAUUUUACAAGCGUAUUAGAUUUGGAUUUUUUAUGGUAAAAAAAAAACUAGUUGAAGGUAAAUUUGUCACAUGUGUACUAAUUUGGAAUUUUUUGUGGUAAAAAAUUAGUUUGGAGUAAAUUCGUCACAAGUAUAUUAGUUUUGGGCUUUUUGUUAUAUAUAUAAUAUCUUAUGGACAUUUUUAGUGAUGGGCAUCUUGAGUUUAAAAAACGCCCCUUGCUUUAGUAAUAAUAUGAAAUUUUCUAAAUCAUUUUGGUUUUUAGGUCCGAACCAUAUUGUCGAAUGAGUUAUUGCUUUCUUUGAGAAAGCUAUUCUUACGGAAUUAUCUUAAAUGGUAACUUGUACUAUUUUACUGGUCCUACAUGUUUGCUUUUGUGAGUUUGGGCUAUAUAUGUUAUAUUUGUGUCCUUCCUAGACAGGCCUUUGCCUUAUAUUUGUUAUUCAAUUGUUGGACUUAUCAAAGAGCAACCAAAUACAUCCGAUCCAUUAACAUACAUGAACUCUUUUUGUAGUGAAGUUAUUCCCCAAAUUUACAAUAUGGACACCCUGAUGUGUCCAUAGCUAUUGGGAUUUUGCCUAAUUUUUAGUUUUUGCUUCACACUCUUAUCUUAGGACUUUGAACAACCACCCUAGUUUACUCCAUUCAAUUGAUAUCAAAACAAUGUAAGUGAGUCAGCUUCAUAGCUGAACUAAGUAGAUCACCGAUUCAGCAAGCAAUUCACCACCUCAAUCAAAAGUUGGACAUGCUAUUAUAAAAAAAUCAUACUGAUGUCAAGGAAUGAUACAUACUAUAUGCUAAUCACGUGAGGCGAGAAAAUGAAUGACAAACUCAUUUUGUAGUUCAAAUUCAAUGACCCGGUAAUAACAUAGGUUGUUACCUAACUGUGAUAAAAAGGGGUUUAAUAGGUCUAAAAAUUUCACUUUUUUCCUCCAACUACUCUUGUAAUUAAUGGGUUAUAAACAUUGACAUCAACUAUAUUUAUACUUAGUAAAGUUUUCAUGUGCGAGCUAUCCACAGUUUUGGUCCACUAAUUAUAGAAAUGAUCAGAAGAUAUUAAGAACAGAGGAAGAUGUAACCCUUCGCUAAAUGAGGACACCAUUUCAUGGCAAUAUAAUAAUAGUAACAAUGACAAUAAUCAUAAGUAAUAAUAAUUUGUGCGCCUUUUAUGUAAUAAGUUGGCUAACUAUGCUUUGAGUCACGGUGUAAAGUUAGGUACUAGAUCAUAGGCCAAAAAUACUUACUCAGGAAUGCUCCUGAAAUAUUUGUUCUUAAUAAUAUUUAAAUGUCUAGCAUAACAAUCCAAAUUGUUCUGAUGCCUUAUUGGAAACCCAAAAAAGAAGAAAGAAAAAAAGAAACAGUUAUUAUCGCUUAGCAUAUCCCUCAAGUUAGCAAAUGGAUUACAUAAUCCAUUGCAUAGACAAUUCACCAAAUAUGCUAUUCAGCAAUUUAAUUAUUUUAAUUAAGCGUGUGAUAGUACAUAUGUGUGGAUAAAGUGGGUAGCUAAGCUCUUGAAUAUCAAGGAGUGGAAUAAUGUCGCAAGACUGUUCUAACCAACGAGUAGUGGACAAGAUUUAUUGCCUUACCUCUGUUAAUUUAAAAAUAAAAACAUUAUUGUGGGCAUGAUUUGCGCUCAUGAAAUACUGAAGAUGCUUUGGAGACUUGUACAAUUCCCUUCAGCCUUAUGGAGUCAAAUUAUAAAAGGAAUAUAUUUCCCAAAUGGGAAAUUCUGGAAUGCAGGAAGAGGAUCCUGACCCUCAUGAGGUCGGCAAAGCUUUUACUGGGCAGAGAAUCCAUCUUCCCAGAAAAAACAAGAUGGGCUGUGGGGAACGGGAAAAACAUUCACAUUUGUUAAGACUUAUGGCUAUAACAGGAGCCGAUUGGGGGUCCAGCAAACUUGGAUGACCCCCAAAGAGUCGAAGAGUUGAUUGUUCAGGAUGUAAUGUGCUGGAACGAACAAAGAUUGAAUGAGCUAUUCAAGGAACAUACGGUCAAGGAAAUUAUAGCCAUACCAAUUAGUACAAAUCGGAAAGAGGACGAGCUGGUUUGGACAGGGAGUAAAACGGGGAAAUGCUCAGUUAAAUGCGCCUACAAAUGACUUCUCCCAACAGAACAACUACGGCUCUCAACUCACGCCUCUUCCUCCAACCAAGUUCCUAAGACUCUAUGGAAGAACAUCUGGAGCCUCACCACACUCCCAAAAAUUAAAACUUUCAUGUGGAGUCUCUGUCAGAAUUCCUUACCAACCCAGGAUAAUCUUUGGGAGAAAUUAUUGCCCGAUCCUCUUUGUCCAUUCUGCCGCCAGCUACCGGCAACAACAGAGCACCUCUUCUUACUCUGCGAGUAGACAAAAGCGAUAUGGUCAGACCCAAGAGUCAGUAUCAAGUUUUCCAGUCAAGAGAUUACUAGGCUAGACAAAUGGGUUCUCGAUCAGAUGCAACAAAAGAGGAACUCACCCUCUUUCGAAGUCUUUGCGUGUAUAUUGUGGAACUUGCGGAAGGCACGCAAUUACUUCAUCUUCCAGUCUUGGCAACCAGAUCUGAACGCAAUUAUCGAAAAUGCUUAUGCUAUAGACAAGAACUUUAGACGCCGGAACCCUGUAACAUCUACUCGGGAGAAGGGACAGGUAAAACUACAGGAACUUGAGGUCUGCCCUUCUGCACUUGGAAGACAAGCGCGAUCCGGGGGGAUGAGAAGGAGCCGCACGUGAUGCUGGAAACUGAUAGCUUAUCACUUAUCAGUUCAGCGGUACAUCUCGGGCUCCAAUCCAAGCCCAUGGGAGCUAAGUGGAGUGAUGGACGACAGCAAGCAAAGCCCAGCCCAGUCAAGGUAAAUUGAAGUGGCCUAUUGUCCGAGAGAAGCUAAUCAGAUUGCGGAUUAGAUUGCAAAAGCCCCACGCCAGAAAGCCCUUCCAACUAAUUGGCCAUCGAUUCCACCUCCAUCUUCAUCGAAUUUUUUAUGUUCAGAAACUCAUGUGUGUUGUCUCUUUCGCGAAGUUAGUUGAAUGAAAUGACCCCNNNNNNNNNNNNNNNNNNNNNNNNNNNNNNNNNNNNNNNNNNNNNNNNNNNNNNNNNNNNNNNNNNNNNNNNNNNNNNNNNNNNNNNNNNNNNNNNNNNNNNNNNNNNNNNNNNNNNNNNNNNNNNNNNNNNNNNNNNNNNNNNNNNNNNNNNNNNNNNNNNNNNNNNNNNNNNNNNNNNNNNNNNNNNNNNNNNNNNNNNNNNNNNNNNNNNNNNNNNNNNNNNNNNNNNNNNNNNNNNNNNNNNNNNNNNNNNNNNNNNNNNNNNNNNNNNNNNNNNNNNNNNNNNNNNNNNNNNNNNNNNNNNNNNNNNNNNNNNNNNNNNNNNNNNNNNNNNNNNNNNNNNNNNNNNNNNNNNNNNNNNNNNNNNNNNNNNNNNNNNNNNNNNNNNNNNNNNNNNNNNNNNNNNNNNNNNNNNNNNNNNNNNNNNNNNNNNNNNNNNNNNNNNNNNNNNNNNNNNNNNNNNNNNNNNNNNNNNNNNNNNNNNNNNNNNNNNNNNNNNNNNNNNNNNNNNNNNNNNNNNNNNNNNNNNNNNNNNNNNNNNNNNNNNNNNNNNNNNNNNNNNNNNNNNNNNNNNNNNNNNNNNNNNNNNNNNNNNNNNNNNNNNNNNNNNNNNNNNNNNNNNNNNNNNNNNNNNNNNNNNNNNNNNNNNNNNNNNNNNNNNNNNNNNNNNNNNNNNNNNNNNNNNNNNNNNNNNNNNNNNNNNNNNNNNNNNNNNNNNNNNNNNNNNNNNNNNNNNNNNNNNNNNNNNNNNNNNNNNNNNNNNNNNNNNNNNNNNNNNNNNNNNNNNNNNNNNNNNNNNNNNNNNNNNNNNNNNNNNNNNNNNNNNNNNNNNNNNNNNNNNNNNNNNNNNNNNNNNNNNNNNNNNNNNNNNNNNNNNNNNNNNNNNNNNNNNNNNNNNNNNNNNNNNNNNNNNNNNNNNNNNNNNNNNNNNNNNNNNNNNNNNNNNNNNNNNNNNNNNNNNNNNNNNNNNNNNNNNNNNNNNNNNNNNNNNNNNNNNNNNNNNNNNNNNNNNNNNNNNNNNNNNNNNNNNNNNNNNNNNNNNNNNNNNNNNNNNNNNNNNNNNNNNNNNNNNNNNNNNNNNNNNNNNNNNNNNNNNNNNNNNNNNNNNNNNNNNNNNNNNNNNNNNNNNNNNNNNNNNNNNNNNNNNNNNNNNNNNNNNNNNNNNNNNNNNNNNNNNNNNNNNNNNNNNNNNNNNNNNNNNNNNNNNNNNNNNNNNNNNNNNNNNNNNNNNNNNNNNNNNNNNNNNNNNNNNNNNNNNNNNNNNNNNNNNNNNNNNNNNNNNNNNNNNNNNNNNNNNNNNNNNNNNNNNNNNNNNNNNNNNNNNNNNNNNNNNNNNNNNNNNNNNNNNNNNNNNNNNNNNNNNNNNNNNNNNNNNNNNNNNNNNNNNNNNNNNNNNNNNNNNNNNNNNNNNNNNNNNNNNNNNNNNNNNNNNNNNNNNNNNNNNNNNNNNNNNNNNNNNNNNNNNNNNNNNNNNNNNNNNNNNNNNNNNNNNNNNNNNNNNNNNNNNNNNNNNNNNNNNNNNNNNNNNNNNNNNNNNNNNNNNNNNNNNNNNNNNNNNNNNNNNNNNNNNNNNNNNNNNNNNNNNNNNNNNNNNNNNNNNNNNNNNNNNNNNNNNNNNNNNNNNNNNNNNNNNNNNNNNNNNNNNNNNNNNNNNNNNNNNNNNNNNNNNNNNNNNNNNNNNNNNNNNNNNNNNNNNNNNNNNNNNNNNNNNNNNNNNNNNNNNNNNNNNNNNNNNNNNNNNNNNNNNNNNNNNNNNNNNNNNNNNNNNNNNNNNNNNNNNNNNNNNNNNNNNNNNNNNNNNNNNNNNNNNNNNNNNNNNNNNNNNNNNNNNNNNNNNNNNNNNNNNNNNNNNNNNNNNNNNNNNNNNNNNNNNNNNNNNNNNNNNNNNNNNNNNNNNNNNNNNNNNNNNNNNNNNNNNNNNNNNNNNNNNNNNNNNNNNNNNNNNNNNNNNNNNNNNNNNNNNNNNNNNNNNNNNNNNNNNNNNNNNNNNNNNNNNNNNNNNNNNNNNNNNNNNNNNNNNNNNNNNNNNNNNNNNNNNNNNNNNNNNNNNNNNNNNNNNNNNNNNNNNNNNNNNNNNNNNNNNNNNNNNNNNNNNNNNNNNNNNNNNNNNNNNNNNNNNNNNNNNNNNNNNNNNNNNNNNNNNNNNNNNNNNNNNNNNNNNNNNNNNNNNNNNNNNNNNNNNNNNNNNNNNNNNNNNNNNNNNNNNNNNNNNNNNNNNNNNNNNNNNNNNNNNNNNNNNNNNNNNNNNNNNNNNNNNNNNNNNNNNNNNNNNNNNNNNNNNNNNNNNNNNNNNNNNNNNNNNNNNNNNNNNNNNNNNNNNNNNNNNNNNNNNNNNNNNNNNNNNNNNNNNNNNNNNNNNNNNNNNNNNNNNNNNNNNNNNNNNNNNNNNNNNNNNNNNNNNNNNNNNNNNNNNNNNNNNNNNNNNNNNNNNNNNNNNNNNNNNNNNNNNNNNNNNNNNNNNNNNNNNNNNNNNNNNNNNNNNNNNNNNNNNNNNNNNNNNNNNNNNNNNNNNNNNNNNNNNNNNNNNNNNNNNNNNNNNNNNNNNNNNNNNNNNNNNNNNNNNNNNNNNNNNNNNNNNNNNNNNNNNNNNNNNNNNNNNNNNNNNNNNNNNNNNNNNNNNNNNNNNNNNNNNNNNNNNNNNNNNNNNNNNNNNNNNNNNNNNNNNNNNNNNNNNNNNNNNNNNNNNNNNNNNNNNNNNNNNNNNNNNNNNNNNNNNNNNNNNNNNNNNNNNNNNNNNNNNNNNNNNNNNNNNNNNNNNNNNNNNNNNNNNNNNNNNNNNNNNNNNNNNNNNNNNNNNNNNNNNNNNNNNNNNNNNNNNNNNNNNNNNNNNNNNNNNNNNNNNNNNNNNNNNNNNNNNNNNNNNNNNNNNNNNNNNNNNNNNNNNNNNNNNNNNNNNNNNNNNNNNNNNNNNNNNNNNNNNNNNNNNNNNNNNNNNNNNNNNNNNNNNNNNNNNNNNNNNNNNNNNNNNNNNNNNNNNNNNNNNNNNNNNNNNNNNNNNNNNNNNNNNNNNNNNNNNNNNNNNNNNNNNNNNNNNNNNNNNNNNNNNNNNNNNNNNNNNNNNNNNNNNNACCUCACUGGUGAUGUUCUCUUAGGAAAUCGCGUUAGCAAGGCAAGACCGUCACGUCAUUCUUGAAUAGAACAGAAACUGCACGACACUGUUUACACUCAUUUCAAUGCGCACUUAAUAACCAUUAAAUCACAGAGCUUUACCUCAAAACAAACCGGACAGUCAUGAUGCAUUGCUCCUUCCAUGCAAGGAUGGCUGCUUUUCAGAAAUACAGCAUAGCAGCAACCUUUGCAGCGUGACAAUGAAUGGAGCAGAUUAACUUCAGUUCUUUUCAUCACAACGGUUAUGCAUAAAUCAAAACGCGCAACAUCAACGACAGGGAAAUGAUAAGACAAACGUCCAGAGGGAGACUUCUGCAUAAAUAGGUAUAUAAAUUCCUAAGAGAUACCAAUAAUCUCCGCCAGGGGUGAUGAAUGACAUAAAUGAGAUGCAUCUAGAAAUUUCAUAUAACAUCCUGACACAUGAAAUUUUUCAUCUACACUGACUGAUCACCCUGUGACAAGUGUUUAUGAAUUCGUGCUUAUUUUCUUACAGAUACCAGCACUCCCCACUCAGAGAUUGAAUAGCGGAUGUCGUGCAUUGAGGCAGCAAAGAACUCCCAUUAUUCAUAUGGACAAGCGCUUUGACACCGUUGAGCAUUGCUGCUAAAGGUGGCCAUACCUGCUAAUGCCACAUCCAUUGCGAUGACAGACUUCUAAAGAUAAAAUAUAGUAAGAUGUCAGGUCCAUGUGAUCAUAAUUUUUUCCACUGCAAGAUAUGACACUAACAUUUGUGAUAGUCUGUAUAAUGCAAAUAAGAAACUUCCUUUUUCACAUGUUUGUCUGUUAUAAAGCAUUUUUAUGCUCAAGGCUAAAAAAUUUGCUAGGAUCAGUCUAUAAACAUGCUAGAAAUUCGAUAGCAUCCACCGGUUAAACUUCUUGGCGUGGCAAGAUUAUCCCUACUUUUUGUUUACAUUGAUAUUAUUCUGGGCAUAAGAGAGCAGUAUGGUUAUAAAAAGCACAUCCAUGGGUAGAAAAUUGAAAAGAGUCAUAUUCUUCGUACUCACCAAACUAUAGACUACUUCUCUGAACUCAAUCCACAUGGCGACUUUCAUAUAUGAUACCAAGAAAGUAUGAUGCAAUUAACUAGUGAAUUAACUUCUAGAGAAUAUUAGAGGCAACUUUUGCACAUUUUCAUCAUGUAAAAAUGGAAAACCGCACAUAUCGCAGUGUAAGCACACAUGCUUCAAAGUUAACAUCAGGUCAGAAUGCGAUCUCAUCUCAAGAUAACUCGUGACACUAGCGCCCAAAAUCUACAGGCGGCUGAAGCGGUGGUUAGUGAUCAUUCUUUAAUGUAUGGCAAGUAAAAAUUCAAUUGCAAUCUAUCAAAUAAGCUUGCACACAAAUAUCUCCUAGAUAUCUAGUACCUUCUUCAUGUUGCGACAAAUGAAGUUAUCAAGAAUUCUUAAGUCUCUGAGGGGCACAAGGAAUCACCUUCACAUCAUUAUGACAGUGAUGACAAUGAAAGAUCUUAUCGCAACAAGGGGCUCUAAUGCGGCACCUUCACCAGUAAUGAGGACAUCUGCAGCAGCAGCAACUUUGAUAUCAACUGGAAUUAAGCUGGAACUAAUAUUGCUCAGGAAUGAGCUGAGAUAUUACUCGUCCUGCAAGUGCUCUCUCUCUAGCAACUCAAUAGCAUUAGCAUCUUCUUGAGUUCUUUCGACAGGCACCUGUUCUCCAUUCAUCUGCUAAAGGACUGCCAGCUCAUUGUCUGUCUGACUUCUUUAUAUAAGACAUGUUGAAGGUUUUCCGCAUCAAACUGAUCGUCACUGUUCAAUGGCUAGUUCAUCCAUUUUAGUUUGACUCUGCUGAGACUACCAACAACCUAGAAGCUAGCAUUGAGGAACUCCAGGGCAUCCUCCAGGGGAUUGGGUGUCAUGAUCACUUGAUGAUUUCCUGAAGUCUGGAGCAAAUUAUAUCGGAUGCGACCAUGAUUGAGCCAAUCUCCAGUGAAAUUGCACGAUUCAAUUGCUCUCAAACAAAGUAAGACAACAGAAUAUGGUGAAAGAUUGUAAGAGCAAAACUUGUCCAUCAAGCAUACGCCACCUCCUCCUGCAAUUCUACUUGAAGCUUUCUUCAAAAACUGUUCAUAGCUCAAGCCUCAAACAAAUACCUAUCAGGGAUUCCAUACUGCCAGAAGAACUGCAUAUCAUACGACUGCUGAAGACAGACAUCAAUGUCCUUAAGUAAGAACCUUCGUGAAGAAGGUAUUUUAUCCAGGUUAAUUGACCAACUUUUCCCUCUAUUCCACGUGUUAUCCAAGAGUCAACAAAUUGUUCUAUGAUUCUAGUCCAACAUUUCUUAUUUCAUGCGGUAUGAGCAGCUCUCUCUCUCUCUCUCUCUCUCUCGCGCGCGCGCGCUCGCGCACGUGCGUGCGCAUACGCUCCCCCUCCCUCCCUCCUGUGCCAUGUGCCAUGGUCCACAAAGAUACCUGAAUUCUACUCUGAAACCAAAAUUACUAUGUCUGCGUCAUGCAUUCAUCUUAAAUAUGGCUAAAAACCUACCAUUCUAGCAGAGAUUUCUCAAAGUUCUCAUUGUGCUAAAGUUCAUGAGCACCAGGAUCUACGGCAAAGGUCAGAAAGCACGUUACCUGAAUGAGCACAAAAAUUGCUACCUAAACCUCCUUAUGUCAUGCAGAGUAUACAUUAGUGCAUAUAUCAAUCUGUAAACUACCCUCCAAAUGAAUACAGCAUAUCAUUUGAUACGUUUAUUGUUCAAUCUCAUGACGUGGAUUCUACACUGUCCAGCAAAUUUCCAGGACAAGGAAAGUAGGGGGAAGUCUGCUCCAAUCAGUAGAUCUCUGAAAAGAGGAAAAUUAAAAUCUUAACCAUACAAAAGAUGGAAAAGUUGACUAUUCUUCACUCGAGAGUUAAAUCAUCAGACAAGGUCGGUCAGGGAUUAUAAUGAAUAUUCAGUGUAAAAGGGCAGCGAGUUGAUUCUCCUCUUAUUAAUCUUCUUAUAAGGAACUUAUUUAAUUAGAUGAAUCUUCUUCGGCAUUCACUCUGGUUCCUUUCUCAGUUAACCAAAGCCACAUGACACAAUAUGCUAUCAAACUGCCUGGUGAAACCUAAAUACACCACAUUGUAUUCUGUCACCAACAACCGAAUUGCAAGCUCAGUGCAAAUAAACUACUGCGCACCACGCUUUUUCCCAAAUCCUAAAGAAAAAAAGGGGAAUUUUCAGAGUUAUCGUAUCGUAUCCCACAUCACUAAUCUCUUAUGUAUGCGACAAGUCAUCACCUGACACAUUGUCCAUAAUGAACACAGAUAAGCGCGACCUGCUUUGACGAGUUGGGAAAUAAUUGGAAUGGCACAUCCUUAAUCACACGAGAUAGCGGCAAAAGAAAGGAAAAACUGCAGGGAUUCCAUCCUUUUGACAAAGGAUAAAAUACACCAUGCUAGUCCUCAAGUUAUCGACAGGAAUUGAAUCAUGUUGUUGCAUGAGUUUAUCAUCUGAACUCUUGGGCAAUAAAACUGCCAAAUGAACGACAGUUCAAAAAAUGGUAGAUUCAGGCUAACAUCAACAACAAAUACCAUUAAAUUUAUCCAGAACUCUCUCUCUCUUUCGUCGAGAGAAACCUCUUCCAGCACCAAGAUGUGUAAAUUGGACCGGUAAUCAAACGCUAUAACAAACGCAAGGACUCUGUUCAAAUGAAAUCAUCAUCUAGAUUUCAAUUUCAAACCAUUCCCGAACAUUCACGAGCCAAUAUCAUUCAACUACAUCAGAAAAAAAAAAAAAAAAAAAGACGACAAAUGCCUCAAUGCAUCCGAACUCCUCAUUCGCUGCCUCAACACGACACAUACAAACCCAAAAUCGAUUCUGAUUCAGAAUAUAAUUAUUUCAAGUUAACGGGAUCAGAGACUUUACAACUUCCAUCAAAUUAAGUAUAAAUAGUACGGUAGUUUCAGCACUCGGAUAUUACUUCUCUUUUCCUUAUUCACCGAUAACAUAAUCUAUCAUUUGGCGUACGCAUAUUCUUUCAUUUGUGUGAAAUCAGAAUAUUUAUUUUAUGAAAAUAAUUCGUUAAGUUGUAUCUUAUUUCAUAUAAAUCUUCCUCUUUUGAGCAAAAUAAAGACGGAAUUCUUAAUUAAUGUUAUAUAUUAAUAUAAAAAGUCGAUAACAGUUACAAAGUUCCUAAAUAGCAUGUCGUUAUUGGAGGGUAUAUGCCUAUAUGGACAUUUAUAUGUAAUUUUUUGUUGUUAAAUUAUACUUAAUUGAAUCAGUUAUAGAAAAUGUUAGAAUUCCAGUAACUGCUAAUUUCCGAUCUUAAAACUAAUGUUAUUAAAACUAACGUAAUUUGGGUUGGACAAACUCAUGGAAAAGAAAUAAGUGGAGAGUGUAAGAAAGGUAAUCCUUAAGAGCAGAACGAUCCUUUAAAAAAUGCGAAUGCGUGCAUUGUUAUGAAUAGUUCUAGUUGGCAUCUUGAAUUAAAAAGCGCCUACUCGGAACUUUCUCCUAUCUUGGCUCAUAGGUUAUUUUUGUUAUCCCUUCUACCACGAAAGAUCCAUUGAAGAACUAGUUUUUUAGGUUUGAAUCAUAUUAUUGUUGGCGCCAAAAUUGACCUAUUGGGCUUCGGAAGUAAACAAGAGGAAAGCAGGCCUAGCGUACGAGAAUCCAUGGACAAUAGGCCGAAAGGACAGCAAUUAGCAACAAAAAUGUUGAAGGGCGCGACAUCAGAAGACUUGUCGAGAGGGACGAGAUAAGAACAAUAGCAGUUAUGGGCAAUCAGCACUAGCGAUGAUGCAGAUAAGGCAGAGCAGUUAUCGACAUAGAGCUGAAGCUUCCGGAAUGAUUUGAAAUCGAAAUGGUAAUCACGAAAGAGCAGUUACUCGUAGAUAACUAUAAAUAGCUAAAGAGGCGUUCUUGUAAAGGACCUUUUUGCCAAAAUCGACAAUCGAACACAUAUUUCACUAGUUAUUUUUUUUCUUUAUUGUACUUUUACAUUUAAUUGCACAUUUACUUUUUCUCCUGUUUUCUUGUAUUUUCGCUUGCCCAUGGCUUAGACAAGUCACUUCCUUUCUAGAACGACAUAAAACCCAUUUCAAACAAUAAAGCCGAAAUUUUGCCCCUUUAGUGAAAGAUAUUUGUCAAGGGAACUUUUUCCCGGCAAACAUCUUUUUGGUACACUUGGUGGGUGGGACUAUUGUGUUCCGUUCCUAGGAAGUGUUAAUGGCAAAAACAUGGAACUAGGAGAGUCGAUCCUCAGUCGAUGAUGAUAAUUUGUCCCCGUAGCGCGUUGGAGAAAGAACUAUCCGUUCCGAAAUUUCCGGCCAUAAUGUAGACCCUAACUAUGAGUAACUAAACUUGUGAUAGUAGUAGUUAUGUUAAUAUUUUCCAGUGUGAUUUUUAUUUUAUUAAUAGUUACUUUGAAUAUUAAUUGUAUUUAUGCUCUUUAUUAUUUUUAGCAUUAAUUAUUAAUUGAAAUUACCAAGUAUAAAAACAGUUCUUAUUUUAUAAUUUUUCUUUGAUUUAAAAUAAUUCAUCAUUAAAAAAGAAAAUUCAUUUUUGCAUUAUGAAAUUUGAAGCUAUUCUAGGUUUCAUGGAAUAGCUAUUAGUUCCUCGGGCCCCUAGGAAUAGUAAUUCCUGAUUUUGAGAGAACAGCUAAUUUCUAUUCCAUUUUUGAAUCAAUGGAAUGAAUAAUUGCUUCAUCAGAAUAUAUUAUAAAUAUUUCUAAUCCAAAUGGGCAGCAAGCUUUCACCAAGAAAAAUCACUCAUGCAUGAGAAGUUAAGAAGUAAUACAGAAAUUUCAUCAAUUUCUAAAUCCAGGUCAGUUUAUCCGAACUAGAAAUUUUUUUUAUUGUACUUCACAAUGGUGUACCAGAUUUCAUGGAUACUCAGGGGAGAAGACAUGACUAGUGGAGAAGGAAUUAGAUCUCAACAUCUGAAAGGAAUCCAGGAGUACUUAUAACAAAUUAUAAAAGACGCAACUUCCAAGAGAAGUAAUCAUGCUUAGAUUAUUCAUUUCCAUGACAAACUUCUCUAUUGAAAUAUCAGGAAAUCCUAUCUGUCAUCAAAAUUCUUUGUCUUCAAGUGUGCAGUUUUUUUAAUCUUCAAUCAUCGAUCGACAGAGUUUGAGUACACUUAUGGCCAAAUCUCAAAAACAAGCCCAGGCAAAAGUAAUACUAUCUUUCAAAAUUUUCAGAAUAAAAAGCAUAACCUUUUACAUGUAGAACAAAAAUAGCACAACUUUUCCAAUGUAGGAAAAAAAACAAAAACUCAACCUUUUAUCAUGGAACAAAAUGGACACCCGUUCCAAGUUCCGUCCGUUAGCAUCAUCAAAUCACCACAAAUAACCUAUAUGGCUUGUUGCAUUGACACGCAUAGUGAGCCAUGUCAAUCAACAGAAAAACGUCAUCCUUUUCUUAUUUAUAAUCUUUGUCAACAAACUUAGUGUAUAAUCUUCAUUACCAAAUUUUUAACAUUUUGCAAAUGUCAUUUGUGGUAAUAAUUAACGGGGCUCAUUGUGCAUGUCAGCACCAUGAGCCAUGUAGGAUGAUGCUUGGUGACUUACGGUGAGAAUAGACAUAAUUUGUAACGCGCGUCUUUUUUGUCCUACAAGUGAAAGGUUGAGAUUUUCACUGGGAAGCUUGAAAAAUUGUGUUAUUUCAUCCUGCACGCAAAAGAUUGGGCUUCUUUUUAGGAUUUUUUUAAGGUUGCAUUAUUUUUGUUCCUGGUUCAAAAGUUUGUGCCUUUUUUUUUUUUUUAUAAAAUUUUUGGUUGUAUACUCACCAAUAUCCAAGGAGUGUGUUAUCAAUGUGUUUCAAUUAUGUUUUAAAUAUCUUUCGUUUUUUGCUUAUUUGUAAGUCGCCCUAGUGCUCUUGUCCAUGCGUCGCACUUCUGGUUUUUAUUCUCUGUUUUUUUUUUAAUCGAAGUUGAUUGUACUUUUAGAUAACACAUGAAGAUACUUUAUAUAUUUUGAUUAAUUGUAGGAAUAAACUUAAAAGAAGAUCUUGUAUCAGUUUCUUCAAAGCCACUUUGAUUUUGACUUAAUGAACCCAACAAAAUUACUGAAAUAAUUACGUCAAAUAAUGUACCUUUUUAGUUGUAAAAGUUAUUUUUACCAAUUUAUUUAGAUAUAAGAAAUACAGCAUAUCACUUUUCUUUUGGUUAGCUAAGUUUAUUUUAUGAUGUAACACAAACGACAUAAUAGAUAGACAUUCGCUCUGAAAUUGCUAAUAUAUCAAUUGGCCCUUAAGAUAAUAAAUAGGUUGUAUGAAAUACGCCUAACGUUAUGUAUGUCUAUAUAUGUUCUUGUUCUAUCAUGCGAAUUUUGGUAAAAAAAGUAAUUCCUAACCUAAUAUAACAUACUUAACUGAGAUAAAAUGUAUAAGCACGUUGACACAGCCAGUUCUUAAUGACUGACUUUCUCUCUCAACAAUGUAGAGUUUUUAUCUACCUUUGAGUAGCGAAAUUUCACUGAAACCCUAUCCCCAAUUCCACCGAUACCCUCCUUCCAUUCCUCGAUUCCCCCUCUCAACCCUGGUUGUCGCCAAUUACCUUUCACUCUCGUUAGCCUUUCUGAUCGGCCAUCUCUGUCAUCUUUGAAUUUCGGUUGCAGGACAAAAUCAGGCGGAACACCUUCUCCGACUGGUUCGCUCUUUGCAUGUUUCCUUGCCCCUGUGUAUCUGUUGAUCUGUGAGGUUCUUCUAUCUUCAGACAAUUCUAUGGUGCAAUUGGACUGUUCCUGUUUAGAUCCUGGUUUACCCUCGUUUUCUGUUGUGUGUUGCUGCUUUUCGCAUUGGAAUGGAUUUUAGUAAGCCGGAUGAAUCUGCGUGUAUGGCUGCUCUUUGUUCCAAACUGGGUCGCCUUAAUACUGAGCAACGGAUUGAAGUCUGGGACGACGAUCCUUCCCCUGAAAAAUUGGAAGAAUGUCGACUAACAUUAGUAGGCAAAAUCCUUUCCAACCCAUCAAUAACCUUCCAAGCUUUCCAAAGUAUUUUGAAGAGGGCUUGGCGGACUGAACAAGUCAAUAUAUCCCAGAGAGAAACAGGCAUAUAUGUGGCAAAAUUUAACUCACAUACUGACAAACAGAGGGUCCUCGGAGGAGGUCCUUGGCUUUUUUCAAGCCACCUCGUCAUUCUUAAGUCGUGGCAGCCCAAUACCCCCUUACAUUGUUAUGAUUUUUCAACCUGUGCUUUUUGGAUACGAAUUUUUGGUUUGCCCUUAGAAUGGACUACAGAAAAACUGAUUGCAAAAGCUGUGCAGGACAUGGGACGGGUAGUAGAAGUUAGAAUUGACACUAAAGAAGGGGCUGCAUUACGGGCUGAUCGAGUUAGAGUUGAGCUAAACCUGCAAGCACCUUUAAGAACAGGGAAGUUGAUCCGUCUAGAUGGAAAAAUUCUAUGGCUUGAUUUCCGCUAUGAGCGUCUAUCCCAUUUCUGUUACUCUUGUGGCAAAUUGGGACAUUAUGCUAUGUGUUAUAAGGAUAUUCCAUAUGAUGACGCUAAUUAGAAGGACGGGACAAAAUGAACUAUGGACAAUGGCUUAGGGAUGAAGUAAAAGAAUGCAGUCCUUACUGGUGCAGCUUUUACUCACCACAAGAAAAAAUAGAGCAGACUGAAGAAAGCAUACCUGAAACGCCUCCAUCACAAAUUCAGAAAAUCCCCCUUCUGUCCUCUCCAAGACACCCGGCAUCAGACACUUUAACCACUCUAGUCAAUAUGGCAACUCUCCAGGUAAUGGUCCCUGAUUAGCGACAUGCUAAGGAGGCAAUUAUGCAAGAGACAUCCCUCCACACUGCGCUCAUUCCUAUAGUAGCUAAAAUGAAGGGUAUUUAGACUCCAUCUACAGAUAUUCAACUAAAUAAGAAGCUGAGAUGUUUCAGAUUGACACCGAAAGUGGGUGUCACCAAAAAACAGAAAAGACACUCUGUAUGACACUACAGGCUUAAUACUGGAGAACCUGGACGACUCCAAUCUCACGGAGGCACCUGUGUUUGUAGCAGGUGAAGCUAGAAAUUGGGCUUUGAUGGCUGACCCUCAACAGCCACCAACUUACAAAUGAAGAUGAUAUGCUGGAACUGUUAGGGAUUGGGCAACUCCCUAACAGUUCAAGCUCUUAAGGCCAUGAUGGCCAAGGAAAAGCCCACUAUAGUUUUUUUGAUGGAAACAAAGGGCGUGCAUGGAAAUGCUCCAAAGAAACGUUUCUGGAACACUUCUGUACGGAUUUUGUUCCCGGGAACAAAAAAAGAACAGAAACGCUUGCGUUUCUGUUCUUUUUUUGUUUUUUUGUUCCCGGAACAAAAUUGGAGCAAAAAAAGGAAACACAAAAAAGUUGUUUCUGGAGAAAAGAAAUACUUCUUCGAAGCCAAAAAAGAACAAAAAUUUCUUCUCUCUUCUCUUUUCUUCUUCUUUUUUUCUUCUUUUUUCUUUGGCCGGUCGCCGGCCUCGGCCAUGGCCGGCAACCGGCCGUUGAGGGCCGGCGACGCCGUCGAGGGUUGGCGACCUCGCCGGAGCGUCGCCGGCCCCCGGUGAGGCCGAGCCUCGCCGUGGCUGGGUGAGGCUGCCGGCCCCGUCGGCCGGUCGCCGGAGGCCGGUGAUCGGCCGAAAAAAUAAAAAAUAAAAAAGAAAGGAAAAAAUGAAAAAUAAAAUAAAAAUGUUUAAAAAAUUAAAAGAAACAAAAAAAGAAUAAAAUUUACCAAACGUGUUUCUAUUCAUUUUUUAUUCCCGGAACAAACGUUACCAAACACGUUCUUUUGUUCAAAAAUUGUUCUCCGGAACAGAAACACUUUUUUUUGUUUCUGUUCCCUAGAACAAAAAAAGAACAGAAACGUUACCAUUCGCACCCAAAGAAUACUAAGGUGAAGCUUCGAAGUAUUCAGCGCCGCCUUCACUUCAAUAGCUCUCAUAUAAUCAACCCUACAGGUAUGGCGAGAGGUAUGGCGCUAUUUUGGAACAAUCAAGUAAGCUUAAAUGUGAUUCGCUCAACGCAUGAUUAUUUUGAUAUGCUCUACACAGAUUUCCAAGAUGAUCGGACUAUGCGUCUAACUUGUAUUCAUGCUCGUUUUGUGUACCACAAUAGACAAAUUCUGUGGGAUGAACAUAGAGAGAUCGGCUAUGCUAACACAUUACCUUGGGUAUGUGUGGGGGAUUUCAAUGAAAUACUCUACCCCUAGGAAAAGAUAGGAAAGAGACAAGUAGAUCCCUAUCGAAUGUUAUCUUUUCGAGCUGUCCUCAAUGAUCGUUCCUUUAUGAAAUUACCAAGCAAUGGCUGUAAGUUUACCUGGAUGAACAACCGCGAGGGAGAUGAGUUGGUGAAGGAAUGUCUGGAUCGGGCGAUGUGUACGAUGGACUGGCGAUUAUUAUUCCCUGCAGCUAAGGUCUUUGCGCUACUCGUUGUUGGGUCUGACCACAGCCCAUUAAUUAUCAACUCUUCAUCAACCUAUAAAGCACAAAGGAAAUCUUUUAAUUUUGAAGUUUUCUGGAAUGAAGAUGAAGAAUGCCGAGAAAUUAUAUCUGUAGCAUGGAACUCAGUGAGGGUUCAAGGAUCUUGACUAAUUUCAAAGUUAAAGCAUGUUUCUGAAGCCCUGACUAAGUGGAGCUGAUUAAAAUUCUCCAGAGGUGAUCUUAAAAUAACUUCUCUACAACAUCUUCGACAAAUUAUAAACCAGCAGCAUGCUCACUAUAAUAGAGAGGAAGUAACUAAGAUCAGAGAGGAAAUAAGGUGGACUUGGUAGCAAGAAGAGCAAUACUGGGCUAUGCGGUCGAGAAUUCAAUAGUUAAGGUGGGGCGAUAAGAACACGAAAUUCUUUCAUGCGACCACUCUUCAAAGACGGCAAAAAAAUAGAAUUAGCAUGCUUCAAGAUGAUCGCCAACAAUGGAUUCGAGAUCCUCAUACUUUACAGGUUAUGGCACGCAAUUUCUUUUCAGGUUUAUAUACAACGGUGGGUCAUCGAGAUUAUAGUCCCAUAAUUCAACAAUGCCCACAGGUGGUUACCAACGAAAUGAACGACCAAUUGCUGGAAGUGGUUACUUCAGAGGAGAUUCACCAGGCUAUCUUUCAGCUGGGAUCUACUAAGGCACCAGGCCCUGAUGGUUUCAAUGGAAUAUUUUAUCAAACACAUUGGGAGGUUAUAAAAGACGAUCUUGUUCUUCUAGUUCAAUUUUUUUUCAAACAGGAUGAAUGCCCGCCAAUCUGAACCGCACUAUUAUAGCUUUGAUUCCCAAGACUCCUCAUCUAGAGAGAAUGGAGCAAUACAGACCAGUCAGUCUCUGUAACUUUGCAUAUAAAGUCAUUUCGAAGGUAAUUGCCAAUCGCCUAAAACCUUGGUUACCUAAGCUGAUUUCUAUGGAACAAAUUGCCUUUGUUAAUGCGCGACAGAUCCAAGACAAUAUCUUAAUCUUUCAAGAAGUUCUUCAUCAAUUUAAAACCCGAAAGCGGAUUAGGAAAUUCAAUGCAAUUCUCAAGACCGACAUGCAAAAGGCAUAUGACAGAGUCGAAUGGGAUUUCCUUAAGGACUAUCUUCUAAAAAUGGCUUCCAUUCAUUGUGGGUACAAUGGGUAAUGUAAUGCAUUACCACCACUUCUUAUAGCAUCAGGUUUAAUGGAAAGCAACUUCCUUUUAUCUACCCAACUCGUGGCCUAAGACAAGGUGAUCCUUUAUCUCCAUAUAUAUUUAUUCUUUUAGCGAAUGUUCUGUCAACUUUGAUCAACCAAGCAGUCAAUAUAGAACAUAUAAAAGGUAUAAGAUUGAAUAGAUGGUGUCCUACCCUUUCCUAUCUGUUUUUGGCUAAUGAUGCAAUAUUUUUCCUAGACGGCAGCAUUCGGGAAUGCCAAAACCUUGCUAACAUUUCAAAUCAGUAUUGUGUGGCCACGGGGCAGGCUUUGAAUCGCAACAAAUCUGAACUUAUUUUCAGUAGGCAUUGCCCUAUCAGACUACAGGAAAAUAUGUCUAUAGAGUUACAAAUACCCAUGCUUCAAAGGUAUGGAAAUUAUCUGGGAAUCCCAUCUGACUGGGAUCGUUCCAAAAAGGAUAUGUUUUCUUGGAUUCUAGCGUGAGUUCAUUCCAAACUAGAAGGAUGGAAAGAAAAGUUCAUUUCAAAGGGAGGUAAGGAAAUUCUUAUCAAGUCUGUGAUUCAGGCGAUUCCACAUUAUGCUAUGUCGGUCUUCAAGCUACCUUUGUGUCUUUGUAAAACUAUAGAAAAGAGUAUCGCAAGAUUUUGGUGGAAAAAUGAUUUGAAUAGAGCAGGAAUACAUUGGAAGAAAUGGGAUAUCAUCAAAGGCAGUAAGGAUAAAGGCGGGCUCGGAUUUCGUGAUUUUAUUGAAUUUAAUAGAGCCAUGCUUGGAAAGCAAGCGUGGUGUUUACUACAACAUCCUCAAGCUUUAUGGAGUCAGCUACUCAAGGGUCUGUAUUAUCAUUCUACAAAAUUUAAGUCAGCGAACAAAGGAACUCGAUCGUCCUGGGUUUGGCAAAGCAUUCUUACGGGUAGAGAUGUUAUUCUCCCACAUCUUAGAUGGUUCGUCGGCAAUGGGAGUAAAAUCAGAAUCCAAGAGGAUCCAUGGUUACCAAGAGAAAUUCUUGGUGGACCCGCGACCAGAGAGGAGCCACAGUUGGUGGCUGAUCUAAUAGAUCCAGUCCACAACAACUGGAACACAUCUCUGCUCCAUCGUUUUCUGGAUGAGCAUACUAUUCAAGAGAUUCUAACCAUCCCAGUUAGACCUCACUAUACAAAAGAUAAAUUAAUCUGGCCAACAACAAAGGAUGGUCGACACACAGUGAAGAGCAAUUAUCAUAUUUUAAUAGCAAUCUCCAGCAACAACAACAAUCACAUGGCAUCAUCCUCUUAUAAGAACCCUAGAAUACUAUGGAGAAAAAUUUGGUCAAUGCGAACGACUCCAAAAAUAAGGAAUUUUCUUUGGUCGGUGAAAAUGCAGUAGCUUCCACAUAAAAUUUGUUUCGCCAACAAAUCAUAACCGAUCCCUACUGUCAGCUAUGUCACCAACAAACCCCAAAAACUUUAGAGCAUCUGUUCCUACUCUGUUCAUGGACUCAACCAAUAUGGGCUCAUCCAUAGAUCAACAUCGACAUACAACCUCAACAAAUCCAUCAAAUAGACGCAUGGUUAGCAAUAAAAAUUAUAUCGACAAAGAACUCACCUUCUUUGGAAGUAAUAGCCAACGUUUGUUGGUAGAUCUGGAAAAUGCGGAAUGGCUUCAUAUUCCACAAUCAACGACUGGAUCCAUCCCUUGCAAUAGAGGCUACUUUGAUCGAGACUCAACUUUAACAAAUCUCUUCUCCUUCCUCUUCGAGACAAGCUAUUGCAAACUAGAUCCCUGCCCACCUCUGGCGACCACCCAAUCCAGGCACCUUAAAAUGUAAUAUUGAUGCAUCCUAUCAACUAGGGAGUACAGAAGGAGUGAUGGCUUCAAUAUCUAGAGAUCAUCAAGGAAGACUCACUGAUAUCUAUACUAGCAGAUUUCCAGCCGCAUCAGCUCUAGUUGCGGAGUUCCAGGCCUUCUCUUUCAUGAUCUAGCAUUUCUAUGGCAAGGUCUACAUCAGGCACGACUCGUGAUAGAAUUCGACUGUAGCACUGUUGUCGACGCCGUCACAGGUGGGAGAUCACCGCCAUGGGAACUCCAUUCCUUGCUCACGGAAGCUAUCGAUUCGAUGUCCCGUUUCCCUAAUUUGACAGUGCAGUUGUGUCGAAGAGAAGCCAAUGCAGUAGCCGAUUGGGCCGCUAAGGCCCAGUGAGUAGAAACUUUGGCCCAAAAUUGGAAUAUCUUCCCACCCUACCUUGAUGGAUCUUGUGUAUGCUGGUGCCCUUGCGGUAGGAUGUAUAUUCCGAUUAUAUGAAUAUAAUGUUUCCUUUUGACCAAAAAAAAGAAAAAACUAAUAUAACAUAAAAGAAAAUACCCUUCCAUUCUCAAUUUGGGAAUAAUGAUUGAAAUUUCAUGAAAAAUGCGGGCACGGUUACUCCAAUUGUUUUAAUUCUAACACCUGGAGAAUAUAAUUCUAUGAUUUAUAUAAUCCUAAGUAGUUAUUGUUCCCAGUAGAAUGGUCCAAUUAUUUGUUGCACGUGUCAAGGCCGCAACCAAAUCAAUUAUAUAAAUUCAAAUCUUUUCAAUGUAGAAUACACCUAUUAAGUUUCUAAUAAAUUUGAAAGUACCUCGUUCUUGGAAAAAAACUUUGUAAUGUGCGCUUAUGUAAGAUAAAUCUCAGAUAAAGCUAACACUACUUACUAAGAGAGAGCAACCUCCUAAUUGUUAAUCAUGUCAAUGAAACGACAUGAGGGCAAUAAUAGUUUCGCUGCUCACUAGAGCAAGCACUAAGUAGAGGACUAACAUCACUUUGACAGUAGAACAUAAACCAAGAGAGCAAAAUAAAAGAAUCAGUUACCUCAUUUUCCUCUAGUAUGUUCAAGACUUCCUCAGAGUCCCAUAACCUACUGCGAUUCUGAGGCUCUUUGUCUUCUUGUCGAAUGAUUUCCCGACCUAGAUCUCGCAAUUAAUCAUGCAUUCUAAGCUCAUGAUUCUCUUCAACUUUUAUUAAUGAAAUUAAUCUCAAUACAAUGACCUCAUUUGGGUGAAAGCCACAACGUCCCACUUAUAGGAUGCAAUUCUCAAGUUAGAGCCAAUGAAAAAGCAAGCGAUAUCCAAAAAUAUUUGCUGUUGUCCAUGCUCUAACGUGUCAUAACUUAUUCUUAGCUUUUCUUGCACUUCCUUAUGAGGGACAUUUUGUAACUUUUUUUAUUAUAUCUUCCCAUACUACUAGCUCUUUAUUGCACAAAAACGAGCCUACAACCUCAAGAGAUAAGGGAAGUCCUUCGGUGGCGGACACAGCCUUACGAGUAAGAUCCUCAAAUUCCCUUGGAGGAGUGUCCCUUCGAAACACAUGUUUACUAAACAAAAUCAAAGCGUUACCCCCAUCCAUUUGCUCAUGUUCAUAUUGGUAAUCCACCUUAGCAUUGUCAAGAAUACUCUUGUUUCGAAUGGUAAUAAUGAUCAUACUUCUUGAAGAAAACCAAUUAUAAUUUCCAGCCAAAAUCUUCAAUUGAUUGUCAUCAUCCACAUCAUCGAGAAAAAAGAGGACUUUCUUACCUUUAAGCUUGGAUGGGAGGAAAUUAAUCCCUUCAUCCCAAUUAUGAGCUAGAUUGCCCUACUUCAAUAUACCAUUGAUUAACUGGUUCUGUAAGUGAUGAAUGCCAUUACGUUUCCAUGAUUCCCUAACAUCAGCAAUGAAGCUACGAUGAUCAAAUUGAUCGGAGAGUUUGUUGUAGAUGGUUUUAGCAAAAGUGGUCUUACCAAUGCCUUCCAUUCCAUGGAUGCCAAUAAAUAGGGGGGCACAAGAAUUUUUAUCGGUCUUACCAAUGCCUUCCGUUCCAUGGAUGCCAAUAAAUAGGGGGCAUAAGAAUUUUUAUCUUCAUAUUCCAUAACUUUCUUGACAUGAUUAUCAAUUCCAACCAAAUUCUCAGGAAAAACCAACUGGAAAUUUUUCUACGGCUGGAACAACACUUCCUGGACCACCGAUUUUAUCAAUUCUACUUCUGACCUGUCAAAUGUGACAAUUUUUCAAAUACAUGGAAAUAGCAAUUUUAUAUUGUUUAACUAAUGAUAACACGAUAAUAAAUAAAUCGGAGGAUAAAUUGGAAAACUUAAAGAAUUGUUUUUGCCACAACUCCAUAAAUUAUCUUAUACCCUAAAAUUGAAGCGGGAAAUGGCAGUGGUUGCAUCACAUGGCGCGGCCCAUUCCAUUAUUACUCUUGACUUUAUUGUGCCAAAAGAAACUUGAGGGCGUCGCUAGAGAAUAUUGAAUAUUAUAUGAAUUAUGCAUUUGAAUUAAAUUUAUAUUUGUUGCUUGUUAAAGAUAUUAGGGAUGAUGUGGACGUGACAAUGAAAACUUUCUAUAGCGUUUGAAUAAGCAAAAUCCAAUAAGCAAUCAUAAUAUCUACCACUGACAUAUUUCUUUUGUAAGAAUAAUUUAUAGCAACUAAUUAACAACAUUAAUAAUGUAACAAAUGUAACUUGGGAAGACAAGGAAUUAAGGUUUUGACAAUCAACAUACACGGUACAUGACGUUACAAGCUUUGAACAAGAACUGCCAAUAAGUUGUACAAUUAACCUCAAAUAAAUACGUAACUAGAAAAGUUCGUGAUGAAGAUUAAUGUAGCUUAUACUAUAAACUAGGGGAAAAAAGCACAAUGUUACAAAAUAAAAUCUUAUUAUUCAAACGAAUGGGAUCAUAACAAUAAAAUCUCUAAUUAGAUUGGUCAAUGUCAUUAAAGCAAAAAAACUUUAAAAAAAAAAAGAAUAACUUAUAGAACUCAUGCAUCGCAGUAUGUUACUGCCAGCAUGAUCUUAUUGCUUUUUUAUAUAAAAAGAAAAGAACGAAAACGAUGCAGGUGAGAAUAAGAACAACCGUAAACACCCACACAAAUAAAAAGAAAGUAGAGAAUGUUUUGGUGAAAAAAAGUACCCAUUUGCUUCCCGUCCUUCCAAGUUACCAACUUGUCUGAGUGCUUGCUUCCAUUUCUCCAAAAUUGUUGGGUCUAAGCCCCUCCACGUGAAAGUUUUCAUGCUCAUGAAAUGCCUUUCCAAAACUCCCAAUUUGAUGUUGUACGUCAACUUGUGACACUUUGUAGAAUAUAGCAUGGUAUUAUUCUUUCACUCCAUUAGUUCAACCAAUUCAUUGAGGCACCAACGGCUUCCACCAUAUUUCUCUGAGAGAAUGGGGAUGAAAAUCUUACUGUUCUACCACCUGCCAUGGUGGCUCCGCUGGAUAAGAGCUCCAUUGAUCCUUCCCCAAAGGUGAGGGGUUCGAAACCCAGUGGAGGCAUUUUGUAUCUUACGUGGGAUGUCGGGGUGGUGGGUCCUCCGCUAACGUCCCCCCGGGUUUACCUUGUCGGCUGCCGACUGUACGGGGUUCCCGAGUCAUAAAAAAGAAAAAAUCUUAAUGUUCUUGAUGGUCGCCAAAAGAUUUGGGCCAAUCUCCUUGCCUUGGUAGAGCUCCUCGUCAUCUCUAAAAGCACGAAUUCCGGCUUCGAUGAGCCUAUUGUAGAGGUGAUCGGUAAAGCUAUUUGAGUAUCGGGGCCUCUAAAGCUUAAGAACACCUCGUAACUAUCUCCAGUUGUCGAACUAGAUGCACCAUUAUUAGUCUCUGUGGGAGACGAACUGGAUCCACCGGCACUAGUUCCCAUCGCCGCUGUCAAUGAACCAUAUGCACCAGAAUUAGCAUCUUUUGUAUUUUCACGGUUGCUAGCUUUCUUCUUAUUGAGAAAACAGAACGCGAGCACGAAGAGAAGGAUGGGUGCCACGAGCACGGCAAAAGAAUGCCCAAAGAUGGGACGAUGCAUUUCGUCUUUGCUCUGACUCUACCCCUAAUUUUUUCUUUCAACUCUGACGGAGAAACAAACCAAAAUGCCUCUCAAGAAACACGAAAUGCCUUGUUACCCUUUGCCCCUUUAUUGGCUUGAAUUAUAUAAUGGAACCAGUUAACAACUCGCAAUCAAUAAUUCAAACUUGUCAGGCUAGAUAUAAAUUAGCACUUCAUUGACCGAGAACAGUAACCGCGCGCUUAGAGUCGCUGUCUUCGUGCGUGGAAAUUCCAAAUGCACCAGAAAAUCCAAGCCGAUACCUGCCUAGGAAGAAUAAGAGCGCAUAUGAUAACCAUUAUAGUCAGAAACUGAUUUCUAAAAGAGAAAUAUAUUUUCUAUUUCUAUUCUUGGAUGAGUUUUUGAACAAAAAUAUGUGUUUGAUAAUGACACUAGAAUAGAAAUUCAUUUGAUAAUGAUAUAAAAUUUCUUCCUUUCGGGCAGUGAUAGAUGGCGGUUGAUAAUCGGUAGACGGUGGAUGGCAAUCGACAAUUGGCGCAUGGUGAUUGGUAAUUGGCGACAGGCGGCUGUGGCGGCGAACGGUGGUGGCAGUGAGCAAGGGAUGGCGGCCGGCGACGGUGGUGGUGGACGAUGGUUGGCAGCAGGCAGCAAUGGAUGGCAAUUGGCGAUCGACGGCAACAAGCAAUGAUUGACGGAUGGCAAUCGAGUGGACGAUGGAUGGUGGGCGAUGACGGUGGAUGGAUAGUCGGCUAGUAGUGAGGAAAAACAAUGAGAUGAGUUUUUAUUUCUUAUUUAUGUUCCAGAAAUAGAGAAUAAAAUUUUUUACUUUUGAUUUCUGUUCCAAACCUAUUUCUUGAACAAAAAUCUAUUCCAGAAAUAAAAAAAUGAAAUAGUUUUACCAAACGGAUUUCUAUUGCAGAACUAGGCCUCAAACAAAAAAAAAGUUAUGAAAUAGAAAUAAAAUGGUUAUCAUGAAAAUCUCAAAAUAGCUGAGGAAAUGUCGAUGCAUAAGCAGUGAUAAGAAAUAAAACCAAAAAUAAAAGACAAGUUCUGCUAUUGUAUAAGUCGGACAAAUGGUCAAGCUCAAGAUAGAUAAAUAUUUUUUCUUUUGUUAACAUAUUCUAUCCGUUGGAAAGGUACUGAUCCCAUUCAGGAAUUUAGCCCCAUCACUUUUGAGCUGUUAAAUAUUGUAGUAUCCAGUGGAUAAAUUUCAUUUCCUACUGAAGUGUUGUAUUAUCAGCGAGCACUUGUGCUAAAAAAAUUAUAUUAUUAACACGUGUCGAGGAUCAUGAAAUUAUCAACAUGCUAUAAAGUGACUUAUAAAAAUGACUAUUUUAUCUGCAAAAUUGUGCGGGGCUAUGCAUUUGAUCUGACGAAAUGUAUGUUACAAAGCCACUUGCAUUAGGUCCAGCAGUAUUGGGUUUCCCAACAUCCAUUUCCAUAGUAAAACAAAUACUCUUUUGAACUAAAGUCGAUUUUCAUUUUGUAAAUCAUGUUAGCCGGGCACAGUUUUCUAGAUUUGGAGGGAGAAAGAUCCAUUUUGGUUGUUCAAAAUUUUCUAAAUCAUUUUGGUCCUUAAAUAAGUUUUCGAAUUGGAGCCAACUUGGAUGCAACGAGAAAUAUAACUUUCUCCAAUUUUGGCUCAUGCGUUAUUUUUUUUUAAUAGGAUUCGGACCUAAAAGAUUAGUUCUUCAGUGGAUCUUUCUCCAUAAUGAUGAUGAUGAUGAGGUAUUUCUUUACUCUGAUCUCUCUUCUUUUGAAGGUCAAAACAGAAAAAUACAACCAAAGAUCAUAAAUUAUGCUCAUUGUGACAGCAAAAAUCCAAACUCUUUUCUGGUAAACUUGUUCUAGUAUGGCACAAAUACCCUUUGCUUACCAUUAGAAAACCUUGAACUCUACUUAGUGUGAACUAAUUUCCCAAAUUUGUUCUCGCGUACAAGUUUAUGGGUUUUGUUGAGACUUGAGUAUUGAUGUCACUAGUUAACAUAAUUUAAGAUUUUUAAAUAACAAAGAAAAUUUGGGGUGAUUGUGUCACAGUGCCCAUAGUUUAAAGAAUUUAAUAGUAUAAACACAGGUCAAAAUAGAUUAGGCAACUUCAUAUUCCUACGUUUCGAUACGUGUAUAUUCUCAUUGAUGAAAUUCUUUAAAACGUCUAAUAAUUCAUCUAACUUCUAGCUGUCAAUUACCAAUCAUCCUUAGUAUUACAAAAUAGUAGACCCAAAUUUUUAUUGCAGUUUGGAGGGAGAGACAUAGUUUUAAUUAAAUCGGUGUGGAGUGCCCCUACAUAGUUGUGGCGCCCAUCGACUAUAAUAUGUCUACUUUUCUAAUCUAAGUCAAUUUUAUGAUGGUACAUUUGCACUUCAGGCCUUCGCUAAUACAAAUUUUGAUUAGAUAGUACGUAGAAUCAUAUUCAUGGAGAAAUAAAAUCUUCCCCACGAAGCAAUAUUAUAAAACGCAUUUGGCUCGCCAGAAAAUUAUUAUAAGUACUAUUUUAUUGAUGAUCACUUAUGCCACAAUAUUAUGUCGCUAAUGCGUGUUGGGGAUCAUGUAUAUAUAUAUUCUCUCUUUCUUUCUUUCUUUCAUUUUCAUUUUGUACCCGAGCACAAUGCAAAGAAGUUCUUUGCUCUAGUUCUUCCCUUAGUUUUUUCUUCUUAGUUUUUCCUUCAAAUCCCAGAAGGAAAUCAAAGUCUCUCCUCUCUUUCGCUCCAACUUUAUUCUUAAAAACAUCAAAAGGCAACGAAAGUAAUUUAAAGUAACAUUUUGUUGACAUGGUAAGAUUUUCUUUUGUUAUGGUAAAAGACAUGGUAAGUUAUCCCCAUAAAUGCCACCAAAACGUAUCUUCUUGCAAGUCUUGGCCUAAAUCAUAAAACAGUAGUUUUAUAAAUCUAAGUUCGAGGGGAAAAUUUUUGCAUCUAAAGUUUUUGGAUCUGAAUUGAUCUACUGUACUCACUUAUCCUAUAUAGGAUAUGGACAUCCUCCUGCAAUAUCUAAAUUAAUUUGAUAAAGUUGAAAGGUCAUACACUUCUCAAGAAAAUUAAGAUUCCAUGACAUUUAAAAAAAAUGAAAUAACAUUGAAAGUUUAUGACAUUUUUAAUAACAAGUGGAAAGGCUAAAGAGAUUUGGAAGGUUUACUUUUCCAAAAAUGACUUUUAAAAGAAAAUGAGAUUUUUCUAGAUUUCCAAUAUACAUUCAUAAAUUUAUUCACUGGUUAGAUAUUAAAUUAUGAUUUGAUCAUAUUGCUUAAUAUAUAAAUUUUAGUGUACUUAUUUUCAUUACUCGUAAAUAAUUAUGACAUUAUUUUGUCAAACUUCAAAUAAUGGAGCACAUGCUUGCAGAGUGAAAGUUUACAUCUUUUUUAACAUAAUUGAAAAAAAAUCCAAAUAUUGCUAGCAAUCAUAUAAAUAUCUUCAUUAAUUAGAAUCUCUUACAUAAAACGGUCAAACCAGGUGUUCAUUUAUAAAAUGGUGGCUAAAAGAAUCAUUUAUCAAGCAAAGUAUAAAAAUAAUAAACCCCACUGGCUUGAUUUUUUUUUUUUUCAUCUGUUUUACUUUAACUCUUAAUUCACUCUUAAAUUUUUGUCCGACCUCUUUGCAAAGCGUGGAAAUAAAACUCAACUUCUAAAACUAAAUAUUCCCACCCUUAACUCCCGAGAAGAUGGAAAAUUGAACUUCUCACCUUCUAUUUUUUAUGUGAAAAGGGUAUACUGGCUUGUUGACUAGUAGCAUAAUAAAAACUUUUCUUGUGGACAUCGACCUUUGUUCACGCCGUGAACGUGUGCAAAAUACCCGGGAACCGCCUGGACCGCCCGGAACCGGACCGGAACCGCCCGGAACCGGCGGUUCUUGAGGGAACCGGUCCGGUUCCCGGUUCCAAUUUAUGGGAACCGGUAGGUACCGGUCGUGUUCCCAGUUCCAUGGGCGGAUCCGCCCGCCCACCCACCCGGACCGGACCGGAACCUUUUUAAUAUUAAAAAAAAAAUUACUAAAAGAAAUCUUAGAUCUCAUCUCACUCCCUUCUAGGGGUGUGCAAAAUACCCGGGAACCGCCCGGACCAUAUUUGUAAAUUCGCUGCGUUUACUUCUCCCACCGUCCCCAUCUCCACGUACUUAAAUUUGGUUUUUCUUUCUUUGGCUUGCUUUGAUGUCACGUAGUCGUUCUAUGUUGAAAAUCAAAAUUGUUUUGCGUCAAGAUCGGUUCCAUGGAUCCACCCGGGAACCGGAUCGGACCGGCGGUCCGGUACUCGGGUGGAUCCAUGCAACAAACGGGUGGAUCUCGAUUCUAAUCUUUCGGAACCGGUCCUUAGCGGGCGGUUCCCGGUUCUAGGUUGGGAACCGCCCGCCCGGACCAUGCACACCCCUAGUUCACGGUGAAUGUGGCCCGAGGGAAUCUGUGGAAAACUUUCUAAAGAAGCAAAGUGAUAAUGAAAAGGAAAUAAAGCAGAAAAGCAAAGAAAAAGAAGGUGGGUCAUCCUAAUGUGGAAAAGAAGACCUGCCAAUGCUUUUCAGCGUGUGCCUUUUUGUUGUCGAAGGAUUUUAGUCAAAAGAUCCCUCCAAGGAAAAAAUCAUGACAAUGCCUCACGGUGGCAAUAAAUUAUUCAUUAUUGCUCCUUUGCCCCUUCUUUUCCCAUGCUCCAAGGAUUUUCUUUUCAUAGUUAAAUCUAUGAACAUUCGUCACGUUAAUCCUAUCGCUCUUGUUCCGAUUACAUUUCGGUUGCUCCUUAAAAAUAAAACUAAAACUAAAAAAUGAACCUAGGCUAGAGCUUGAACAUUGACACAGCCCAUUAUUGCUAGCGGGUGGCACAACCCCAGGGGUUGAGCCUAACUUGAGCCCAUCACAAUAGAUAUACUUUAAUAUUUCUAGUAACGCAGGAAAAAAUUUGAGAUACUAAUAUCAUAGUGGCCAUAAUUUAAAGCUUUUAGUGGUAUAAACCCAAGUCAAAAUAGAUUCCACGGCUGCAUAUUCCUACAUUUCGAUAUGUAUAUAUUAUGGUUGACGAAAUGCUUAAAAUAUUUAUGAACUCAUCAAACUUCUAGGUGUCAAAUAUCAACCAUCCUUAGUACUACAUAAUAGCGGACCUAAAUCAGUGUGGAGUGCACCUAGAUAGUUGUGCCGACCAUUGAUUGGAAUGUGUCUAGUCGCUCUCCUCUUAAUCAAGUUUUGUGGUGAUGGUCCAUUUGCACUUUAAGUUGUUGCUAAUAUAAAUGAUGAUUAAAAAGUAUAUAGAAUCAUUUUCGUGAAGAUAUAGAAUCUUCUCCACUGACGAAUAUUUUUAAACGACAUUUUAGCUUGCCUGAAAUUAUUCUAUUAUUUUAUCAAUGAUCACUUUGCCACAAAAUUAUAUCACUAAUGCGUGUAUGUACGUAUAGAUAUUGUCUUCUUCUUCUUCUUUUCCAUUUUGUACGUGAGCACAAUGCAAAGGAGUUCGUCUUUGCUCUAGCUCUUCGCUUAGUUUCUCCUUCAGAUCCCAGAAGGAAAUUAAAGUGUCUUCUCUCUGUUGCUCCUACUUUAUUCUUAUAAACAUCAAAGAGCAACGAAACUGUUAUAUGAUAUAUAGUGCCAUUUUGUAGGUAUGGUAGCAUUUUCUUUUGUUAUGGUAAAAGACAUGGUAAAUUAUGCCCAUAAACGCUGCUAAGAUUUUUCUUCUUGCAUGUCUUCGUCUAGAUUAUAAAUAGUAGUUUUAUAAGUCUUAGCUUGAGGGGCUUGCACCUAAAGUCUUUGGAUGCGAAUUGAUCUACUGUACUCACUCAUCAACUCUAGAUAUGUACAUCCUCCCGUGAUAUCUAAAUUAACUUGAUAAAAUUGAAAGUUCAGGAUAAUCUGCACGAAAAUUAAGAAUUCAUGACAUUUUAAUACAAAAAUGAGAGAUUAUAUUCCACUUAUAAAAUUGGAAGUUCGUGACAUUUUUAAUGAUAAGUGGAAAGUACGAGACUCUCUAGAAUAUUAGGCUAAAGAAAUUUGGAAUAUUUAUUUUUCAAUAAAAAAAUUAGGGAUAUGUGCAACACAAAUCCUAAAACUUACAAAAAGUGCAUUCAAGUCCUAAAACUUGUCAAAUUGGUUCAAUUGAGUCAUAAAGUUAACACCGUCAAACUCAGUAACGGAAAACGCUGACGUGGCACAGACAUGGCAUUUUAAAUAAUUUUUUAUUAUACACAUGGCUUUUAACAUUAUAUUUAUUCUUGUUUAAAUUAGAUUUAAAAAUAGAAAGGAAAAGCUAAAUUUAUUUCAAAAAACAAAACCAUGCAAAAAAAAAAAAGGCACCGAUGGUGCUUCCCCCGCCACCCAUUGCUGAAGUGGCCGGUGAUGGUCGCCGGCCCUAGGUGGGGUGGCCUGCCCUCGCCGGCCCCAAGCGAGGGCCGACCACCCUUGCUAGGUCGGGCGAGGACACCCAAAUCUGGGCACGCCGGCCCUCACGGGGGGCCGGCGACCAUCGCCCUCCCUGCUGGACGCCUUGCCGGCCCUUGCCUAGUAGGGUGCAUGGUCUGGGCGGGGGGUUCCCAACCUAGAACCGGGAACCGCCCGCUAAGGACCGGUUCCGAAAAAUUAGAACUGAGAUCCACUUGUUUGUUGCAUGGAUCCACCCGGAAACCGGACCGCCGGUCCGAUCCAGUUCCCGGGUGGAUCCAUUGAACCGAUCUUGACGCAAAACAAUUUUGGUUUUCAACAUAGAACGACUACGUGACAUCAAAGCAAGCCAAAGAAAGAAAAACCAAAUUUAAGUAUGUGGAGAUGCGGACGGUGGGAGAAGUAAACGCAGCGAAUUUACAAAUAUGGUCCGGGCGAUACCCGGGUAUUUUGCACACCCCUAGAAGGCAGUGAGAUGAGAUCUAAGGUUUCUUUUAGUAAUUUUUUUUUUAAUAUUAAAAAGGUUCCGGUCCAGUCCGAGUGGGUGGGCGGGCGGAUCCACCCAUGGAACUGGGAACCGGACCGGUACCUACCGGUUCCCAUAAAUUGGAACCGGGAACCGGACCAGUUCCCUCAAGAACUGCCAGUUCCGGGCGGUUCCGGUCCUGUUCCGAGCGGUCCGGGCGGUUCCCGGGUAUUUUGCACACCCCUAUCGCCUAGGGUCGACGAUGCUCGCCCAGAUCUAGGCGUCCCCGACGCUGGAUCGGGUGGAGUAGUUGGUGGCUGCUUGGUGACAACGAUAGUCCGAUGCAGUGAUGGCGUUAGGGGGGUCAGCGGUAGGACGUUGGGGAACGGUAGCAGCCUAGCACUGCAAAGGGUCACGGCUGGUUUUGCUAGGGACGGCAUCAGGGCUACGGCGGCACGGCUAAGCAGUAGUUCGAUGCAAUGACGGCGACGGAACCCCUGCCCUUCGAAACCCACUCACUCAGAUCUGGAUAGCGUCGAGGCACGGUGUCGGGAGUGCAACGGAGCUAAAUCGAAACGCCCAGAUUUGGGCGAGCAUCGCCAACCCUAGGCGAGGGUCGGCGAGGCCUCUCGUAGGGAGGGCGAGGGUCGCUGACCCCCCGUGAGGGCCGGCGUGCCCAAAUCUAGGCGUCCUUGCCCGACCUGGCGAGGUUGGUCGGGCCUCGUCUGGGGUCGGCGAGGCCUCGCUCAAACUCGCCCAAGGCCGGCGACUGUCGCCAGCCCCACCGGCGAUGGGCGGCGGCUGUGGCGGAAAUGCCGGCCGAUGCCAUUUUUUUUUAUAACAAUUUUGUUAUUUUAAAUAAAUUUUAGUUUUUCAUUUUUAGUUUUUAAAUCUAAUUUUUAAAAAUUUUGAAUAAAAAAUAAUUUUAAAAAGUCACGUGAAAAAUAGAAAUUCAUUUAAAAUAUGACGUCAGCGCCAUGUCAGCAUUUUCCGUUAGUAAAUCCGACGGUGUUAAAUUUAGGACUCAAUUGAACCAACUUGACAAGUUUUAGGACUUGAUUGCACUUUUUGUAAGUUUUAGGACUCAAUUGCACUUUCCUUGUAAGUUUUAGGACUUGUGUUGCACAUAGCCCAAAAAAAUUAAAAGAAAAUGAGAAUUAUCUAGAUUUCUACGCUUGUACAAUAUUUAUGUUCAUAAAACAUGUUAAACUAUGAUUUGGCCAUAUUACUUAAUAUCGAUUUUCGUAUACUUAUUAAUGUUACUCGUAAAUAAACCAUGACUUUUUUUUUUGUCAAACUUCAAAAGAGGGGGAGUGCAUUCUUACUGCGUAGAAUUUUACAUCUUUUUUUUUUAACAGAAUUGAAAAAGAAAAAUCCACAUAUUGCCAGCAAUUUUAAUAAAAAGCACCGUUAAUUAGAAUAUUUUACAUGAAACGGUGAAAUCACGUCAUCUUACAAAUUCCCAUCGAGGAUCCAUGGAAGAUAUUGAAAUACAGUCUUGAAUCAUUUAACAAACGUUGCUGGCCAAUAAAGAAAAAGGAUUAAUAUCACAAAAAACUCUAAACUGAUACAAAUUUACUUUAAACUAAUUUUUUGACUUCAAAAAACUUCAAAUUGAUACACAUGUGAUAAACUUACCCUUCAUUAGUUUCCGUUAAAUCUUAUUGUUAAGUUACUAAGUCGGAUGACAUGUCAAUUAACGGAUGUACCAAUUUGAUCUAUGGUCUUUUGUGGUAUUAAUUCAAUUUAAUGGAAACUCAUGGAGAGUAAAUUUAUCACAAAUAUACCAGUUUAAGAUUUUUUGGUCAAAAAAUAAUUUGAGGUAAAUUUAUCAUAUGUGUACUGAUUUUGGAUUUUUUUUAAUUAAAAUUAAAUUUGGGGUAAAUUUACGUAUGGGUACCAAUUUGAAAUUUUUUGUGGUAUUAAUCUUAAAGAAAAUCAUUUAUCAAAUUGUGGCCAGAAGAAUCAUUUAUCAAGCGAACUAUCAAAAUAAUCAACGACAUGGAGCGUCCCAAACCGCGUGGAAAAAACGAAAACAAACGAAAAAAAAAAAAAAACGGAGGAUUUUCCUGCUUUCACAUCGAAGCUGGGUGGGAGACGAAGCUUCGAGGAAGUUUCGCGCCAAAAUGUCGUGCGUCCCGUAUUGGAAAUUUGUCUCUUCAUUUACAUUGUAUUUUUGUGAAUAUAUUUUUAGGAUGUAAAUUAUACACGGUUCGUUGUCGUGGGUGAGUCAAUGAUUGACCUCAUGUAAAUCCAUGCACGAAGUAUUCACGUCUCAGCCUCCUAGUGGGAAACCGUCACAAGUAUCCGGGAACGGGCAGUGUCGAGGAGGAGGACGGCCCCUUUCGUCCCCCUAAAACUGGCCGUGUUUCUAGAGGUCGACCUGAGAUUUUUUCACCCGAGACACGGUCGACGCUACAUAAUAUAAUUGAUAGUAGUGUACAAUGAAAGGCUCAGACAAAUGCCACUCGAUUCCAAGGGCGUGCCUGGCAAAUUGGCGAGAGAUCUGGUUUCCGAAGUGGAGAUGAGACCCCUUUUGUGCCCGUGAGGGAUUCUAGGAGCUCAAAACUGGUGAUUAGACCAGCUUGUUAUAGAACAGACUGGUACCUAAGGACCGAUGUUUUCCUUUUUUCUUGAAACCUCUAACUCGAAAUUUCUAUCAAACCUAAUCUUCUAAAUAGUGACGAUGGAUUAGACAAUGAGAUAUCAGAUUUCCAUUAAUAUUGAUGAAUUUUACAAAGUCAAAUCAAUUUUUGCUCCACAAAGUUGGUAUCUUUAGUCCUAUUUAUCCAAAAUAGUCGAUUCUAUCACAUAAACAACCACAAACUGAUACAUAUGUGAUAAAUAGAAGGUAAAAUCCCAAAUUGGUACAAGUAUUUAUGGUUACAUGUCAUUUAACUUAGCAAUUUAACACAAAUUCUAACAGAGAAUAAAUUUGUUACAGGUAUAUAGUUUGGAGUUUUUUGUAGUUUAAAAAUUAGUUUCAAUAAAUUUGUCACGAGUGAAUCAACUUGGAAUUUUUCAUGGUAUUACAUCAAUUAAUAAUCUCACUUGUAGUUCUUCAUCUCAUUUAAAUUAUCCAAUUGAAUUCUUAGAUUUUAAACAUCUAAGUGUAUAACAUAAGAUUUUAUAUUGUUAAAAUGACCAUCAUCCCAUUGGCAAAAAAAAAAAAAAAAAAAGAAGAAGAAGAAGAAAAAGUCCACCGCCUAAAAUCAACCUUGGUGAAAUUUAAUCUCUUAUUUGACUUUACUUUUACUUCUCCUAUUAAUUAUCAUUUAAAAAUUAAUUGGCAUUGACAUAAUUUAUUACCUUUUAUAAGAUGCACCUCCACUUUAUAUUUUUCUACAUUUAUAAGUCUAUAAAUAUAUAUUAAAAUUUUGCAUCUAAAGACAAUUAUUAGAGAUGGACUAUUCGAGGAAAAAUUAGAAACAGAAAAUUCAUAUGAAGAAAAUAGGGAGAUCGUAAAGAGGGGAGGGGGAAUGGAGAUGGAGAUGGAUUACAUACAUUUGACUAGUAUAUGAGUUCGGCUUUGGGCCCAGUGGAAAAGAGUUACAACCAAGAUGAAGAAUAGAACCAUCCGAAUAUUUCUUGUUCAAAGAACAAAAUUAAUCCUAAGACAAAGUGUAGUCCAACUGUCUAGGAGCUGAACUUCCUUCAACCAAGCCCCUACUUGGAUCCAUACCUAGCUUGGAUCUUAUGCAGUUCCUUGAGGGCUUCAGCCACAUCUAUCCGAUCCUGCGGUAACUCCAUCGAGCGUGCAACUCCAAUCCUUAGGAUGGAGGAGAUGCAUCCUCUCAUCCUCUCAAUGUCAUUCUCACUUUCUUCAUUAAAAAUGGCCGAGUCCACGAUCUCCAUCACUCAGUCUGGUAGAGCCACCUUGACAAAGUUGUGGAGAUUUAAAUGGUCCUUGAAAGUCUUUUCUAUGGGUCUCCUCCCAGUUAACAUUUCCAAUAAAAGAAUACCGUAGCUAUACAUAUCGCCUUGUGUGGAUACCAUAUCCCCCAUGCCAUACUCUAAAAUAGUGUACAUCAAGCAGUAUACAAUGAAAAUAAAUAUUUGAUCUAAAAGUCAACACAAAUAAAACUUAGACAAUUAAUGAGAAAAUUUUCUUACUAGGAGGGACAUAACCUAUAGUACCCCUCACUACCACUGAGCUAUUGCUAUCGUCAAUGUCCAUGGCGUCUAUUUUCGCAGGGGAGCUAAUCGUCGCUAGCCCAAAAUCCCCAACUCGUCCCAUCAUCUCGUUGUCCAGAAGGAUGUUACUUGGCUUCAGAUCUCCGUGUACAAUCUUUGCGCUACAAGCCUCGUGAAGAUAUUUGAUUGCAAAAGUUAUGUCAAUGGCAAUGUCUAACCUUUGCAUUAGUCCCAAAUGCCUUGGCUUUCCGUGUUCAUGUUCAUGCUCAACGUCCCCUUCGUUUCCUUGGUGUAUCCAAUUCUCUAAACUCCCAUUAGCCAUGUAUUCGUACAAUAGAGCUUUGAAAUCGUUGCCGUGAUAGUCCACGCUUGAACAAACGUUCACUAUUUUCACAAGAUUUUGGUGUCGUAUAGCCCCUAAAGUUUGACAUUCCGAGACGAAGCUCUUUGAAGCACCUCUGUGGCCCAAGUUGAGCACUUUAACCGCCACUAAGCCGUAUUCCUGUGUGGUUGCUUUAUAGAUGGUGCCAUAUCUCCCUUUACCGAUCCCAUUGAUCUCAGAGAAUCCGUUUAAGGCUCUAAAGAGCUCCUUAUAAGAGACCAGCGAAAAUUUGUGUUCAAAUGGAAGUUCAAUCGAAGAGGUAUUCUUUUUCAACUUCUUUCUCCGAUACCAAAAGAUAAACGGGCAAAGACACAAAAUGAAGCAUGACAAGACGGUCACCACUAUGGUGAUUACUCUAACUUUGUUGGUCCAUAAUGAUUUAGAGGUAUUCAAUUUGCAAGAUGGAAGGUUUAGUUCUGCAAUACCUCCACAAAGAUUCCUAUUCUCAAAGACGAACACUGCACUAGCAUUAAGAAAUACACCUUGCUUCGGAACUUCUCCUUCAAGCUUGUUUGAGAUAGAUUCAAGUACUUUAGAUCUGUAAGUUGAGUGAGAAAGCUCGGGAUUUCACCAGAGAAGUUGUUAUGGGAAACAUCCAACUCUUGUAAGCCUCGUAAUGUGCCUAAAGCUGAAGGAAUUGUGCCAUUAAAGGAAUUGAAUGCUAAGUUGAGCCGCUCCAAUACUAAGCACUUGCCAAUGGAGAUAGGAAUCCCAUCAACUUAUUGUAAGAUAGAUCUAGUUCACCAAGAUUGAUCAAAGACCCAACUUGAGAUGGGAGAGAUCCACUCAAUUGGUUAUGUGCCAAGCUAAAGAUAAUCGAAAUGCAAAAAAGGCCAAGAACCUCCCCUGGGAUUGAACCACUCAAAUUAUUAUUGGAAAGCUCGAGAAUGAUUAGUUGCCUACAAUUACCAAGGCUCUGUGGUAUUUCCCCAUAGAAGUCGUUGAAUAGUAGGUAAAAGCGAUUCAAUAAAGUCAAAUUGCCGAUCAAUGACGGAAUCUCUCCCGUUAGCAUGUUUCCACUUAAGUACAAUUCGUGCAAGUUAUGGAGUGCUCCAAUACAAGAAGGAACAUGACCAUCAAGCGAAUUGUUUGAUAAGUCAAGAUAGGACAAGUUGAAGAGAUUGCCAAUACCUGGAGGAAUGGUUCCGUACAUUGUGUUGGACGACAUAGAAAUUAAGCUAAUGCUAUUGGAAAGAUUGCCAAUGGAAUCCGGCAAUAGACCUUCAAGAAAAUUGUUGUCCAAUGAAAUAACUUCCAGCCUUGAACAAUUAGUCAAUGGGGUAAUGAAACUGAAGUCAUCUCGCAACUCGUUAGAAGUAAGGGACAUUACUCUAAGAGCUUUCAGCCUUCCAAGAUUUGCAGGCAUCGGUCCAUGAAAAUUGUUAUUGUCAUAGAAGAUGUAUUGAAGGCCAGAGGCAUUAGAUAAGGACGAAGGUAUAACCCCAGUAAACAAAUUACUAUGAAAAUCAAGAAAAAAGAGAGAAGGAAGAGUAUCACCAAUAUAAUGGGGAAUGCUCCCUCUCAAUUGAUUGUUACUGACGUGAAAAUAGAAAAUGCUAGACAUGUUGAAGAAUGUCAGAGGGAUCUCGCCGGUGAGUUGGUUAUACGCCAAUUGAACAAAACUCAACCAUGAAGCUUGGACAACAUCUUAGGAAUCUCUCAUCGCAACCCAUUUUUCAUGAGCGAAAGCUCGUAAAGUUGGGAGAGAUUUCCAAUAGAAUGAGGAAUAGAUCCUGCAAGACUAUUUAUAGCCAAACCUAAAUCUUGAAGCUUUGACAAAGAGCCGAGCUCAUCAGGAAUUUUGCCCACGAGUUGGUUAUCGAUGAGAUUUAAAAUCUCAAGGUUUGAGCACUGAGAAAGAUUGGUGGGCAUUUGCCCAUCUAAAGUGUUGUUACUAAGGACGAGAUGACGAAGGUGAAACAAGUGGCCAAUGCUUUGUGGAAUUUCACCGCGAAAGCUGUUAUUUUGUAGAACGAGGCUUCUCAAGAAAGAGAGGUUUCCGACAUGAGGUGAUAGAAGACCCCCCCCCCCCCCCCCAAGCCUUUUGACAUCAGGUUGAGGGACAUGACUCUUUCGGGAUGCUGUCCACCGCAUAUCACACCUUCCCACUCACGGUGAUGAAAAUAGUCAUUCCACGAGCUCAAAGCUCUAAGUGGAUCCUCAUCCACACUAUGUCUGAAGUAGAUUAAAGCGAGCCGAUCUGUUUGGUUGGUUUGCAUCAUUGGACUUGUCCAUAAUGGGAGCUAGGCAUAGAAAAAUAGCAACGUAAUCGCCAUAUACUUUUCCAUUGUGAGUGGGUUCUAUGUCCUAACAAGCUGCAAGCAAAUUCUCUUCUAGAUUGAAUUAAAGAAGAAAUGAAGACCUUCAAAAGUAUAUGCGUUUCCAUUGAUCAAAAGACACAUUUUUAGACGGCGAAACUUGACCCAAUAUGCAAAUUUAACCCAAACAAAGAGUUGGACUUUAAAAGUAUUGCAGAUUGGCCGAACCAAAGAAAGGGUGCACAAAAUGGAGGAUUUGAUGGCUACCCAAUGACUUCUUGGAAAGCCGUGCCGCGAAGAAAGGAAAUCAAGAAUGGAUGUAGUCCCUGAUUUUUGGCCAUUUCAAAGAGAGCUCCUAUUUGUUUGUGGGCAAAGCGUGUAAUUUGUGAUGUGCAUUUUUAUACAUCCAAAUUGUUAGAACCAUGGGUUCAGGUUUAGUUUAGACAUGGGAAAAACUCGAGCAGAUUGAGACAUUGUAAUUCCGGUUCUCCAAUUAUAGCAAAUUUUUAUUACUAGCUCUCCCUAUAGAAAUAUGUGUCAACACUCGGACUGACUCGCGUAAGUCUUUGAAUCCUUUAUUAUUCCUCGAUUAUUUUUUUGAUGAUUUUCCACUUACUUAAAUGUAAAAUCCUUAUUAGCUUCCCCGUUCGUUAAUUUUACCACGAGGGUUACUUCUCACCUAUAAUGAGAAGGAAAUAAAGCAAAAACGCAAACAAGGAGAUGAUGGGUAAGUCAUCCUAAUGUGGAAAAUAAGUCCCGCCAAUGCCUUUUAGCAUUUUUUUUUUAUGUUGCUGGCAAGAUUUUUAGUCAAAAGAUUCCCUGACUUCUCCCAUACUACAAAGAGUUUCUUUUCAAAGUUAAAUUUCUUGAAAGUUUGUCACUUAGAUCCUAUCGCUCUUGUUCUGAUUACAAUUCAUCAGGCUAGAACCCCUGUGCCAAGCUUGAACCCAAGACUAAGAGGGCCGGUUUGUGUGGGCCAGCACAACUCAAUUACCAUGCUUAGAUAGGGUUUUUAUAAAUAUACAUGUUAGGAAAAGCAAGAUGCUGAAAUUCAAGUCUGUUUGGCCGUUUGAAACCAAGGAGUUUGCAAAAUAGUGCACGAGUAUAUGAGUCAAAUUCAGAUUUUGUAAAUUUUGAUGUGCAAUUGCCGGUGUGGUACAUAAGCUGAAGUUAUGGUCCUGGUACUGAACAAAGAAUACGUGAUGCAAAGUACUUUGUUAGAAACUAAACAAAGGGAAAGAAAGAUAUUCUAGAAUUUGGUGGAGAAUUAAGAAUGUUAGCUCUAAUCUUGAAGUCAAGUUUCCCGUGGAAAAUCAACAACGUUUCUACAAUCGUGGCCGGCGAGCAUGAUGACCUCCACCAUGAGAAGUUUUCCAUUUCUUUUUCCCUUCUUUAAACUUUUCUUUUUAGGUUCUCUCGAUUUGAUUACCAAAGCCAUCGCAGGAUCGUCUCGAAUAUUGGUAAACUAAGGCAAGGCAUCAAUAGUGCUCGACACUGUUGAAGGCUAAGGGAUUUCAAUGAACACCGAUUGAGUUUAGUCGAAGGCCCACUUGUGUAAAUAAAGAUGGUUCAACCCCUUCCACUAUAUGAGGGUAAAUUAUGCACAACUUCUUUGAAUUUUGGGGUAAUACAAAUUUGCCUCCAAUUUUUCACUUGUUAUACAAUAAUGUCUAAACUUUUAUUUUGUUCAAACAAUUAACUCUUCAUUAUAUUGUUAUUAGCAUGCACGUGCUUGUGAAUUUUGAGGGGUAAAAGUACAAAUUUUAUCUCAUUCUUUUUCUAAGGAUGCCUCUUUUUCUAAAAGACAUAAAAAUAUAGAAAAUGGAAGAGAAAUAAAUUAACUAAAAUACUAAUAAUCAAAGUAAUAAAUAUCGAUAAUCAUACUUAAUGAUGAGAAUUUUUCAAAAUUAAAUAAUCAUGAAUAUAGAUAAAGUUACUAGCACAAUAGGAAAAUAAUCAAUGGCGGGAAUUGAGAAUGAUGAAGAGGAUGAGAGGGAUACCGAAUCUGAUUCAGUAUCAAAGUUGAUUGGGAAAACUAGUUAUGAUGGGAAUAGGAUCUGGUCUUUCAAAGUAGUGGAAUCAAGUUGUUCUUCCUAAUUGCCCAGAUCUCUUGAGAAUGAUUCUAAUGGAUUGGAUAGCAUCAUUUGGUUUGGCUUUUCCCUUAUAAAAAUUGAGGAUUCUUCAGGCAUCUUCUCUUUUCCCUUUUCUUUCCUUAUUUGAUCCAAUUCUUUGAGGCGACUUCGCAUUUCUAUCACAUUAGUCUUGUCUCGUUUGGUGGGAGCUUCUAUGAGAGCAGUAAAGAUAAAUGUAUUCUGAGGUGGUGGAGGGAGCGAAUACUCAGUCCGUAAUGCAGUUGGAAAUGGAUCAACACGCUUGAAUUUUCCUUCUUCUAGAAGUUGGAUUUGCCUCUUAAGCUUUUCUAUUUCCGCCUCUGGUCUCUCGAGAUGAUGAUAUCCCAAAUGUUGUCCGAAUUCCAAGACAUGAAGUCCUUUUUGGAAGUUCGAAAGCAUCUUCUUGGUGGUUUCAUCGUAUCUUUUAAGAUCUCGUUGCACAUCCACAAGUUUGAAAUCAAUUGUUUUGAACGCAUUGUUGUGCGUUAGGAGAGUCUCUGAUUGCCAAUUCAAGGCAGCUUCAGCAACAUAAGUUCUUUUUUGUCUUCCAUGUUCGUCCACAUCAGUUGGGGCAUUUAUUUUGGGAAUAUGUCGAUAUCUCCCUGGCUGGUCGAUGAAUUCUUCUAGGGCAGGGAACAAAAGUCUUGAACUUUCUCGAGCAAGAGAAGAAAAAUCUGCCUGUUGGAACAUAGCAAUGGAAGAACUGGGUAAUGCCUCUUCUGGAGCCUUAAGUGAAUAGGAGUGCUUCUUAGCCGAUUUUAGGAUUGGCUUAUAAAACUGGGAAAUAACGGGUUUUUUGUGAGGAAGAGGUGAUGUUGCUGGUGAGGCUAGUGAGAGAGGAAGGUGGUGCAGUGAACUCUGGCGAUGGAGUUGGAGCAUAAGAAAUCAUAAAUUGAAACUUAUCACACUCACCAAGAGCAUCAAUGGAGGAGUCUCCGUUCAAAUACCUUUGGUACAUAGUAUCUUCGGCUUCUUGGGUUUCCGUCGGGGUCUUGCAUUUGGGUCUACUUUGUUGGGAGAAUUUGUAUAGUAAGAGCACUGGCAAAAAGGGUCCCAAAAACAGUGACCAUAUCGAUCCUUGUAGUAAUGGACAAGAUUUCCAUUACUCUAGAAGUAUUGGACAAGCCUUUUGAAACCUGGCUCGGACAUUGAUUCAGGAACACAUGAUUCAAUCAUGAACAGGGUCUGGAAGAUAGAAAGAUUUUCUUCCUUUUCCUUACCAAAUUUGAUGGCAACGAUGCCAUCUUUUUUCCUGACAAAUUCGGAGUCUAAAGACUGGAGAGGCUUGUUGUUCUGAUAUAACUUUUCAUAGUUGGUAAUCCAGGUUUCUGGAAGAAGCUUGGCUAACUUUUUGGAAUUUGUCUGGGAACAUGAAUACAGGAUGCCUGAUUAUUUUGCAUGGAAAUGAAUAAAGCAUCUUCAUUCCCAUUUUGGAAAUAUUAGAUCAAUAACAUAGUUUUGCACUCGAUAAACCAUUUGGUAGUGCAAUGUUGUAGCAAUAGAGUCAGCAGCCUAGGGAGCUCCUAUAAGUUGGAUCUAAACUUUCAAAAAUGAAAGUAGCUGGGGAUUUGAAAGUGCGAUAUUGAAAUAUAAAUAUCAGGUUAUAAAGACUGUUAUAGCAUUCAAAGUGAUUUGGAUUGUACCAAUACAGGCAUGCUAAUAUUCUAGGAACCGAGUAUCCAAUAAGGCUAUUUUGGCCACAACUGGCAGGCCUUUACAGUCAUGAAAGGUGAGAGCAAGACUAACAGCUCCAUAAUGGACAUGUGAGUAUUCUUGUUGGAUCCAUUGUUUGGGAAAUUCUGAUGGAAUUUAAAGAGUAACAAAAUACUCCUUUUCCAUGGCUGGAAUGUGAUGUUGAUCAAAUUUGGAGAACUAGACGUACUCUUUUACUUCCUUAGGAGUUUGGCGAAUAAGUUGCCAAAUGGAGUGGAUGGAGAAAACGAUGAGGCAAGUUUAGCAAAAGCAUAAUAAGUGUUCAUGAGAGGGAGUUGAGUUUCAGAGAUCUUAGUUUUAUCACUAAGAGAGACUUCAUCACUAAGAGAGACUUCAUUAAGAUAGUCAAUCUUAGAAGCAUUUAACACAUGAAAAUCUGAAAGAGAUGAAGAAGAUGGAGAUGAAGCAAGAGUAAUUGAGGCUUCUAGUAUUUCAGGAUUAGUAAUAAUGCAAAUAGAUCUUCUCAGUAAUAAUUAUCCCGUUAUUUUACAUAGGUGUUUAGUCGACCUACCGUAAACUGAUUAAUGACGACUCCUAAUUGAAAAAUCAUUUGCUUAUUAAUAACUUGAACCUAAGUCGUGAAUUGGUAUGGGUUUGGGAGAGCCUGAUAUAAGUUUAGGCUUAGUAAUCCAUUAGCCAAACCCUAGGUGGUUCCCCCAAGAUUAGGUCGCGACAACUUGAAACUAAAUAUUUCUACUCUCAACUCUAAAAAAAAUGAAAAAUUGAACUUCUCACCUUCUAUUUUCUAUGUGAGAAGGAUAUGCCAAUAGUUGACUGGCUUUUUGACUAGUAGCAUAAUAAAAACUUUUCUUGUGGACAUCGACCAUUGUUCACGGUGAAUGUGGCCCGAGGGAAUCUGGGGAAAACUUUGUGAAGAAGCAAAGUGAUAAUGAAAAGGAAAUAAAGCAAAAAAGCAAAUAUAAAGAAGGUGGGUCAUCCUAAUGUGGAAAAGAAGGCCCAUCAAUGCUUUUCAGCGUGUGCCUUUAUGUUGUCGGCAGGAUUAUAGUCAAAAGAUCCCCUAAGGAAAAAAUCAUGACAAUGCCUCACGGUUGCAAUAAAUUAUUCAUUAUUGCUCCUUUGCCCCAUCUUUUCCCAUGCUACAAGGAUUUUCUUUUCAUAGUUAAAUCUAUGAACAUUCGUCACGUUAAUCUUAUUGCUCUUGUUCCGUUUACAUUUCAAUUGCUCCUUAAAAAUAAAAAUAAACUUAAAAAAUGAACCUAGGCUAGAGCUCAAACAUUGGCACGGCCCAUUAUUGCUAGUGGGUGGCACAACCCCAGGGAUUGUACCUAACUCGAGCCCAAAAAGAUAUUUGUGUCACGACAAAUUAGGGUUUUUAGUAACGUGAGAAAAAAAUUGAGGUACUAAUAUCAUAGUGGCCAUAAUUUAAAGCUUUUAGUGGUAUAAACCCAAGUCAUAAUAGAUUCCGUGGCUUCAUGUUCCUACAUUUCGAUAUAUAUAUUAUGGUCAACGAAAUGCUUAAAAUAUUUAAGAACUCAUCAAACUUCUAGGUGUCAAGUAUCGACCAUCUUUAGUACUACAUCGGUGUGGAGUGCACCUAGAUAGUUGUGCCGACCGUUGAUUGGAAUGUGUCUGGUCGCUUUCCUCUUAAUCAAGUUUUGUGGUGAUGGUCAAUUUGCACUUUAAGUCGUCACUAAUAUAAAUGAUGAUUAAACAGUAUAUAGAAUCAUAUUCGUGAAGAUGUAGAAUCUUCUCCAUUGACGAAUAUUCUAAAACGACAUUGGGCUUGCCUGAAAAUAUUAUUCUUAUUAUUUUAUCAACGGUCACUUUUGCCACAAAAUUAUACCACCGAUGCGUGUAUGUAUGUAUAGAUAUUCUUUCUUUCUUUUCUUUUUUUCCCAUUUUGUACGUGAGCACAAUGCAAAGGAGUUCUUCUUUUCUCUAGCUCUUCCCUUAGUUUCUCCUUCGAGUCCCAGAAGGAAAUUAAAGUGUCUUCUCUCUAUUGCUCCUACUUUAUUCUUAAAAACAUCAAAGGGCAACGAAACUGUUAUAUGAUAUAUAGUGCCAUUUUAUAAAAAUGGUAGCAUUUUCUUUUGUUAUGGUAAAAGAAAUGGUAAGUUAUCCCCAUAAACACUGCCAAGAUUUGAUCUACUGUACUCACUCAUCAACUCUAGAUAUGGACAUCCUCUUGUGAUAUCUAAAUUAACAUGAUAAAAUUGAAAGUUCAGGAUAAUCUGCAAGAAAAUUAAGAUUUCAUGACAUUUUAAUACAAAAAUGAGAGAUUAUAUUCCACUUUUAACAUUGGAAGUUCGUGACAUUUUUAAUGAUAAGUGGAAAGUACGAGACUCUCUAGAAUAUUAGGCUAAAGAGAUUUGGAAGAUUUAUUUUUCCAAAAAAUUAAAAAUUAAAAAAAAAUGAGAAUUAUCUAGAUUUCCACGCUUGUACAAUAUUUAUGUUCAUAAAUCAUGUUAAACUAUGAUUUGGCCAUAUUACUUAAUAUCGAUUUUAGUAUACUUAUUAACGUUACUUGUAAAUAAACCAUGACUCUUUUUUUUUUUGUCAAACUUCAAAAGAUGGGGAGUGCAUUCUUACUGCGUAGAAUUUUACAUCUUUUUUGAACAGAAUUGAAAAAGAAAAAUCCACAUAUUGCUAGCAAUUUUAAUAAAAAGCACCGUUAAUUAGAAUAUUUUACAUGAAACGGUGAAAGCACGUCAUCUUACAAAUUCCCAUCGAGGAUCCAUGGAAGAUAUUGAAAUUGUAGUCUUGAAUCAUUUAACAAACGUUGCUGGCCAAUAAAGAAAAUGAUUAAUAUCAUAAAAAAACUCUAAAUUGGUACAAAUUUAUUUUAGACUAAUUCUUUAACUUUAAAAAACCUCAAAUUGAUACACCUGUGAUAAACUUAUCAUUCAUUAGUUUCCGUUAAAUUUCACUGUUAAGUUACUAAGUUGAAUGUCAAGGGAUGUACCAAUUUGAUAUGUGGUCUUUUGUGGUAUUAAUUCAAUUUAAUGGAAACUAAUGGAGAAUAAAUUUGUCACAAUUAUAUCAAUUUAAGAUUUUUGGUCAAAAAUUAAUUUGGGGUAAAUUUAUCAUAUGUGCACUGAUUUGGGAUUUUUAUAAUUAAAAAUAAAUUUGGGGUAAAUUUUUUACCAAAAAAAAUUAAAUUUGGGGUAAAUUUACAUAUGGGUACCACUUUGAAGUUUUUUGUGAUAUUAUUCCUAAAGAAAAUCAUUUAUCAAAUUGUGGCCAGAAGAAUCAUUUAUCAAGCAAACUAUCAAAAUAAUCUGCGACACGGAGCGUCCCCAACCACUUGGAAAAAACGAAAAAAAAAAACAAGGAUGAUUUUCCUGCUUUCACAUCGAAGCUGGGUGGGAGACGAAGCUUCGAGGAAGUUUCACGCCAAAUCGUCGUGCGUCCCGUAUUGGAAAUUUGUCUGUUCAUUUACAUUGUAUUUUUGUGAAUAUAUUUUUAGGAUGUAGAUAAUACACGGUUCGUUGUCGUGGGUGGGUCAAUAAUUGAACUCAUGUAAAUCCAUGCGCGAAGUAUAUACGUCUCAGCCUCCUUGGGGGAAACCGUCACAAGUAUCCGGGAACGGGCAGUGUCGAGGAGGAGGACGGUCCCUUUCGUCCCCCUAAAACUGGCCGUGUUUCUAGAGGCCGACUCGAGAUUUUUUCAUCCGAGACACAGUCGACGCGACAUAAUAUAAUUGAUAGGAGUGUACAGUGAAAACCUUAGACAAAUGCCACUUGAUUCCAAGGGCGUGCCUGGCAAAUUGACUGAAGUGGAGAUGAGACCCCUUUUGUGCCCGUGACGGAUUCUAGGAGCUCAAAACUGGUGAUUAGACCAGCUUGUUAUAGAACGGACUGGUACCUAAGGAUCGAUAUUUUCCUUUUUUCUUGAAACCUCUAACUUGAAAUUUUUAUCAAACCUAAUAUUCUAAAUAGUGACGAUGGAUUAGAUAAUGAGAUAUCAAAUUUCCAUUAAUAUUGAUGAAUUUUACAAAGUCAAAUCAAUUUUUGCUCCACAAAGUUUGUAUCUUUAGGUCUAUUGAUCCAAAAUAGUCGAUUCUAUCACAGUUUCGAUUUGAUGACAGCAUAAAACCAUUUUUUGGGGGACCUUGACCGUCGUUCACUACGAAAUUGGUCCAACAGAAUCCGAGGAAAAUUUGGUGAAAAAGCAAAAGUUGCGAGGAGAAUUCGGCACUCAGCAUAAAUAUGGCAACUGCUUCGAAGGUGAAGGCGGAAGAGAUGGAUAGAGACGCGUAGGGACGAAGAGAAACUGAAAAGCUCUUCUAGAUGUUGAUGCGUUAUAAAAAAGCGAUAAUAAAAUUUAGGGUUAAAUAUCCAGAAUACAUUUAUAAUAAAUCACCAAAAACCUCAAAUUAAAUAUUUGUGAUAAAUUUAUCCUUCAUUAGUUUCUGUUAAAUUUGAUUACUAUCACAAAAAGUCACAGACCGAUACACAUGUGACAAACGGAGGGUAAAUCCCAAAUUGGUACAAGUGUCUAUUGCCAAAUGUCAUUCAACUUAGCAGCUUAACACAUAUACUAACGGAGAAUAAAUUUGUUAUAGGUUUAUAGUUUGGAGUUUUUUGUGAUCAACAAACUAGUUUGGAUAAAUUUGUUACAAGUGAACCAACUUGGGAUUUUUCAUGAUAUUACAUCAAUUAAUAAUCUCACUUGUAGUUCUUCAACUCAUUUAAGUUAUCCAAUUGAAUUCUCAUAUUUUUAACAUAUAAGUGUAUGACCUAAGAUUUUAUAUUGUCAAAAUGACCAUCAUCCCAUUGCCAAAACAAAAUAAUAAAAAAAGGCCACCACCUAAAAUCAACUUUCGUGAAAUUUAAUAAUCUUAUUUGACUUUACUUUUACUUCUCAUAUUAAUCCACAAUAUGAAUUAUCAUUUAAAAAUUAAUUGGCAUUGACAUAAUUUAUUACCUUUUAUAAGAUACACCUCUACUUUAUAUUUUUCUACAUUUGUAAAUUUGUAAAUAUAUAUUAAAAUUUUGCAUCUAAAGAAAAUUAUUAGAGAUGGACUAUCCAAGGAAAAAUUAGAAACAGAAAAUUCAUAUGAAGAAAAUAGGGAGAUUGUAAAGAGGGGAGGGGGAAUGGAGAUGGAGAUGGAUUACAUACAUUUGACUAGCAUAUGAGUUCGACUUUGGGCCCAGUGAAAAAUAUUACAACCAAGAUGAAGAAUAGAACCAUCCGAAUUUUUCUUGUUCAAAGAGCAAAAUUAAUCCUAAGACAAAGUUUAGUUCAAGUGUCUGGGAGUUGAACUUCCUUCAACCAAGCCCCUACCUGGAUCCAUACCUAGCUCGAAUCUUAUGCAGUUCCCUAAGGGCUUCGGCCACGUCCAUCCAAUCCUGUGGUAACUUCAUCGAGCACGCAACUCCAAUCCUUAGGACGGAGGCAACACAUUCUCUCAUCCUCUCAAUGUCAUUCUCACUUUCUCCGUUAAAAAUGGCCAAGUCUACGAUCUCCAUCACUUGGUCUGGUAGAGCAACCUUGACAAAGUUGUGGAGAUUUAAAUGGUCCUUGAAAGUUUCUUCCGUGGGUCUUCUCCCAGUUAACAUUUCCAAUAAAAUAAUACCAUAGCUGUACAUAUCGCCUUGUGUGGAUACCAUAUUCCCCAUGCCAUACUCUAAAAUAGUGUACAUCAAGCAAUAUACAAUGAAAAUAAAUAUUUUAUCUAAAAGUGAACACAAAUAAAACUUAGACAAUUAAUGAGAAAAUUUUCUUACCUGGAGGGACAUAACCUACGGAACCCCUCACUACCACCGAGCUACUGCCGUCAUCAAUGUCCAUGGCGUCUGUUUUCAUAGGGGAGCUAAUUGUCGCCAGCCCAAAAUCCCCAACUUGUCCCAUCAUCUCGUUGUCCAAAAGGACAUUACUUGGCUUUAGAUCUCCGUGUACAAUCUUUGGGCUACAAAGCUCGUGAAGAUAUUCAAUUGCAAAAGCUAUGUCAAUGGCAAUGUCUAACCUUUGCAUUAGUCCCAAAUGCCUUGGCUUUCCAUGUUCAUGUUCAUGCUCAACAUUCUCUUCGUUUCCUUGGUGUAUCCAAUUCUCUAAACUCCCAUUAGCCAUGUAUUCGUACAAUAGAGCUUUGAAAUCGUUGCCGUGAUAGUCCAUGCUUGAACAAACGUUCACUAUUUUCAUGAGAUUUCGGUGUCGUAUAGCCCCUAAGGUUUGACACUCCGAGACGAAGCUCUUUGAAGCACCUCUAUGGCCCAAGUUGAGCACUUUAACUACCACUAAGCCACCUUCCUGUGUGGUUGCUUUAUAGACAGUACCAUAUCUCCCUUUCCCGAUGACAUUGAUCUCAGAGAAUCCAUCUGAGGCUCUAAGAAGCUCCCCAUAAGAGACCAUCGAAAAUUUGCGUUUAAAUGGAAAUUCAAUCGAAGAGGUAUUCUUUUUCAACUUCUUUCUUCGACACCAAAAGAUAAACAUGCAAAGACACAAAAUGAAGCAUGACAAGAUGGCCGUCACUAUAGCGAUUACUCUAACUUUGUUGGUCCAUAAGGGUUUAGAGGUAUUUGAUUUGCAAGAAGGAAGGUUUAGUUCAGCAAUACCUCCACAGAGAUUCAUAUUCUCAAAGACGGACACUACACUAGCAUUGAGAAAUACUCCUUGCUUCAUAACUUCUCCUUCAAGCUUGUUUGAAGAUAGAUUCAAGUACUUUAGAUCUGUAAGUUGAGCAAGAAAGCUCGGGAUUUCACUUGAUAACUUGUUAUGGGAAACAUCCAACUUUUGUAAGCCUUGUAAUGUGCUUAAAGCCGGAGGAAUUUCGCCAUGAAAGGAAUUGAAUGCUAAGCUGAGCCGCCCUAAUACUAAGCACUUGCCGAUGGAGCUAGGAAUUGGUCCAAUCAACUUAUUGUAAGAUAGAUCCAGUUCGCCAAGAUUGAUCAAGGACCCAACUUGAGACGGGAGAGAUCCGUUCAACUGGUUAUGUGCCAAGCUGAAGAUAAUCGAAAUGGUAUAAAGGCCAAGAACCUCCCCUGGGAUUGAACCACUCAGAUUAUUAUUGGAAAGCUCGAGCUCGAUUAGCUGUUUGCAGUUACCAAGACUUUGUGGUAUUUCCCCGUAGAAGUUGUUGAACGCCAGGUAAAAGCUAUUCAAUAAAGUCAAAUUGCCGAUCGAUGAUGGAAUCUCUCCCGUUAGCAUGUUUCCACUUAAGUACAAUUCAUGCAAGUUAUGGAGUGCUCCAAUACAAGAAGGAACAUGACCACCAAGCGAAUUGUUUGAUAAGUCGAGAUAGGACAAGUUGAAGAGAUUGCCAAUACCUGGAGGAAUGGUUCCGUACAUUGUGUUGGACAACAUAGAAAUUAAACUAAUGCUAUUGGAAAGAUUGCCAAUGGAAUCCGGCAAUAGACCUUCAAGAAAAUUGUUGUCCAAUGAAAUAACUUCCAGCCUUGAACAAUUAGUCAAUGGGGUAAUGAAACUGAAGUCAUCUCGCAACUCGUUAGAAGUAAGGGAUAUUACUCUAAGAGCUUUCAGCCUUCCAAGAUUUGCAGGCAUCGGUCCAUGAAAACUAUUAUUGUCGUAGUAGAUAUACUGAAGGCCAGAGGCAUUUGAUAAAGACGGAGGUAUAACCCUAGUAAAAAAAUUAUUAAGAAAAUCAAGAAAAAGGAGAGAAGGAAGAGUAUCACCAAUAUAAGGGGGAAUGCUCCCUCUCAAUUGAUUGUUACUGACGCAGAAAUAGAAAAUGUCGGACAUGUUGAAGAUUGCCGAAGGGAUCUCGCCAGUGAGUUGGUUAUUCAUCAAUUGAACAUACCUCAAACCAUGAAGCUUGGACAAUGUCUUGGGAAUCUCUCCUUGCAACCCAUUUUUCAUCAGUGAAAGCUUGUAAAGUUGGGAGAGAUUUCCAAUAGAAUGAGGAAUAGAUCCUGCAAGACUAUUUAUAGCCAAACCUAAAGUGUGANNNNNNNNNNNNNNNNNNNNNNNNNNNNNNNNNNNNNNNNNNNNNNNNNNNNNNNNNNNNNNNNNNNNNNNNNNNNNNNNNNNNNNNNNNNNNNNNNNNNCAGGAAUUUUGCCCACAAGUUGGUUUAUUUGAUGAGAUAUAAAAUCUCAAGGUUUGAGCACUGAGAAAGAUUGGUGGGCAUUUGUCCACCGAAAGAGUUUUUACCAAGGACGAGAUGACGAAGGCGAAACAAGUGGCCAAUGCUUUGUGGAAUUUCACCGCAAAAGCUAUUAUUCUGUAGAACAAGGUUUCUCAAGAAAGAGAGGUUUCCGACAUGAGGCGAUAGAAGACCCCCCCCCCCCAAGCCUUUUGACAUCAGGUUGAGGGACACGACUCUUUCGGGAUGCUGUCCACCACAUAUUACACCUUGGCACUCACAGUGAUUAAAAGAGUCAUUCCACGAGAUCAAAACUCCAAACAGAUCCUCAUCCACACUGUGUCUGAAGUAGAUUAAAGCCAGCCGAUCCGUUUGGUUGGUUUGCAUAGUUAGACUUGUCCAUAUGGGAGCUGGGCAUAGAAAAAUAGGAACAUAUCGCCAUAUGCUUUCCAUUAUGAGUGGGUUCUAUGUCCUAACAAGCUGCAAGCAAAAUCUCUUCCAGAUUGAUUUAAAGAAGAAAUGAAGACCUUCAAAAGCAUAUGCAUUUCCAUUGAUCAAAAGACACCAUUUUACACGGCGAAACCCUACCCAAAAUGCAAGUUUAACCCAAACAAAGAGUUGGACUUUAAAAGUAUUGCAGAUUGGCCGAACCAAAGAAAGGGCACACACACACACUUACGUCAAAAUGGAGGAUUUGAUAGCUGCCCAAUGACUUCCUAGAAAGGCGUGCCGUGAAGAAAGGAAAUCAAGAAUGGAUGUGGUCCCUGAUUUUCGGCCAUUUCAAAGAGAGCUCCUAUUUGUUCGUUGGCAAAGCGUGUAAUUUGUGCUGUGAGUUUUUUACAUCCAAAUUGUUAAAACCUUGGGUUCAGGUUUAGUUUAGAUAUGAAAAGCACUCGAGCAUAUUGAGGGAUUCUAAUUAUAAUUCUUUAAUUAUAGCAAAUUUUUAUUACUAGCUCUCCUCGUAGAUAUAUGUGCCAACACUCAAAUUGAAUCACGUAAAUCUUUGAAUCUUUUAUUAUUCCUCAUUUAUUUUUAUUUUUUUAUGAUUUUCCACUGACUUAAAAACUAAAUCCUUAUUAGCUUCCCCGUUUGUUAAUUUUACCACGAGGGUUACUUCUCACCUGUAAUGAAAAGGAAAUAAAGCAAAAACGCAAACAAGGAGAUGAUGGGUGGGUCAUCCUAAUGUGGAAAAUAAGUCCCGCCAAUGCUUUUUAGCGUGUUUUUUUUUUUUAUGUUGCCGGCAAGAUUUUUAGUCAAAAGGUUCAUUGACUUCUCCUGUACUACAAAGAGUUUCUUGUCAAAGAUAAAUUUCUUGAAAGUUUGUCAUUUAGAUCCUAUCACUCUUGUUCCAAUUACAAUUCAUCAGGCCAGAACUCCUGUGCCAAGCUCGAACCCAAGAAUAAGAGGGCUGGUUUGUGUGGGCCAGCACAGCUCAACUACCAUGCUUAGAUAGUGGUUUUAUAAAUAUACAUGUUAGGAAAAGCAAGAUGCUGAAUUUCAAGUCUGUUUGGCCGUUUGAAAACAAAGAGUUUGCAAAAUAUUGCACGAGUAUAUGAGUCAAAUUUAGAUUUUGUGGGAGAAGGGGAAUUUCAAUGUGCAAUUGCUGGUGUGAUAUAGAAACUCAAGUUAUGGUCCUGGUAAUGAACAAAGAAUAUGCGAUGCAAGUACUUUGUUAGAAACUAAACAGAGAGAGUUAUUCUAGAAUUUGGUGGAGAAUUAAGAAUGUUAGCUCUGAUCUUGAAGUCAAGUUUCCCGUGGAAAAUCAACAACGUUGUACAAUCGUGGCCGGUGAGCAUGAUGACCUCCAUCAUGAGAAGUUUUCCAUUUCUUUUUCCCUUCUUUGAACUUUUCUUUUUAGGUUCUCUCGAUUUGAUUACCAAACCAUUGCAGGACAAUCUCGAAUAUCGAUAAACUAAGGCAAGGCGUCAAUAGUGCUUGACACUGUUGAAGGUUAAGGGAUUCCAAUGAACACUGAUUGAAUUUAGUCGAAGGCCCACUUGUGUAAAUAAAGAUGGUUCAACCCCUUCCACUAUAUGGGGGUAAAUUACGCACAAUUGUGAAUUUUGGGGUAAUACAAUUUUGCCUCCGAUUUUUCACUUGUUAUACAAUAACGUCUGAAUUUUUAUUUUGUUCAAGCAAUUAACUCUUCAUUAUAUUGUUAUUAGCAUGCACAUGCUUGUGAAUUUUAAGGGGUAAAAGUAUAAAUUUUAUCUCAUUCUUUUUCUAAGGAAGCCUCUUUUUCUAGAAGACUGAAAAAUAUAGAAAAUGGAAGAGAAAUGAAUUAACUAAAAUACUAAUAAUAAAAUAAUAAAUAUCGAUAAUCAUAUUUAAUGAUGAGAAUUUUUCAAAAUUAAAUAAAUAUAGCCACCUUAAUAUAACUAAAUAAGAUAUUUUAAAAAAUAAAUACAAAUUCAUUAGAAUGGAAAAAGGCAUUUAUAACUAAAAGAUCAAAUAACAAGAAUUGCUUAAUCACUAUGUAUGUUUAAAGGGUAAAUUACUGUAAAAAUUAUUGAUUAACAAAAAUAUUUACAAGGAGGACGAUCAAUCCCUUGCAAAUCUAUCUCUUUUAAGAGGCAAUCUUUCAAGAAGAGCUUUUAGCAUCUUGAGUUCAAAAAUGCCCUUUGCGUCGAUAGUUACCCAAAAUUUUCUAAAUCAUUUUGGCUUUUAGAUAAGUUUUAAAGUUGGAACCUCCUCGGAUGCAAUGGCACAUUUAACUUGCUUCAGUUUUGGCUCAGACACUAGUUUUUAGGUCCGCACUAUAUUGUGUAAAGAGGCAUAGCUUUCUUUGAGAAAGCUACUCCCACCGAAUUAUCUUAAAUAGUAACUUGUGCCAUUUCGAUGGUCCCAUGUUCUUGCGUUUUUGAGUUUGGGCUUGUAUUAUAUCUUUCCUUCUUAGACAGUCCUUUGCCUUAUAUUUCUUAUUCAAUUGUUAUACGCACAACCAAAAGCAUCCGAUCCAUUAAUUAAACGUAUGAACUCAUAUUCUAGUGGAGUUAUUAAUCAAAUUUACGAUAUCAAUGCUUUGACGCGUCCGUACCUAUUGGGAUCAUGCCUCAAUUUUCAGUUUACGCUUCACACUCUUAUGGUAGGAUUUCGGACAACCACCUUACACUACUCGAUUUGAUUAAUAUCAAAGCACUCUAAGUGAGUCAGCUUCAUUACUAAACUAAGUAGAUCACCGAAUCAAUAAGCAAUUCACCACCUCAAUCAAAGAUUAAACAUGCUAUUAUAAUGAACCACGCGGAUGUCAUGGAAUAUUGAGUGUAGAAAUAUGAGAAGCCAAACUUGUAUUCUAACUAAACAUCUCAACUUUUCCAUCAAAGUCACCAAGGAACCACAUAAUAUAAGAUCCAUUAUUAGUGUGAGCCCAUUACAAUUUGUGGCCCGACAAAAAUUGAUGGACACCCGGCUUCACAGCCUUGAGUAAGGACAUUCUGAAAAUCACAAUUUAGUCCUAGCCGCAUGGAAAACUGGUGAUGUUUUCCCGCAGUGGAUCCAAACCUGUAGAACAGCAAACAUCUUUCAGCAAAAAACUCUCACCGGCGAAUGUUCUCUCACGAAUUUUUGUUGGCAAGGCAAGACUGUCACGUCAUUUCUCGAAUCAAAUAGAAACUGCAUAUCGCUAUUUCCGCCGCCUUCAAAUUAUACACUCUGCAAUGCACGCAUAAUAACCGUUCAAUCUCAGAGCUUUACCUCAAAGCAGAAAGGAGAGUCAUGACGCGUCGCUCCUUCCAUGCAAUGGUUGUUUUUCAGCAAGAUUGAAUAGCAGCAACCCGUACAGCAUGACAAUAAGUGAAGGAGAUUAACUUCAGUUCUUUCCAUCGCUAUUUAUGCUGGCCUAAGCUCGGGAUAACUGAAGCUUACCGCAUUCUCUCGCCCCACAAUUCUGAGAAAGAAAAUACAGUUAGACAUGUAUCAAACGUGCAACAUCAUCAAUGACAAAGAAAUGAUGAGAGCGACAUCCCGAAGCGGGGAACUCUGUAUAAAUUAAAAUUAAAAUACCUAAAAGGAAACCAAUAAUCUUCUCCGAGGGUGAUGAUUGACAGAAAAUGAGAUGCAUCUAGGAAUUUUAUCUAACAUCCUCGAACUAUUAGUUCAGGUCAUAAACUCAUACCAUAUCUAAUCAUCUAGCUGUUAUAUGUGAAAAAAUUUGGAGUGCUCUUUAAGCAUGACGUUUUCAUAAUCACUUCGACACUAUUGCGUAUCACUGCUAAUGGUGGCCAUACCUGCAAAUGCCACAUCUAUUGUAGCGAUUCUGCUUCCUAGAUGGCCGAAGAAAAAAUGAAGUAAGAUGUCAGUUCCUCCUGAUCAUAUCGUCUUCAAGUGCAGGAUACAACACCCAACACUUUUGAGAAUCUGUAAAAUGCAAUUAACGAACUUUUCUUCUUUCACAUGUUUGCACGUUAUGCAGCAUUUCUAAGCUCAAGGUUUUGAAAUAUUUGCUAGGGGAAGAGGGCAGACAGAGACUACUUCCCACAUAUAGAGACACUCGACCAAUGUCACUGUCCGUGACACAUGAAAGAAAUUGAGCAGCGAGAUAAGAAAGAUUUGACGCAAAUCAUCAUCGAAGAACUUACAAGUCCAACAAAAGUACUUCCCCAUGCAAACACCACCUGUGAACAUGGAAACCAAAGGUUGAGAAUCAACAUCUGCACUGUAGUUUAUUUUUGGCCAGUCUUUUUAAACAACUUCACAUUUUUUACCCUCCUUCAAAAAGGCUCUUUAGUGCAAUCGAAGUAGGUAAAGGAGGAUAGAAUGUUUAAAAUUACCUCUUGAGCACUAUCACAGAUUGAACUUACAACCUGAAACAAAACAUGUAGGUAAGUGGGAACAUCAAGUAAUUAGUCGGUCUAUAAACAUGCUAGAAAUUUGAUAGCAUCCAUCCGCUGAACUUGAUGGCAAGGCGAGUCAAUGCCCUGCUUUUGUUUGCAUUGAUACGUUAUUCUGGUCAUAAGAGAACGGUGUUUCUUCUUAGGAAAAGCAUGUCCACAGGUUGAAGAUUGAAGAAUCGAAUAUUUGACAUAUUCACCAAACUGUGGACUACUCAUCCGAACUCAAAGGACAUGGCGACUUCCGCACAUAUCCAUCAUGCAGUAAUGGCAGACUGCACAUACCAAAAUAUUAGAGCACACAUUACAAAAUUAACAACAUGUCAGAACGCAAUCUCAUCUUAAGAUAACUCAUGCGACUAGCACCCAAAAUUUAGAGGCAGCUGCAGCGGUGCCUAUACUUUGGUUAACGAUAAUCCUCUAAAAUAUGGCAAAUAAAAACUUAAUUGCAAUCUAUGGACUGAGCUUGCACGAAAGUAUCUCAGAUAUCUAGUGCGUUCUUCAUGUCAUAACAAAAGGAAGUUCUCAAGCACACUUAAGUCUAUGAGGGGCACAAGGGAUCACCUUUGCAUCAUCAUGACAGUGAAGGCAAUAAAAAAUGUUGUCGCAACAGGGGGCUCUAAUGCGGCCCCUCAACAGUAAUGAGGACAUCUGCCGCGGCAGCAGCAGCGUCUUUGAUAUUAACUGAAAGUUGAGAAGGACAAAGCUUGAACUACUAUUGCUCAAGAAUGAGUCGAGACGUUACUUGUACGGCAAGUACCGCUCGCUAACAAAUCAGUUGCAAUAGCAUCUUCACGGUCAGAACAGAUCACGGUCGGAAACACGAUUGGACAGUGCUGGAAUUGUAACAACAGGAGGGAACCGAGUGGCGGCUGAUGAGGAGGAACAGCGACGUUAAUUAUGAGCCAGAAGUGGUGGUGAUCGCCUGAUCGGAAAUGGAGCGCCCGUGGAACUAGAGGGAAAGCGGGACUGGGAGAACGUUCGGGGGAAGAGAGAGAGAGAGAGAGAGAGAGAGAGAGAUAGAGAGAGAGAGAAAGAGAGAGAUAAAAGUAAGGAAGGAAAGAGGGCGGGCCUUCUCUCGGCAUGGGCGUUGGACCUCGGAUGGGCUCCAUUUUUCAGCUCCUUUCUGUUGCUGAGUCUUAUUCGAUGGGCUAUUGGACAAAUCUAAAGAGAUCUGGGCUCAAGUCCGAUAUUGUCCGGCGGGGAGCUCCAGUUGUGGAUCUGGGCUGAGGUCUUAUUAGUCCUCUCCUUAAAAUAUAUAUAUAUAUAUAUAUAUAUAUUUAUUGUUAACUUUAUUUAUCUUUACAAAAAUGCAGAUUCAAUUUGCUAGCAGAUAUUUGGGUGUCAACGUCCACGCUGCCAACUCUAUUGAUUGGAUAUAUACGCUCAUCCUAUUUCCAAUGACCAUAAUUGGUUCUGUCAACGUAUGGAGGUUUGGGGGUAGAUUGAGCCUCAUAAAAAAUUGGACUAAGGUUGGUCGACAAAGAAUAGGAUCUUUAUAAUCCGAAGUAAACAACACUUCAAAGUACAAGCAACACAAUAUUUAGGCUUUGUUCAUUUCAUGGAAAAUAACUUCUAGAAAAAUAUUUUUCAAAUUUUUCGAUGUUCAUUUUAUGAAAAAUGAAUUAGUCAAGAAAAACGUUUUAUGCUAUUGGAAAAAAAAAACACAUUCAAAAGUGAGGAAAAUAUUUACAUUUUCGAAAAGUAGAAAAUAUUUUCCAUGACUUCUUCCACCUCGCUUUCUUUCACCAAACACAUUUUCAUUCCAUUUUAUGUUUUCUUUUUCUUUUCUUUUUUACAUUGAUUUUUUAAUUUCUAUUUUCUUUUUUGCUUUUCUCUCUUUCUUUCUCUUCUACUUUGACCUUGGUAGGUUGAUGAAGAAGAAGAGAAAGAAAGAAAGAAAAAAGCAAAAAGAAAAAGAAAAAAAAGGAAAGGAAAAGAAAAAAAAAAUUAAACAUUAAAAAAUAGAUUUAAAAAAAUGAAAUAAUGAAAAAAAUUAUUGAGAAUGAGCGCAUGCAGGAAUAGAUUUUUCUUACCAAACGGCGAAAAAUAUUUUCUAGUUCAUUUUCAAAUUUCAGCUGAAUACAGGAUAUAUAUGAUUAUUUUCCUAAAAAAUGACUUGCUAGAAAAUAAUUUUCAAAAACACCACAUUUUUCAAGAAAAAAAAAACAAAGCCUCAAUAGCAAUUAUUGAGGUCAACAAUGCAACCUAACGAAGGGGUGAAUGGGUUGAUUUACAAAAGUAAAAAAUAAUUUAUAAUAGCUCAGGUUAAGAAACGCAAAUUAAAUAAAAAGGGGACAAGGCCUCAAUAACAAAAAGUUCAAAUGAUAAAAUUUGAUUAUGCGUUAUGUAUGUAUAAAGGUUUAAUUAAUGUAAAAUGAUUGAUCUACAAAAAAUCUAGAAAGAACUUAUCAAUCAAAAUGAUGUCCUUAACUCAUAAAAGACGAAGAUGAAUCAAAAUCUAAGGUGAUUUUGUUAAAAAAUAUUUUUAUUGCUCAAUUUUCUUACAUUAAUUAACCAUUUAACAACACAAAAUGAGCAUCAAAUUUUUGUUAUUUGAUUUUUUGUUCUUUGUGGCAUUUUUCUUUUGUACUUAAUUGCGUUUCUUUUUGUUCAAAUACCUACUAGUUCUAUUAAUAUAUCCAUGAAUUUUCUACCAACUUUUAUUAUCUAUAUUAUUAUUGAUAGUCAAAUUUUGUGGUACUGAUAAUUUAGUUAAUUUUUUUUUUCAUUUUCUGUACUGUUUUUAUUUUUCUUAUAGAAAUCAACGGUAAAAGGCAUUCUUUCGAGAAAAAAAUGAGAUGAAGAACAAGUUUGCCCCUUUAACGUCAUCUACAUUGCACAUGUGAAUGGAGAAUAUAGUCAAAUGUUAACAGCUAUAACCAAAUAAAAGUUCAAGAAGUAAUGUGUAACAGUCAAAAGUUUAUGUCAAACAUGUAUUUUCCCGAAGUUUGGAGCAAUUUUUGUAAAUUUUCCACAAAUUUAUUAUGCAAUGCCGAUUUUCUAAUAUAUUCAUAGGGAUAUUAGUGUGUAUUUAUGUAUGUUGGGUGUGGAAAUAUGAGAAGCCAAACUUAUUUUGUACAUAUUUUAGGUAUUUUAGGUAUAUUGGUAUAGUUUACUGUUUAAUAAAAUUUUAUUAGAGAAUGAUGGAAAAAAAAGAAAUAAAAAAGAAAUUAAUUAAAAAAGAGAGGAAAAAUAAAAUAAAAAAUAAAUCAAAAUAAAGUACAUAGUCGCAAGAGAUUUUUACCAUCUUCAUUUAUAAACUUUCAGGUUCGUUUAUAUUGAGACGUCGUUUAUAUUAACCAAUAUAUAUAUAUAUAUAUAUAUAUAAUAUGAUGUGAAUAUAUCCAAUUUUAUACUUACGAUCACCAAAUUGUGGAUAGGAAAUGAUAAAAUCCCACGAUUUCCUAACCUAUCAUAUUUAAUCCUAGCUUAAUUAGAAAGAUAGAUGACUAAACAUAACUAAAGAGGAUAGGGAGUUGGCGAGCCAAUUCGAGUUCAAUGAGCUGUGUUGAUGGGCCUUCGAAACCUAGUUCGCAGGUUGAUUAACUUCCCCGGGUCAAAAGGCUAGAGACACUCGUUGCAUUUGGGCCAUAAAAUGCUGACAAUUCUCAACAACAGACCGGAAUACCCAUGGGCUUUCGGUUUGGCCCGAUAUAAGGAGGGUUGUAGAUAAGCUAUCACUUUCCAUCCUCACCUGAAGAUCACCACUUUUCCUCCACAGAUCAGUUCCACCCUAUCUUCAACGAGAGCGCCAAGGCUUCUCUCACUGCUAGGAUUUCAGGCACAAGGGCCGUCGGAGCCCGUGAGCAUCUCUACACACCCCAACUACUGAACCCACUCAAGAGCGAGUGUUGUGCACUGAGGCAGCAAAGAACUCUCAUUAACCUCAUGCUUAAUGGCUUUGACCAAUCACCUUAUGCUAAGUGUUUAUGAGCAUUUCUUAUCUUCUCACAAAUACUAACACUCCCAUCAUUCGCAUGGAUAAUUGCUUUGACACUGUUGAGUCUUACUUCCAAUGGUGGCCACACUAGCAAAUGUCACAUCCAUUGCAAUGAUAUUGGUUGUAACAUAUUAUCGCAUAAGCUAUCAGGAAAUUAAUGCGAUAUUAUUAGAAAAAUAAAUGAGAAACAAUAAAGGAUACUAAAGAUUUAUGUGGUUCGGUACUAAGUGUCGGUACCUACAUCUACGGAGAGAGCCGACAGCAGAUAAUUCACUAAUAAUCAAACAAUCCAAGUUUGCAGUCGCUCACGUGCUCGAAUGUUUCUCACACCAAGAUUAAACUCAAAUUUAAAGUGUUUGCAAAAAUACUCACAACACCAAUCCACGGUGUGUAUAGCCCCACUCUCUGAUUCUUCCUUUCGUUCUUCGUACGGCGUUCCCCAGGAAAUCACGGUGCGGCCAUUGUACUCUCUUUCUUCUUGUGCGGCUACACUUUGCUGAAGGAACCCACUCCACGCUUCUCAAAGAAAGAAGCCACUGGCGGCCAUUCACACAACGAGGAACCCCUUUUGUCUUGCAGUGGCAGGGGACUUCUUUCCUCUCGUUAGUCCAACCUUCGGCAAAGGUGAGUCCAACUCUUCAAUUUUAUUGUGCUGUCAAACUUGGAUAUUUAUUCAAUCUGGUUGGAUUCUAUAAAUGGCUCAGACUUGAGACAUAAUUUAACGAUACCACAUGGAUGUCUGCAGAAAAAUAAAGUAAGACGUGAGGUCCAUGCAAUCAUAUUGUCUCCUGCUGCAGGAUAUGUCACCUAACACUUAUGACAAUCUGUACAAUGCAAAUAAGAAAUUUCCUCUCUAACAUGAUUGCCCAUUGUUAAGCAUUUUUAUGCUUUUUGUUUACAUUGAUACUAUCCAGGGCAUAGGAGAACAGUAUGUCAGGUUAUGGAAAGCACGUCCGUGUGUAGAAGAUUGAAAAAUCACAUUCAUCAUCAUAUUCACCAAACUAUAGAGUACUUAUCAGAACUCAAUCCACAUGGUGACUUUCAUUUAUGAUACAAAGGAAGUCUGAUGCAAUUAAGUAGUGAAUUAACUUCUAUGGCAACCUUCUGCACAUAUUUGUCACAUAAAAAUGGAAACCUGCACAUAUCGCAAUAUAAGCGCACACAUUUCAAAGUUAUUAUCAGGUCGGAAUGCACUCUCAUAUGAAGAUAACUCAUGACACUAGUGCCCAAAAUCUACAGGCACCCGAAGCAGUGCCUCCAUUUGGUUGAUGAUCAUUCUCUAAUGUAUGACAAGUAAAACUUUAAUUGCAAUCUAUUAACUAAGCUUACUCUAAAGUAUCUCCUAGAUUUAUAUUUAAUGCCUUCUUCAUGUCAUGACAAAGGAAGUUAUCAAGCAUUCUUAAGUCUAUGAAGGGCAAAAGGGAUCACCUUCACAUCAUUAUGAUAGUGCUAAAAAACGAGCCGAGACAUUACUUGUACUGCAAGUACCCUCUCUCUAGCAACCCGGUAGCAUUAGCAUCUUCUUCAGCUUUUUUGACAGGCAUCUGUUCCACAUCCAUUUGCUAAAGGACUGCCAGCUCAUUGUCUGUCUGACUUCUUUAUAUAUGACAUGCUGAAGGUUUCCCGUGUCAAACUGAUGAAGCCCUGGUUUUUAAUAGCUAGUUCAUCCAUUUUAGUUUGACUCUGCUGAGACUACCAGCUGCCUAGGCUAGCGAUGAGAAGCACCUGCAAAGAUGAGCAAACUUAUCAACAUUCUAUAACCUCCUAAGAAUUUUACUCGGCCAAUCAAGCAAGGAGACUCUGCAACAUUGAUUUCAUCUACAAGGCUCAAGACCAUUUGACAUCAGCAAUAAGACCAUCCAAUUAAUGUGGAACAGCUCCAAUCAGGAGUACUCCAAUCGAAGGAAUCGUCAAAACAAGUAGAUCUAAAAGAUUCCCAUAUAAUAACAUAGGUGAUGGAUUGAGGAACACCAGGGCAUCCCGCCAUGGGUAAUAAGGAACCGUGUGUCAUGAUCACUUGAUUCCUUGAAGUUUGGAACAAACCAUACCUAAGAUGACCAUGAAUGAGCCAAUCUCUGGUGAAAGCCAACAAAAUCACACAAUCCAAUUGCUCUAAAAUGAAGUAAGACAAUAGAAUAUGGUGAAAGAUUGCAAGAACAAAACUUGUCCAUCAAGGAUAUGCUACCUCCUCCCACAAUUCUGCUUGACGCUUUCUUCGAAAAUUGCCAAUAACUCAAGCCUCAGACAUUCAACUGUGCUGACUCAUGAGACUUUUCCUAUCAGAAGGCUCUUCCCACAAAACAAAUACCUUCAAGUUGACUAGAUGAUUCCAUAAUGUACAUCUGCUGAGGACAGACAUACAUGUCCUUAAGUAAGAACCUUCAUGAAUAAGGUAUUUAUCCAGGCUAAUUGACCAACUUUUUCAUUUAUUCCACAUGUUAUGCAAGAGUCAACACAAAUCAAAUUGUCUUCAUGAUUCUAGUCCAACAUUUCCUAUUUCAUGCGGUAUGAGCAUAUGCUUCUUCCAUGUGCCUGAAUCAAAUGGGUGGGUUUGGAGGGAGGCAUGGUGAGAAUGAGAGGGAGAAUGUUUCUUUUUUAAGCCUAGAAUUAUAGUCGAAGCCCCACUAAACGGAAUCAUAGCUCACAUCCAAGGAAUUUUGCCUACACAAACAGUUAAGGAAGCAACCACUUCAUUUGUGUGUCAUGAAACAAGUAAAUUCUGCCAUCUAUUGCCAUGGCGGACUGCUGCUUUAGAACAACACAUUGAUCUAUCUCGAAUCAUUGCAAAUGCUACUUCAGUAAUCCUCUUCCGGCAGCAAUCAUCAGCAAUGGGAAUCUUGCUCCAUUUCAUGUACACUACCCUAUAUGAACCAGCCUCUCUUCUUCACCAUGGUCUACCAUCUUGAUUAAAUCUCCUUUCAUCGCGCAGGGGAAAAAAAAAGGCAGAACACGAGCAUAGAGAUUCCAGAAUUCUACUUUGAAACCCAAACUACAGUAUCCACAUUUUGCAUUUAUCUUAGAUAUGUCUAAAAAGCCAACCAUUCUAGUAGAUAUUUCCCGAAGUUCUCAAUUUGCUACAUUGCAUGAGAACCAAGAUCUAGGGUAAAGGUCAGAAAGCUUGUCACUUGAAUGAGCAAAAAACUGCAAACCCAUACAUUUGUAUGUUACAUAGAGAUAGAGUAUGCAUUAGCGCAUGUGUCGAUCUGUAAACUGCUCUCCAAAUGAAUUCAACAUAUUAUUUGAUACGUCUUUUGUUCAGCCUCAUGACAUUUGGAUUCUACAUUGUCCUGCAGAUUUUCAGGACAAGGAAAGUGGGCGAAAACUGCUCCAAUCAUUAGGAGAUCUCUAAAAAGAGGAAAACAUGAAAAUGUGUCCACUCCACCUUUCCCUGAAAACAAAAUUUCCAAGUACUCCAGAAGGAAGAAAAUCUACGUCCCACAAAAGAUGGAAAGGCUUACUCAUCUUAACCGUUAACAUUCUUCACUCAAGAAUUGAAUCAUCAGGCAAAGGUCAGAAAGUAUGUUACUUGGAUGAGCACAAAAGUCAGAACCUAAACCUCCUAUGUCAUGCAAUGCAUUAGUGCGUAUGACAAUCUAUAAACUACUCUCCAAAUGAAUACAUCAGAUCAUUUGAUAUAAUUAUCGUUCAGCCUCAUGAUGUUUGGAUUCUACGUUUUCCAGCAACAUUUCCAGCACAAGGAAAACGGGGAAAAAACUGCUCCAGCCAAUGAGACAUCCCCUUGAGCCAAGACCUCAGUCAUAUGUAGAAAAGAGGAAAACAUGAAAAGCAAGUACCACUCUAUCUUCCCCUAAAUACUAAAUUCCCAAGGACUCCUAAAGGGAGAAAAUGUAAACCCUAUAAAAGAUGAAAAGGCUGGCUUUCACCUUAGCCAUCAUUAACGUUCUUCAUUUGAGAAUCGACUCAUCAGACAAGGCCAGCCAUGGAUAAUAGAUGAUAUUAAGUGUAAAAGAGCAGCUAGUCAAUUCUCCUCUUCAUCUUCUUACAAGGAACUUAGGUGAAUUUGCAUCAACAUUCACCUUGUCUCCUGUUUCUCACUUAACAAAAGCCACCUAGUUGGGGUGAAAUAAAUGCAGUACAUAGCAUUCCGUGACUAAUAACCGAAUUGCAAACUAAAAUUCUAACAGCGCUAUAACACACCACGCUUUACACAAAAUGUUCCGGAAAAUAUUGAAUUUCCAGAGUUAUCAAAUCCCAGCAUAUCUAACCUCUAAUGCAUGUGCCAAGGAAUCACAUGACAAAUUAUCCAAUGAUUCGGGAAAUGAUUGCAAUGCCACAUCCUUAAUCACACGAGAUAGCAACAAAAGAAAAGAAAGAGGUGGGAAGUCCAUCAUUUCGACAAAGGAAAAACAAGACCAUGUUAGUCCUCCAGUUAUCAACAAGAAUCGAGUCGUGAUGCGAUAACUGCCAAAUGAAUGACAGUUCAAAUUGUCAUAGGAUCAAACUAACAUCAACAACAAUACCAUCAAAAUUAUCACAAACUCUCUCCUAGAGAGAAAUUUCUUCCAAUGCAAAGGACUCCGUUCAAAUGAAAUCAUCACCGAGCCAGCAUUCCCAUUCUAAUUAUGUCCGAAUGUUCAAGAGAUCCCAUUUUUUCAGCUACGUCAAAAACCAAAACAAGAUAACAAAAAAAUGCCUCUGAACAAUCUUCAUUCACUGUCUCAACAUGACACUGACAAACCCAAUAUCAGUUUCGUUUCAGACUAACAUCCUUCCCCUUUCAGAACAACGAAAUUUGAAUUAAAUAUGAAGUAUGCAUUAAAUAUGACCGGAAUUGGUAUAAAUUGACGUCGAAGAAUGUUUAUUUUAGUUGGGAGCUCUUCCUUGAAGACAUGAAUGAUAAUUAUUCUGUUCCUAAGAACAAUUUCUAGCCAGAAAUAUAUUUUUGGAAGGAAUUUUAUGAGGGGAAAACUGUGGAGGAAGAAGAGGUAGAGGUUAAUCCUGAAACUCCAGUGAAUCAAGGUGCUUUAGCGCCCUAUGAGCAAGCUCAAAUUGAUCCAACCCAGGCAAAUAUGGAGGGACAAGAGGAGGGGUAGUAGAAAUGACUGCUUCUCCCCAGUAGGAGGAAGGCAUGCCAGCUGUAAGUAACAUAGAGUUUAACAUUUUAGUUAACGUUCUAUCCUUACGCUUUGCAACACCAUUUGAUUGGGGGUGAAUAAGGAUCAGUGGUUUCAAGUAUUAUACAUUCUGAAGCACAAAAUUCCUUGAACCUUGACAUAGUAUAUUCUCCUCCUCUAUCACUCCUAAACCUCUUAAUUUUCAGGUUGAGUUGAUUUUCUACUCUAGACUUGAAAAUCUUAAACUUUUCAAAAGCCUCAUCUUUCGAUUUCAACAAAUAGACAUGAUAAUAUCUAGAAAAAUCGUCUAUAAAUGUUAUUAGAUACUUCUGACCACCUUUAGUAAUGUAAUUUCUAAAGUCACAAAUGUCAUAAUGUAUUAACUCAAGAAGUUGUGUGCUUUUAGAAACCAACUUAAAUGGUUUUCUAGUUAUUUUAGCUUGUGCACACACUUCACACUUAUCAAAUCAAAUAGAAGUAUCUAAUGGAAUGUUGUGAGUUUUAACUAGAUGUUGCAUUUUCCUAUAAUUCACAUGUCCAAGUCUAUUGUGUAGCAACUUUGGAUCAAUCAAAGUAGAUUUCACAUGGUUUAUGCUAUCAUCAUUUAAACUCAUCAUAUACAUAUCAUUAACCAUGAAUGCACAACCAAAAUAAUAUGAGUUAACAUAUAAAGUUACUCUACCAUUCAUAGUUGAAAAAGACAUACCAGCUUUAUCAAGUAAACUCAUAGAUAUCAAAUUCUUCUUAAGUAAAGGUACUACUCUAACAUGUUUUAGAGUUAGUAAUUUACCUGAGGAGAGCACCAAAUUUGCAGUUCCAGCAUGAGUCACCUUUGCCUCACCACCAUUGCAAUUUUCCAUAGUGUCUUUCACUUCUAUAACCUCCGUGAGUAAGUUCUUGUCAUUUGUAGCAUGACAAGUAGCGCCACUGUUCAACCACCACUCAGAAGAAAUGCUGGCCUUUCCAUUCUUCAUCAUUUCAAUGAAGGCUCGAGGCUCAAAUCCUCUAUUAUGUGGUGUGUCAUUAUUUGGCUUCCUCGGCAACUUACACUCUGCUGCCUAGUGACCCCACUUUCCACAGUUAUGGCACUUGCCCUUCUUCUUCUUUUUGAAGAUAGUCUUUUUGGCCUCUAACUGUAAAGGGGAUUCACCUUUUGGUGACUUGAACUUUUUCUGAGGUUUAUUGGAGUGUGAAACUAAGUUGGCAACUGACUUUUGUUGUCCUACUUGUUCCAAACUCUUCCUAGUGAUAUUUUGAUUUUCAAUGUGAAUAUACCUCUUUAAUUCAUCCAGUCCCAUCUGUACCUUCAGUCUGUGCAUUUCAGUCUUGAAAUAACUCAAUUCAGUUGGUAGUUUGCUCAACACAAGACCGACAAAGAGAUUAUCGGACAUAUCAGAAUUAUCAUCUUUCAGCUUGUUCCUCAUGUUCUCAAAUUCAACUAACGGAGAGGUGAUGCUUGAAUUCAUAGUGAAUUUAAAGUCAAACAAUUUCUCCGCUAGGAGAGUUUUAGAUAGCCCCUCUUGUUUUUGGAACUGAGCGUUCAAGUGAUCCCAUAUCUCUUUUGCCGUCUUAUACUCACUAUAAGUCAUAGCCAAAUUAGGAUUUAGAGAGUCCAACAAGUAAUCUCUACAAAAAUCCUCAUCUUUGUUCCAUUGAUAUUCAUUCACAUCUUCAGUGGUAGAUGCAAAAUCGCUUAAUACAGUAUAUAAUAUGUCACGUUCUUUCAUGCCAAAUUGAAUAUGUAAUUUCUAGCCAUGAAAUUCAGUAACAUCAAAAGAUUACAACUUUAUAAUAUCAUAGGAACUACGCUUUGCCAUUUUAAUCAAAGCAAAGUGUUAGAAAGAGUGCACCUUGAAGUCCUCAGAGCAACAAAGUCGAAUAACUCCCCUAACCUUGAUCAAACUGCUCUGUAGAGAUGGAAUUUGCCAAAAAAAAACCCCAAAAACGAAUUUGGAGCGCCCAAAAACAUUAAGAUGGACUGCCCUUGUCGCUGAAACUCGCUGAAAAAUUUCACCCCCGAAAUUGGCUAGAAAUUUCGUCCUCGAAAUUCGCUAGAAAUUCAGAUAGAAACUUCCGGGUGCUGUAACUUCUCCGUCCGACCUUCGAUUGAUGCGAGUGACCACUCAAAACGUUCGUAUCGACGAGUAGAUCAAAGCCCAAGUGGUUUCACCCUCUUAAAUUAGCUAUAAUUGUUUGGGUUUUCGAAUCAAACAUUUCGGUCACCUAAAUCUUCAAACUCAGAUCCCGGCCAAUAUCACCGUUGAAAUCGAAAGUAAAUUACAGCCACGAGUUCGUCUUGACGAAAUCUUCAAGAAGACACUUUACUCGCUCAAAUCCGACACACGAACCUAAUACUUCAAGAUUGUUGGAGGUAAUAGGUUUGAGAGAGAAGAAGUGGUUGCUUGAAGUAUUAUACCAAGAAACGUCAAGUUUGGAAUGCUCAACAGUGUUACCUCCAGCGUAGGGAAACCCUAGAGUUUUUAUAUGCACGUUAUUGAGCUCCGGCCCAUAUAGAUCCAAAUAACAUGCUUUUACCUAUUGGGCUUGUAUGUGAACAUAUUAUUUUGGACUAUAUUAAUAAUAUAUCCAACACGAUCUUUUUGCCUUGGCGGACUUUGUUAUUAUCUCUGAAUGUGGAGAUUCCGGCCUCAAUGAGCUUAUGAUAGAGGUGAUCAGUGAAGCUAUCUCGAGUAUCUUUAGCACUAAAGCUCAAGAACACAUUGUAGCAGUUUCUAGAUGACUCGGUUGACGGACUAGAUGCACCAGAAUUAGUUUCCGUUGGUGCAGUCAACGAACCAGAUGCGCCAGUAUCAUAAUUUUCUGCAUUUCCAUGCACGUUAGCUUUCUUCUUAUUGAGAAAAUAGAACGUGAGCCCAAGGAGAAGGAUCGGUGCCACGAGCACGGCCAAAGAAUGCCCAAAAAUAAGACGAUGCAUUUCGUCUUUGCUCUGACUUCGCACUUGAUUUUUGCUUUCAAGUCUGAUAGAGAAGAAAACCACAACGCCUCUCAAAAAAUACGAGAUGCCUUCUUACUCCCCAUUGUCUCUUCCUUGGAUUGAUUUAUAUAGUCAAGACAGCUGGCAACCGUAAUUGCACCAAGAAGUCAAACUUGUCAAGCUAUGUAUACAAAUAAGGUUAAUACCUGAAAAACUCUAAAUUGGUACUGAUAAAUUUCUCAAAACUAAUUUUUUGACCAUAAAAAGUCACAAAUUGGUUUAUCUUUGAUAAAUUUACCCUAAAUAACCACAAAAAACCAUGAAUGGACCUAGACUUAGAACCAGGGAAGGAGAGUAAAUUUCCUGCAGGUAUGCAUUCCAUAGUGGGCGAACAACUCCCGUUCAAGCCCUUCAGGGACAGUCUUUUAGCAGAAAACCACUCAGCCCUUUAGUUCAGAGCCUAGAGACACUCAGAGAUGCCAGGAUGGAAACGUUUCUAACCUACCCAAGCUGCAUUUCUUGGAGAAUCCUACCAGGCUGGAGAAGAAGAGGAGUUUAGAAAGCCAUGGAGAGAUUUUCACAAAGCACACACUUUACUUCAGGGGACUCUGCCGAAAACGAUACACCCUCCUUGCCUUUUAUAGGCAAUAAGAGGUCACCAGGACACACACAGGGACCUUACUCACGGGUCCAGAUAUAAACAGAGGCAUCGGAAACUUCUGGGAGGGAAUUAUUAGCACACUAUGAACAGUAACUGUACAGUGAACAUUACUUUCCCUAGCCUAGUGCUACAGUAAAAGUGAACAGUGAUUUUGCUACAGUGAAAUUGUACGGACUCAAUGGUCUCGUCCGUCGCGAGCAUUGUAGCUACAUACUGAGUUUUCUGAGCUGUAUUCUAGGAGAUGUGCCUCAUAUUUUUGUUCAAGGGCUUCAAGGUCUUUAGGUGAGAGGAUUUGGUUCAGCCUUCGUGAUGUGGAUGCUUCUUCAUGAGCCCAAUGUGAUGCUUCUUCUUCAGCCCAGUUUGUGCUUUCAUUUUCUUGAGUGUCGGCAGGAAUUCUUGGCCGAGGCCAGUUGGAUGGCUGUGCAUAGAAAGAUGUGUCCAUGCUUUGGAAUUGUUUGUNNNNNNNNNNNNNNNNNNNNNNNNNNNNNNNNNNNNNNNNNNNNNNNNNNNNNNNNNNNNNNNNNNNNNNNNNNNNNNNNNNNNNNNNNNNNNNNNNNNNNNNNNNNNNNNNNNNNNNNNNNNCUUCCUUAGCUUCUGGUGCUAGGUCAUAAUGAUCCCACGUAGUGGGUGCAUUAUUCCCAAACAUCUUUGGGAAUGGUCUUGUUUUCUUGGCACAGGAUUCUCUGGAGUUCUCGGUAUUCAUGUUCACAAAGUCUAACAGAUCUUGGAUAAGAUUUGUGGAUCCGUGCUUCUCGAUUGUCCAAGUAAGGUUUAUAGGAUGUGGUUCCUAUUUCCUGUGGAGCAUCAAUGAUUCUUCCAUUGUUUGUAAAAAAAUGCCAUGGACGUCUGAAAAACAGGAUGGUAUGGACUUCGGGAUUCGGUGUCAUGGUUCUUAGUUCCUUUUCCAAGUCUUGUUUCCAACAUGUAGGAUGAUAGAACCAAUUUAGAAAUUCUAAAAGAUUUCUAUCACAUUCUUUUUCGAUGUUUCUCCCGAGCAAGAAUAUCCUUGUGAGGUUAGCAAUGAAUCUUCUGGUUGGAAUUUCAAAGGCUAUUAGGUACUUAUUGGUUAAGUACCACAAUAACGUUUUGAGCUGUUCAGGGAAAUCAUCUUCCUUCCAGAUAAGAGGAUGAAUGAAUGGAUAAUUUAUAUUCAACCCAAAAGGAUAAAGAAUUGAACCUCCAUUGAAUUUGAAUAUGUCUGUGUGGCAUUGCCACAUGAGGUUCUCCAGGUUCUCAGCAAGACUGUCGUUCUGGAUUUGCUGAAUAAUCUCCUGGGGGUAUUUCCAGCUUUGCAAAUCUUUGAUCUUCUCAAUUUUGUAUUUCACUCCAUGAUUGAGCAUAUGAAAAACAGGCCUUUUGAUGUACAUGUUGAUUUCGGCUGGUGCUUUUGGCCUUGACAAGAAAUCAGCAAGUACAUUCUUCUUUCCGGGAAUAUGCUUAGUUUCAAAGGAGUAUUUUGAGAACCAUUCAGCCCAUCGAAGCAGUUGGGAAUUUGGAAUCUGUUUCUGUUUAAACUUGGUCAUCUGAGGGAAAGAUGCCAUGUCUAAUUCUACCAAGAAGUGGUGGCCUAUAAGAUGAAACUCAAACUUUUUGAUUCCAUUUUUAACUGCUAGGAUUUCUUUGAAAGUGGAAUGGUAAUGCAUUUCGGCUUAGGAAAAUUUUCCACUUUUGUGAGUACAAAGAUGUCUCUUACCAUCAAUCUCUUCGAACAAGAUGGCUGCCCAGUAUUCAUCACUGGCGUUAAUUUGAAGAAUCCUUUUGCAUGUUGAUGGUAUUUGCAAUGGUGGGAGAUUUUGCAUAAUCUCCUUAAGUUCAGCGACUGCUUUGGUCUGAGCUUUUCCCCAAGGUGGGGAAUUCUUCUUCAGCAUAGAUUGCAAAGGAAUCAUAAGCUUUGCAAUGUUUGGGACAAAAACUCUGAGAUAAUUAAUUAUCCCAAGAAAUUGCUAAACUUGCUUUGUUGUGAAGUUAUCUUGGGGAAACUUCAAUAAUUCUUGAGCAAUAUGUGGCCCUGGAUAGUAUGUACCUUUGUUGAGGUGCAUACCAAGAAAUUUGAUUUCUGUUUAGGCAAUAUUCAUCUUUCUUUGAGAAAGCAUGAUACCAUGUUUUUUCACAGUUUUUGCAAACUGCUCAAGGAGUUGACAGUGUGACUGCUCAUCAGGGCUGUAGAGCAGAAUAUCGUCAAUGUAUACGACUGCACUGACAAAAUUGGUUGGAAAAUACGACAUAUGGCCUUUUGGAAGAGGGAUGGUGCUACCUUUAAGCCAAAAGGAAGAAUUUUCCAUUGGAAGUACUGGUUCGGGAUACAGAAUCCUGUUUUGGAUCUGUCUUCAGGAUGGAUGCCCAAUUGCCAAAAUCCGGCUUUAAGGUCGAAUUUGGAAUAGAUGUGGGCCUUGGUUAGACCACUAAAGAGAGAAUCUCUCGAUGGUAAAGGGAACUUAUCGUCUUGGAGAAAAAGAUUGAGAGGUUGAUAGUUGAUCACCAAUCUCAUUUUUCCUCUGUUUUGCUCGGCGCGCUUAUUGACAUAAAAGGCUUCACAAGCCCAUUGUGAAUCGGAGAUUUCAAUAAGGCCUUGUUGCAAUAGUUCCGAGCAUUCCCUUUGAGCUAAAAUCAGAUGUUCUGGCUUCAUUCCCAUGUGGCUCGCCCUGGUUGGGUUUAUGUCUUUAUUUUUCUUGAAAUGAAGGCGAACAAAGAACUCUGGAUUUUCCCAUAAAGGAUGGGAACACUUUUGAGCGAAUUCUGAAUGGGAUUUUGAACAAGAUUCUAGCAACUUUUGCAUAAUUGGAUCUAGUAGACUCAUUUGAAUGGAAAAGAGUCUCUGGAUAUUAACGAACUCAGAGAAUUGAUCUUUAUAUCUAAGACAUUUUCCAGGAAUGAUGCGAAGCUGAGAGAUUUGAGUCAUGAUGUCCCACCCAAUUAUCAGAUCUUUAUUGGGAAGGUUUGAUCCAAAGAUUUUUGCAGUUAUGGAGCACUGAGGGAAGAACUGGACAGUUACAGGAGUGGUUCUGACAUUUGUGGAGAAAGUAUCUCCUGAAGCAGAAUUAAAAUAUUAGAUGUAAGGAGUCCAGAAUUCUUCAGGAAGAACUUUGGUGUCUAAUAUUGAACAACUUGCUCCUGUGUCAAUGAGAGCAAUAACAGUGAUGGGUUUGGCAAACUUUGAAGUGAGAAUUUUUACAGGGAAAUGGGGACAGUGAGUUUGACUUGAAAAUAUGUCAAGGUUUGGAUCUGGGGAUGAUGGUGAUAUAUGGAAAAUAUCUUUAGACUCUGAGUCUGACUCAGUCUCAUUGGAAGUUUGGUUAGAGGGAAUGACACAAAGAGUUUGUUCAGAUGGCUCUUCAUCAGCAGAGAAUAAUGAUUCAAUAUCAUCAUUUUCAAGAGAAAUACCUAUUUCAUUCUCAAUGUGAUGAAUUAGAUGAUUCUGACCUUUUCUCGCUUGAGGACAAUUUUUGGCAAAAUAUCCUUUCUGAUUGCAAAUGUAGCAACGGUUUGAUUUUUUGUGACUUGUGCGAUCCUUCCUUUUGCGUAGGUAUCGCCAUUUCUUCUUUUUCCGGAAAUGCUUGGAGCCAUGUUUGGAUUUCUUUAUCCAAAACUUCUUGUAGUGUUUUUUCUUCCGGGAAUACUUGCCACAUGUACCAUCACAGUCUUUCUUGGAACAUUUGAUUUUUGACUUCUGGCGAGAACAAGCUGAUUCAAGGCGCUUGUCGUCUGUGAUGUAAGUAUGGACCAUCUGGCGUUUCAAGCAUAAUUCUUCAAGACAUAAAUGAACUUCUUGCUGUAUUUCUCCUAGGGGAACAUCUUGUAUUCUCCUUUGUUUUCCGAAGAAAGAUCUUUCAACCAUCUGGGAUAGUUCUUUAGGGAUGGAAGUAAGGAAAACAUGCUUCAGAUUUGGAUCUACUCCGACUUGGUAGAAAAGCUGAAGCAUUAUUCGAUAAUGCUUAUCAAGAUGUUUUUCCUGGAGGGAGCAACAUCUUCUUUCGAAAAACUCUCUUCUUUUUAUUUCUAUGAGAUCAGUGGGUUUUCCCACAAAGACAUGAUAUAAGAGAGUGAUGGCAUGGCUGAAAUUAGGUGACAUCAGAAAAUGGAUCUGGUCUUGUUCUGAAAUUGAUUGCCACCAGAGUUUUAAGCUUCCUGUGAACCUUGUAACAAAGUUGUACAGGACGUCAUUCAUAUCAUGGUUAGUGAUAGACUGGGUAUUCAACCAAGUAUGAAAUUCUUCAAGCCUUAUUGGCCAUUUGUGAUAAGGAAUAUCAUCAAUGGUGAAGAAUUGUUUUGAUACCAUAGACACAUGCUGAGCUGGAUUGCUUGUCUGACCAAUUUCUGGGUCAGAAUAGUUUGAUUCCAUUUUAUCAUUUGGAGAGUCAGCCAUAAAUAUUGAUGAAGUUACUGGUGCAAUGGGGAGGGAAUCAACUGUAGGAAUUGAGAAAGAUGAAGAUGAGGAAAGGGAUAUUGAAUCUGAUUCAGUAUCAUGAGAAGUUUGCUAUACUGGGAGUAGAGUCUGUUUUUCUGGAAUGAUAGGAUCAGGUUGUUGGAUUACAGAGUCAGGUUCCUGAGUACCUAAAUCAUUUAGAAAAGAUUCUAAGGGAUUUGAUAGCAUCAUCUGAUCUGGCAUUUCUCUUAGAACAAUGGAACUUGAUUCUGUAGGCGGUAUUUUUUUUCUUUCCCCUUUUCCUUCUGCAAGGCCUUGAGGCGAUUUUGUAUUUCUGCCAUAUCUGGUUCUCGUCUAUAGGGAUCUUCUGGAAUAGUGGCAAAAAUAGACGUCUGUGGCGGUGGGGGUAAAUACCCGGUUUUAACAGGAGGUGCCAAUGGAUCGAACAGUCUGAACCUCCCUUCUUCAAGAAGUUGGAUCUAUUUCUUGAGCUUCUCUAUUUCUGGCUUUGGACUUUCAAGAUAAUGGUACCCAAGAUGUUGUCCCGAUUCCAAGGUGUUAAGCCUUUUCUGGAAUUCAGAAAGUAUCUUUUUGGUACUUUUAUCAUACCUUCGGAGAUCUUGUUGCACAUUUCCGAUUUUGGAGUCAAUUGCCUUGAAGGCAUUGUUUUGUGCCAACAGAGUCUCUGAUUGCCAAUUUAGAACAGCCUCAGCGGCAGGGGUCUUUUUCUGCCUCCCAUGUUCAUCCACAUCAGUGGGAGUAGGGAUUUUAGGAACAUGGCGGUAUCUUUCAUGGGGAUCAAUAAACUCUUCUGCAGCAGGGAACGCGAGUUUAGAACUUUCCUUGACAAAAGGAGGAAAGUCGGUAUCCCGGAACAUAGCGAUAGAAGAAGUGGGUGGUGUUCCUUCUGGAACUUCAAGGGGGUAAGAGUGCUUCUUAGCCCAUUUGAGUAUUGGCUUAUAAAAUGGGGAGAGGGUUUGCUUUUUCUGGGGAGGAGAUGGUGGUGGUGUUUUUGGUGGAUCUAGUAAGGCUUGGGAUGUAGUACUGGAUUCUGGUGGUGGAGGUGGUGCAUAAGAAACCAUGAAUUGGUAUUUGUCAUAUUCACUGAGAGUAUCCACGGAGGAAUCUCCGUCUAAAUACCUUUGGUAUAUCCUAUCCUUUGGCCUUUUCCGUCGAGGUGGAGAUCUUGCAAAAGGAUCUACCUCGUCAGGAGAAUUUGUACAAUAGGAACAUUGACAAAAAGGAUCCCAAAAACAAUGACCAUAGUUAUCUUUGUAGUAAUGAACAGGAUGUCCAUCACCAUCGAAGUGUCGAACAUGCUUUUUUGGAUUUGGCUCGGAAAUAGAUUGAGGAACACAUGGUUCAAUCAUGAAGAGGGUCUGGAAGAUAGAAGGACUUUCUUCCUUUUCCUUGCCAAAUUUGAUGGAAACAGUUCCAUCUUUUUUCCGUACGAACUCUGAGUCCGUAGACUGGAAAUGCUUGUUAUGCUGGUGUAGCUUUUCGUAGUUGGUGAUCCAAGUCUCUCGAAGGAGCUUGGCCAAUGUAUCCUUCGGAAUCUGUCUAGGAACAUGGAUACAUGAUGCUUGGUCAUUCUAUAUAAAGAUAAACAAAGCAUCUUCAUUACCAUUGUUGAAGUUGAGGUCAAGUGCAUGGUUCUGCACUCGAUAAACCAUAUGGUAAUGUAGUGUUGCAGCUACAGAGUCAGCAGUUUGAGGGGCUCCAGUACGUUGGACUUGGACUUUCAGAAAAGAAAGUAACUGGGGAUCUGAAAGGGCGAUGUUGAAGUUUGGAUAUAGAGUGACAAAGACUGUUCCGGCAUUCAAAGUAGUUUGAACAGUACCAAUGCAAGCAUGCUGGUAUUGUAAAAAUUUGGUGUCUAACAACGCAAUUCUUGUCACAACUGGCAAACCUUUACGACCAUGGAAAGUGAGAGCAAGAUGAACAGCUCCAUAAUGGACAUGAGUGUAUCCCUGUUGAGCCCAUUGUCUGGGAAAUUCAGGAGGGAUCUUGAGGGUAACAAAGUACUCUUUUUUCAGUAGCAGGAAUAGGAUGCUGGUCCAAUUUGGCGGACUGGACGUACUCCUUUACUUGCUUUGGGGUUUGGUGAAUAAGCUGACAGAUGGAGCGGAUGGGUGAAAAUGACGAGUUUGGUUUGGCAAAAGCAGAAUAGGGGUUCAUGAGGGGGAGUUGGGUUUCAGAAAUCUUGGUUUCAUCGCUAAGAGAGACUUCAUAAAGAUAAUCUAUCUUAGAGGCAUUAGAAACACGAAAUUCUGGAGAUGUUGAAGAUGAAGAUGAGGGAGCAAGAGACAUUGGUACAUUUGUGAAAAAUAUAUCAUUUGUUAAAUUGAAUUAACACCACAAAAAAAAAUCACAAAAAUUAUAUAAUUGUGACAAACGAAAGGUAAAAUCCCAAACUAGUAUAUUGGUUAACUGUCACAUGUCAUCCAAUUUAGUAAAUUGACUGUAAAUUUUAACGGAAACUAAUAAUGAAUAAAUUUGUCAUAAGUGUACCAGUUUGAGGUAAAUUUAUCAAAAAUGUACCAAGUUAGGAUUUUUUACGGUCAAAAAGUUAGUUUGGGAUAAAUUUAUCACACAUAUACGAGUUUGGGGUUUUUAGGAUAUUAAUUCUAUAAAUAAAUUAGUAAUUCAUUCAGUAGAGAACAGUAACCACAUGCUUAGAGUUGUUGUCUUGACGUGGCAGAAAUGUCAAUGCACAAGAGAAUCCAAGACAAUACAUAUCCUGGUAGCAGAUAAUAUGCGAGGAAAUUUCAAUGUAGGAGUAAAGAAAAUAAAUUAAAACAAAUAUAAAUAUUCAACUACUGUUAAAAUUUUAAUACACUUGAAAUGGAGAGAGACUCAGGAUGAGACUGUGACAUGGAUUUACCAGAGAAGAUGAAAAGUGGAGAGAGAGAGAGAGAGACGGGACUUCGUCUGAUCUAAGUCCAAAUUAAAAUAAUAUAUGAAUUGGCUAGAUCUGCUGGAAUAUUUAGUAGGCUGGUAACUAGUAAGGUCAUAUGCUUAUUUAAAACAGCCUUAGUCACUUAAAACAUUUAUUUGAAGCAAUCAUAGCCACUCAGAUUCUUAUUUGAUAUGAGAUUUAUUUCAGACUCUUAUUUAAGAAAAUAAUGACACUUUAGAUCUUUAUUUGAAUUUUUUUAAAAAUAACUAAUAACAUCGAGUGUCUCCGAUUGUGUUGAAAAUGCCAAAAAAAAAAAAAAAAGAGAGGAGAGAAUUUUCUUGCUUUUGCAUUGAAGCUGGGUGGGAGACGAAGCUUCGAGGAAGCUUUGCGCCAAAAAGCCGUGCGUCCCGCAUUGGAAAUUUGUAUUUUCGUUAAAAUUAUUUUUGUGAAUAUAUUUUAGGAUUUAAAUAGUACAUGGUUCGUUGUCAACGUUGGGUCAAUGAUUGACCUACUGUCAAUGCAUGCGCGAAGAAUUUACGUCUCAACCUCCUAAUGGAAAUCGACCCAAAAAAAAAAAAAAGCUCCUAAUGGGAAACUGCAAAGAAGUAUCUCAGAACGGGCGGUAUCGAGGAGGGGGAUAGUCGCUUUCGCCCCCCUAAGACUGACCAUGUUUCUAGAGACCGACCCGAGAUCUUUCCACACCAGACACGAUCAACAGUACAUAAUAUAAUUGACUGGAGUGUACAGAAAAAAACUUUAGACAAACGCCACUUGAUUCCGGGGCCGUCACUGGCGAAUGGGUGAGUGAUCUGGUUUUUAAANNNNNNNNNNNNNNNNNNNNNNNNNNNNNNNNNNNNNNNNNNNNNNNNNNNNNNNNNNNNNNNNNNNNNNNNNNNNNNNNNNNNNNNNNNNNNNNNNNNNCGAUCAUCUUUCUUUUUCACAAACAAAACUGGUGCAUCCCAAGGUGAAGCACUUGGCCUAAUGAAUCCUUUGUCAAGCAACUCUUGUAGUUGCACCUUUAAUUCCUUCAACUCGACUAAGGCCAUCCUAUACGGGGCUUUAGAUAUUGGUCCUAUUCCAAGCAUUAAUUCAAUUUCAAACUCAGCUUCCCGCUCUGGUGGUAAUCCAGGCAACUCCUCAGGAAAUGCAUCUUGAAAUUCAUUAACCACUCGAACUUCCUCAAGUUUAGGCUCUUCCUUAGUAUAAUCUUUAACCAUAGCCAGGUACCCUUGACAUUCCUUGUCAAGUAACGCACAUGCUUCUACUCCUGAGAUAAGUGCUAUAGAUAGGUUGGUCUGACCUCCCAAAAAUUCAUAACUAGACUAAUCAGGUAAGACAAAUUGGAUCACUUUUCUAUAACAAUCCAUUUUGGCCCGAUACUUACGAAGCCAAUCCAUUCCUAUAAUAGCAUCAAAAUCAUACAUAGCCAUUACGACCAAGUCUAUUUCCAUAUCCUUUCCUCCCAUUGGUAUUUUACAAUUUCCACACACCAGCGUAGACAAUACCAUAUUCUUUAAAGGCGUGGAAACACAAAGAGGCGUCUCAAGGGGCGUAACUUCUAUUUUACUCAAAUGCCUAUAUCUUUCAGACACAAAUGAAUGCGUAGCACCCGUAUCAAAUAAUGCAUAUGCCUUUUUACCAUUUAUAAGGAUCGUACCUAAGAUAACGUUUUUGGAAGCUUCCGCCUUCUCUUGGGUGACUGCAUAAACCCUUCCUUGUGCUGGUGGCCUAUGAGGAUUCCUUGAUAAGUUUGAUCUAACAACACUCUGUUGUCCCUAUCGCAUCGAGCCAACACUCAUUUGCGACCUUUCUUGUCGGUAACUUCUCCUAAGGUGGCCCACUUGUCCACAACCAAAACAUCUCAGUCAUCCAUUGCAAGGUCUUGGGCCAUGUCGCCCAUUACACCUUUGACAAACAUCAGGUUGAUAGGGUGCUUUCCCUAUAUUCAGGCCAUUUCUUGCUCCCCCAAAAUUUCCAUAAUUGCUCUUUUUCUUCACAUUCCAAGUCUGACCUUGACCAGGGUAGGGUCUCUUACCCUUUCUCACAUCAUUAAAGUUAAGCUGUUUCUUAAACUCUGUUCAUUCUCUCAUCAGCUCCUGCUCCACAAAUUGUGCCCUUUCAUAAAUCUCAUGGUAAUCCCUUAUGUUCAAAGGCACUAGUUGUUUCCUGAUAUCAGUUCUCAACCCUUUCAGAAAUCUCUUAGUCUUUUCUUCCUAAUUCUCAAUCAGCCUAGGAGUAUAUCUAGAUAAUUAAGAAAAUCUAGCCUCAUAUUGGUCUACUGUUAGCUCCUUUUGUUCUAACUGAACAAAUUCUGAAAUUUUCUUGUCCUUAGCACAGUCAGAAAAAUACUUUCUAUUAAAAGCUCUCACAAACUCUCCCCAAUUAACAUCAGUACCUGGUGGAAAGAUUAUGUCAUUCGAAGCUCUCCACCAAAAUUUUGCAUUUCCCUCCAAUUGGUACUCUACCAAAGUUAUUUUCUCAACAUCAUUACAGUCCAACAACCGGAAAAUUCAUUCCAUUCCAUCAAUCCAAUGCUCCGCCUCCUCAAGACUUCCCAUUCCACUGAACUUAGUGGUUUCAGCUUCAGAAAUUGCUCCACCAGUCCUUGAGUACGGCGUUUUGCUCUGGGUUGUUGCUGCGCUUGUCUUUCCAUCAGAUUUCCUAUAUUGGCCAAUGCCUGCGGGAUAUCUUCCAUCCGGGGUUCAGCCCUUGCAGUAGAGGCUUCAGCCCUUGAUGGAUGAUGACUUCCAUAUCGUACCAUGAUUUUCCUAUAGUUUCCAAGCAUUUGCCAUAGGAAAUAUCUGUGACUUAAUGUCUUCAUUAAAAACAACAGCACUAAGGAAAAUAAGUAAUAUAAUCAUGUUACUAGUACCUAAAAGCAACUAAUAAUAACUACUAGGGAUCUACGAGUGAUUACUCAUCACCCGUUAUUCAAAGUUACCCAACUAUUCUAGUCAAUAUCAUCUGGUGUGCAUUGUCAUCAAGUUCCUCAAUUUCCAAAUGAGGCUCCUUAUCACUCCAACUUAUAACCAUUCGCUCUGAUACCAAAAAGGGCGGCUAUGGCACCCCAAAACACCUAAGAACGCCACAGGUACUUAUCGCUCCACCUAAUAAACACUAGUAUAUCUCUUAGUAGAAGCAUCGUAGUUCAUAGGCAUUUUUUUUUUAAAAAACGGUCCUAGCGCAACUUAUUAGCGGAAGCAUAAUUGAAUAUCACCAUCUCUCCCUCCAACAAUCAUGAUACAAUGCACACCACCAAGCACCAUAGAAAAAGAUAAAGCCGAGCCACUUUUAAUUACAUAUUUUCAGGAUGGAUUUUCUCGGGUCGAUACAACAAAAGAAAGCCAAGAUUUUUAACUACACUUGGCCACAUCCCAAAAGGAUAUCUCGACCCCUAUAACAAUCAUGUGUCAUCCUCCAUCUAUCAGUGUCGGCUACCCCCCAAAAAGAAACGUUAGCUCUCUACCCCUCAUGCAGCCAUCACACCCAUCCUGGCGCGUCGGGCAAUGGUGGUGGCAACAUCCCCCUAACCACUCCAUCUCGGCGGACGUGGACCAACAAAAACUCCUGUAUGAUCGGGCCCCCAGCCAGGCCCACAUCGUACAUGACCAGCACUCGAACUCGCACAAACGUCAGACCAGGGAUGGUAACACAGUCGAUCUCCGAACACUUUACCUCCACGUCAGAUGGGAGGCCAUAGAAGGUGCCCCGCGUGACAGUAGGGAACGACAUCUUUCUAAUAUGAAAUGUUGGUCCCCGAAGGGGUGAGUACAGCUACUCAACAAGUAAAAGAUCCAAUACACCACUCAAUGCAUCACACAAUACAAUCAUAACAAUCAUAGCAUAAUACCUCUCAUUCAUGCAUCCAGGCAUAGCUUAUCUUGUAGCUAUGCAUAUGUCAUCAUAUCAUACGUGCAUAAUUCAAUUUCCACUUUUAUUUUUCAAUUUGAUCACCACAUCUUUCUUUCCCGGGACCAGUAAUUGCAUCCCACAUUUUUAUCACUCGCACUCCAACCUGGCAUCGCGAGAAACCCACGGCACAUACCACCGGGCAUCCGGCACCCCCACAUUCCGGGCAUCUCGCAUCCCAACUGGCAUCACGAGGCAUUCCCCGGGCACAAACCUCCAAGGCUUCCGGCACCCAACCAUUCCGGGCAUCUCGAAACUCCCGAGGACAUCUAGCACCCCCCCAUCCCGAGCAUCCUGACACUCUCAGGGCAUUAUCGACCCACCUCCAACAGUUUCCUCAUUCAUCAUAAUUCAUAUUCACCAAUUUAUGUCUCAACCAUCAACAUGGCACAUGAUGUAAUGACAACAAAGUCAAAUUCAGCAUUUGAUUCUAUAUGCAAUGCCAAAUAUCAUCACAUGCUCAGUAAGAUUCAAUCACCUCAACCAAUAUAAUUAAUAGGGCUCAUCCAAAACAAAAUAACCAUAAAUUUCAGCAUUUGAAAUUCGCACAAUCCAGUUUGCACAGUUUUAGAAAAUAUUUCCAUUAAAUACCCAAAUGGUCUUUAAAAAUUAUGAGAUUUGAACAUGUGAUAGUCAAGACAUAAUGGCAGAUAUUUCAUGAAGGACACUGCACCAAAAUAUCCUCAUAAAAUUUGAUAUAGAUCACGCAUCACAGCAUUUCUAUUCUAUCAAUACAGCUUGCACAAUUUUUUUGAAACAUUUUUGGUUAAAUAGGCAAUUGAACUUCAAAAAAUAUGAAAUUUGAAUAUGUUGCAGAGAAGACAUACAGAAAGAUACUUCGUGCAGAACACUUUGCUGAAAGAGCUUCAUAAAAAAAGAUAUGACCCAUGCAUUGAAAGCUGACUAAAUCCCGAACGCGUCAUAUUACUAAAUACUCUAAUGACCUUAAAAAAUUAUGAAAUUUAAAUAUAUGGUAGCCAAGGCCCUAAAGUAUAUUUUUCAUGAAGACAUAGAAGUCAGAUUCGUCCUAGAUAAUUAAUUAUGGACGGUUGAAUCCCCUGUUUCUAACACCGAACAUUCCAGGUUUAGCCAUCUGCAAAAAUCACGAUUUCACCUACUUAUAUUCCAUCUUUUCCUCUGAAUUUUUUUUAUAUGUUUUGCCUCAUGAGGUCUAAUACAACUUUCAUUAAUGGGUCAAGGUGAUAUUUUCAAAUUAAAGUCAUUUUAUAGUCCACGAAGUCACUGGGGUUCAGUUCAACAUUUCCAGAUCUAAUGUCUUCAAAAGAAAAAUCGUUUGCUAGGCUAUACUUGUUCGUUUUACCUAAAAUUUGAGUAUGUUAGUCUUCAAGAUGUUCUAUACAACUUUCAUGAAGAGGUCGAAGUGAAAUUUUCAGUAAAAAGUUACAUUCAACAUACAAAAUCACCAAGAGGUCAACAAAACAGCUUCAGAUCUAACAUUUUCGUAGAGGGAGGGUUUUACCCCUCAAAACUCAUAUAUUUUGCCUCAAAUUUUAGAAUGUUAUAAUUUAAGAGGUUUUCUACAACGUUCAUGAAGAAUUCGAAGCCAAAAUCCGACUCAAACAUUGCAUGCAAGCCACUACAACAUUCUGGGUCAGAUGGUUUACUCGAGAACAGCUUACUACUUCAAAUCAACACACUCAAAACUUCGAUUUUGCACACCCUAGACAUCCGAAAUUCAUCACCAUUCAAACACACAUGCAAGAUACAACAUGCAAGAGCAGAAUAAGGAUCCCAAAUUGCCUCCAAACCGAGCACAACGGCGGCGAUCGACGGACGCAUGGGCGGCUACGAGCGACAGACGCACAGCUUCUUCCUCGCGCGGCCCUCUCCUCCUCUCUCUCGGUUUCUCUCGGUAACUCUCUCUCUCUCUCUUCGGACGACACACCUCCUCCCUAAACCAGCCACCUUUUCUUUUCAUUUCUCUCAUACUCAUCAUUAGCAAUGAUUGAUUCUUGCAUGGAUGACACUUGGUCAUCAACUUGGGACAAAUGGGGGAGGACAUGCAAAACCGGUCCCCCCCCCCACCUUCCUCACGGUCGACGGCCCCUUAUGGUUCUAAUGGGCCAGCCAAUUGGUCCAUCUUAGGCCCAUCCCUCUUGGGCCUAAGACCCAAGUUUAAUGAGAUCUAAUUUUAACCCUUUUAAAAACUAAUUAAAUCUCUAUUUAAUUAAAGCACUAAAUUGCAAAUUAAGAUAACCAUAUACUUGAAAUUAUAAAUACAUAAGUCCCCAUCUAUCAUACAUAUGGCCAAAGAUAAAACUUCAUUUCCAAAAUUCAUCCAUUAAAGAUUUGGCCAUACAUCUCAUCGCAAAUCAUGGGUUAGAAGGCUACAAAUUACAAUGUCGGUACUUCCAUCACCUAUCCAUGGUCCAUGGCAUAUUCAGGGAUUUUAUGAAAUUCUAGGAUGCCACAAGCAUGCCGGUUGUAAGUAAGAUAGAGUUUAACAUUUCAGUUAAUGUUCUAUUCUUACGCUCUGCAACACCAUUUGAUUGGGGGUGAAUAAGGAGCAGUGGUUUCAAGUAUUAUACCUUAUGAAGCACAAAAUUCUUUGAACCUUGACAUAGUAUAUUCUCUUCCUCUAUCACUCCUAAACCUCUUAAUUUUCAAGUUGAGUUGAUUUUCUACUCUAGACUUGAAAAUCUUAAACUUUUCAAAAGCCUCAUCUUUCGAUUUCAACAAAUAGACAUGAUAAUAUCUAGAAAAAUUGUCUAUGAAUGUUAUUAGAUACUUCCGACCACCUUUAGUAAUGUAAUUUCUAAAGUCACAAAUGCCAUAAUGUAUUAACUAAAGAAAUUGUGUGCUUUUAGAAACCAACUUAAAUGGUUUUCUAGUUAUUUUAGCCUGUGCACACACUUCACACUUAUCAAAUCGAAUAGAAGUAUCUAAUGGAAUGUUGUGAGUUUUAGCUAGAUGUUGCAUUUUCCUGUAAUUCACAUGUCCAAGUCUAUUGUGUAGCAACUUUGGAUCAAUCAAAGUAGAAUUCACAUGGUUUAUGCUAUCAGCAUUUAAAAUCAACAUAUACAUAUCAUUAACCAUGAAUGCACAACCAAAAUAAUAUGAGUUAACAUAUAAAGUUACUCUACCAUUCAUAGUUGAAAAAGACAUACCGGCUUUAUCAAGUAAACUCAUAGAUAUCAAAUUCUUCUUAAGUAAAGGUAUUACUCUAACAUGUUUCAAAGUUAGUAAUUUACCUUAAGAGAGCACCAAAUUUGCAGUUCCAGCAUCAGUCACAUUUGCCUUACUACCAUUGCAAUUUUCCACAGUGUCUUUCACUUCUAUGACCUUAGUGAGUAAGUUCUUGUCAUUUGUAGCAUGACAAGUAGCGCCAUUGUUCAACCACCACUCAAAAGAAAUGCUGGCCUUACCAUUCUUCAUCAUUUCAAUGAAGGCUCGAGGCUCAGAUCCUCUAAUUAACAUAUUAGCCUCAUUAUGUGGUGUGUCAUUAUUUAGCUUCCUCGGCAACUUACACUCUGCUACCCAGUGACCCCACUUUCCACAGUUAUGGCACUUGCCCUUCUUCUUCUUUUUGAAGAUAGUCUUUUUAGCUUCUAACUGUAAAGGGGAUUCACCUUUUGGUGACUUGGACUUUUUCUGAGGUUUAUUGGAGUGUGGAACUAAGUUGGCAACUGACUUUUGUUGUCCUAUUUGUUCCAAACUCUUCCUAGUGAUAUUUUGAUCUUCAAUGUGAAUAUACCUCUUUAAUUCAUCCAGUCCCAUCUGUACCUUCAGUCUGUGCAUUUCAGUCUUGAAAUAACUCCGUUUAGUUGGUAGUUUGCUCAACACAAGACCGACAAAGAGAUAAUCGGACAUAUCAGAAUUAUCAUCUUUCAGCUUGUUCCUCAUAUUCUCAAAUUCAACUAACUGAGAGGUGAUGCUUGAAUUCAUAGUGAAUUUAAAGUCAAACAAUUUCUCCGCUAGGAGAGUUUUAGAUAGCCUCUCUUGUUUUUGGAACUAAGCGUUCAAGUGAUCCCAUAUCUCUUUUGCCGUCUUAUACUCACUAUAAGUCAUAGUCAAAUUAGGAUUUAGAGAGUUCAACAAGUAAUCUCUACAAAAAUCCUCAUCUUUGUUCCAUUGAUAUUCAUUCACAUCUUCAGUGGUAGAUGCAAAAUCGCUUAAUACAGUAUAUAAUAUGUCACAUUCUUUCAUGCCAAAUUGAAUAUGUAAUUUUCAGCCAUGAAAUUCAGUAACAUCAAAAGAUUGCAACUUUAUAAUAUCAUAGGAGCUACGCUUUGCCAUUUUAAUCAAAGCAAAGUGUUAGAAAGAGUGCACCUUUAAGUCCUUAGAGCAACAAAGUCGAAUAACUCCCCUAACUUUGAUUAAACUGCUCUGUAGAGAUGGAAUUUGUCAAAACAAACCCCAAAAAUGGAUCCGGAGUGCCCAAAAACCUUAUGAUGGACUGCCCUUGUCGCUGAAACUCGCUGAAAAAUUUCGCCCUGAAAUUCGCUAGAAAUUUCGUCCCCGAAAUUCGCUAGAAAUUCAAAUGGAAACUUCCGGGUGCCGUAACUUCUCCGUCCGACCUUUGAUUGACGCGAGUGACCACUCAAAACGUUCAUAUCGACGAGUAGAUCAAAGCCCAAGUGGUUUCACCCCCUUAAAUUAGCUUUAAUUUUUUAGGUUUUUGAAUCAAAGAUUUCGGUCACUUGAAUCUUCAAACUCAGAUCCCGGCCAAUAUCACCGUCGAAGUCGAAAGUAAAUUACAGCCACAAGUUCAUCUUGACGAAAUCUUCAAGAAUAUACUUCAAGAUUGUUGGAGGUAAUAGGUUUGAGAGAGAAAAAGUGGUUGCUUUAAGUAUUACACCAAGAGACGUCAAGUUUGGAACACUCAACAGUGUUACCUCCAGCAUAGGGAAACCCUAGAGUUUUUAUAUGUAUGUUAUUUUGAUAUGGCCCAUAUGGACCAAAAUAACCAUGCUUUUACCUAUUGGGCUUGUAUGUGAACAUAUUAUUUUGGAAUAUAUUAAUAAUAUAUCCAACACAAUCUUCUUGCCUUGGCGGAGUUUGUUAUUAUCUCUGAAUGUGGAGAUUCUGGCCUCAAUGAGCUUAUGAUAGAGGUGAUCAGUGAAGCUAUCUUGAGUAUCUUUACCGCUAAAGCUCAAGAACACAUUGUAGCAGUUUCCAUAUGACUCGGUCGACGAACUAGAUGCACCAGAAUUAGUUUCCGUUGGUGCAGUCAACGAACUAGAUGCGCCAGUAUCAUAAUUUUCUGCAUUUCCAUGCACAUUAGCUUUCUUCUUAUUGAGAAAAUAGAACGUGAGCCCAAGGAGAAGGAUCGGUGUCAUGAGCACGGCCGAAGAAUGCCAAAAAAUAAGACGAUGCAUUUCGUCUUUGCUCCGACUUCGCACUUGAUUUUUGCUUUCAAGUCUGACAGAGAAGAAAACCACAAUGCCUCUCAAAAAGUACGAGAUGCCUUCUUACUCCCCAUUGUCUCUUCCUUGGAUUGAUUUAUAUAGUCAAGACAGCUGGCAACCGUAAUUGCACCAAGAAGUCAAACUUGUCAAGCUAUGUAUACAAAUAAGGUUAAUACCUGGAAAACUCUAAAUUGGUACUAAUAAAUUUCUCAAAACUAAUUUUUUGACCAUAAAAAGUCACAAACUUGUAUAUUUUUGAUAAAUUUAUCCUAAAUAACCACAUAAAACCUCAAAUUAGUAUAUUUAUGAUAAAUUUUUUCAACCGUCAAAAAUCUCAAAUUGGUACAUUUGUGAGAAAUAUAUCAUUUGUUAAAUUGAAUUAACACCACAAAAAAAAUCACAAAAAUUAUAUAAUUGUGACAAACGAAAAGUAAAAUCCCAAACUAGUAUACUGGUUAACUGUUACAUGUCAUCCAAUUUAGUAAAUUGACUGUAAAUUUUAACGGAAACUAACAAUGGAUAAAUUUGUCAUAAGUGUACUAGUUUGGGGUUAAUUUAUCAAAAGUGUACCAAGUUAGGAUUUUUUAUGGUCAAAAAGUUAGUUUGGGAUAAAUUUGUCACACAUAUACGAGUUUGGGGUUUUUAGGAUAUUAAUUCUAUAAAUAAAUUAGUAAUUCAUUCAGUAGAGAACAGUAACCACAUGCUUAGAGUUGUUGUCUUGACGUGGCAGAAAUCUCAAUGCACAAGAGAAUCCAAGACAAUACAUAUCCUGGUAGCAGAUAAUAUGCGAGGAAAUUUCAAUGUGGGAGUAAAGAAAAUAAAUUAAACCAAAUAUAAAUAUUCAACUGCUGUUAAAAUUUUAAUACACUUGAAAUGGAGAGAGACUCAUGAUGAGACUAUGACAUGGAUUUACCAGAGAAGAUGAAAAGUGGAGAGAGAGAGAGAGAGAGAGAGAGAGAGAGAGAGAGAGAGAGAGACACGGGGCUUCGUCCGAUCUAAGUCCAAAUUAAAAUAAGAUAUGAAUUGGCUAGAUCUGCUGGAAUAUUUAGUAGGCUGGUAACCAGUAAGGUCAUAUCCUUAUUUAAAACAACCUUACUCACUUAAAAUAUUUAUUUGAAACAACCAUAGCCACUUAGAUUCUUAUUUGAUAUAAGAUUCAUUUCAGACUCUUAUUUAAGAAAAUAAUGACACUUUAGAUCCUUAUUUGAUUUUUUUUUUUAAAUAACUAAUAACAUCGAGUGUCUCCAAUUGUGUUGAAAAUGCCAACAAAAAAAAAAGAGAGGAGAGAAUUUUCUUGCUUUUGCAUUGAAGCUGGGUGAGAGACGAAGCUUCGAGGAAGCUUUGCACCAAAAAGCCGCGCGUCCCGCAUUGGAAAUUUGUAUUUUCGUUAAAAUUAUUUUUGUGAAUAUAUUUUAGGAUUUAAAUAGUACACGGUUCGUUGUCAACGUUGGGUCAAUGAUUGACCUACUGUCAAUGCAUGCGCGAAGAAUUUACGUCUCAACCUCCUAAUGGGAAACUGCAAAGAAGUAUCUCAGAACGGGCGGUGUCGAGGAGGCGGACAGUCGCUUUCGCCCCCCUAAAACUGACCAUGUUUCUAGAGGCCGACCCGAGAUCUUUCCACACCAGACACGAUCAACAUUACAUAAUAUAAUUUACUGGAGUGUACAGAAAAAAACUUUAGACAAAUGCCACUUGAUUCCGGGGCCGUCAUUGGCGAAUGGGCGAGUGAUCUGGUUUUUAAAGCGGAGGCGAGGCCCCUUUCAGGCUUGUGACAGAUUUUAAGAGUUCAGAAUAGGUAAUUAAACCGGCCUAUUAUAGAAAGAACCCGUACCUAGGGACCCUAGGGACCCAUCUUUUCUCUUUUUUUGAAACUUCUAACUUUGAAUUUUUAUCAAACCUAAAUAAUGAAAUAUCAUAUUUCUAUUAAUAUUGAUGAAUUUUACAAAGUCAAAUCAGUUUUUGCUAAAAAAAAGCUUGCGUCUUAAAUCCUCUUAUUCCAAAAUAGUCAAUUCUAUCAUAGAACCGCUUUGAUGACAGCAUAAAAGCAGUUCUUGGGGGACCUCGACCCAUCGUUCACGGCGAAACUGGUCCGAGAGAAUCCGUGGAAAAUUUUGUGAAGAAGCAAAAGUGAUAAUGAAAAUGAAAUAAAGCUAAAAAAACAAAGAAAAACAAGGAGGAUGGGCAUCCUAACGUGGAAAAGUAGUCCCGCCAUUGCUUUUUAGCGUGAUUUUUAUGUUGUCGGCAAGAUGUUAGUCAAAAGAUUCCCUCAAGGAAAAGAUCACGACAAUGCCUUGUGGUAAGUACAAAUUUUUUAUCAUUGCUCCUUUGUCCCGUCUUUUCCCGUACCACGAAGAGUUUCUUUUCAAAGUUAAAUUUUAUGAAAAAUUUCUCACUUAUAUCCUAUCAAGCAAAUCAUUUAUAAAAUGAUGGCCUGAAGAAUCAUUUAUAAAGCAAACUGUCAUGAUAAUUUAGGAUCUGCAUUGUAACAUUUCUGUUUCUUUUAAUUUCUAUUCUUUUGUUCCCCGAAAAAAAAAAAAAAACAGAAAUCCGUUUGGUAAAACUUUUAUUUCCCGGAAUAAUUUCUCAAUUUUUUUUUGUUCCUAGGAAUAGUUUUGGAAUAGAAAUAAGAAACAAAAAAAAAAGUAGCUUUUAUCUUACUUUUACCAAAAAAAAAAAUAGUAACUUCUUGUUCUUGGGAAUAAUUUCUAGAAAUAAGCCAAAUUUUUUUUUUGUUCCUCUCUUGCUGCGGUCACCUCCCAUUACUCGGAGCCAUCGUCAACCGUUGCGGCCGCCGUCGACUACUACCGCCGCCCACCAGCCGCUGUCGUUCGUUGUCGCUGCCGCCUGCCAGCUAUCGUCAUCUAUUGUCGAUGCCGCCUGCUAGCUGUUGUCAUCUAUUGUCGCUGCCGUCCGUUGUCGCUUGCCGGCAGCGGCGACGGAUGGCGACAGCCGGCGGCGGAGGUGGUGGCGGAUGGCGUCGCCACCGCUUGCCGCCGCCGGUCGGCGAUAGGCGAUCUGUGAGCAAAAAUAAAAAAUGAAUAAAUACAAAAAAUAAAUUUUUUCGUACCAAACGUACUUCUAUUCUUUUUCUAUUUCAGGAGUAGAAAUUUUGUGUAGUUACUAAGGGUGCGCAUGGUAAACUUCCCCAGCCCAACAAUUUCUAUUCUUCUCUUCCCCAGAACAAAAAAAAGAAUAGAAACGUGUUUGAUAACGACAAGUUAGUUUUUUGUUCCCGGGAAUAAAAAGUUAGACCGAGAAUGGUUUUGAAAUAGAAAUGAGAAGUAAAAAAAAGUUGCUUCUUGUUCCCGGGAACAAGUUUAAGAAAUAAGUGAAUUUUUUUUUUCUUUUAUUCUUCUCUUGCUGACUGCCAUUGACCGCCCUUGACCGUCGCCCGCCAUGGCCCGUCGUCGCUGCUGCCGCUGUCGGCCGACCGCCGCCACCGCCAGAGGCCGACCGCUGCUGCCGCCGGCCGACCGCCGCCGCCGCCGGUGGCCAUUGGACGUCGCCACUGCCGCACGUCGCCGCCGCCGGACGACCGCCGCCACCGCCGGUCGACUGUUGCCGCAGCCGCCGGACGACCGUUGCCGCAGCCACCGGACGACCGCCGCCGCCGCCGGUCGCCGCACGUCGCUGUCGGCCGACCGUUGCCGUUGCCGUUGCCGUUGCCGUUGCCGUUGCCGCUGCCGCCGAACAACCGCCGCCGCCGCCGCCUCUACCGGCAAAAAAUAAAAAAACAAAUAAAUAUACAAAAGAAACUAUUUUUUACCAAACGCAUUUCUAUUCUUUUUCUAUUUCUAGAGUAAAAUUUUUGUGUAGUUACCAAAUGGGUUUUUUUACAUAGAAAUUGUUCCCCAGAAUAGAAAUAGAAAAAAGCUAUUUCUAAAAAAAAAAUUGUUCCCCGGCCUAGAAAUGUUACCAUGCGUAGCCUAAACACCUUCUUUUACUUAGAAAUUGUUUCAAAAGUAGAAAUAAAAAAUAACUAUUUUUGAAAAGAAACUUUUUCCCAGCUAAGAAGCAUUAUCAUGCGCACCCUUAUCCACCGGUUUGAUGACUAGUAGAAAAAACCAUUUCUUGUGGACCUCGACCCGUCAUUCAUGGCAAAGUGGCCCGAGGGAUUCUGAGGAAGACGCAAAGUGAUAAUGAAAAGAAAAUAAAAGCAUAAAAAGCAAAGAAAAAAAAAAGUGGGUCCUCUUAUCGUGGAAAAAUGACCCGCCAAUGCUUUUUAGCGUGCUUUUGUGCUGUCGCCAAGAUUUUAGUCAAAAGAUUCCCUCAACCGAAAAAUCAUGACAAGAAAUUAUUCAUUAUUGCUCUUGUGCCCCUUCUUUUUCUGUGCCUCGUUAAUCCUACCGCUCUUGUUCCGAUUACAAUUCAAUCACUCCUUAGAAAUAAAAAGAGUUAAUACCACAAAAAUCUCUAAAUUAAGGUAUAUAUAAUAAAUAUUACUAUAAAUUAACCUUUUGAUUAUGAAAAAUUCGAAACUAGUAAAUUUAUGAUGAAUUUAUUCUAAAGUACUUUUUUUACCAUGAAAACCCCAAACUGAUAUACAUACACAAAACUAAUUUUUUGACUUGUAAAAAUUUUAAACUAGUAUACUUGUAACAUAUUUGCCUUUUCGGAUAUUUUGCUGUCAAAUUAUUGAAUCAAUUUGGGGUUUUAUCCUCCAAUUAUCAUAGGUGUAUCGGUUUUGUGAUUUUUCAUGGUAUUAAUCCAAUUUAAUGCAGGGUAUAUUUAUCACAACUGUAUAAAUUUGAGAUUUUUUAUGGUCAAAAAAUUAGUUUAAAGUAAAUUUGUCAUAGGUGUACCUAUUUGGGGUUUUUCGUAGUUAAAAAUUAAUUUAAGAUAAAUUUGUCAUAUGUAUACCAAUUUGAGAGUUUUUCGUGACAUUAACCCAAAUACAAAUAAUGAAUGAACCUAAGUUAGAACUCGAACAUUGGCACAACUUGUUAUUGCUAGCUAGCCUGGCUUGGCAUGACACCUAACUAUGAGGGGUCGUGCCGAGCUCAAGCCCAAGAGGGUGUUGGUGUCUACUUUGGGAUUUUUAAUAACACAAGAAAAAGUUUGAGGUGUUGAUGUCACAAUGGUCAUAAUUGAAAGUUUUUGAUGGUAUAAACCAAAGUCAAAAUAGAUUCUCCAGCUUCAAGUUCCUACAUUUCGAUAUGUAUAUAUUCUUGUUGACAAAAUGCUUAAAAUAUUUAAGAACUCAUCAAACUUUUAGAUGUCAAGUAUUAACCAUCCUUAUAGUGGACCUAAAUCGUUGCAGAGUGCACCUCCAUAGUUGUGCCAACCAUUGAUUUGAAUGUGUCUAGUUGUUCUCCUCUUACUCAAGUUUCGUGGUGAUGGUCCAUUUGCACUUUAAGUCGUGGCUAGUAUAAAUGAUGAUCAAAUAGUACAUAGAAUCAUAUUCCUGGAGAUAUAGAAUCUUCUCCACUAACCAAUAUUCUAAAACGACGUUUGGCUUGCCUGAAGAUAUUAUUCUUAUUAUUUUAUCAACGAUCACUUAUGCCACAAAAUUAUGUCACUAAUGCGUAUCAAAGAUCAUAUAUAUUCUUCUUUUGUUUAUGCAAAGAAGUUCUUUGCUUUAGUUCUUCCCUUAGUUUCUCCUUCAAAUCCCAGAAGGAAAUAGUGUCUUCUCUCUUUUGCUCCUACUUUAUUCUUAAAAACAUGAAACAGCAAUGAAACUAUUAUGUAGUGCCAUUUUGUAGAUAUGGUAAGAUUUUCUUUUGUUAUGGUAAAAGAAAUGGUAAGCAAUGCCCAUAAAUGCCGCCAAAAUGUCGCCAAAAUGUAUCUUCUUGCAAAUCUUCGUCUAAAUCAGAAAUAGUAGUUUUAUAAGUCUUAGUUUGAGGGGUUUGCAUCUAAAGUCUUUGUAUAUGAAUUGAUCUACGGUGCUCACUCAUCAAAUCUAUAUAUGGACAUCAUCCAGUGAUAUCUAAAUUAACUUGAUAAAGUUGAAAGUUGAGGAUACUUUGUGAAAAAAUUGAGAUUUCUUGAUAUUAUAAUACAAAAAUGAAAGAUUAUAUUCCACAUGAUAAAGUUGAAAGUUCAUGACAUUUUUAAUAAUAAGUGGAAAGUUCAAGAUUCUCUAGAAGAUUAGGCUAAAGAGAUUUGGAAGAUUUAUUUUUCCGAAAAAUUAUUUUCUUAAAAGAAAAUGAGAAUUGUCUAGAUUUCCACGCUUGUAUAAUAUAAAUGUUCACAAAUCUAUUUAUGCACUGGCUAAAUGUUAAAUUAUGAUUUGGUCAUAUUACUUAAUAUCGAUUUCAGUAUACUUAUUAACGUUACUUGUAAAGAAACCAGAACUUUUUUUGUCAAACUUCAAAUGAUAAAGAGUGCAUUCUUACUGCGUAGAAUUUUACAUCUUUAUUUUUAACGGAAUUGAAAAUGAAAAAUCCACGUAUUGCUAGCAAUUUUAAUAUAAAAAACGCCAUUAAUUAGAAUGCAUUCAUGAAUCGGUGAAAGCACGUCAUCUUAUAAAUUCCCAUUGAGGAUCCAUGGAAAAUAUUGAAAUUGUGGUCUUGAAUCAUUUAUCAAACGCUGCUUGCCAAUAAAGAAAAGGAUUAAUAUCACAAAAAACUCUAAAUUUUGCAAAUUUAUUUUAAACUAAUUUUUUGACUUUAAAAAACCUCAAAUUGAUACACUUGUGAUAAAUUUACCCUUCAUUAAUUUCCAUUAUAUUUCACCAUUAAGUUACUGAGUUGGAUGACAUGUCACUUAAUGGAUGUACCGAUUUGAUAUGUGGUCCUUUGUGGUAUUUAUGCAAUUUAACAGAAAUUAACGGAAAGUAAAUUUGUCACAAAUUUACCAGUUUAAGAUUUUUUGGUCAAAAAUUAAUUUGGGGUAAAUUUAUCAUAUGUGCAAUGAUUUGGGGGUUUUUUAUAAUUAAAAAUUAAUUUGGGAUAAAUUUACAUAUGGGUACCAAUUUGAAGUUUUUUGUGGUAUUAAUCAUAAAGAAAAUCAUUUAUCAAAUUGUGGCCGGAAGAAUCAUUUAUCAAGCAAACUAUCAAAAUAAUCAACGACAUGGGGCGUCCCCAACCGUGUGGAAAAGACGAAAACAAACCAAAAAAAAAAAAAGUUUUUACGUCUCAGAUUCCUAGUGGGAAACCGUCAGAAGUAUCCCGCAACGAGCGGUGUCGAGAAGGAGGACGGUCCCUUUCGUCCCCCUAAAAUUGGCCGUGUUUCUAGAGGCCGACCCGAGAUUUUUUCACCCGAGACACGGUCGACCCGAGAUUUGUGCCCGUGACGGAUUCUAGGAGCUCAAAACUGGUGAUUAGACUAGCUUGUUAUAGAACAGCCUGGUACCUAAGGACCGAUAUUUUCCUUUUUUCUUGAAACCUCUUGAAAUUUUUAUCAAACCUAAUCUUCUAAAUAGUGAUGAUGGAUUAGAUAAUGAGAUAUCAGAUUUCCAUUAAUAUUGACAUUUUUUACAAAGUCAAAUCAAUUUUUGCUCCACAAAUUUUGUAUCUUUAGUCCUAUUGAUCCAGAAUAGUCGAUUCUAUAACAAAACCAAUUUGAUGACAGAAUAAAACCAUUUUUUGGGGGACCUGGACCGUUGUUCACUGCAAAACUGGUCCGACAAAAUCCGAGGAAAAUUUGGUCAAAAAGCAGAAGUUGCGAGGAGAAUUCAGCACUUAGCAUAAAUAUGGCAGCUUCUACGCAGCGAAGGCAAGAGUUAUAAGAACCACAACAGCGAGGGUGAAAGAGACGGAUAGAGAUGCGUAGGGACAAAGAGAAAGUGAAAAGCUCUUCUAGACAUUGAUGUGUUAUAAAAAAGUGACAAUAAAAUUUAGGGUUAAAUAUCCAUAAUACAUUUAUAAUAAAUCACUAAAAACCUCAAAUUAAUAUAUUUGUGAUAAAAUUAUCCUUCGUUAGUUUCUAUUAAAUUGGAUUACCAUAAAAAAAGUCACAAAUCGAUACACAUGUGAUAAACGAAGAGUAAAAUCCUAAAUUGAUACAAGUGUCUAUUGCCAUAUGUCAUUCAACUUAGCAAUUUAACACGGAUACUAACGGAGAAUAAAUUUGUUACAGGUGUAUAGUUUGGAGUUUUUUUUGGUAAAAAAAUUAGUUUUGAUAACUUUGUCACAGGUAAGCCAACUUGGGAUUUUUCAUGGUAUCACAUCAAUUAAUAAUCUCACUUGUAGUUCUUCAACUCAUUUAAAUUAUCCAAUUGAAUUCUCAGAUUUUUAACAUCUAAGUGUAUGGCCUAAGAUUUUAUAUUGUUAUGAUGACCAUCAUCCCAUUGCCAAAAAUAAUAAUAAUAAUAAGGGUUCCACCUAAAAUCAACCUUGGCGAAAUUUAAUAAUCUUAUUUGACUUUACUUUUACUUCUCCUAUUAAUCCACAAAAUGAAUUAUCAUUUAAAAAUUAAUUGGCAUUGACAUAAUUUAUAACCUUUUAUAAGAUACACCUCUACUUUAUAUUUUUCUACGUUUAUAAAUCUAUAAAUAUAUAUUAAAAUUUUGCAUCUAAAGAAAAUUAUUAGAGAUGGACUAUCCAAGGAAAAAUUAGAAAUAGAAAAUUCGUAUGAAGAAAAUAGGGAGAUCGUAAAGAGGGGAGGGGGACUGGAGAUGGAGAUGGAUUACACACAUUUGACUAGUAUAUGAGUUCCUUUGGGCCCAGUGAAAAAGAUUACAAGCAAGAUGAAGAAUAGAACCAUCCGAAUUUUUCUUGUUCAAAGAGCAAAAUUAAUCCUAAGACAAAGUUUAGUCCAAGUGUCUGGGAGUUGAACUUCCUUCAACCAAGCCCCUACUUGGAUCCAUACCUAGCUCGAAUCUUAUGCAGUUCCUUGAGGGCUUUGGCCACAUCCAUCCGAUCCUGCGGUAACUCCAUUGAGCACGCAACUCCAAUCCUUAGGAUGGAGACGACGCAUCCUCUCAUCCUCUCUAUGUCAUUCUCACUUUCUUCGUUAAUAAUGGCUGAGUCCACGAUCUCCAUCACCUGGGUUUGGCAAAACCACCUUGACAAAGUUGUGGAGAUUUAAAUGGUCCUUGAAAGUCUCUUCCGUGGGUCUCCUCCCAGUUAACAUUUCCAAUAAAAGAAUACCGUAGCUGUACAUAUCGCCUUGUGUGGAUACCAUAUCCCCCAUGCCAUACUCUAAAAUAGUGUACAUCAAGCAGUAUACAAUGAAAAUAAAUAUUUAAUAAGCAAACACAAAUAAAAAUUAGACAAUUAAUGAGAAAAUUUUCUUACCAGGAGGGACAUAACCUACAGAACCCUUCACAACCACUGAGCUACUGUUGUCAUCAAUGUCCAUGGCNNNNNNNNNNNNNNNNNNNNNNNNNNNNNNNNNNNNNNNNNNNNNNNNNNNNNNNNNNNNNNNNNNNNNNNNNNNNNNNNNNNNNNNNNNNNNNNNNNNNNNNNNNNNNNNNNNNNNNNNNNNNNNNNNNNNNNAUUCGAUUGCGGAAGGUCCGUCAAGGGCAAUGUUUAACCUUUGCAUUAGUCCCAAAUGCCCUGGCUUUCCAAGUUUCAGGUUCAUGCUCAAUGUCCUCUUUGUUUCCUAGGUGUAUCCCAUUUCUCUAAACUCCCAUUAGCCAUGUAUUCGUACAAUAGAGCUUUGAAAUCGUUGCCGUGGUAGUCCACGCUUGAACAAACAUUCACUAUUUUCACAAGAUUUCGGUGUCGUAUAGCCCCUAGGGUUCGACAUUCCGAGACAAAGCUCUUCGAAGCACCUAUGUGGCCCAAGUUGAGCACUUUAACUGCCAGCAAGCCGCCUUCUUGUGUGGUUGCUUUAUAAAUAGUACCAUAACUCCCUUUACCGAUCACAUUGAUCUUAGAGAAUCCAUCUGAGGCCUUAAAGAGCUCCUCAUAAGAGACCAUCGAAAAUUUGCGUCUAAAUGGAAAUUCAAUCGAAGAUGUAUUCUUUUUCAACUUCUUUCUUUGAUACCAAAAGAUAAAUAGGCAAAGACACAUAAUGAAGUAUGACAAGACAGCAGUCAUUGUGACGAUUACUCUAACUUUGUUGGUCCAUAAUGGUUUAGAGGUAUUUGAUUUGCAAGAAGGAAGGUUUAGUUCUGCAAUACCUCCACAAAGAUUCCUAUUCUCAAAGACAGACACUGCACUAGCAUUGAGAAAUACUCCCUGCUUCAGAACUUCUCCUUCAAGCUUGUUUGAAGAUAGAUUCAAGUACUUUAGAUUUGUAAGUUGAGCGAGAAAGCUCGGGAUUUCACCAGAUAAGUUGUUAUGGGAAACAUCCAACUCUUGUAAGCCUCGUAAUGUGCUUAAAGCCAGAGGAAUUUCGCCAUGAAAGGAAUUGAAUGCUAAGUUGAGCCGCCCCAAUACUAAGCACUGGCCGAUGGAGCUAGGAAUUGGUCCAAUCAGCUUAUUGUAAGAUAGAUCCAGUUCGUCAAUAUUGAUCAAGGACCCAACUUGAGACGGGAGAGAUCCACUCAACUGGUUAUGUGCUAAGCUGAAGAUAAUCGAAAUGGUAGAAAGGCCAAGAACUUCCCUUGGAAUUGAACCACUCAAAUUAUUAUUGGAAAGCUCAAGCUCGAUGAGUUGCCUAUAGUUACCAAGACUUUGCGGUAUUUCCCCGUAGAAGUUGUUGAAUGGCAAGUAAAAGCGAUUCAAUAAAGUCAAAUUGCCGAUUGAUGACGGAAUCUCUCCCGUUAGCAUGUUUCCUCUUAAGUACAAUUCGUGCAAGUUAUGGAGUGCUCCAAUACAAGAAGGAACAUGACCACCAAACGAAUUGUUUGAUAAAUCAAGAUAGGACAAAUUGAAGAGAUUGCCAAUACCUGGAGGAAUGGUUCCGUACAUUGUGUUGGACGACAUAGAAAUUACACUAACACUAUUGGAAAGAUUGCCAAUGGAAUCCGGCAAUAGACCUUCGAGAAAAUUGAGGUCCAAUGAAAUAAUUUCCAGCCUUGAACAAUUAGUCAAUGGGGUAAUGAAACUGAAGUCAUCUCGCAACUCGUUAGAGGUAAGGGAUAUUACUCUAAGAGCUUUCAGCCUUCCAAGAUUUGUGGGUAUCGGUCCAUGAAAACUAUUAUUGUCAUAGUAGACGUACUGAAGGCCAGAGGCAUUCGAUAAAGACGGAGGUAUAACCCCAGUAAAAAAAUUACUAAGAAAAUCAAGAAAAAAUAUAGAAGGAAGAGUAUCACCAAUAUAAGGGGGAAUGCUCCCUCUCAAUUGAUUGUUACUGACGAAGAAAUAUAAAAUGUUGGACAUGUUGAAGAUUGCUGGAGGGAUCUCGCCAGUGAGUUGGUUAUUCAUCAACUGAAAAAACAUCAAACCAUGAAGCUUGGACAAUGUCUUGGGAAUCUCUCCUUGCAACCCAUUUUUCCUAAGUGAAAGCUUGCAAAGUUGGGAGAGAUUUCCAAUAGAAUGAGGAAUAGAUCCUGCAAGAUUGUUUCUACUCAAACCUAAAACUUGAAGCUUUGAUAAAGAGCCAAGCUCAUCAGGAAUUGUGCCCAGAAGUUGGUUAUCGAUGAGAUAUAAAAUCUCAAGGUUUGAGCACUGAGAAAGAUUGGUGGGCAUUUGUCCACCAAAAGAGUUUUUACCAAGGACGAGACGACGAAGGCGAAACAAGUGGCCAAUGCUUUGUGGAAUUUCACCGCGAAAGCUAUUAUUCUGUAGAACAAGGCUUCUCAAGAAAGAGAGGAUUCCGACAUGAGGCGAUAGAAGACCCCCCAAGCCUUUCGACAUCAGGUUGAGGGACACAACUCUUUCGGGAUGCCGUCCACCACAUAUUACACCUUGCCACUCACAAUGAUGAAAAGAGUCAUUCCACGAGCUCAAAGCUCCAAGCUGAUCCUCAUCUACACUAUGUCUGAAGUAGAUUAAAGCAAGCCGAUCCGUCUGGUUGGUUUGCAUUGUUCGACUCAUCCAUAAAGGGAGCUGGGCAUAGAAAAAUAGGAACGUAAUCGCCAUAUGCUUUUCCAUUGUGAGUGGGUUCUAUGUCCUAACAAGCUGCAAGCAAAGUCUCUUCCGGAUUGAAUUAAUGAAGAAACGAAGACCUUCAAAAGCAUAUGCAUUUCCAUUGAUCAAAAGACACCUUUUUACACGGUGAAACCCGACCCAAAAUGCAAGUUUAACCCAAACAAAGAGUUGGACUUUAAAAGUAUUGCAAAUUCGCCGAACCAAAGAAAGGGCACACACACACUUCUGUCAAAAUGGAGGAUUUGAUAGCUGCCCAAUGACUUUCUGGAAAGGCGUGCCGUGAAGAAAGGAAAUCAAGAAUGGACGUGGUCCGCGAUUUUCAGCCAUUUCAAAGAGAGCUCUUAAAUGUUCGUGGGCAAAGCGUGUAAUUUGUGUUGUGAGUGUUUUACAUCCAAAUUGUUAAAACCUUGGGUUCAGGUUUAGUUUAGACAUGGAAACACUCGAGCAUAUUGAGUGAUUGCAAUUCAAAUUCUCCAAUUAUAGCAAAUUUUUAUUACUAGCUCUACCCAUAGAUAUAGGCACCAACACUCGGAUUGAAUCGCAUAAAUCUUUAAAUCUUUUAUUAUUCCUCGUUUAUUUUUUUGGUGAUUUUCCACUGACUUAAAUACAAAAUCCUUAUUAGCUUCCCCGUUCGUUAAUUUUUACGCAAGGGUUACUUUUCACCUGUAAUGAAAAGGAAAUAAAGAAAAAAAGCGAACAAGGAGAUGAUGGGUGGGUCAUCCUAAUGUGGAAAAUAAGUCCAGCCAAGGCUUUUUAGUAUUUUUUUUUUUAUGUUGCUGGCAAAAUUUUUAGUCAAAAGAUUCCCUGACUUCUCCCAUACUACAAAGAGUUUCUUUUCAAAGUUAAAUUUCUUGAAAGUUCGUCACUUAGAUCCUAUCACUCUUAUUCCGAUUACAAUUCAUCAUGCUAGAACCCCCGUGCCAUGCUUGAACCCAAGACUAAGAGGGCCGGUUUGUGUGGGCCAGCACAGCUCAAUUACUAUGCUUAGAUAGGGGUUUUAUAAAUAUACAUGUUAGGAAAAGCAAGAUGCUGAAAUUCAAGGCUGUUUGGCCAUUUGAAACCAAGGAGUUUGCAAAAUAAUGCACGAGUAUAUGAGUCAAAUUCAGAUUUUGUGGGAGAAGGGGAAUUUCGAUGUGCAAUUGCCGGUGUGGUACAGAAACUAAAGUUAUGGUCCUGGUAAUGAACAUAGAAUACGUGAUGCAAAGUACUUUGUUAGAAACUAAACAAAGAGAAAGAUAUUCUAGAAUUUGGUGAAGAAUUAAGAAUGUUAGCUCUGAUCUUGAAGUCAAGUUUCCCAUGCAAAAUCAACAGCGUUGUACAAUUGUGGCCGGCCGGCGAGCAUGAUGACCUCCACCAUGAGAAGUUUUCCAUUUCUUUUUCCCUUCUUUAAACUUUUCUUUUAGGUUCUCUAGAUUUGAUUACCAAAGCCAUUGCAGGAUAGUCUCGAAUAUUGGUAAGGCAUCAAUAGUGCUCGAUACUGUUGAAGGCUAAAGGAUUUCGAUGAACACCGAUUGAGUUUAGUCGAAGGCCCACUUGUGUAAAUAAAGAUGGUUCAACCCCUUCCACUAUAUGGAGGUAAAUUGCACACAACUUCUCUGAAUUUUGGGGUAAUACAAUUUUGCCUCCGAUUUUUCACUUGUUAUACAAUAAGGUCUGAACUUUUAUUUUGUUCAAGCAAUUAACUCUUCAUUAUAUUGUUAUUAGCAUGCACAUGCUUGUGAAUUUUAAGGGGAAAAAGUAUAAAUUUUGUCUCAUUCUUUUUCUAAGGAAGCCUCCUUUUCUAAAAGACUAAAAAAUAUAGAAAAUGGAAGAGAAAUAAAUUAACUAAAAUACUAAUAAUCAAAAUAAUAAAUAUCGAAAAUCAUAUUUAAUGAUAAGAAUUUUUCAAAAUUAAAUAAAUAUAGCCACCUUAAUAUAACUAAAAAAAAUAUUUUAAAAAAUAAAUACAAAUUCAUUAGAAUGGGAAAAAGGCAUCUAUAACUAAAAGACCAAAUAACAAGAAUUGCUUAAUCACUAUGUAUGUUUAAAGGGUAAAUUACUGUAAAAAUGAUUGAUUAACAAAAAUAUUUACAAGGAGGACGAUCAAUCCCUUGCAAAUCUAUCUCUUUUAAGAGGCAAUCUUUCAAGAAGAGCUUUUAGCAUCUUGAGUUCAACAAUGCCCUUUGCAUCGAGUUAUCCGAAAUUUUCUAAAUCAUUUUGGCUUUUAGAUAAGUUUUAAAGUUGGAACCUCCUCGGAUGCAACGGCACAUUUAACUUGCUUCAGUUUUGGCGCAGACACUAGUUUUUAGGUCCGCACCAUAUUGUGUAAAGAGGCAUAGCUUUCUUUGAGAAAGUUACUCCCACCGAAUUAUCUUAAAUAGUAACUUGUGCCAUUUUGAUGGUCCUACGUGUUUGCUUUUGUGAGUUCGGGCUUGUACUAAAUCUUUCCUUCUUAGACAGUUGUUUGCCUUAUAUUUCUUAUUCAAUUGUUGGACGCAUCAAAGAGCAACCAAAAGCAUCCGAUCCAUUAAUUAAACACAUGAACUCAUAUUCUAGUGGAGUUAUUCGCCAAAUUUACGAUAUGGACACCUUGAUGCGUUUGUAACUAUUUGGAUUGUGCCUCAAUUUUCAAUUUACGCUUUGCAUUUUUACUGCAGGAUUUCGAACAACCACCUUACCCUAAUUGAUUUGAUUAAUAUCAAAACACUGUAAGUGAGUCAGCUUCAUUACUAAACUAAGUAGAUCACCGAAUGAACAAGCAAUUCACCAACUCAAUCAAAGACCAGACAUGCUAGCAUUAUAAACCACGCAGAUGCCAUGGAGUAAUGCAUAACAUAUACUAAUCACUAGAGGUGAGAAAAUGGAUGAUGAACCCAUUUUGUAAUUCCGAUUCAAUGACCUGGGAAUAACAUGAAUUGUUAACUCUCUGUUAUAAAAAGGGAGGUCUAAAAUUUUUUUUUCUUUUUUUUUUCUUCAAGCCACUCUUAAUUGUGGUGCGACACAAAUAUGGACAUCACCUAUACUUAGUCCACUAAUCAGAGAUGUGAUCAGAAGAAAUCAAGAAUGGACCUCACUAAAAGAGUGCAACAUUUCAUGGCAAUAAUAUAAUAACAAUGAAAACAAUAAUAAAUAUAAUAAUUUGUACGCCCUUCAUGCGAUUGGUCGGCUAAAGGUGCUUUGAGUCAUGGUGUAAACCAAGAGUUCAUGUACUAGAUCUAAGAAGGAACUUCUGAUACCCUCAACAGUUUCAUCGUAUUUUUGCCAUUGGGUCUUCCUUUCGUAACACACGCACAGACGGAAGAAAAAAACAUCAUAAGCCAGAAAAACUUUCCGAGGAAUGCACUCGAACUAUUCGUUCUUAAAAAUAUUUAAACCUCUAGCAUCACAUUUAAAUUGUUUUAAUGCCUUAUCGAAAAAAUAAUAGUUAGUAUCUCUUAACAAAUCCCUCGAGUUAGCACAUGGAUUACAUAAUCCAUUGCAUAGAAAAUCCAUUAAAUAUGCUAUUCAGGAAUUUAAUUAUUGUAAUUAGCGUGUGAUAUCGCAUAUGGGUGGAUAAAGAGAUUAGCUAAGCUAAGCUCUCAGAAUAGAUCAGAGGGAUAAAUAAUUAACUUGAUGCUAUGGACUGCUUCGAUGUCUCCUUUUGCAUGUCCAGCUCCAGCCCGUUCCAGCCAUUUUAGUGGGUCUUUUGGAUCGAUGGUUUCAUCACUUUGUUCUUCGAUUAUAAAAUGGAAGUUUAGUGGAGUAAUGUGGGGAAAAGUACCAAAAUAGUCCUAAAUAUUUUAUAUUAGUACCAAUUUAAUCAUAAACUUUUUAAUUGGACCAAUUUAGUCAUAAACUUUUUCACAUUGAUACCAGUUCAGUCCAUCCAGCUAAUUUAAGCCAGAAAUUGCUAACAUGGCCGCUGGUGGUCUUAUGUGGCACCACGUGGACAAAUUUCAUAAUUUUUUAUAUUUUUUCAGAUUUUUUAAAUUAUUUUUUUCUUUUUUUUCUCUUUUUUUUUUUCCUUUUUCCUUAUCGUCGGCUGGCCGACCAUCGCCGGCCACAAGCUGGUUAGGGCGAGGGGUCCGCACCCUCGCUGGCCACUGGCGAAGGCUGCCGUGCCCUCAUCGGCCACAAGCGAGGGCGACGGCCCUUGCCUAGAUCCAAGCGAGGGCCGAAACCCUCACCCGCUGGCUAGUGAGGGCGCGGUAGCCCUCACUCGUGGUGGGCGAGGGUGCGGCGACCCUCGUCCAGAUCCAGGCGAGGGCCAUGGCGGCAUCGCCUGCUCAGGCGAGGCUCACGAUGCUAUCACCACGCUUAAUCCGGUGUGAGAUCGCGGACUUCCCCAUGCCAUUAUCCCUCCAGAAGCUACCCAAGCUCAUGAUGCCGACCACCUCCUUCAACCUCUGGGGGCUGCGAAGGCUUGGGUGACCAUGUCGCGAUCGGAGGCGACGGAGCUCCAGAUGCAGCAGACGCAACUCGCUUGGAUUUGGGCGAGGGCCGUUGCACCCUCGCCCGCCAUGAGCGAGGGCUGCUGUGCCCUCAUCGGCCAACGAGUGAGAGUUUCGGCCCUCACCUGGAUCUGGGCGGGGGCCGUUGCCCUCGCUUGUGGCCGGCAAGGGCGCAGCGGCCCUCGACAGUGGCCGGUGAGGGUGCGGGGCUCCUCGCCUCGACUAGCUUGUGAUUGGCGAUGGUCGGCUGGCCGGCGACCUCGCUGGCCAAGGGUAAGGAAAAAAGAAAAAAGAAAAGAGAAAAGAGAAGAAAAUGAAAAAAAGAAAAAAAUAAUUUAAAAAAAUCUGAAAAAAAAAUAUUUAAGGCACCACAUAAGACCACCGGCGGCCAUGUCAGCAAUUUCCAGCUUAAAUUAGCCAGAUGGACUGAAUUGGUACCAAUAUAAAAAGGUUUAGGACUACUUUGGUCCAAUUAAAAAAUUUAGGACUAAAUUGGUACCGAUAUAAAAGGUUUAUGACUAUUUUGGUACUUUUCCUGAGUAAUGUGUAACAAUUAAAAGUUUAGAAGGAAACUUGUAUUACCCCUUAAAUUAGGGUAAUUUUUGUGUAAUUUUCCCGUACAUUUAUUAUGUGAUGCCCAAUUUCUAAAAAAUUAUUCACAAGGUGAUAGGGUAGGGUGGAUUAAGAAAAUUAGGUGUAGAAAUAUGAGAAGCCAAACUUAUAUUCAAACCAAGCAUCUCAACUUUUCCAUCAAAGUCACCAAGGAACCACAUAAUAUAAGGUCCAUGAUUAGUGUGAACCCAUUACAAUGUUGGCCCAAUGAAAAUCGAUGGACAUCCAACUUCACAGCCUUGAGUAAGGACAUUCAUAAAAAUCACAAUUUCUUAGUCCUAGCCGCAUGGAACUGGUUUUCCCGCAAUGGAUCCAAACCUAUAGAACAGCAAACAUCUUUCAACAAACAACUCUCACCGGCGAAUGUUCUCUUACGAAUUUGUGUUAGCAAGGUAAGACUGUCACGUCAUUUCUCGAUAUCCCUCCCCACAACUUGAGUACACGUAAUUCCUUUACAUGAAAAUUAUUUUCGUCAAAAGGCGAGGGAUAAUACUCCCAAUGAAGCCAUUUUAACUUCUUCAUUGAGCCCUCAAAAUCUCCACUAGAAUGUGCCCCUUUGGCGGCAAGGAACCUUAGAUUCCUUAACUCGAAUUGUUCUCCCGCAAGAACAUUAUUGCCUUGGUCCAUUGUUCGGCCAAAGCCUUCUGAGUUGCCUUUGCUAAGAUAAAUGGCCUCAACCUUUUUUAUUCCCUAGAAGUAAGAAUCAAUGUUCAUUAACACUUAUUAUAUCAAUUAAAAUAAUCUAAUAUCAUUUCUUCAUACCUCUAUUAAUAUGCAUCAAUCUUUUAGAGAUUAGCAAAUUGAACAUUUGAUUCUUCCUUGGCCAAUAAACUGUAUUUAUAAAGGGUAACAAAGUGAAGGAUGUCUGCUUAGUUUGAAAUUGUCCUUAAGUGCUCGAAUAAAAAAAAAUUAAUGUAUUAUUUUUUGGGUUUUAUCUUUUUCUGAAUAAUAGUUUAUAGUUUCUUAAACAUAUUGUUGACGUACUUUUACACUUUGAUCUAGUGGCUGAAUGUAACUUCAUUUCAAUACUAGUUAGCAAUACAUGGCAUUUAAGUAAAUUACUCUGUAAAAUCGUAAGUUAAUUUGAUCAAAUAUUAAUAGAAAUAUAAUUUCUCUCUUGAUAAUUUUCAUAUUAGAUAUGCAAAUGAACUAUAGUCACAUAAGGACAUGAUUAUUGUAAGAAAUGUGAUAAUUGGGAAGAACAAACUUCUCUUAAAUUAAAGAAAAAAUAACCUUAUAAAGUCCUUUUUCUUUUCCCUUUUCUGAUGUAUACUUUUUGUGUAUAUUACUCGGCUUGCUACUUACAAUUAAUAUGACAUUUACUUGUUUUUGUUUUUCCAUUGGAUUCAUAACUAACUAUGAGUAACUAAACUUGUGAUAGUAGUUAUAUUAAUAUUUUCCAGUGUGAUUUUUAUUUUGUUAAUGGUUACUUUGAAUAUUAAUUCCUGAUUUUGAGAGAACAGCUAUUUCUAUUCCAUAGUAAUUCCUGAUUUCGAGAGAACAGCUAUUUCUAUUCCAAUUUUGAAUCGAUGGAAUGAAUAAUUGCUUCAUCAGAAACCUAGAUUUUUCUUUUUUUAUGGUAAAAGACAUGGUAAGUUAUCCCCAUAAACGCUGCCAAGAUUUUUCUUCUUGCGUGUCUUCGUCUAAAUUAUAAAUAGUAGUUUUAUAAGUCUUAGUUUGAGGGGUUUUGCAUCUAAAGUCUUUGGAUGCGAAUUGGUCUUCUGUACUCACUUAUCAACUCUAGAUAUGGACAUCCUCCUGUGAUAUCUAAAUUAACUUGAUAAAAUUGAAAGUUGAGGAUAAUCUGCAAGAAAAUUAAGAUUUCAUGACAUUUUAAGACACAAAUGAGAGAUUAUAUUCCACUUAUAAAAUUGGGAGUUCGUGACAUUUUUAAUGAUAAGUGGAAAGUACGAGACUCUCUAGAAUAUUAGGCUAAAGAGAUUUGGAAGAUUUAUUUUUCCAAAAAAAAAAAAAUUAAAAGAAAAUGAGAAUAAUCUAGAUUUCCACACUUGUACAAUAUUUAUGUUCAUAAAUCAUGUUAAACUAUGAUUUGGCCAUAUUAGUUAAUAUAGAUUUUAGUAUACUUAUUAACGUUACUCGUAAAUAAACCAUUGACUUUUUUUUUUGUCAAACUUCAAAAGAUGGGGAGUGCAUUCUUACUGCGUAGAAUUUUACAUCUUUUUUGAACAGAAUUGAAAAAGAAAAAUCCACAUAUUGCUAGCAAUUUUAAUAAAGAGCACCGUUAAUUAGAAUAUUUUACAUGAAACGGUGAAAGUACGUCAUCUUACAAAUUCCCAUCGGGGAUCCAUGGAAGAUAUUGAAAUUGUAGUCUUGAAUCAUUUAGCAAACGUUGCUGGCCAAUAAAGAAAAGGAUUAAUAUCACAAAAAACUCUAAAUUAAUACAAAUUUAUUUUAAACUAAUUUUUUGACUUCAAAAAACCUCAAAUUGAUACAUCUAUGAUAAACUUACCUUUCAUUAGUUUCUAUUAAAUUUCACCGUUAAGUUACUCAGUUGAAUGACAUGUCAGUUAACGGAUGUACCAAUUUGAUCAGUGGUCUUUUGUGGUAUUAAUUCAAUUUAAUGGAAACUAACGGAGAGUAAAUUGAUCACAAAAAUACCAGUGCAAGAUUUUUUGGUCGAAAAUUAAUUUGAGGUAAAUUUAUCAUAUGUGCACUGAUUUGGGGUUUUUAUAAUUAAAAAUUAAUUUGGAGUAAAUUUACAUAUGGGUAUUAAUUUGAAGUUUCUUGUGGUAUUAAUCCUAAAGAAACUCAUUUAUCAAAUUGUGGCUAGAAGAAUCAUUUAUCAAGCAAACUAUCAAAAUAAUCAAUGACAUGGAGCGUCCCCAACCGCAUGGAAAAAACGAAAACAAACAAAAAAAAAAAAAGGAGGAGGAUUUUCCUGCUUUCACAUCGAAGCUGGGUGGGAGAUGAAGCUUCGAGGAAGUUUCGCGCCAAACUGUUGUGCGUCCCGUAUUGGAAAUUUGUCUCUUCAUUUACAAUGUAUUUUUGUGAAUAUAUUUUUGGAUGUAAAAAAUACACGGUUCAUUGUCGUGGGUGGGUCAAUGAUUGAACUCGUGUAAAUCCAUGCGCGAAGUAUUUACGUCUCAGAUUGCUAGUGGGAAACCGUUAGAAGUAUCUCGGAACGGGCAGGUCGAGGAGGAGGACGGUCCCUUUCGUCCCCCUAAAACUGGUCGUGUUUCUAGAGGCCAACCUGAGAUUUUUCACCCGAGACACGGUCGACACGACAUACUGUAAUUGAUAGGAGUGUACAGUGAAAACCAUAGACAAAUGCCACUUGAUUCCAAGGGCAUGCCUGGCAAAUUGGCGAGAGAUCCGGUUUCUGAAGUGGAGAUGAGACCCUUUUGUGCCCGUGACGGAUUCUAGGAGCUCAAAACUAAUGAUUAGACCAGCUUGUUAUAGAACGGACUGGCACCUAAGGACUGAUGUUUUCAUUUUUUCUUGAAACUUCUAACUUGAAAUUUUUAUCAAACCUAAUCUUCUAAAUAGUGAUGAAGGAUUAGAUAAUGAGAUAUCAAAUUUCCAUUAAUAUUGAUGAAUUUUACAAAGUCAACUCAAUUUUUGCUCCACAAAGGUUGUAUCUUUAGUCCUAUUGAUCCAAAAUAGUCGAUUCUACCACAGAACCGAUUUGAUGACAGCAUAAAACUAUUUUUUGGGGGACCUUGACCGUCGUUCACUGUGAAACUGGUCCGACAGAAUCUAAGGAAAAUUUGGUGAAGAAGCAAAAGUUGUGAGGAGAAUUAGGCACUCAGCAUAAAUAUGGCAGCUGCUUCGGAGGCGAAGGCAAGAGUUAUAAGAACCGCAACAACGAGGCGGAAGAGACAGACAGAGACGCGCAAGGACGAAGAGAAACUGAAAAGCUCUUCUAAAUGUUGAUGCGUUAUAAAAAAAAAGUGAUAAUAAAAUUUAGGGUUAAAUAUCACGAAAAAUUUCAUAACACAUUUAUAAUAAAUCACAAAAGACCUCAAAUUAAUAUAUUUGUGAUAAAUUUAUCAUCUGUUAGUAUUUUUUUUUUGAUGACCCGGGAACCCCCGUACAGCUGGCAGCCGGCGAGGUAAACCCGGGGUGACGCUAGCGGAUGACCCACCACCCCGACGUCACACUUAAGAUCCCGUGUGGCCAGCGGGAUUCGAACUCCUCUCCUCUUCGCAAAGGAUCAUGGGAGCCUUAUCCAACUGGGCCACCACAGGCGGUGGUAUCAUCUGUUAGUUUUUGUUAUCACAAAAAGUCACAAACUAAUACACAUGUAACAACGGAAGGUAAAAUUCCAAAUUGGUACAAGUGUCUAUUGCCACAUGUCAUUCAACUUAGCAACUUCACACAAAUACUAACGGAGAAUAAAUUUUUAUAGGUGUAUAGUUUGAAGUUUUCUGUGAUAAAAAAAUUAGUUUGGAUAAAUUUGUCACAAGUAAACCAAAAUUAUGGUAUUAAAUCAAUUAAUAAUCUCACUUGUAGUUCUUCAACUCAUUUAAAUUAUCCAAUUGAAUUCUCAGAUUUUUAACAUCUAAGUGUACAACCUAAGAUUUUAUAUUGUCUAAAUGACCAUCAUCCCAUUGCCAAAAAAGAAAAAGAAAAAGGCCACCACCUAAAAUCAACCUUGGCGAAAUUUAAUAAUCUUAUUUGACUUUACUUUUACUUCUCCCAUUAAUCCACAAUAUGAAUGAUCAUUUAAAAAUUAAUUGGCAUUGACGUAUUACCUUUUAUAAGAUACACCUCCACUUUAUAUUAUUCUACAUUUGUAAAUCUAUAAAUAUACAUUGAAAUUUUGCAUCUAAAGAAAAUUAUUAGAGAUGGACUAUCCGAGGAAAAAUUACAAACAGAAAAUUCAUAUAAAGAAAAUAGGGAGAUCGUAAAGAGGGGAGGGGGGAAUGGAGAUGGAGAUGGAUUACGUACAUUUGACUAGUAUAUGAGUUCGGCUUUGGGCCAAGUGGAAAAGAGCUACAACCAAGAUGAAAAAUAGAACCAUCCGAAUUUUUCUUUUUCAAAGAGCAAAAUUAAUCCUAAGACAAAGUUUAGUCCAAGUGUCUAGGAGCUGAACUUUCUUCAACCAAGUCCCUACUUGGAUCCAUACCUAGCCCGGAUCUUAUGCAAUUCCUUGAGGGCUUCGACCACGUUCAUCCGAUCCUGCGGUAACUCCAUCGAGCACGCAACUCCAAUCCUUAGGAUGGAGGAAACACAUUCUCUCAUCCUCUCAAUGUCAUUCUCACCUUCUCUGUUAAAAAUGGCCGAGUCCACGAGCUCCAUCACUCGAUCUGGUAGAGCCACCUCGACAAAGUUGUGGAGAUUUAAAUAGUCCUUGAAAGUCUCUUCUGUGGGUCUUCUCCCAGUUAACAUUUCCAAUAAAAGAAUACCAUAGCUGUACAUAUCGCCUUGUGUGGAUACCAUAUCCCCCAUGCCAUACUCUAAAAUAGUGUACAUCAAGUAGUAUACAAUGAAAAUAAAUAUUUUAUCUAACAGUCAACACAAAUAAAACUUAGAUAAUUAAUGAGAAAAUUUUCUUACCAGGAGGAACAUAACCUAUCGAACCCCUCACUACCACUGAGCUAUUGCCGUUGUCAAUGUCUAUGGCAUCUAUUUUCACGGCAGAGCUAAUUGUUGCCAGCCCAAAAUCCCCAACUCGUCCCAUCAUCUCGUUGUCCAAAAGAACGUUACUUGGCUUCAAAUCUCCAUGUACAAUCUUUGGGCUACAAGCCUUGUGAAGAUAUUCGAUUGCGGAAGCUAUGUCAAUAGCAAUGUCUAACCUUUGCAUUAGUCCCAAAUGCCUUGGCUUUCCAUGUUCAUGUUCAUGCUCAACAUUCUCUUCGUUUCCUUGGUGUAUCCAAUUCUCUAAACUCCCAUUAGCCAUGUAUUCGUACAAUAGAGCUUUGAAAUCAUUGCCGUGAUAGUCUAUGCUUGAACAAACAUUCACUAUUUUCACGAGAUUUCGGUGUCGUAUAGCCCCUAAGGUUCGACACUCUGAGACAAAGCUCUUCGAAGCACCUCUAUGGCCCAAGUUGAGCACUUUAACCGCCAGCAAGUCGCCUUCCUGUGUGGUUGCUUUAUAGACAGUACCAUAUCUCCCUUUACCAAUCACAUUGAUCUCAGAGAAUCCGUCUGAGGCUCUAAAGAGCUCCCCAUAAGAGACCAGCAAAAAUUUGUGUUUAAACAGAAAUUCAAUCGAAGAGGUAUUCCUUUUCAACUUCUUUCUCCGAUACCAAAAGAUAAACAGGCAAAGACACGGAAUGAAGCUUGACAAGAUGGCCGCCACUAUGGCGAUUACUUUAACUUUAUUGGUCCAUAAUGAUUUAGAGGUAUUGGAUUUGCAAAAAGGAAGGUUUAGUUCUACAAUACCUCCACAGAGAUUCCUAUUCUCAAAUACGGACACUACACUAGCAUUGAGAAAUACUCCUUGCUUCGGAACUUCUCCUUCAAGCUUGUUUAAAGAUAGAUUCAAGUACUUUAGAUCUGUAAGUUGACCGAGAAAGCUCGGGAUUUCACCAGAUAAGUUGUUAUGGGAAAUAUCCAACUCUUGUAAGCCUCGUAAUGUGCUUAAAGCCAAAGGAAUUUCGCCAUGAAAGGAAUUGAAUGCUAAGUUGAGCCGCCCCAAUACUAAGCACUUGCCAAUGGAGAUAGGAAUUGGUCCAAUCAGCUUAUUGUAAGAUAGAUCCAGUUCAUCAACAUUGAUCAAGGACCCAACUUGAGACGGGAGAGAUCCGCUCAACUGGUUAUGUGCCAAGCUAAAGAUAAUCGAAAUGGUAUAAAGGCCAAAAACCUCAAUUGGGAUUGAACCACUCAGAUUAUUAUUGGAAAGCUCAAGCUCGAUGAGCUGCCUGUAGUUACCAAGAGUUUGCGGUAUUUCCCCGUAGAAGUCGUUGAACGGUAGGUCAAAGCGAUUCAAUAAAGUCAAAUUUCCGAUUGAUGACGGAAUCUCUCCCGUUAGCAUGUUUCUGCUUAAGUACAAUUCGUGCAAGUUAUGGAGUGCUCCAAUACAAGAAGGAACAUGACCACCAAGUGAAUUGUUUGAUAAAUCAAGAUAGGACAAAUUGAAGAGAUUGCCAAUACCUGGAGGAAUGGUUCCGUACAUUGUGUUGGACGGCAUAGAAAUUGAACUAACGCUAUUGGAAAGAUUGCCAAUGGAAUUCGGCAAUAGACCUUCAAGAAAAUUGAGGUCCAAUGAAAUAAUUUCUAGCCUUGAACAAUUAGUCAAUGGGGUAAUGAAACUGAAGUCAUCUCGCAACUCGUUAGAGGUAAGGGAUAUUACUCUAAGAGCUUUUAGCCUUCCAAGAUUUGUGGGUAUCGGUCCAUGAAAACUAUUAUCGUCAUAGUAGACGUACUGAAGGUCAGAGGCAUUCGAUAAAGACGGAGGUAUAACCCCAGUAAAAAAAUUACUAAGAAAAUCAAGAAAAAAUAUAGAAGCAAGAGUAUCACCAAUAUAAGGGGGAAUGCUCCCUCUCAAUUGAUUGUUACUGACGCAGAAAUAUAAAAUGUUGGACAUGUUGAAGAUUGCUGGAGGGAUCUCGCCAGUGAGUUGGUUAUUCAUCAACUGAAAAAACGUCAAACCAUGAAGCUUGGACAAUGUCUUGGGAAUCUCUCCUUGCAACCCAUUUUUCCUGAGUGAAAGCUUGCAAAGUUGGGAUAGAUUUCCAAUAGAAUGAGGAAUAGAUCCUGCAAGACUGUUUCUACUCAAACCUAAAACUUGAAGCUUUGAUAAAGAGCCAAGCUCAUCAGGAAUUUUGCCCAGAAGUUGGUUAUUGAUGAGAUAUAAGAUCUCAAGGUUUGAGCACUGAGAAAGAUUGGUGGGCAUUUGUCCACCGAAAGAGUUUUUACCAAGGACGAGACGACGAAGGCGAAACAAGUGGCCAAUGCUUUGUGGAAUUUCACCGCGAAAGCUAUUAUUCCGUAGAACAAGGCUUCUCAAGAAAGAGAGGUUUCCGACAUGAGGCGAUAGAAGACCCCCCAAGCCUUUCGACAUCAGGUUGAGGGACACGACUCUUUCGGGAUGCCGUCCACCACAUAUUACACCUUGCCACUCACAAUGAUGAAAAGAGUCAUUCCACGAGCUCAAAGCUCCAAGCGGAUCCUCAUCCACACUGUGUCUGAAGUAGAUUAAAGCGAGCCGAUCCGUUUGGUUGGUUUGCAUUGUUCGACUCAUCCAUAAUGGGAGCUGGGCAUAGAAAAAUAGGAACGUAAUCGCCAUAUGCUUUUCCAUUGUGAGUGGGUUCUAUGUCCUAACAAGCUGCAAGCAAAGUCUCUUCCAGAUUGAAUUAAAGAAGAAACGAAGACCUUCAAAAGCAUAUGCAUUUCCAUCGAUCAAAAGACACCUUUUUACACGGUGAAACCCGACCCAAAAUGCAAGUUUAACCAAAACAAAGAGUUGGACUUUAAAAGUACUGCAGAUUCGCCGAACCAAAGAAAGGGGACACACACACUUCCGUCAAAAUGGAGGAUUUGACAGCUGCCCAAUGACUUUCUGGAAAGGCAUGCCGUGAAGAAAGGAAAUCAAGAAUGGACGUGGUCCCCGAUUUUCGGCCAUUUCAAAGAGAGCUCUUAAAUGUUCGUGGGCAAAGCGUGUAAUUUGUGAUGUGAGUGUUUUACAUCCAAAUUGUUAAAACCUUGGGUUCAGGUUUAGUUUAGACAUGGAAACACUUGAGCAUAUUGAGUGAUUGCAAUUCAAAUUCUCCAAUUAUAGCAAAUUUUUAUUACUAGCUCUACCCAUAGAUAUAGGUGCCAACACUGGGACUGAAUCGCAUAAAUCUUUGAAUCUUUUAUUAUUCCUCGUUUAUUUUUUUGGUGAUUUUCCACUGACUUAAAUACAAAAUCCUUAUUAGCUUCCCGUUCGUUAAUUUUUACACGAGGGUUACUUCUCACCUCUAAUGAAAAGGAAAUAAAGCAACAACGCGAACAAGGAGAUGAUGGGUGGGUCAUCCUAAUGUGGAAAAUAAGUCCCGCCAAUGCUUUUUAGCAUUUUGUUUUAUGUUGCUAGCAAGAUUUUUAGUCAAAAGAUUCCUUGACUUCUCCCGUACUACAAAGAGUUUCUUUCCAAAGUUAAAUUUCUUGAAAGUUCGUCACUUAAAUCCUAUCACUCUUGUUCCGAUUACAAUUCAUCAGGCUAGAACCCCCGUGCCAUGCUUGAACCCAAGGCUAAGAGGGCCGGUUUGUGUGGGCCAACACAGCUCAAUUACUAUGCUUAGAUAGGGGUUUUAUAAAUAUACAUGUUAGGAAAAGCAAGAUGCUGAAUUUCAAGUCUGUUUGGCCGUUUGAAAACAAAGAGUUUGCAAAAUAUUGCACGAGUAUAUGAGUCAAAUUUAGAUUUUGUGGGAGAAGGGGAAUUUCAAUGUGCAAUUGCUGGUGUGAUAUAGAAACUCAAGUUAUGGUCCUGGUAAUGAACAAAGAAUAUGCGAUGCAAAGUACUUUGUUAGAAACUAAACAGAGAGAGUUAUUCUAGAAUUUGGUGGAGAAUUAAGAAUGUUAGCUCUGAUCUUGAAGUCAAGUUUCCCGUGGAAAAUCAACAACGUUGUACAAUCGUGGCCGGUGAGCAUGAUGACCUCCAUCAUGAGAAGUUUUCCAUUUCUUUUUCCCUUCUUUGAACUUUUCUUUUUAGGUUCUCUCGAUUUGAUUACCAAAGCCAUCGCAGGACAGUCUCGAAUAUGUAAACUAAGGCAAGGCAUCAAUAGUGCUCGACACUGUUGAAGGCCAAGGGAUUUGGAUGAACACUGAUUGAGUUUAGUCGAAGGCCUACUUGUGUAAAUAAAGAUGGUUCAACCCCUUCCACUAUAUGGGGGUAAAUUAUGCACAACCUCUCUGAAUUUUGGGUUAACACAAAUUUGCCUCCGAUUUUUCACUUGUUAUACAAUAACGUCUGAACUUUUGUUUUGUUCAAGCAAUUAACUCUUCAUUAUAUUGUUAUUAGCAUGCACAUGCUUGUGAAUUUUGAGGGGUAAAAGUAUAAAUUUUAUCUCAUUCUUUUUCUAAGGAAGCCUCUUUUUCUAAAAGAUUGAAAAAUAUAGAAAAUGGAAGAGAAAUAAAUUAUCUAAAAUACUAAUAAUCAAAGUAAUAAAUAUUGAUAAUCAUAUUUAAUGAUGAGAAUUUUUCAAAAUUAAAUAAAUAUAGCCACCUUAAUAGUACUAAAUAAGAAAUUUUAAAAAAUAAAUGCAAAUUCAUUAGAAUGGGAAAAAGGCAUCUAUACCUAAAAGAUCAAAUAACAAGAAUUGCUUAAUCACUAUGUAUGUUUAAAGGGUAAAAUAUUUACAAGGAGGAUGAUGAAUCCCUUGCAAAACUAUCUCCCUAUGAGGCAAUUUUUCAAGAAGAGCUUUUAGCAUCUUCAAGAAGAGCUUUUAGCAUCUUGAGUUAAAAAAUUAUUGAAAUAUAUAAUGCACGAAAAAGACAAGAUCUUGCAAUUUAUAUCAACACAAAAUUACUAGAGAAAUAAACGAUUAAUAAUAAGGAUACUAGAAAUUUAUGUGGUUCGGUUCGAGUAUCGGUAUCUACGUCUAUGGGAAGAACCAGUAGCAAAUAAUCCACUAUAAUCGAAGAAUCAGAGUUUACAACCGUUCACACGCUCGAGUGUUUCCCACACCUAAAUUUAAGCCAAAAGCGAAAGUGUUUAUAAAUAAACAAUUCACUUGGACAUAAACUCAUGGCACAAAAUUACCAUGCAUUCAAGCUCAAAGUAAAAUGCUCUACGUAUGCCAAAACAAGAACUAGGUGUGUGUCUCUUCUCCACGUACAUAUAGCUUAGCGUUCUCUACCCCUUCAAGGCUUGUUCGACGUGUGGACAUGUGGACGUGGGGCUCUUUUUUCUUUCGUAGGGCUUCUCUUCUUUUUUCCGCUAAAGAGCACGACUUUUAUAUUGUGUGCCCAUGGUCAAAACUUUGACUCUAGGCCCCACCUUGGAUUCUUUUCUUCAAUAUGGAUUCUUCUUCUACCUUCUUCUGCACGUACAAAAAAAGAUAGAAAACUCUCACCUUUUUUUUUAUCUUUAUUUUAUUUCCUUCUUUGUGCAGCUAUAAGGAGUCCAACAAAAGAAUGACUUUUUCUUCCAAUUUGAAAUCUACUUGAGAAAGCUUUUUCAAUUAAUUCGAUUUAACAAAUCAUUAUCCGAAUUCAAACUUAAGACAUUAAUUUAACAAUUUCCACAUUGGCUUAAUGUUUGAAAUUAAGUUAUAAUGUUCAUCAUCCAUGUCGCUCUCCCAAUACCUUGAGGGGCAUUCACUCUCCACAGACGCUAAUAGUUAUCAAGCAGAGCUUGAGCUUCGCCAAAAGAACAGACUUAGUCAUUAUGUCUGCCGGGUUAUCUGUUAUAGCAAUUUUUUUGACAAUAACAUUACUUUUAGCUAAGACAUCUCAGAUGAAGUGGUAUCUGAUGUUGAUAUGCUUUGUUCGCUCGUGAUAAACUGAAUUAUAUGCCAAAUAUAUCGCACUUUAAUUAUCAUAGUACAUAUCCAUAUUUUUAUUUUAAACCAAAGUCCGAGAGCAAACUUCGUAACCAUAUCACCUCCUUCGCUACAAAGGUUAGUGCCAUGUAUUCUGCCUUAGUCGAAGACAAGGCAACGUGAUCCUAUAAGGACGUUUUCCAACUAACUAUACCACCUGUUAAUGUAAACACAUAUCCUAGUAAAGACCUGCAAUCAUUCAAGUCACUGGCGUGAUUCGAAUCCACAAAACUAGUAGUCUCACUGCCAUUGAUGUCCAUCUGAUACACCAUACCUACCUUUGUUGUCCCUUUCAAAUAUCUGAGGAUCCAUUUCAUAGUUUCCCAAUGAGCUUUACUAGAAUGCUUCAUAUAGCGACUAACCACGCUUACAACUUGUGAAAUAUAUGGCCUAGUAUAUACAAUAGCAUACAUAAUACUACUCACGGCACUAGAAUAAGAAACACGGGACAUAUGCUCCUCAUCUUCCUCAAUCUACGGUGAUAAUUUAUUUGAAUGUAUAAAGUAUUUCGCUAAAGGUGUACUUACAAAUUUUGCCAACUGCAUAUUAAAACGUGCCAUGAUCUUCUCAAUAUAUUUCUUCUAAGAUAAAUGUAAAACUUUUACAGCCCUGUCAUGCAAAAUCUCCAUACCCAAUAUUUUAUUUGCAGCACCUAAAUCUUUCAUCUCAAAUUUAGUAUUUAAUUGCUUCUUCAACAAAUCAAUAUCAGACAUACUCUUAACUGCUAUCAACAUAUCAUCAACAUAUAAGAAUAAAUAAAUCAAAGACCAUCCUCCAAUCUCCUAAAGUAAAUGUAACUAUCUAUCUGACUUUUCGAGUAGUCUUGACUAGCCAUGAAAGCAUCAAAAUGCUUAUAUCACUAUCUAGAAGACUGUUUUAGCCCAUACAAAGAUUUCUUCAACAAGAAAACAUGAUCUUCCUUACCUAGAAUAGCAAAUCCCUCUAGCUGCCUCAUAUAAAUUUACUCAUUCAACUCAUCGUAAAGAAACACAGUUUUCACAUCUAGCUACUCUAACUCAAGAUCCUACAAAACAACUAAAGCAAGUAAAACAUGAAUUGAAGCAUGUCUUACCACAUGAGAGAACACAUCAUUGUAGUCAAUGCCCUCACGCUAUGUAUAUUCCUUCGCCAUAAGUCUCGCCUUAUACCUCGCUGCCUCAACAAUAGGAAUGCCCUCUUUCCGUUUAAAGACCCAUUUACUUCCGACAAUCUUCUAACUCUUGGGUACUUUAACUAACUCCCAUGUGUGAUUUCGAUGGAGUGAUUCUAUCUCUUCACUCAUAGCCCCUAGCCAUUGCGACGACUCAGAGCUAGCCAUCGCCUCAAAGUAAGACGAAGGCUCAUCUGUCUCCAGCUCAUCACCUACAUUCAAUGCAUAAGCAAUAUCUAUAUAACCAUAACAUACUGGUGAUUUAAUUUGCAUUCUCUAUCUAUCUACAACUAUAGUGUGAUGUGGCUUUGCCGAUUGUUCACUAUCAUUGCCUUCAGGAAUUGUGGCCUCAUCUGCAGUCUCAACUUUUAUUAUCUUAGAGGUCUCCGAAGUCUCCACCUGAAACUUCACCUUACUAAUGACACCAUGAUCUGUCUGUUCUACUGGUUGUGUCUUAGAACUUCUCUAUUGAAGCAUUGUAAUCUCAUCGAAUAUCACAUUUCUGCUUAUUAGAAAAUCGGGUGAUCUGGGAUCGGUGCACCAUAGUUGGUAGCCUUUCACCCCAUGGGCAUAAUUCGGAAAUAUGUACUUCUUCGCACUCGACCCAAGCUUAUCAUCACUCACAUGAGCAUACGCAGGACAUCUGAAUAUACAUAAUCUGGAGUAAUUAAUAGGUUUCCCUAACUAUACUUCCUCAGGAGUCUUCCAUUCGAUAGUAGAUAAUGGAGAUCGAUCAACCAGGUAACACGCCAUGUUUACCGCUUCGGCCCAAAAUUCCUUGCUAAGUCCUACAUGCAAAAGCAUGCAUCGAGCUCAUUUAGGAAAAAUUCUACUCUUUUGUUCUGCCACGCCAUUUUGCUGUAGUGUUCUAGGUAUUGUGCGAUGUCUUACAAUCCAUUCUUUUCGUAGAACUCAAUAAAAUCUUUAUCAUAAAACUCCAUGCCAUUAUCAUUUCUCAAGCACUUGAUUUGUUUAUCUGACUACUUCUCAAUCAGUCCCUUAAAUUUCUUGAACCAAUCGAACACUUCAUAUUUGCGCUUCAGAAAGUAUACUCAUACCUUCCUCAAAUAAUCAUCGAUAAAUAUUAGCAUAUAUCAGGUACCUCCUUUAGAAGGAACUGAAGACAAGCCCAAGACAUGUGAAUGAAUGUAUUCAACUAGUUGUUUAAUCGAAUGAACAGCUAUAGUAAACUUAACUCGGCGCUGUUUCCCAAAGAUUCAAUACUCACAUAAGUCCAGCUUCCUUAUCUUUUGACCCUUCAACAACCCUUUGUCAUACCUGCCUUGCUCAUGUGCCAUAAACGCAUAUGCCAUAAUUGAGUCAUGUCAAAAUCUGACUCACCUGAUGAAACUGCAACGGUUCUGGUUACGGUCUCUCCCAGUAGAUGAUAGAGAGUAUUUACUUUCUUCCCCUUCAUCACCGUCAUGACACCUCAAGAUUUUCAGUAUUCCAUCUCCAGCGAUGUAUCUACACCUGAUCUCAUUGAGUGUCCCUAGAGAAAUAAGAUUUUUCUUGAGCUCCAGUACAUGCCUCACAUCUAUCAAUGUAUGCACCACCCUAUCGUGCAUUUGAAUCCGAAUUAUCCUUAUUCCUACAGCCUUACAGGCUACAUUAUUUCCUAAAAGAAUGAUACCACCAUCUAUAGUCUAAUAAGUAGUAAACCAAUUUUUAUGAGGUGUUAUAUGAUAAGAACACCCUAAAUCUAGCACCCAUUCAUCUCUUGACGAAGUAGUAGUCACACAUAAAAUAGCUUUUGUAUUACUAGUGCUCCCCUUAGCAACAUUUGUCACAUUACUUGUAGCAUUCUGCCUAUCACCUUUAUUCCUCUGCUUUGGACAAUCUUUCCUGAUGUGCCCCUGCUCAUGAUACUUAAAGCACUUGAAAUAGCUAGUACGAGUACCUAGAGGGGGGGUGAAUAGGUAUACAAAAGUUUUUCUCGAAGCUUGCACGAUAUUUAAACAAUUAAAGAAUUUGCAACAGUUAAAAAUUCAAUCGCAAGACUUAGUAAGGGAAAGAGAGAAUUGAACACUCGGUUUAUAGUGGUUCGGCUUGAUUCAAGCCUACGUCCACUCUUCUGCACUGACAGCCGAUUGGCUGGAUUCCACUAUGAUCAAAGAGUUGUUACAGUGUUGAUCUUCCUUGAUUUCUAGGUGUAGAUGAUCUACCACACUCACUCAAGGCGUCACCAAGUAUAAACACUCUCUGUAUACAAUUUCGCUCAGUCUCAACUAACAAUCAAGGAUCUUCAGACUCUGGAAUUUUUCUAUCGAUCACACACUUAAAACAACUAGAACGUCUUCCUUUUAUACUCCUUCAUGCCAUCAUAGCCGUUGGCACUUACCAAAGGAAUUCCUCCAAUCUACCCGUUGGACGGAAUCAAUCAAGAAGAUCAUCCGAGCUUUUUAAGGAAUCUGAUGAUAGCCCAUCAAUCCUGUUCGCCCAUACAAUCAGGAUCUCGGUUUCCAAGAAUAGAAUAAUCCAAAAUUAUUUCGUCGACCAUCGGAUCUUCAAUCGAUCUUAGAUAAGAAUUAAAGAAUCCGAAAUGAUUAUCCAACCAAAGAAUCUAUUCCAGAGGAUAGGAUCAAAUCCUCAACCAUAAACCUCGGCUUUGGAUUUCCUUCAACACUGGAUUAGAAAGACUGUCAGUGAGAAUGAUUUUGAGUCUUGAGUCUUGAGUCUUGAGAUAACAAAGUCUUGAGACUAUAAAUUCUUGAGACUUUAACUAUCGAUAUCCAGACUUAGACUGAUAGAAAUGUUUUGUCAGCUUCAAAAUAUUCUAGAAAGAUUUCUCCAACAGCACUUCACGUGUCCCUUGGACUUUCUAUGGCGUGAUUUCGAUCUGUUUUUAUCUCUGUUGCUACUAGGCCCUCGAUGUUGUUCUUUACCAUGAAUCGUCAGUGUUUGCGCUACUCCUUGCGCCAGACCGUCAUCUCGCAACUUUCUCUUCCACUCUUUCGAAAACAAGGUGGACUUUACCUCUUCUAAGGUAAUUGUAGUACACUUAUGCAACAAUGAAUCAGUAAAGUGCUCUCAUGACUCUGGUAAAGAAGCUAACAUUAUGCCAUAUUCUUCAUCAUCAAGUAUCUUACCAACGUUCUUCAAAUCCAUUAUGAGUUUAUUGAAUUCAUCCAGGUGGAUUAUGAUAGAUGUACCUUCAGUAUAUCUAAAUUGAAACAUCAUUUUCAAUAUGUACGAGCAAUUGUUCAAAUCUUUCUUCACAUAGAGUGCCUGAGGUUUUGCCCAUAAUGCUGUGGCAUCCUUCUCCUCGGCAACUUUUAUUAAAACCUCAUCUGACAAGUUCAACAGAAUUGUGCUAUUUGCUCUUUCCAUUAGCUCUACCCUCUCAGAGACUUUCAUUAUAAUCGGCAACUCAUCUUCACCAUCUAGUGCCUUGGCCAAACCUUGGGUUGUCAAUAAUGCCCACAUCUUGAUGCUCCAUAACCUAAAGUUGUUCUUCCCAUUAAACUUCUCAAUUUCAGAUUUCCUCUUAGACAUAAUUGCAAUAAUAUAAUUUCCAGAUAAUAAUCAGACAAGCAAAAACUUCAAAUCACAAUCAAGAAAUCCGAUCCCAAGCUCUAAUACCAAUUGUUGAAAUAUAUAAUGGACAAAAACGAUAGGAUCUUGCAAUUUACGUCAACGCGAAAUCACCAGAAAAAUAAACGAGAAAUAAUAAGGACACUAGAAACUUACGUGAUUCGAUUCGAGUAUCGGUAUCUACGUCAGCAGGAAAAGCCAACAGCAAAUAAUCUACUAUAAUCGGAGAAUCGGAGUUUACAAUUGCUCACAUACUUGAGUGUUUCCCACACCUAGAUUUAAACCCAAACCCAAAGUGUUUAUAAAUAAACAACUUAUAUGGACAUAAACUCACGACAUAAAAUUACCGCGCAUUCAAACUCAAAGUAAAAUGUUCAAUGUACGCCAAAACAAGAACUAGGCAUCUAUCUCUUCUCCACGUACGUACAGCUUCGCGUUCUCUACCCCUUCAAGGCUUGUGCGACGUCUGGACGUGUGGACACGCAGCUCCUUUUUCUUUCAUAGGGCUUCUCUUCUUUUUUUCCGCAAAAGAGCAUGCCUUUUAUAUUGUGUGCCCAAAAUCAAAACUUUGACUCUGGCCCCACCUUGGAUUCUUUCUUCCAAUAUGUAUUCUACUUCUGCUUUCUUUUGCACGUACAAAGAAAGAUAGAAAACCCUCAUUUUUUUUUAUCUUUAUUUUAUUUUCUCCUUUGUGCAGCUAUAAUGAGUCCAACAAAAAAAAGGGCUUUUUCAACCAAUUUCAAAUCUACUUGGAAAAUAUUUCUCAAUAAAUUCGAUUUAACAAAUCAUUAUCCGAAUUCAAACUCAAGACAUUAAUUUAAUAAAAAUGCCCUUUGCAUCGAUAAUUAUCUGAAAUUUUCUAAACCGUUUUGGCUUUUAGAUAAGUUUUAAAAUUGGAACCUCCUCGGAUGCAACGGCACAUAUAACUUGCUUCAGUUUUGGCUCAUACGCUAGUUUUUAGGUCCGCACCAUAUUGUGGAACGAGGCAUAGCUUUCUUUGAGAAAGCUACUCUCACCGAAUUAUCUUAAAUAGUAACUUGUGCCAUUUUGCUGAUCCUACGUGUUUGCUCUUGUGAGUUCGGGCUUAUAUUAUAUCUUUCCUUCUCAGACAGUUCUUUGCCUUGUAUUUCUUAUUCAAUUGCUGGACGCAUCAAAGAGCAACCAAAAGCAACUGAUCCAUUAAUUAAACACAUGAACUCAUAUUCUGGUGGAGUCAUUCGCCAAAUUUACGAUAUGGACACCUUGACGCGUUUGUAACUAUUUGGAUUGUGCCUCAAUUUUCAAUUUGCGCUUCAUAUUCUUGUCGUAGGAUUUCAAACAACCACCUUACCCUACUCGAUUUGAUUAACAUCAAAACACUGUAAGUGAGUCAGCUUCAUUAGUAAACUAAGUAGAUCACCGAAUGAACAAGCAAUUCACCGCCUCAAUCAAAGACCGGACAUGCUAGCAUAAUAAACCACGCGGAUGUCUUAUAAUAAUGCAUGACAUAUGCUAAUAACUAGAGGUGAGAAAUGGAUGAUGAACCCAUUUUGUAAUUCAGAUUCAAUGACCUGGUAAUAACAUGAGUUGUUAGCUAUCUGUGAUAAAAGGGAGGUCUAAAACUUUCUAUUUUUAUUUUUUAUUUUUAUUUUUUAUGUUUUUAUCUCAAGCCACUCUUAAAUGUGCUGCGGCACAAACAUGGACAUCACCUAUACUUAGUCCACUAAUGAGAUAUGAUCAGAAGAAAUCAAGAACAGACCUCACUAAAAUAGUGCACCAUUUCAUGGCGAUAAUAUAAUAACAAUGAAAACAAUAAUAAAUAAUAAUAAUUUGUACGCCCUUCAUCCAAUUGGUCGGCUAAACGUGCUUUGAGUCAUGGUUGUAAACCAAGAGUUCAUGUACUAGAUCUUAGAAGGAACUUCUGAUACCCUCAACAGUUUCAUCGUAUUUUUGUUAUUGGGUCUUCCUUUCGUAACAAACACACAGAGACGAAAAAAAACAUCAUAAGCCAGAAAAACUUUCCGUGGAAUACUCUCGAACUAUUCGUUCUUAAAAAUAUUUAAACGUCUAGCAUUACAUUUUAAAUUGUUUUAAUGCCUAAACGAAAAAAAAAAAAAAACAGUAUCUCUUAGCAAAUCCCUCAAGUUAGCACAUGGAUUACAUUAUCCAUUGCAUAGACAAUCCAUUAAAUAUGCUAUUCAGGAAUUUAAUUAUUGUAAUUAGCGUGUGAUAUCGUAUGCGUGUGGAUAAGGAGAGUAGCUAAGCUAAGCUCUUAGAAUAGAUCAUAGGGAUAAAUAGUUAACUUUGAUGCAAUGGACUGCUUCGAUGUCUCCUUUUGCAUGUACAGCUCCAGCCCGUUCCAACCAUUUUAGUGGGUCUUUUGGAUCGAUGGUUUUAUCACUUUGUUCUUCGGUUAUAGAAUGGAAGUUUAGUGGAGUAAUGUGUAACAAUUGAAAGUUUAGAAGGGACCUUGUAUUACCCCUUAAAUUAGGGUAAUUUUUGUGUAAUUUUCCAGUACAUUUAUUAUGUGAAGCCCAAUUUCUCAAACAUUAUUCGCCAGGUGUAGAAAUAUGAGAAGCCAAACUUAUAUUCUAACUAAGUGACUCAACUUUUCCAUCAAAGUUACCAAGGAACCACAAAAUAUAAGGUCCAUGAUUAGCGUGAGCCCAUUACAAUGUUGGUCCGACAAAAAUCGAUGGACAUCGAACUUCACAGCCUUGAGUAAGGACAUUCAUAAAUAUCACAAUUUCUUAGUCCUAGCCGCAUGGAACUGGUGAUGUUUUCCCGCAAUGGAUCCAAACCUGUGGAACAGCAAACAUCUUUCAACAAACAACUCUCACCGGCGAAUGUUCUCUUACGAAUUUGUGUUAGCAAGGCAAGACUGUCACGUCAUUUCUCGAAUCAAAUAGAAACUGCACAUUGCCAUUUCCGCCGCCUUCAGUUUAAACACUCUGCAAUGCAUGCACAAUAACCGUUCAAUCACAUAGCUUUACCUCAAAGCAAAAAGGAGGACGCGUCACUCCUUCCAUGCAAUGGCUGUUUUUAAGCAAGAUAGAAUAGCAGCAACCUGUACAGCAUGACAAUAAAUGAAGGAGAUUCACUUCAGUUCUUUCCAUCACAAUUUAUGCUGGCCUAAGCACCGGAUAACUGAGGCUUACCACGUUCUCUCGCCCCACAAUUCUGAGAAAGAAAAUACAGUUGGACAUGUAUCAAAAGUGCAACAUCAUCAACGACAAAAAAAUGAUGAAAGCAACAUCCAGAAGCAGGGAACUCUGUAUAAUUUGAAAUAUAAAUACCUAAAGGGAAACCAAUAAUCUUCUCCAAGGGUGAUGAUUGACGGAAAAUGGGAUGCAUCUAGGAAUUUUAUCUAACAUUCUCAAACUAUUAGUUCGGGUCGUAGAUUCAUACUAUAUCUAAUCAUCUAGCUAUUAUUUGUGAAAAAAUUUUGGGUACUUUUGAAGCAUGACGUUUUUGUAAUCGCUUUGACACUAUUGCGUAUCACUGCCAAUGCCACAUCCAUUGCAGCGAUUCUGCUUCUUGGAUCUGUAAAAAAAUAAAAAUAAAGUAAGAUGUUAGGUCCAUGUGAUCAUAUCGUCUUCAACUGCAGGAUCCAACGCCCAACACUUUUGAGAAUACGAAACAUGCAAUUAACGAACUUUUUUCUUUAACAUGUUUGCACGUCAUGCAGCAUCUUUAUGCUCAGGGUUUUGAAAUAUUUGCUAGGGGGAUAGGGCGGACAGAGACUACUUCUGACAUAGAGAGAGACUCGAUUAAUGCCACUGUCCAAGACACAUGAAAGAAAUUGAGCAGCGAGAUGAGAAAGAUUUGAUGCACGUCAUCAUCCAAAAACUUACAAGUCCAACAAAAGUACUUCCCCAUGCAAACACCACCUGUGAACAUGGAAACCAAAGGUUGAGAAUCAACAUCUGCACUGUAGUUUAUUUUUGGCCAGUCUUUUUAAAUAACUUCAAAUUUUUUGCCCUCCUUCGAAAAGAUUUUUAGUGCAAUCAAAGUAGGUAAUGAAGGAUAGAAUGUUUAAAAUUACCUCUUGAGCACUAUCACAGAUUGAACUUACAACCUGAAACAAAACAUGUAGGUAAGUGGGAACAUCAAGUAAUCAGUCGGUCUAUAAACAUGCUAGAAAUUCGAUGGCAUCCAUCCGCUGAACUUGAUGGCAAGGUGAGUCAAUGCCCUGCUUUUGUUUACAUUGAUAUGUUAUUCUGGUCAUAAGAGAACGGUAUGUCUUCUUAUGGAAAGCAUGUCCACAGGCUGAGGAUUGAAGAAUAGAAUAUUUGACAUAUUCACCAAACUGUGGACUACUCAUCCGAACUCAGAUGACAUGCGACUUCUGCACAUAUCCGUCAUGCAGUAACGGCGGACUGCACAUACCAAAAUAUUAGAGCACACACUACAAAGUUAGCAACAGGUCAGAACGCAAUCUCAUCUUAAGAUAACUCAUGUCACUAGCGCCCAAAAUUUAGAGGCAGCUGAAGGUGCCUGUAUUUUGGUUAACGAUCAUCCUCUAAUAGAUGGCAAGUAAAAACUUAAUUGCAAUCUUUCAACUGAGCUUGCACGAAAGUAUCUCGUAGAUAUCUAGUGCGUUCUUCAUGUCAUAACAAAAGGAAGUUCUCAAGCACACUUUAGUCUAGGGGCACAAGGGAUCACCUUUGCAUCAUCAUGACAGUGAAGGCGAUAAAAAAUCUCGUUGCAACAGGGGGCUCUAGUGCGGCACCUUCAACGGUAAUGAGGACAUCUGCCGCAGCAGCAGCAGCGUCUUUGAUAUUAACUGAAAGUUGAGAAGGACAAAGCUUGAACUACUAUUGCUCAAGAAUGAGUCGAGACGUUGCUUGUACGGCAAGUACCGCUCGCUAACAAAUCAGUAACAAUAGCAUCCUCACGGUCAGAACAGAGCACGGUCGGAAACACGAUUGGACAGUGCUGGAAUUGUAACAACAGGAGGGAACCGAGUGUCGGCCGAUGAGGAGGAACAGCGACGUUAAUUAUGAGCCAGAAGUGGUGGUGAUCGCCUGAUCGGAAAUGGAGCGGCCGUGGAACUAGAGGGAAAGCGGGACUGGGAGAACGUUUCUCUGUUUUCAGUUCCCCCUCUUGCGCGCGCACGUGCCUUCGUUCGGGGGAAGAGAGAGAGAGAGAGAGAGAGAUAAAAGUAAGGAAGGAAAGAGGCCGGGCCUUCUCUCGGCAUGGGCCUUGGACCUUGGAUGGGCUCCAUUUUUCAGCUCCUUUCUGUUACUGAGUCUUAUUCGAUGGGCUAUUGGACAAAUCUAAAGAGAUCUGGGCUCGAGUCCGAUAUUGUCCGGCGGGGAGCUCGAGUUGUGGAUCUGGGCUGAGGUCUUAUUAAUCCUCUCCUUUAAAAAAAAAUUGUUAAUUUUAUUUAUCUUUACAAAAAUGCAGAUUCAAUUUGCUAGCAAAAAUUUGGGUGUCAACGUCCACGUUGCCAACUCUAUUGAUUGGAUAUAUACAAUCAUCCUAUUUCCAUUUACCAUAAUUGGUUCUGUCAAAGUAUGGAGGUCUGAGGAUAGAUUGACCCUCAUAAAAAAUUUGACUAAGGUUGGUUGACAAAGAACAGGAUCUUUAUAAUCAGAAGUAAACAACACUUCAAAGUACAAGCAACACAAUAUUUAGGCUCUGUUCAUUUCAUAGAAAAUAACUUCUAGAAAAAUAUUUUUCAAAUUUUCCGAUGUUCAUUUCAUGAAAAAUGAAUUAGUCAAGAAAAACGUUUUCUGCUAUUGGAAAAAAAAAACACAUUCAAAAGUGAGGAAAUAUUUACAUUUUCGAAAAGUAGAAAAUAUUUUCCAUGACUUCUUCCACCUCACUUUCUUUCACCAAACACAUUUUCAUUCCAUUUUAUGUUUUCUUUUUCUUUUUUCUUUUUUACAUUGAUUUUUAAUUUCUAUUUCCUUUUUGUCGUUUCUCUCUUUCUUUCUCUUCUACUUUGACCUUGGCAGGUUGAUGAAGAAGAAGAGAAAGAAAGAAAGAAAAAAGCAAAAAGAAAAAGAAAAAAAAGAAAGGAAAAGAAAAAAAAAUUAAACAUUAAAAAAUAGAUUUAAAAAUUGAAAUAAUGAAAAAAAUUAUUGAGAAUGAGCACAUGUAGGAAAAGAUUUUUCUUACCAAAUACUGGAAAAUAUUUUUUAGUUCAUUUUCAAAUUUCAGCCGAAUACGGGAUAAUAUGAUUAUUUUCCUAGAAAAUGGCUUGCUAGAAAAUAAUUUUCAAAAACACCACAUUAUCGAGAAACAAACAAAGCCUUAAUACAAGGUCAACAAUGCAACCUAACAAAGGGAUGAAUGGGUUGAUUUACAAAAGUAAAAAAUAAUUUAUAAUAGCUCAGGUUAAGAAACGCAAAUCAAAUAAAAAGGGGACAAGACCUCAAUAACAAAAAGUUCAAAUGAUAAAAUUUGAUUAUGCGUUUUGUAUGUAUAAAGGUUUAAUUAAUGUAAAAUGAUUGAUCUACAAAAAAUCUAAGAAAGAACUUAUCAAUGAAAAUGAUGUCCUUAACUCAUAAAAGAUGAAGAUGAAUCAAAAUCUAAGGUGAUUUUGUUAAAAAAUAUUUUUAUUGCUCGGUUUUCUUACAUUAAUUAACCAUUUAACAACACAAAAUGAGCAUCAAAUUUUUGUUAUUUGAUUUUUUGUUCUUUGUGGCAUUUUUCUUUUAUACUUAAUUGCGUUUCUUUUUGUUCAAAUAGCUACUAGUUCUAUUAAUAUAUCCAUGAAUUUUCUACCAACUUUUAUUAUCUAUAUUAUUAUUGAUAGUCAAAUUUUGUCGUACUGAUAAUUUAGUUACUUUUUUUUUUCAUUUUCUGUACUGUUUUUAUUUUUCUUAUAGAAAUCAACGGUAAAAGGCAUUCUUUCGAGAAAAAAAUGAGAUGAAGAACAAGUUUGCCCCUUUAACGUCAUCUACAUUGCACAUGUGAAUGGAGAAUAUAUCAAAUGUUAACAGCUAUAACCAAAUAAAAGUUCAAGAAGUAAUGUGUAACAGUCAAAAGUUUAUGUCAAACAUGUAUUUUCCCAAAGUUUGGAGCAAUCUUUGUAAAUUUUCCACAAAUUUAUUAUGCAAUGCCGAUUUUCUAAUAUAUUCAUAGGGAGAUUAGUGUGUAUUUAUGUAUGUUGGGUGUGGAAAUAUGAGAAGCCAAACUUAUUUUGUACAUAUUUUAGGUAUUUUAGGUAUAUUGGUAUAGUUUACUGUUUAAUAAAAUUUUAUUAGAGAAUGAUGGAAAAAAAAGAUAUAAAAAAGAAAUUAUAUAAAAAAGAGAGGUUAAAAUAAAAAAUAAAUCAAAAUAAAGUACAUAGUCGCAAGAGAUUUUUACCAUAUUCAUUUAUAAACUUUUAGGUUCGUUUAUAUUGAGAUGUCGUUUAUAUUAACUAAUAUAUAUAAUAUGAUGUGAAUAUAUCCAAUUUUAUACUUAUGAUCACUAAAUGGUGGAUAGGAAAUGAAAAAAUCCCACGAUUUCCUAACCUAUCAUAUUUAAUCAUAGCCUAAUUAGAAAUAUAGAUGAAUAAACAUAACUAAAGAGGAUAGGGAGUUGGCGAGCCAAUUCGAGUUCAAUGAGUUGUGUUGAUGGGCCUUCGAAACCUAGUUCGCAGGUUGAUUAGCUUCCCCGGGUCAAAAGGCUGGAGACAUUCGUUGCAUUUGGGCCAUAAGAUGCUGACAAUUCUCAACAACAGACUGGACCACCCAUGGGCUUUCGGUUUGGCCCGAGAUAAGCUAUCACUUUCCAUCCUCACCUAAAGAUCACCACUUCUCCUCCACAGAUCAGUUCCACCCUAUCUUCAACGAGACCGCCAAGGCUUCUCUCACUGCUAGGAUUUCAAGCACGAGGGCAGUUGGAGCAUGGAUUUUCUUGGCGAAGCCGGCCACGAGAGCCCAUGAGCAUCUCUACACACCCCAACUAUUAAACCCACUCAAGAGCGAGUGUUGUGCACUGAGGCAGCAAAGAACUCUCAUUAACCUCAUGCUUAAUGGCUUUGACCAAUCACCUUAUCCUAAGUGUUUAUGAGCAUUUCUUAUCUUCUCACAAAUACUAACACUCCCAUUAUUCACAUGGAUAAUUGCUUUGAUACUGUUGAGUCUUACUUCCAUCGGUGGCCACACUAGCAAAUGCCACAUCCAUUGCAAUGAUACUGGUUGUAACAUAUUAUCGCAUAAGUUAUCAAGAAAUUAACGUGAAUAAAUGAGAAACAAUAAAGGACGCCAAAGAUUUACGUGGUUUGGUACCAAGUGUCGGUACCUACAUCCACGGAGAGAGACGAUAGCAGAUAAUUCACUAAUAAUCGGAAAAUCUAAGUUUGCAGUCACUCACAUGCUCGAAUGGUUCUCAGGCAUUUGAUUUGUUUAUUUGACUUCUUCUCAAUCAUUGCAUUAAAUUUCUUGAACCAAUCGAACACUUUAUAUUUGUGUUUUAGAAAGUAUACCCAUACCUUCCUCGAAUAAUCGUUAAUAAGCGUCAACAUAUAUCAGACACCUCCUUAAGAAGGAACUGAAGAUGAGCCCCAAAUGUUUGAAUGAAUGUAUUCAACUGGUCGUUUAGUCGAAUGAACAACUGUAGUAAACUUAACUCGACGCUAUUUCCCAAAAAUGCAGUGCUUACAUAAGUCCAGCUUCCCUAUCUUUUGAACAACCCUUUAUCACUUAGCAUUGUCAUACCUGCCUUGCUCAUGUGCCCUAAACACAUAUGCCAUAAUUGAGUCAAGUUAGAAAGUGACUCACCUGAUAAAACUGCAAUUGUUUCGGUCAUGGUCUUUCCCAAUAGAUGAUAGAGAGUAUUUACUUUCUUUCCCUUCAUCAUCAUCAUAACACCUCAAGAGAUCUUCAGUACUCCACCUUCAAUGACGUACCUACACUCGAGUCAUCGAGUGUCCCUAGAGAAAUAAGAUUCUUCUUGAGCUCCGGUACAUGUCUCACAUCCGUUAAUGUACGCACCACCCCAUCAUGCAUUCGAAUAUGAAUUGUUCAUAUCUCCACAGCCUUGCAAGCUACAUUAUUUCCCAAAAGAAUGCUACUACCAUUUACAGUUUAGUAAAUAAUAAAUCAGUUCUUAUGAGGUGUCAUAUGAGAAGAACACCUUGAAUCUAUCAUCCAUUCGUCUCUUGACGAAGUGGUAGUCACAUAUAAAAUGGCUUCUACAUCACUAGUGCUCCCCUCGGUAACAUUUGCCACACUGCUUGUAGCAUUCUGUAUCUCACCUUUAUUCCUCCGCUUUGGACAAUUUCUCUUGAUGUGCCCCUCCUCAUGAUACUCAAAACACUUCACACGUCCCUUGGAAUUUUUAUUGCGUGAUUUCAAUAUACUUUUACAUCUGCUGCUACUAAGCCCUCGAUGUUGUUCUCUACCCCAAAUCGUUAGUGCUUGCAAUACUUCUUGCACCAGACUGUAUCUCACAAUUUUCUCUGCCACUCCUUAGAGAACAAGGCAAACUUUACAUGUUUUGAGGUAAUUGUAGUAUGCCCCUAUAAUAGUGAAUCAGUAAAGUGUUCCUAUGACUCUGAUAAAGAAGCUAACAACAUUAUGCUAUGUUCUUCAUCAUCAAGUAUCUUACGAACGUUCUUCAAAUCGAUCAUGAGUUUAUUGAAUUCAUUUUGGUGGAUUUUGAUAGACGUACCUUCAGUAUAUCUAUAUUGAAACAUCAUUUUCAACAUUUAUAAGCAAUUGUUCAAACAUUUCUUCACAUAGUGUUAUAUCCUGAAUUUCGACCUCGUCUUGAUAAUAUGAAAUAGGCAUUUCGUCGACGUGCCUAUGAUCCUAUUUCUCUGAGUUGGCCAUUCACAAGUUAACUAAUCUACCGGGUGAAGUCGUUAAGGGAUAUAAACGCAAUACACUUGAGAAUUCGAUUAGAAAUCGACUACUCGACCACGAUAAUUGGCAAGGGUCAAUAUGGCACCGUUAUAAUCGAUUAGUGAUCGGAUAUAGGUCGAUUCGAUGGAAUGACAUAAUUAAAUUGUGGGUGAUUUCACAUGUUUGCAAAAUUCUCGUCGAACGGCAUUAACCCGAUUUUCUAUCAAUUCUGUACUUGGUGCUCGUAAUUGAAAUCUUGAGAUUUUGACAACAACCGAAAGUUGCCGAUGAGUCGAAGAUGCACAAAUGUGGAUCGAAAAUUAUUAACCAAGGGUCAAACGAGAUAAAAUCCUUAAAAGCUACCUAGUAGGUUAUGUUGUACUAAAAUUGUGUCCAGUCGAUUUUAACCACGAAAUGGAAUUUGGCUUCGGGAAUCAUACGUUCGAGCGUCUCACGAUUUAUUUAUAGGAUGCCGUCUCGUCUUUCAGAGAAAUUCCGUCGAGCUUGGGAUUUUGCGGAAAAAUCAGUUGCGGCAAAAAAAGAAAAUAAAAGGGAAAUUCGGAUAGGUAGACCAAGUUGGAUUUUUCUACCUCAAUUAGGCUUAUUUUGGGAAAUUAAGCUUAGGAAAGUAAUUUGGGAGGAUGAACAUGUGCAUGAAGACUUUUGGGGCCUUCUAAUGAUGAUUUUAGAUAUUUCCCAUUGACUUUCCCUCUCUUCCCCUCUCUCAUGCACAUAUUCUUCCCCCCUUUUGCUGCCGACCUCACCCUUUAUUUUGCUGCCACAACUCCUCACACAUUUCUUCUUAUCUCCUAGCUAUUGCCAACACCAUCAUUUCCCUUCCCCCCCCCCCCAUCUUUCUCCUCUACCGCAUCAACCAUCGCCUCCACUUCCCCUCUUGUUUGCUGCCCCCAUCAUCUAACUCCAUUUGUACGCCCUCAUCCCACCACCUUCCAUCCAUCACGCUAGCAUCCAUCACCUACCGCCCAACUCCAUAGCAACUGUCCACCAAAACUCCAUGCCCGCAGCCACCAACGGCCAGCAGCUCAUCCCCACCGUUAGCUCCGUCCAACAGUCGCGCCGUCACCACCGAGUAGCCACCACAACUUAGCCACUAGCGUCCACCCAAACCGAGACCAAGCUGAGCCGAACCUUUCAUUUUGGCCGUGAGCUAGUCAGGCCAGCACGGCCGCCAGUGGAACUCCAUUCGAGUCAUGGUAGACUCCGGUUCUCGUUGCCGUCGCGUUGCCAUCACCGUGAGCCCGCCGCCGUUGAAUUUUGGUGAGUUAACUUCCUAAUCCUUAAUUAGGUUGUGAAUUUCACUUAGGGGUUAUAUUAGUGUUAAUUAUCAUGGUUAGAUCAGUGCUAAGAAUCAUUAGUGUUAAUUAAGUUGGAUUAGCUUAAAUUCAUAUUAGUUCACUGGACCCUCGUUGUUUGCCAUUUUUGUUGGGAAAAUGUGCUAUGAUUUCGAGGUUGCUUUCUUCUUAAAAAAUGUUCUAGACAUCUUCAGCUAUGACAUAUAUUUUACUCAGAAUUUUUUAUGGAUUUAAAUGAACAAGAUUUCAGUCUCGCCAUUUGCAAAAUAGAAUCUCGGAUUGUGCUGAAACAGUGACCUUUUGGUGUUCAAUGGAUUUUUAUCAACUCUUAGGGUUCGAUUUUUAAAAUAUUUUUUGCACGAAAGUUGUUUUUCACAUCUUGUAUUUUAACAUAUUCAAAUUUCAGAUCAAACAGACAAGUUUUGGACCUUGAACCAAACUGAUUUUGAAAAAUAUAAUUUUUGGAUAUGGGCACAGUUUUUGUAAUGGUUUGAGUGAAUUACUGCUCUUAAUCUAGGAAGAUUUGGGUUAAGGUGUCUUCAAUAAAAAUAUUCGUUUAAGUGUUCUUUACAACAUAUUCAUAUUUGAGAAUUUUUCAAAUUCGUUUGAUUAUGUUUCUGGAUUUAAACUCGGAGAUGCGCGAGUGGCCCAAUUUCUGUCGGUUAGCACCGGUUGUGAUUUUGUUAUUGUUCUUGGUGUAGUACUUGCUGAAUGAUGUGUAUUUGGUGAUGAGGUUGACUUGUGGCAUGCUGAGAACUUAUGUGUGAGAUCGUGAGGUUAAUUGGUCUUUGUUGGUUAUUUAUUGUUAUUGCAAAAGGUGACUCUUUGGACUAUUAAAUAGAAAAUAAAUGAGGUGUCGGGUCCGGACACCAAAACUUGUUUGCCCAAUACAACAAUAAGGUUUUAAACUAGGUGCGUGCAAAUUUUGACGGAUUAAUUUUGAGUAUGUGAGCACUUAUGAAUUUAUUUCUAAAUGUGUUGAACAAAAAAAAAAAAGAGGUUAUUAAAGCUUAGUUCCAAAAAUGAGUGUUUGGAAAAGAAAUUAGAAAAAUAAAUAUGGUGUCGGGUUUGGACGCCAAGUUUUAAGUGCUCAAUAAAACGAGGAGGUUUUAUACUAAAUGCGUGCAAAAUUUGACGGGUUAAUUUUAAGUACAUGACCCUGUACAAAUUUAUUUUGAAAGGUUUUGGAAAAAAAAAGAAGGUAGUUGCAAGUUUUAUUAUUUGAAAAGGAAUUUUGGUUUUCUUGGCUAAAUGACAGAAGAUAAGAAAUGGGUUUGGUUGAUGACAUGCGUGUAUGGUCACUAAGUGGAACCCGUCACUCAACGGAAGUUUGGGAGCGAUGCCUAAUUUUAUCGGAUGCCUAGUGGGAGUCCAGAAGUUGGUAGCAGUGGAGGCUGGACCGAUGCUCCUUUAUGGGAUGCUGUUUAGGCAGGGGUUCUAGACGUUGCCGUGUUUGAUGGGGCAGGACAAUGCCUGAUUUUUAUCAAAUGCCUAGCGGGGGUUUGGAUGAUCGCCAACUAGGGAGUUGGCUGUGGGCGAUGGGCCUUAAUAACUGGAACAUGCCUGAGUGAUUGAAAGAGUUUUGCCUUAUUAUCGGGCGAAAUUAUGUGGCACAGUAUGGGACGUGUCAUAACGGUUUGGCCUUAUAAUUGUGAUCCUUGUGAUUAAUUGAUAUAUGAAAGUGAGGCAUUCUUGUUGUUGAUUACGCUUGCUACGUGUAUAAAUGUAUAUGAGAUGUACUAAUGUGCAGGGAGGUGCUGAGGCGAGAUAAGUUUUGAGUGGUGCAUGUUUAGGAUGCCUCUAAGUGAAUUCUCGUCAUAAUCGGAGUUUAGGGUAUUCACUCGCUGAGACAUUGUCUCACCCUGUCGUGGUUUAAUUUUUUCAAGUCCUUAGUGUGGAGAACCCGGAGCCCGAGGCUAAACGGUCUGAAGCGUAGAUGGCCCAGUAGAUUCUUUUAGGUCAGACCUUAUGUUUAUAGACCUAUUAAGACUGGUUUGAUAUGUGUAUAAAGUGAUUUGUGAUAAUUGGCUUGUCUUUCCACUAUCCCAAUGUUUGAUGGUGGUCAGGGUAUCUGUUUAUUUCGCUUCUGCAUGUGCAUAAAAUGAAAGAGUCGGUGACACAUCUUGGGAACGUCGCAAAAUUUUAGUCGACCGUCGAGGGAUGUGUGCAUGCCCGGGGUUCGGGGCGUGACAUAGAGUGCUUGAAGUCUUGCUCAUAAUGCUGCAACAUUCUUCUCGUCGGCAACUUCUAUUAAAAUCUCAUCUGACAAGUUCAACAGAAUUGUGCUAUUUGCUCUUUCCAUUAGAUCUAUCCUCUUAGCGGCUUUCAUUAUAGUCAGCAACUCAUCUUCAUGAUCAAGUGCCUUGGCCAAACCUUGGGUUGUUAAUAAUGCCUACAUCUUGAUGCUCCAUAACCCAAAGUUGUUCCUCUCAUUGAACUUCUCAAUUUCCGAUUUCCUCUUAAACAUAAUUGCAAUAACGGAAUUUCCAAAUAACAAUUAGACAAGCAAAAACUCCAUAUCACAAUCAAUAAAUUUGAUCCCAAGCUUUGAUACCAAUUGUUGAAAUAUAUAAUGCGUGAAAAUGACAGGAUCUUACAAUUUACGUCAACAUGAAAUCACUAGAGAAAUAAAUGAAAAAUAAUAAGGAUACCAAAAAUUUACGUGGUUCGGUCCCAACAAAGAGAAUCGGUAGCAAAUAAUCUACUAUAAUCAGAGAAUCAGAGUUUACAAUUGCUCACACGCUUAAGUGUUUUCCAUACCUAGAUUUAAGCCAAAACCCAAAGUAUUUAUAAAUAAACAACUCACUUAGAGAUAAACUCACGACACAAAAUUACUGCACAUUCAAGCUCAAAGUAAAAUGUUCUACGUACACCAAAAUAAGAACUAGGCAUCUGUCUCUUCUCCACAUACGUAUAGCUUCGCAUUCUCUACCCCUUCAAGGCUUGUGCGAUGUAUGGACGUGGACGUGCGGCUCCUUUUUUCUUUCAUAGGGCUUCUGUUCUUUUUUCCAUUAUAGAGCACUUCUUUUAUGUUCUGUGCCCAUAGUCAAAACUUUGACUCUGGGCCCCACCUUGGAUUCUUUUCUCCAAUAUGGGUUCUUCUUCUACCUUCUUCUGCACGUACAAAGAAAGAUAGAAAACCCUAACUUUUUUUUUUUUUUUAAUUUUAUCUUUAUUGUAUUUCCUCCUUUGUGCAACUAUAAGGAGUCCAACAAAAAAAAAAGGGUUUUUUCAUCCAAUUUGAAAUUUACUUGGAAAAUCUUUCUUAACAAGUUUAAUUUAACAAAUUAUUAUCCAAAUUCAAACUCGAAACAUUAAUUUAACAAAAAUAUCAUUUGCAUCGAUAGUUAUUUGAAAUUUUCUAAAUCGUUUUGGCUUUUAGAUAAGUUUUAAAAUUGGAACCUCCUUGGAUGCAAUGGCAGAUAUAACUUGCUUCAAUUUUGGCUUAUAUGCUAGUUUUUAGGUCCACACCAUAUUGUGUAACGAGGCAUAUCUUUCUUUGAGAAAGCUACUCUCACCGAAUUAUCUUAAAUAGUAACUUGUGCCAUUUUGCUGGUCCUUUGUGUUUGCUUUUGUGAGUUCGGGCUUGUAUUAUAUCUUUCCUUCUUAGACAGUUCUUUGCCUUAUAUUUCUUAUUCAAUUGUUGGAUGCAUCAAAGAGCAACCAAAAGCAUCCGAUCCAUUCAUUAAACACAUGAACUCAUAUUCUAGUGGAGUUAUUCGCCAAAUAUAAGAUAUGGACACCUUGACGCGCUAUUUGGAUGGUGCCUCAAAUUUCAAUUUACGCUUCAUAUUCUUAUCGCAGGAUUUCGAACAACCACCUUACCCUACUCAAUUUGAUUAAUAUCAAAACACUGUAAGUGAGUCAGCUUCAUUACUAAACUAAGUAGAUCACCAAGUCAACAAGCAAUUCACCGCCUCAAUCAAAGUCCGGACAUGCUAGCAUAAUAAACCAAGCGGAUGUCAUGAAAAAAAUGCAUAAUAUAUGCUAAUCACUAGAGGUGAGAAAAUGGAUGAUGAACCCAUAUUGUAAUUCAGAUUCAACGACCUGGUAAUAACAUGAGUUGUUAGCUAUCUGUGAUAAGGGGGAGGUCUAAAACUUUUUUUUUUUUUUUAAUCUCAAACCACUCUUAAAUGUGGUGCGACACAAACAUGGACAUCACCUGUACUUAGUUCACUAAUCAGAGAUAUGACGGACCUCACUAAAAGAGUGCACCAUUUCAUGGCAUUAAUAUAAUAACAAUGAAAACAAUAAUAAAUAAUAAUAAUUUGUGCGUCCUUCGUGCAAUUGGUCGGCUAAAUGUUCUUUGAGUCAUGGUGUAAACCAAGAGUUCAUGUACUAGAUCUUAGAAGGAACUUCUGAUACCCUCAACAGUUUCAUCGUAUUUUUGUCAUCGGGUCUUCCUUUCGUAACACACACACACACACACAGANNNNNNNNNNNNNNNNNNNNNNNNNNNNNNNNNNNNNNNNNNNNNNNNNNNNNNNNNNNNNNNNNNNNNNNNNNNNNNNNNNNNNNNNNNNNNNNNNNNNAUUUUUAAUUCUUUUAAUGCCUUAUCGAAAAAAAAAAAAACAGUUAGUAUCUCUUAGCAAAUCCCUCAAGUUAGCACAUGGAUUACAUAAUACAUUGCAUAGACAAUCCAUUAAAUAUUUAAUUAUUGUAAUUAGCGUGUGAUAUCGCAUAAGUGUGGAUAAGGAGAGUAGCUAAGCUAAGCUCUUAGAAUAGAUCAGAGGGAUAAAUAAUUAACUUGAUGCUAUGGACUGCUUCGAUGUCUCCUUUUGCAUGUCCAGCUCCAGCCCGUUCCAACCAUUUUAGUCGGUCUUUUGGAUCGAUGGUUUCAUUACUUUGUUCUUCAGUUAUAAAAUGGAAGUUUAGUGGAGUAAUGCGUAACAAUUGAAAGUUUAGAAGGAACCUUGUAUUACCCCUUAAAUUAGGGUAAUUUUUGUGUAAUUUUCGCGUACAUUUAUUAUGUGAUGCCCAAUUUCUAAAACAUUAUUCGCAAGGUGAUAGGGUAGGGUGAAUUUAGAAAAUUAGGUGUAUAACUAUGAGAAGCCAAACUUAUAAGGUCCAUGAUUAGUGUGAGCCCAUUACAAUGUUGGCUCAACAAAAAUGGGGAAAUUGUCCAAAAAGUCCUAAACAUAUUGCACUUUUACCAAUUCAAUCAUAAACUUUUAAACUUUACCAAUUCAGUUCUAAACCUUUUCACUUUUUGUCAAUUGAGUCUAUUCAGCCAAUUUUGGCUGAAAAAUGAUAAUGCGGAUGCUAGUGGUGCCACGUAGGACCGCUAGCACUAAUGUGGAUAAUUUUUAAUAACAUUUUAAUAUUUUUUGAAUUUUUUGAAUUUUUGANNNNNNNNNNNNNNNNNNNNNNNNNNNNNNNNNNNNNNNNNNNNNNNNNNNNNNNNNNNNNNNNNNNNNNNNNNNNNNNNNNNNNNNNNNNNNNNNNNNNGCAUUAAAAUAUUAUUAAAAAUUGUCAACGUCAACACCUGCGGUUCUAUGUGGCACCACUAGGGUCCACAUCAGCAUUUUCCAGCCAAAAUUGGCUUAAUAGACUCAAUUGAGAAGAAGUGAAAAUGUUUAGGACUAAAUUGACAAAAGUAUAAUAGAUUUAGGACUUUUUGGACAAUUUUCCCGACAAAAAUCGAUGGACAUCUGACUUCACAGCCUUGAGUAAGGACAUUCAUAAAUAUCACAAUUUCUUAGUCCUAGCCGCAUGGAACUGGUAAUGUUUUCCCGCAAUGGAUCCAAACCUGUAGAACAGCAAACACCUUUCUACAAACAAGUCUCACCGGCGAAUAUUCUCUUACGAAUUUGUGUUAGCAAGGCAAGACUGUCACGUCAUUUCUUGAAUCAAAUAGAAACUGCACAUUGCCAUUUCCGCCGCCUUCAGUUUAUACACUCUGCAAUGCACGCACAAUAACCGUUCAAUCACAGAGCUUUACCUCAAAUCAAAAAGGAGGACGCGUCACUCCUUCCAUGCAAUGGCUGUUUUUCAGCAAGAUUGAAUAGCAGCAAGCUAUACAGCAUGACAAUAAGGGAAGGAGAUUAACUUCAGUUCUUUCCAUCACUAUUUAUGCUGGCCUAAGCACCGGAUAACUGAAGCUUACCACAUUCUCUCGCCCCACAAUUCUGAGAAAGAAAAUACAGUUGGACAUGUAUCAAAAGUGCAACAUCAUCAACGACAAAAAAAUGAUGAAAGCAACAUCCAGAAGCAGGGAACUCUGUAUAAUUUGAAAUAUAAAUACCCAAAGGGAAACCAAUAAUCUUCUCCAAGGGUGAUGAUUGACGGAAAAUGGGAUGCAUCUAGGAAUUUUAUCUAACAUUCUCAAACUAUUAGUUCGGGUCGUAGAUUCAUACUAUAUCUAAUCAUCUAGCUAUUAUUUGUGAAAAAAUUUUGGGUACUUUUGAAGCAUGACGUUUUUGUAAUCGCUUUGACACUAUUGCGUAUCACUGCCAAUGGUGGCCAUACCUACAAAUGCCACAUCCAUUGCAGCGAUUCUGCUUCUUGGAUGUCCGUAAAAAUAAAUAAAUAUAUAAAGUAAGAUGUUAGGACCAUGUGAUCAUAUCGUCUUCAACUGCAGGAUCCAACACCCAACACUUUUGAGAAUAUGUAAAAUGCAAUUAAGGAACUUUUUUCUUUCACAUGUUCGCACGUCAUCCAGCAUUUUUAUGCUCAGGGUUUUGAAAUAUUUGCUAGGGGCAUAGGGCGGACAGAGACUACUUCUGACAUAGAGAGUGACUCGACCAAUGCCACUGUCCAAGACACAUGAAAGAAAUUGAGCAGCGAAUGGGAAAGAUUUGGCGCACAUCAUCAUCCAAAAACUUACAAGUCCAACAAAAGUAAUUCCCCAUGCAAACACCACCCGUGAACAUGUAAGGUUGAGAAUCAACAUCUGCACUGUAAUUUAUUUUUGGCCAGUCUUUUUAAACAACUUCACAUUUUUUGCCUUCCUUCAAAAAGCUCUUUAGUGCAAUCAAAGUAGGUAAUGAAGGACAAUGUUUAAAAUUACCUAUUGAGCACUAUCACAGAUUGAACUUACAACCUGAAACAAAACAUGUAGGUAAGUGGGAACAUCAAGUAAUUAGUCGAUCUAUAAACACGCUAGAAAUUCGAUAGCAUCCAUCCGCUGAGCUUGAUGGCAAGGUGAGUCAAUGCCCUGCUUUUGUCUACAUUGAUAUGUUAUUCUGGUCAUAAGAGAACGGUAUUCUUAUGAAAAGCAUGUCCACAGGUUGAAGAUUGAAGAAUCGAAUAUUUGACAUAUUCACUAAACUGUGGACUACUCAUCCGAACUCAAAUGACAUGGCAACUUCUGCGCAUAUCCGUCAUGCAGUAAUGGCAAACUGCACAUACCAAAAUAUUAGAGCACACACUACAAAGUUAGCAACAGGUCAGAACGCAAUCUCAUCUUAAGAUAACUCAUGUCACUAGUGCCCAAAAUCUUGGAGGCAGCUGAAGCGGUGCCUAUAUUUUGGUUAACGAUCAUCCUCUAAUAUAUGACUAAUAAAAACUCAAUUGCAAUCUAUCAACUGAGCUUGCACGAAAGUAUCUCGUAGAUAUCUAGUGCGUUCUUCUUGCCAUAACAAAAGGAAGUUCUCAAGCACACUUAAGUUUAUGAGGGGCACAAGGAAUCACCUUUGCAUCAUCAUGACGGUGAAGGCAAUAAAAAAUCUCGUUGCAAUGGGGGGCUCCAAUGCGGCACCUUCGACGGUAAUGACGACGUCUGCCACAGCAGCAGCAGCAGCAACUUUGAUAUUAACUGAAAGUUGAGAAGGACAAAGCUUGAACUACUAUUGCUCAAGAAUGAGUCGAGACAUUACUUGCACGGCAAGUACGGCUCUCUAACGAAUCAGUAGCAAUAGCAUCUUCACGGUCAAAACAGAGCACGGUCGGAAACACGAUUGGACAGUGCUGGAAUUGUAGCAACAGGAGGCAACCGUGUGGCGGCCGAUGAGGAGGAAAUGCAACUUUAAUUAUGAGCCAGGAGUGGUGGUGAUCGCCUUAUCCGAAAUGGAGCGGCUGUGGAACUAGAGGGAAAGCGGGACUGACAGAACGUUUCUCUGUUUUCAGUUCCCCUUCUUGCCCGCGCGCGAGCCUUCGUUCGAGGGGAGAGAGAGAGAGAGAGAUAAAAGUAGGGAAGGAAAGAGGCCGGGCCUCCUCUCCGCAUGGGCCUUGGACCUAGGAUGGGCUCCAUGUUUCAGCUCCUUUCUGUUGCUGAGCCUUUUUCGAUGGCUAUUGGACAAAUCUUAAGAGAUCUGGGCUUAAGUCCGAUAUUACCGGCAAAAAUUUGGGUGUCAACGUCCACAUUGCCAACUCUGUUGAUUGGAUAAAUAUGUUCAUCCUGUUUUCCAGUGACCAUAAUUGGUUCUGUCGAAGUAUCGAUGUUUGGUGGUAGAUUGAGCCUGAUAAACAACUGGACUAAGGUUGGUAGCCAUAGAAAAAGAUUUUUAUAAUCAGAAGUAAACAACACUCCAAAGUACAAUCUUACCAAAAAAAAAAAAAAAAACACUUCAAAGUACAAGCAACGCAAUCUUUAAUGCCAAUUAUUGAGGUCAAUAAUGCAACCUAACGAAGGGAUGAAUGGGUUGAUCUACAAAAGUUAAAAAAAAAAAUAUGUAAUAACUCAAGUUAAGAAACACAAAUUAAAUGAAAGGGGAAAAGGCCUCAAUAACAAAAAGGUCAAAUGAUAAUAUUUGAUUAUGCGUUCUGUACAUAUAAAGGUUUAAUUAAUGUAAAAUGAUUGAUCAACAAAAAACCUUGAAAGAAGUUAUCAAUAAGAAUGAUGUCCUUAACUCAUAAAAGACACAGAUGAAUCAAAAUCUAAGGUGAUUUUGUCAAUAAAAUAUUUUUAUUGAUCAAUUUUCUCUUACAUUAAUUAACCAUUUAACAACACAAAAUGAGCGUCAAAUUUUUGUUAUUUGACUUUUUUGUUGUUUGGGGCAUUUUUCCUUUCUACUUAAUUGCGUUUCUUUUUCUUCAAAUACCUACUAGUUCUAUUAAUAUAUCCAUCAAUUUUCUACCAAAUUUUAUUAUCUAUAUUAUUAUUGAGAGUCAUUUUUAUGGUACUGAUAAUUUAGUUUGUUUUUCUCCAUUUUUUGUAUUUUUUUUUCUUACGGAAAUCAACGGUAAAAGGCAGCCUUCUUUCACGAAAAAUAAGAUGAAGAACAAGUUUAUCCCUUUAAUGUCAUCUGCAUUGCACGUGUGAUUGGAGAAUAUAGUGAAAUGUUAAUGGCUAUAACCAAAUAAAAAUUCAAGAAUUAAUGUGUAGCAGUGGAAAGUUUAUGUCAAACAUGUAUUACCCCGAAAUUUGGAGCAAUUUUGUGUAAUUUUUCCAUAAAUUUAUUAUGCAAUACCGAAUUUCUAAUAUAUUCGCAAGGAGAUUAGUGUGUUUUUAGUAUGCUGGGUGUGGAAAUAUGAGAAGCCAAACUUAUAUUGUACAUAAGUUUCGUAAUUAGUUUAUCAUAGUGAUGUUUGUGAAGUCACUACGAGAAGGUCCUUUGUUUAGCUGCAAUUUCUCAUCCCGUAACCCGAACUCGCAAGUCUUCUUUUUCUUUUUUUCUUGGUGAGUACCAAAAAAUCUGCCAUCAAAAUGACAAAAGAUUGUCUUGAAGUGUUUGAACACAAAAUAAUGCCACAUAAUCCUUCCGUUUCUAAUCUGAUAUAUCUCUCUAAAUUCUCCCACCGUCCCUGUCUCCUUCCGCGAAAAUCAAUCCCCCCUUCUUUUUUUUCGCUUGACCACUCUGGGCCGACUUCACACGUGCCACCNNNNNNNNNNNNNNNNNNNNNNNNNNNNNNNNNNNNNNNNNNNNNNNNNNNNNNNNNNNNNNNNNNNNNNNNNNNNNNNNNNNNNNNNNNNNNNNNNNNNNNNNNNNNNNNNNNNNNNNNNNNNNNNNNNNNNNNNNNNNNNNNNNNNNNNNNNNNNNNNNNNNNNNNNNNNNNNNNNNNNNNNNNNNNNNNNNNNNNNNNNNNNNNNNNNNNNNNNNNNNNNNNNNNNNNNNNNNNNNNNNNNNNNNNNNNNNNNNNNNNNNNNNNNNNNNNNNNNNNNNNNNNNNNNUUUUUAUUUCGAAAUAACUAUAUUUGAAGUCCAUAUAAGAAAAUUCAAAAUGUCAAAAAAUAAUAAUUUAUUUUUUUAAUUCAAUCUUAUUUUUACUAUAUAUUUGAAUUCAUUUCUAUCUUAUAAUACAAAUUCGAUAAAUAAAAUGUAAAUAUAUAUUUAUAUAUUACAUAUUUUAGGUAUUUUAAUAUUUUAGGUAUGUUAUUAUGGUUUACUGCUUAAUAAAAAUUUAUUAGAGAAUAAUGGAAAGGGAAUAAAUAAAUAAAUAAUAAAUUAAUUAAAAAAUAGAGGAAAAUAUAAUAAAAAAGAAAAUAAAAAUAAAGUAGGCAAACAUGAGAGAUUUUACUAUUUCUGUUUAUUAAUUUUUAUGUUCAUUUACAUUGAUAUGUCAUUUAUACCAAAUAAUGUACAUGAUAUUAUGAGAAUAUAUCCGAUUUUAUUAUUACGAUCAUCAAAUAGUGGAUAUAAUAUGGUAAAAUCCCAAUAUUUUAUAUCCCAUCAUAUUCAAUUCUAUUUUGAUUGAAAAUUCAUACGACCGAAUGUAACCAAAAAGGAUAGAGAGAUUGACGAGCCGAUUCGAGUUUAGCGAGCUAUGUUGAUGGGCCUUCGAAACCUAGUUCGCGGGCUGAUUAGCUUCCCUGGGUCAAAAGGCCAGAGAAAAUGGCUGCAUUUGGGCCGCAAGAUGCUGACAAUCCUCAACAACGGACCGGACUACCCAUGGGCUUUCAGCUUGGCCUGGGAUAAGGAGAGUUGUAGAUAAGCUAUCACUUUCUAUCCUCACCUACGAAUCACCAUUUUUCCUCCACAAAUCAGUUCCAACCUACCCUCAACGGGAGCGCCAAGGCUUCUCUCACUGCCAGUAUUUCAGGUACGAGGGCCGUCAGAGCAUGGAUUUUCUUGGCGAAGCCGGCCAUGAGAGCUCGUGAGCAUCUCUACACACCCCAACUACUGAACCCGCUCAAGAGCGAAUGUUGUGCACUGAGGCAGCAAAUACCUCUCAUGAAUCGCAUGCUUAAUUGCUUUGACCAAUCACCUUGUGCCAUGUGUUUAUGUGUGUUUCUCAUCUCAUUACAAAUACUAACACUCCCAUCAUUCGCAUGGAUAAUUGCUUUGACACUGUUGAGUCUUACUUCCAACGGUGGCCACACCAGCAAAUGCCACAUCCAUCGCAAUGAUACUGGUUGUAACAUAUUAUCCUAUAAGCUAUCAGGAAAUUAACGCGAAAUUAUUAAAGAAAUAAAUGAAAAACAAUAAAGGACACCAAAGAUUUACGUGGUUCGGUACCGAGUGUUGGUAUCUACAUCCACGGAGAGAGCCGACAGCAGAUAAUUAACUAAUAAUGGGAAAAUCCACGUUUGCAGUCGCUCACACACUCAAAUGUUUCUCACACCUAGAUUAGACUCAAACUUAAAGUGUUCGCAAAAAUACUCAACACAAAUCCAUGGUGUGCAUAGCCCCCGUUCACGGCCAAGCAACAAGCGCCUCACUCCCGGAUUCUUCCUUUCGCUCUUCAUGCGGCGUUCCCCAGGAAAUCACGGUGCGGCCAUUGUACUCUCUUUCUUCUUGUGCGGCUGCAUUUUGCUAAGGAACCCACUCCACGCUUCUCAAAGAAAGAAGCAACUGGCAGCCAUUCGCACAACGAGGAACUCCUUUUGUCUUGCAGUGGCAGGGGACUUCUUUCCUCCCAUUCGUCCAACCUUUGGCAAAGGUGAGUCCAACUCUUCAAUUUUAUUGUGUUGUCAAACUUGGAUAUUUAUUCAAUAUGGUUGGAUUCCAUAAACGGCUUAUACUCGAGACAUAAUUUAACGAUACCGCAUAAAUGUCUGCAGAAAAAAAAAGUAAGACGUGAGGUCCAUGUAAUCAUAUUGUCUCCUGCUGCAGGAUAUGACACCUAACACUUAUGUACAAUGCAAAUAAGAAAUUUCCUUUCUAACAUGAUUGCCCAUUGUUCAUUUUUUAUGCUUUUUGUUUACAUUGAGACUACUCAAGGCAUAGGAGAACAGUAUGUUAGGUUAUGGAAAGCACGUCCGUGUGCUAAAGAUUGAAGAAUCACAAUUCAUCAUCAUAUUCACUGAACUAUAGGGUACUUAUCAGAACUCAAUCCACAUGGUGACUUUGAUUUAUGAUACAAAGGAAGUCUGAUGCAAUUAACUAGUGAAUUAACUUCUAGAGAAUAUCAAUGGCAACCUUCUGCACAUAUUUGUCACAUGAAAAUGGAAACCUGAACAUAUCGCAAUAUAAGCACACACAUUUCAAAGUUAUCAUCAGGUCAAAAUGUAAUCUAAUAUGAAGAUAAGACGUUAGUACCCAAAAUCUAUAGGCACCCGAAGCAGUGCCUCCAUUUGGUUGAUGAUCAUUCUCUAAUGUAUGGCAAGCAAAACUUUAAUUGCAAUCUAUUAACUAAGCUUACUCUAAAGUAUCUCCUAGAUAGACAUCUAAUGCCUUCUUCAUGUCAUGACAAAGGAAGUUACCAAGCAUUCUUAAGUCUACGAAGGGCAAAAGGGAUCACCUUCACAUCAUUAUGACAGUGAUGGCAAUUAAAGAUCUUGCUGCAACAAGGGGCCAUAAUGCAGCACCUGCACCAGUAAUGAGGACAUCUGCAGCAGCAGCAACUUUGAUAUCAACUGAAAGUCGAUGGGAAUUAACUUGGAACCGAUAGUGCUAAAAAAUGAGCCGAGACAUUACCAUACUGCGAGUGCCCUCUCUCUAGCAACCCGGUAGCAUUAGCAUCUUCUUCAGCUUUUUCAACAGGCAUCUGUUCCACAUCCAUCUACUGAAGGACUGCCAGCCCAUCGUCUGUCUGAAUUCUUUAUAUAUGACAUGCUGAAGGUUCCCGUAUCAAACUGAUGAAACCCUAGUUUUCAAUAGCUAGUUCAUCCAUUUUAGUUUGACUCUGCUGAGACUACCAGCUACCUAGGCUAGCGAUGAGAAGCACCUACAGAGAUGAGCAAACUUAUCAACAUUCCAUAACCUCCUAAGAAUUUUACUUGGCCAGUCAAGCAAGGAGACUCUGCAACAUUGAUUUCAUCUACAAGGCUCAAGACCAUUUGACAUCGACAAUAAGACCGUUCAAUCAAUGUGGAACAGCUCCAAUCAACAGUGCUCCACUUGAAGGAAUCGUCAAAACAAGUAGAUCUAAAAGAUUCAUAUAAUAACAUAAGUGAAGGAUUGAGGAACACCAGGGCAUCCCGUCAUAGGUAAUAAGGAACCGUGUGUCAUGAUCACUUGAUUCCUUGAAGUCUGGAACAAAGCAUACCUAACACGACCAUGAAUGAGCCCAUCUCUGGUGAAAGCCAACAAAAUCACACAAUCCAAUUGCUCUAAAAUGAAGUAAGACAACAGAAUAUGGCGAAAGAUUGCAAGAGCAAAACUUGUCCAUCAAGGAUAUACUACCUCCUCCUACAAUUCUGCUUGAAGCUUUCUUUGAAAAUUGCCAAUAACUCAAGCCUCAGACAUCAACUGUGCUGACUCAUGAGACUUUUCUUGUCAGAAGGCUCUUCCAACAAAACAAAUACCUUCAAGUUGACUAGAUGAUUCCAUAAUGUACAUCUGCUGAGGACAGACAUAUAUGUCCUUAAGUAAGAACCUUCAUGAAGAAGGUAUUUAUCCAGGCUAAUUGACCAACUUUUUCAUUUAUUCCACAUGUUAUGCAAGAGUCAACACAAAUCGAAUUGUCUUCAUGAUUCUAGUCCAAAUUUUCCCAUUUCAGGCGGUAUGAGCAUAUGCCUCUUCCAUGUGCAUGAAUCAAAUGGGUGGGUUAAGUUGGAGGGAGGCAUGGAGAGAAUGAGAGGAAUAAUCUUUCUUUUUUAAGCCUAGAAUUAUAGCCAAAGCUCCACUAAACGGAAUCAUAGCUCACAUCCAAGGAAUUUUGCCUACACAAACAGUUAAGGAAGCAACCACUUCAUUUGUGUUUCAUGAAACAAGUAAAUUCUGCCAUCUAUUGCCAUGGCGGACUGUUGCUUUAGAACAACACGUUGAUCUAUUGUUAAUCAUUGCAAAUGCUACUUUAGUAAUCCUCUUCCGACAGCAAUCAUCAGCAAUAGGAAUCUUGUUCCAUUUCAUGUACACUAGCCUAUAUGAACCAGCCUCUCUUCUGUGCCAUGGUCCACCAUCUUGAUUAAAUCUCCUUUCAUUGUGCAGGGGGAAAAAAGGCAGAGCAUGAGCAUAGAGAUCCCAGAAUUCUACUUUGAAACCCAAACUACAGUAUCCGCAUUAUGCAUUUAUCUUAGAUAUGUUCAAAAGCCGACCAUUCUAGCAGAUAUUUCCCAAUGUUCUCAAUUUGCUACAUUGCAUGAGAACCAGGAUCUAGGGUAAAGGUCAGAAAGCUUGUCACUCGAAUGAGCAAAAGACUUCAAACCUAUACAUCUGGAGAAGGCAGAUCUAGUGCUGCGAAGGGGCUCCUGUUCGUCUUGGGGAUGGCAAAGUAUCUUGACAGGAAGGGAUCACGGUAGGAGACGGGACUGAAAUCAGAAUAAGAAAAGAUAACUGGCUAAGAUCUGGAGUCAUUGGUGGCGAGGCAGCCCCCCAACUAGUGGCAGGCUUAAUUGACAAAGAGGAAUUCAAGUGGAAAGAGCAUAUGAUUAAUGGGAUAUUUGACGAAAGAACUACGAACGAAAUCCUAGCUGUUCCUAUCAGUUCAACCAUGGACAAAGACAAGAUGGUUUGGACAUGCACAACCUCAAGCUCUAACUCAGUGAAAAGUGCCUACCAUCACUUAAUGUCAACAGAAACAAAGCAGCAAGCAGAACAACUAACAUCCUCAUAUCAAACACCCAGAUACCAAUGGAAAUUGAUUUGGAACAUGAAUGUUAACACAAAAAUGAGGCUCUUUACUGGAACGUGUGCCAAAAUGCAAUCCCAUCUUUAGAGAACUUGUUCAAACGGAAAGUCUUACCUGAACCCAUCUGCCCCCUUUGCCAAAAGACCCAAGAAACAGUUGAGCAUAUUUUUCAAUGAUGCGACUGGACUCGUGAGGUCUGGAAUCACCCAAAAUUAGAUAUCAGAAUCACGGGCAAGGAGCUCAGUCACAUGGAGGAGACGAUUCUACAAUGAGGUAACCCAAAUGCAAACUCACUUUCACAAGAUUUGGUAGCAGGGGUUCUCUGGAACAUUUGGAAGGCUUGGAACCAUUUCAUCUUGCGCCAUCAAAAACCAGGUUAGAGUAGCAUAGUGGAAGCGACCAUGGCUGCACAAAAGAACUUUGAGAGAUGGAAUUAUAGAAGGCAAAAACGAACACAGCAGCAGGAACUCUUACCCGAGAUGUGAAACCCAUCGAGAAGGGGUUGGCUGAAGAUCAACGUUGGCGGGUCUCUAGUGGACGGACAAACCGCGGGAAGCGUUGCCGGGAUAUGCGGAGACGAAGCUGGGAGAGUGGAGAAUCAUUUAUUUUGCAUUUCUCAAUCUAUACAAUUACCUUCGGCAUGUUAUCAGGUGCCCUUAUACAUUAGGUUUUUUUUUCAGUAAUUCCAGAAUUGCAGAAUCAAUCAGACGUGGAGAAUCUUUAUUUUUUUGCAUCGGAUGAAGAAUCUUACCCGAAGACUAAUGACAAAUGAUUCACUUAGAAGACUUUUUGAUUUACUUCCGAUACUAGCAUGAUGUGCAAAAAUAUCAUGCCAAAGCACACAUUAACUUCUAGGAACAUCUCCUCUGGAUUCCUAGAAAUCAAAGAAGAUAAUUAUAAAACUGCCAACCAUGAUAUACUAAUAAAAAGGUAACAAAUCUUAAAAGAAAAUGCAAACAAGAAACACAAAUGAAAAUUGGGCAGUAAAUCUCAAAAGAGAAAGAGGGAGCUUCCCUACUUUAUGUACCUUUAUUAGGAAAUGUGGAUCAUCUCAAUUAUUCCGACUCAUCCCAUCCUAGUUAUCUCGUCCAAAUAUCUUCAGACCUUUGGGUAUUUGGAUGGUUGAGCCUUCCAAUUUAACUUUAGUCAAACAUUCCAACCCAUCGAGACCUAGAAUUUCGACUAAGUUGUUGCAAUUUUGAGCAAUUAACAUCUUUAGACCCUUGGAUUUUGAAAGAUCCAGCUUUUUAAUUGAAGUGCACGAGAUAUUAAGCUUUUCCAAUGACUUCAACCAUUGGAGACCUCGAAUUUCAACUAGGUUUUUGCAAUUUUUAGCAUCUAGUACCUUCAGAUCCUCAGAUUUUGGAAGGUCUAGCCUUUUAAUUGAAGAACACUCAAAGAAAAGUAACUCCUUCACGGACCCUAAAAUAUGGAGAUGUUCAAUUUCGAUUAAGUUUUUGCAAUAUUGAACAUGCAAUAUCUUCAAACUCCCGGAUUUUGAAAGGUCCAACCUUUCAAUUGAAGUGCACCUGACAAUAGAUAACUUCUCUAACAACUUCAGCUUAUCAAGGCCUUGAAUUUCGAUUAAGUUUUGGCAAAAUUGAGCACUUAAUUUCUUCAUGCACUUAGAUUUUGGAAGGUCCAAUCUUUCAAUUAAAGCACACUUGACGAAACAGAGCUCUUCUAGGAAUUCCAGCCAAUUGAGGCCUUGAAUUUCAACUAAGUUUUGGCAAUUUUGAACAUUCAAUAUUUUCAGACCCUUGGGUUUUGAAAGGUCCAACCUUUCAAGUGAAGUGCACUCAACGAUAGAUAUCUUUGCCAAGAAGUCCAACUUAUCAAUGCCUAGAAUUUCCACUGAGUGUUUGCAAUUUUCUACAUGUAAUAUCUUUAGACCCCCAAACUUCGGAAGGUCUAACCUUUCAAUUGAAGCACACUCGAGGACACAUAAUUCUUCCAAGAGCUGCAACUUAUCGAGGUCAUGAAUUUCGACUAAGCUUUGACAACGUUGAACAUGUAAUUUUUUCAUGUCCUUCGAUUUUGGAAGGUCCAACCUUUCAAUUAAAGUGCACUUAGAGAUGCAUAGCUCUUCCAAGUACUCUAACCUAUCGAGGCCUUGAAUUUCAAUUAAGCUGUUGCAAUUCUCAAUUUCUAGUUUUCUCAUGCCUUUGGAUUUUGGAAACCUUUCAAUUGACCCUUUGAUGGUCAUGCUUUCCAAAUAUUUCAAUUUGUCAAGACGGGAAAAUUCACGUAUAUUACAACAACCUUGGGCAGAUAAUGUCUUCAGAUGGUUCAAUUGUGAAACAUCCAGUGUGUCCAUUGAUUCGCAAAACAAGAUUUCUGACAAAUCUAACUUGAAGGGAGUGUUUAGAGAUCGUUGGGAACAUUCUGAAAACUCUAGUAGUGUUGAUGGGAGCUCCAAGAUGCACUUGAGAAUUUUGUAGUUGAGAAGGUGUAGUUGCUUGAGAUUGGUUAAGUGCGAAAGUGAAGUCAUCUUGAAACUUUGACAGGUGACACUCAAAUAUGUUAAGCUGGAAGGAAGCUCCGGCAGCCAUUGAAGCUCCCAGCACUUUAAAACUUCUAAUUUUUUGAGCUUUCUCAACCUUCUAAUAUCAUUGGGUAAUUUCUUUAUUCCAGUCCCAAAAAUAUCCAAAGUUUCUAGAUUUUGCAUAGCCCCUAUGUUGUCCGGUAGGGAAGAAAUGUGACCACAAUUUCUUAGGAGAAGUAGCUCCAGUGCUUCUAAUUUAGUCACUUCUGCCGGCAACUCCUCGAGACUAAUACAUCCCGACAAGUUCAAGCGUGCUAGAGUCUUCAUGUUUCCAAUCGAAGAAUCAAGUUGCUUUAGACUUCGACAACCUUUGAGGAUAAGAACCUCUAAGUUCUUAAAAGCUGAAAGGAAGAAAGUUCCUUCCAAAAAUUGACAAUGUGUUAGGUCGAGAAACUUGAGCUUUUGUCCCGUCUGAUAAAAAAUGUAAUAAUUGUGGAGGGGUUAGCCAAAAGUAAUUUUGAUUCAACAGAAAUCAAUACGAAAAAAGAAAGAAACGACUUGUUUAACCAUCUUACCUUCACAAAAUUCCAUCCCUGCCAUCUGCUAGAAAUCUUGCUUCUCGACAACUCGAGUACAACCAAUUCCUUUACAUUAAAUUCUUUUGCUUCAAAAGUCAAGGGACAAUUGUGCCAUCGAAGCCAUUUUAACUUCUUAGUGCAGUUCUCAAAAUCUCCACUAAAAUGUGCUUCACUUGCGUCGAGGAACCUUAAAUUCCUUAACUUCUUGAAUUGUUUUCCCUUAAGGAUAUUGUCACCUUGGUCAAUGGUUUCACCACAGCUAAGACAAAUGGCCUCAAUCUUUUCUGUUCCCUAUUAGUAGGAAUCAACAUCCAUUAAUACUAUUUAUAUCCAACUUAAGUCAUCUAAUAUCAUUUGUUCAUAUUGCUAUUAUUAUGCAUCGAUCUCUUCAAGAGACUAGCAAAUCCUUUUUUGGCAGAUAAACGGUAUUUAUAAAAGCUAACAAAGUGAAAGAUGUCAAUUCUGACUUUGAAAUUUGGCCAUAAGUACUUUGAUCUUAAAAGAAUUAUGAUGUUCUCUAGUUUUAUUUUAUCAUGUAUAAUAGUUUACAGUUUCUUAUACCCAUUAUAAACGUACUAUUACCCUUUGAUCUACCUAUAGGGUAAAACUUCACAACUGGUAAAUCCUCUUCUCUUGUAUUGUAGUUUUGUUGCUAUACUAGUUAGGACGCACAUGCAAUGCAUGGAAUUUAAUUAAAUUACAAUGCACAAAAUUGAAAGUUCUUGUGAUUAUUGUGACAAUUGGGAAAAAAAAAAAAACUUCUCUUAAUAUAAAAAAAUUUAUCCUUAUGAAGUCCAUCUUUUCUUUUCCGUAUUUUCUUGUGUUUAAAUUUCGUGUAUAUUACUCAGCUGUGUUACUUACAAUUAAUAAAAAUAUAACUUAUACUCAUUUUUGCUUUUUCCAAUGGAGUAAUGACUAAUUGUACGUAACUAAGCUUGUGAUAGUAGUUACUUUAAUAUCAUAUGUAAUUUUUUUUAUUAAUAGUAACUUGAAUUAUUAUCAAUAAUUAAUCUCUAAUUAUAAGCAACUGAGAUAAUGACAUUAAUUAUAUCUAUGCUCUCUAUAACUUAUCAUACUAGCAUAAAUUAUUAUUUAGUUGCAGAUCACAAUUGGCUAUAUUAUAAAUUGAUCAGAAAUUGAAUUAUUCAAGUAUAAUAAGUAUAAUUGUCCUAAAACAAUUAUAAUGAAUAUAAUAAACAGUCCUAAUUUAUUAACUUUGAUUAAUUUGUAUAUAACUAAUUAUUAAAAAUGUAUAGUAUUUUCGGAAUUUUAAAAAUUGAACUUAUUCUUGGCUACAUGAAAUAGCGAGUAACUCCUUGGCCCCCAGGAAUAGCUAGUCCUGAUUUUGAGAGAAUAGCUAUUUCAAAUCUACUUUUUGAAUCAAAGGAAUGAAAAAUUGCUUCAAUUUUAAUGAAUUAAAAACAUGAUAGUUAUUCCUGCGAACCAAAUGUGCAACAAGCUUUCACCAAGAAAAAUCACUUAUGCAUAAGAAGUUAAGGAGCACCAACAAUUCAUGGAUUUCCAGAUCCAUGUCAGUUUAUUCAAACCAGAAAAUUUCUUAUUGUAUUUACAAUGUUUCUUAAGAUUUCAUGGAAACUCAGAGAGAAUGACAUAAUUAGUGGAGAUCUUAUACCUAAAAGAAAACCCAUGAGAAGAGUAAUUAUAAAAAAAGUAAGCAACCUCCAAGAGAAGUAAACAUACUCAGAUUAGUCAUUUCCAUGAGAAAAUUCCCUCUCAAAAUAUGAAGAAAUCUAUCUGUCGUCAAAAUUGAGUAACACUCAUGGUCAAAUCCCAAAAAAAAGCCAAACCAUUUGUACUUGAGACAAAAGUAACACAAUCUUUCAAAUGUCCCCAAAAAAAAAAAAAAAAAACCCUAAUGUAUCGGGGACAUGUUGACAUGGAACAAAGCCCAACCUUUUAGCCGGGAGAAAAACCGACAUCUAUUGUAAAUUACAUUCAUUAAAUUGCCACUAAUAUCCUACAUGGGUCACUGUGUUGACGUACACAGCGAGCCACAUCAACCAGCACAGAAGAACGACGUUGCCUUUUCAUUUAUAAUCUUUGCCAACAAAAUUAGUGUAUAAUCUUUGUUAUCAAAUUUUAGCAUUUUGUAAAAAACAAAACAGAAAGCCGUAUAAUUAAAAUUGUUUUUGUGCAUGUCAGCCCAAUGAGCCAUGUAGGUGUCGUGUGUCUAUUUAAGGUGAGAGGAGAAUAGGUAGAAUUUGUAAUAGAUGCCAUUUUUGUAUCGCGAGUGAAGAAGGGCUGAGCUUUUCCCUGGGAAGUUCGAAAGGUGGUGUUAUUAUCAGCUCACAUGCUUGUGUAACGACCAGGCCCCACUGUGUGAUAUUGUCCGCUUUGGACUGCUUUGGACUGAUCGAGAGUUGAUCGAUCGGCCGUGACACUUGCUUGGGCUUCCUUUUAGGAUAUUUUAGGUUGUGUUAUUAUUGUCAAGGGUGCAAAAGGCUGCACUAUUUUCACUUGGCAGUUCACUCACUAAUAAUGUCUGAGGAAUGAGUUAUAAAUGUGUUCUAAUUAUGCUUUAAAUGUCUUUUGUUUUUGUUUAUUUUGUAAGUCGUGCCAAUGCUCUUGUCCAUGCUUUGCACUUCACAUGACGAAUAUCGAGAUUGACUGUUUUCGAUGACAUACAUGACGAUAACUUCUAAUAUUGAUCGGAUGUAGGAAUCAACUUACAAGAAUAUUGUAUCANNNNNNNNNNNNNNNNNNNNNNNNNNNNNNNNNNNNNNNNNNNNNNNNNNNNNNNNNNNNNNNNNNNNNNNNNNNNNNNNNNNNNNNNNNNNNNNNNNNNNNNNNNNNNNNNNNNNNNNNNNNNNNNNNNNNNNNNNNNNNNNNNNNNNNNNNNNNNNNNNNNNNNNNNNNNNNNNNNNNNNNNNNNNNNNNNNNNNNNNNNNNNNNNNNNNNNNNNNNNNNNNNNNNNNNNNNNNNNNNNNNNNNNNNNNNNNNNNNNNNNNNNNNNNNNNNNNNNNNNNNNNNNNNNNNNNNNNNNNNNNNNNNNNNNNNNNNNNNNNNNNNNNNNNNNNNNNNNNNNNNNNNNNNNNNNNNNNNNNNNNNNNNNNNNNNNNNNNNNNNNNNNNNNNNNNNNNNNNNNNNNNNNNNNNNNNNNNNNNNNNNNNNNNNNNNNNNNNNNNNNNNNNNNNNNNNNNNNNNNNNNNNNNNNNNNNNNNNNNNNNNNNNNNNNNNNNNNNNNNNNNNNNNNNNNNNNNNNNNNNNNNNNNNNNNNNNNNNNNNNNNNNNNNNNNNNNNNNNNNNNNNNNNNNNNNNNNNNNNNNNNNNNNNNNNNNNNNNNNNNNNNNNNNNNNNNNNNNNNNNNNNNNNNNNNNNNNNNNNNNNNNNNNNNNNNNNNNNNNNNNNNNNNNNNNNNNNNNNNNNNNNNNNNNNNNNNNNNNNNNNNNNNNNNNNNNNNNNNNNNNNNNNNNNNNNNNNNNNNNNNNNNNNNNNNNNNNNNNNNNNNNNNNNNNNNNNNNNNNNNNNNNNNNNNNNNNNNNNNNNNNNNNNNNNNNNNNNNNNNNNNNNNNNNNNNNNNNNNNNNNNNNNNNNNNNNNNNNNNNNNNNNNNNNNNNNNNNNNNNNNNNNNNNNNNNNNNNNNNNNAUGAGAAGCACCUACAGAGAUGAGCAAACUUAUCAACAUUCCAUAACCUCCUAAGAAUUUUACUUGGCCAGUCAAGCAAGGAGACUCUGCAACAUUGAUUUCAUCUACAAGGCUCAAGACCAUUUGACAUCGACAAUAAGACCGUUCAAUCAAUGUGGAACAGCUCCAAUCAACAGUGCUCCACUUGAAGGAAUCGUCAAAACAAGUAGAUCUAAAAGAUUCAUAUAAUAACAUAAGUGAAGGAUUGAGGAACACCAGGGCAUCCCGCCAUAGGUAAUAAGGAACCGUGUGUCAUGAUCACUUGAUUCCUUGAAGUCUGGAACAAAGCAUACCUAACACGACCAUGAAUGAGCCCAUCUCUGGUGAAAGCCAACAAAAUCACACAAUCCAUUGCUCUAAAAUGAAGUAAGACAACAGAAUAUGGCGAAAGAUUGCAAGAGCAAAACUUGUCCAUCAAGGAUAUACUACCUCCUCCUACAAUUCUGCUUGAAGCUUUCUUUGAAAAUUGCCAAUAACUCAAGCCUCAGACAUCAACUGUGCUGACUCGUGAGACUUUUCUUGUCAGAAGGCUCUUCCAACAAAACAAAUACCUUCAAGUUGACUAGAUGAUUCCAUAAUGUACAUCUGCUGAGGACAGACAUAUAUGUCCUUAAGUAAGAACCUUCAUGAAGAAGGUAUUUAUCCAGGCUAAUUGACCAACUUUUUCAUUUAUUCCACAUGUUAUGCAAGAGUCAACACAAAUCGAAUUGUCUUCAUGAUUCUAGUCCAAAUUUUCCCAUUUCAGGCGGUAUGAGCAUAUGCCUCUUCCAUGUGCAUGAAUCAAAUGGGUGGGUUAAGUUGGAGGGAGGCAUGGAGAGAAUGAGAGGAAUAAUCUUUCUUUUUUAAGCCUAGAAUUAUAGCCAAAGCUCCACUAAACGGAAUCAUAGCUCACAUCCAAGGAAUUUUGCCUACACAAACAGUUAAGGAAGCAACCACUUCAUUUGUGUGUCAUGAAACAAGUAAAUUCCGCCAUCUAUUGCCAUGGCGGACUGCUGCUUUAGAACAACACAUUGAUCUAUCUCGAAUCAUUGCAAAUGCUACUUUAGUAAUCCUCUUCCGACAGCAAUCAUCAGCAAUAGGAAUCUUGUUCCAUUUCAUGUACACUAGCCUAUAUGAACCAGCCUCUCUUCUGUGCCAUGGUCUACCAUCUUGAUUAAAUCUCCUUUCAUCGUGUAGGGGAAAAAAAGGCAGAGCACGAGCAUAGAGAUCCCAGAAUUCUACUUUGAAACCCAAACUACAGUAUCCGCAUUAUGCAUUUAUCUUAGAUAUGUUCAAAAGCCGACCAUUCUAGCAGAUAUUUCCCAAUGUUCUCAAUUUGCUACAUUGCAUGAGAACCAGGAUCUAGGGUAAAGGUCAGAAAGCUUGUCACUCGAAUGAGCAAAAGACUUCAAACCUAUACAUCUGGAGAAGGCAGAUCUAGUGCUGCGAAGGGGCUCCUGUUCGUCUUGGGGAUGGCAAAGUAUCUUGACAGGAAGGGAUCACGGUAGGAGACGGGACUGAAAUCAGAAUAAGAAAAGAUAACUGGCUAAGAUCUGGAGUCAUUGGUGGCGAGGCAGCCCCCCAACUAGUGGCAGGCUUAAUUGACAAAGAGGAAUUCAAGUGGAAAGAGCAUAUGAUUAAUGGGAUAUUUGACGAAAGAACUACGAACGAAAUCCUAGCUGUUCCUAUCAGCUCAACCAUGGACAAAGACAAGAUGGUUUGGACAUGCACAACCUCAAGCUCUAACUCAGUGAAAAGUGCCUACCAUCACUUAAUGUCAACAGAAACAAAGCAGCAAGCAGAACAACUAACAUCCUCAUAUCAAACACCCAGAUAGCAAUGGAAAUUGAUUUGGAACAUGAAUGUUAACACAAAAAUGAGGCUCUUUACUGGAACGUGUGCCAAAAUGCAAUCCCAUCUUUAGAGAACUUGUUCAAAAGGAAAGUCUUACCUGAACCCAUCUGCCCCCUUUGCCAAAAGACCCAAGAAACAGUUGAGCAUAUUUUUCAAUGAUGCGACUGGACUCGUGAGGUCUGGAAUCACCCAAAAUUAGAUAUCAGAAUCACGGGCAAGGAGCUCAGUCACAUGGAGGAGACGAUUCUACAAUGAGGUAACCCAAAUGCAAACUCACUUUCACAAGAUUUGGUAGCAGGGGUUCUCUGGAACAUUUGGAAGGCUUGGAACCAUUUCAUCUUGCGCCAUCAAAAACCAGGUUAGAGUAGCAUAGUGGAAGCGAACAUGGCUGCACAAAAGAACUUUGAGAGAUGGAAUUAUAGAAGGCAAAAACGAACACAGCAGCAGGAACUCUUACCCGAGAUGUGAAACCCAUCGAGAAGGGGUUGGCUGAAGAUCAACGUUGGCGGGUCUCUAGUGGACGGACAAACCGCGGGAAGCGUUGCCGGGAUAUGCGGAGACGAAGCUGGGAGAGUGGAGAAUCAUUUAUUUUGCAUUUCUCAAUCUAUACAAUUACCUUCGGCAUGUUAUCAGGUGCCCUUAUACAUUAGGUUUUUUUUUUCAGUAAUUCCAGAAUUGCAGAAUCAAUCAGACGUGGAGAAUCUUUAUUUUUUUUGCAUCCGAUGAAGAAUCUUACCCGAAGACUAAUGACAAAUGAUUCACUUAGAAGACUUUUUGAUUUACUUCCGAUACUAGCAUGAUGUGCAAAAAUAUCAUGCCAAAGCACACAUUAACUUCUAGGAACAUCUCCUCUGGAUUCCUAGAAAUCAAAUAAGAUAAUUAUAAAACUGCCAACCAUGAUAUACUAAUAAAAAGGUAACAAAUCUUAAAAGAAAAUGCAAACAAGAAACACAAAUGAAAAUUGGGCAGUAAAUCUCAAAAGAGAAAGAGGGAGCUUCCCUACUUUAUGUACCUUUAUUAGGAAAUGUGGAUCAUCUCAAUUAUUCCGACUCAUCCCAUCCUAGUUAUCUCGUCCAAAUAUCUUCAGACCUUUGGGUAUUUGUAUGGUCGAGCCUUCCAAUUUAACUUUAGUCAAACAUUCCAACCCAUCGAGACCUAGAAUUUCGACUAAGUUGUUGCAAUUUCGAGCAAUUAACAUCUUUAGACCCUUGGAUUUUGAAAGAUCCAGCUUUUUAAUUGAAGUGCACGAGAUAUUAAGCUUUUCCAAUGACUUCAACCAUUGGAGACCUCGAAUUUCAACUAGGUUUUUGCAAUUUUUAGCAUCUAGUACCUUCAGAUCCUCAGAUUUUGGAAGGUCUAGCAUUUUAAUUGAAGAACACUCAAAGAAAAGUAACUCCUUCACGGACCCUAAAAUAUGGAGAUGUUCAAUUUCGAUUAAUUUUUUGCAAUAUUGAACAUGCAAUAUCUUCAAACUCCCGGAUUUUGAAAGGUCCAACCUUUCAAUUGAAGUGCACCUGACAAUAGAUAACUUCUCUAACAACUCCAGCUUAUCAAGGCCUUGAAUUUCGAUUAAGUUUUGGCAAAAUUGAGCACUUAAUUUCUUCAUGCACUUAGAUUUUGGAAGGUCCAAUCUUUCAAUUAAAGCACACUUGACGAAACAGAGCUCUUCUAGGAAUUCUAGCCAAUUGAGGCCUUGAAUUUCAACUAAGUUUUGGCAAUUUUGAACAUUCAAUAUUUUCAGACCCUUGGGUUUUGAAAGGUCCAACCUUUCAAGUGAAGUGCACUCAACGAUAGAUAUCUUUGCCAAGAAGUCCAACUUAUCAAUGCCUUGAAUUUCCACUGAGUGUUUGCAAUUUUCUACAUGUAAUAUCUUUAGACCCCCAAACUUCGGAAGGUCUAACCUUUCAAUUGAAGCACACUCAAGGACACAUAAUUCUUCCAAGAGCUGCAACUUAUCGAGGUCAUGAAUUUCGACUAAGCUUUGACAACGUUGAACAUGUAAUUUUUUCAUGUCCUUCGAUUUUGGAAGGUCCAACCUUUCAAUUAAAGUGCACUUAGAGAUGCACAGCUCUUCCAAGUACUCUAACCUAUCGAGGCCUUGAAUUUCAAUUAAGCUGUUGCAAUUCUCAAUUUCUAGUUUUCUCAUGCCUUUGGAUUUUGGAAACCUUUCAAUUGACCCUUUGAUGGUCAUGCUUUCCAAAUAUUUCAAUUUGUCAAGACGGGAAAAUUCACGUAUAUUACAACAACCUUGGGCAGAUAAUGUCUUCAGAUGGUUCAAUUGUGAAACAUCCAGUGUGUCCAUUGAUUCGCAAAACAAGAUUUCUGACAAAUCUAACUUGAAGGGAGUGUUUAGAGAUCGUUGGGAACAUUCUGAAAACUCUAGUAGUGUUGAUGGGAGCUCCAAGAUGCACUUGAGAAUUUUGUAGUUGAGAAGGUGUAGUUGCUUGAGAUUGGUUAAGUGCGAAAGUGAAGUCAUCUUGAAACUUUGACAGGUGACACUCAAAUAUGUUAAGCUGGAAGGAAGCUCCGGCAGCCAUUGAAGCUCCCAGCACUUUAAAACUUCUAAUUUUUUUAGCUUUCUCAGCCUUCUAAUAUCAUUGGGUAAUUUCUUUAUUCCAGUCCCAAAAAUAUCCAAAGUUUCUAGAUUUUGCAUAGCCCCUAUGUUGUCCGGUAGGGAAGAAAUGUGACCACAAUUUCUUAGGAGAAGUAGCUCCAGUGCUUCUAAUUUAGUCACUUCUGCCGGCAACUCCUCGAGACUAAUACAUCCCGACAAGUUCAAGCGUGCUAGAGUCUUCAUGCUUCCGAUCGAAGAAUCAAGUUGCUUCAGACUUCGACAACCUUUGAGGAUAAGAACCUCUAAGUUCUUAAAAGCUGAAAGGAAGAAAGUUCCUUCCAAAAAUUGACAAUGUGUUAGGUCGAGAAACUUGAGCUUUUGUCCCGUCUGAUAAAAAAUGUAAUAAUUGUGGAGGGGUUAGCCAAAAGUAAUUUUGAUUCAACAGAAAUCAAUACGAAAAAAGAAAGAAACGACUUGUUUAACCAUCUUACCUUCACAAAAUUCCAUCCCUGCCAUCUGCUAGAAAUCUUGCUUCUCGACAACUCGAGUACAACCAAUUCCUUUACAUUAAAUUCUUUUGCUUCAAAAGUCAAGGGACAAUUGUGCCAUCGAAGCCAUUUUAACUUCUUAGUGCAGUUCUCAAAAUCUCCACUAAAAUGUGCUUCACUUGCGUCGAGGAACCUUAAAUUCCUUAACUUCUUGAAUUGUUUUCCCUUAAGGAUAUUGUCACCUUGGUCAAUGGUUUCACCACAGCUAAGACAAAUGGCCUCAAUCUUUUCUGUUCCCUAUUAGUAGGAAUCAACAUCCAUUUAUACUAUUUAUAUCCAACUUAAGUCAUCUAAUAUCAUUUGUUCAUAUUGCUAUUAUUAUGCAUCGAUCUCUUCAAGAGACUAGCAAAUCCUUUUUUGACAGAUAAACGGUAUUUAUAAAAGCUAACAAAGUGAAAGAUGUCAAUUCUGACUUUGAAAUUUGGCCAUAAGUACUUUGAUCUUAAAAGAAUUAUGAUGUUCUCUAGUUUUAUUUUAUCAUGUAUAAUAGUUUACAGUUUCUUAUACCCAUUAUAAACGUACUAUUACCCUUUGAUCUACCUAUAGGGUAAAACUUCACAACUGGUAAAUCCUCUUCUCUUGUAUUGUAGUUUUGUUGCUAUACUAGUUAGGACGCACAUGCAAUGCAUGGAAUUUAAUUAAAUUACAAUGCACAAAAAUUGAAAGUUCUUGCGAUUAUUGUGACAAUUGGGAAAAAAAAAAACUUCUCUUAAUAUUAAAAAAUUUAUCCUUAUGAAGUCCAUCUUUUAUUUUCCGUAUUUUCUUGUGUUUAAAUUUCGUGUAUAUUACUCAGCUGUGUUACUUACAAUUAAUAAAAAUAUAACUUAUACUCAUUUUUGCUUUUUCCAAUGGAGUAAUGACUAAUUGUACGUAACUAAGCUUGUGAUAGUAGUUACUUUAAUAUCAUAUCUAUUUUUUUUUAUUAAUAGUAACUUGAAUUAUUAUCAAUAAUUAAUCUCUAAUUAUAAGCAACUGAGAUAAUGACAUUAAUUAUAUCUAUGCUCUCUAUAACUUAUCAUACUAGCAUAAAUUAUUAUUUAGUUGCAGAUCACAAUUGGCUAUAUUAUAAAUUGAUCAGAAAUUGAAUUAUUCAAGUAUAAUAAGUAUAAUUGUCCUAAAACAAUUAUAAUGAAUAUAAUAAACAGUCCUAAUUUAUUAACUUUGAUUAAUUUGUAUAUAACUAAUUAUUAAAAAUGAAAUAGCGAGUAACUUAUUGAACUUAAAAAUUGAACUUAUUCUUGGCUACAUGAAAUAGCGAGUAACUCCUUGGCCCCCAGGAAUAGCUAGUCCUGAUUUUGAGAGAAUAGCUAUUUCAAAUCUACUUUUUGAAUCAAAGGAAUGAAAAAUUGCUUCAAUUUUAGUGAAUUAAAAACAUGAUAGCUAUUCCUGCGAACCAAAUGUGCAACAAGCUUUCACCAAGAAAAAUCACUUAUGCAUAAGAAGUUAAGGAGCACCAACAAUUCAUGGAUUUCCAGAUCCAUGUCAGUUUAUUCAAACCAGAAAAUUUCUUAUUGUAUUUACAAUGUUUCUUAAGAUUUCAUGGAAACUCAGAGGAGAAUGACAUAAUUAGUGGAGAUCUUAUACCUAAAAGAAAACCAUGAGAAGAGUAAUUAUAAAAAAAGUAAGCAACCUCCAAGAGAAGUAAACAUACUCAGAUUAGUCAUUUCCAUGAGAAAAUUCCCUCUCAAAAUAUGAAGAAAUCUAUCUGUCGUCAAAAUUGAGUAACACUCAUGGUCAAAUCCCAAAAAAAAGCCAAACCAUUUGUACUUGAGACAAAAGGAACACAAUCUUUCAAAAUGUCCCAAAAAAAAAAAAAGCCUAAUGUAUCGGGGACAUGUUGACAUGGAACAAAGCCCAACCUUUUAGCCGGGAGAAAAACCGACAUCUAUUGUAAAUUACAUUCAUUAAAUUGCCACUAAUAUCCUACAUGGGUUACUGUGUUGACGUACACAGCGAGCCACAUCAACCAGCACAGAAGAACGACGUUGCUUUUUCAUUUAUAAUCUUUGCCAACAAAAUUAGUGUAUAAUCUUUGUUAUCAAAUUUUAGCAUUUUGUAAAUAAAUAAAAAAAAAAGCCGUAUAAUUAAAAUUGUUUUUGUGCAUGUCAGCCCAAUGAGCCAUGUAGGUGUCGUGUGUCUAUUUAAGGUGAGAGGAGAAUAGGUAGAAUUUGUAAUAGAUGCCAUAUUUGUAUCGCGAGUGAAGAAGGGCUGAGCUUUUCCCUGGGAAGUUCGAAAGGUGGUGUUAUUAUCAGCUCACAUGCUUGUGUAACGACCAGGCCCCACUGUGUGAUAUUGUCCACUUUGGACUGAUCGAGAGUUGAUCGAUCGGCCCGUGACACUUGCUUGGGCUUCCUUUUAGGAUAUUUUAGGUUGUGUUAUUAUUGUCAAGGGUGCAAAAGGCUGCACUAUUUUCACUUGGCAGUUCACUCACUAAUAAUGUCCGAGGAAUGAGUUAUAAAUGUGUUCUAAUUAUGCUUUAAAUGUCUUUUGUUUUUGUUUAUUUUGUAAGUCGUGCCAAUGCUCUUGUCCAUGCUUUGCACUUCACAUGACGAAUAUCGAGAUUGACUGUUUUCGAUGACAUACAUGACGAUAACUUCUAAUAUUGAUCGGAUGUAGGAAUCAACUUACAAGAAUAUUUGUAUCAGUUGUCUCAGCCGCUUUAACUUGGAGUAAUGACAGUGCCAUGAAUGAAGAAGAAAAAUGAACCCAGCAAGAAUUAUGAAAAAAUUACGACCAAUGACGUACCUUUUUAGUUUGUAAAGCCAUCAAUACCAAAGUUAUCUAGACUUAAAUAUACAGCAUAUUCAUUUUUCUUUUAGUUAGUUCAGUUUAUUUUAUGAUGUAAUACGAAGACAUAACAAAUGAACAUUGGCUUUAAUAUGAUAACAUAGAAAUCAGCUCUUGAGAUUAUAUAUAGGUUGCACGUUGAAAAUGCAAAUAUGUGCUAGUUUUUGAGCAACAACUCCGAGUCAAACAAAUGAUGGAUCAAGAAUAUUAAGAGUCAAAACUAUGAUUAAUUUCACACAUACAAUACAAUCACAUAAUUAUAUACAAAAUAGAAUUUUAGAGUAAUUACCUUUGGGACUUUUUAUAUGAAAUAAAUAAGACAUUUCUCUUUUCAAUAGUCAUUGCAUCAAAUACGCUUAAUGUCAUAUAUAUCUGCAUACAUUAUGUUCAUAUUCUAUUAAUUAUAUGUUCGGUAAGUUUUGAAUCAGUCCUUAUUAUGUGAAUUUUGGUAAAAGGAAUUACUAACUUAAUAUUACAUAAAAUAAAUAUCCCUUCCAUUCUCAAAUACAUUAUAAUGAUUGAAAUUUCAUGAGAAAUGUGGGCAUGAUUGCUCCUACUAUAUCAAUUCCAACACCUAGAGAGUAGAAUUUUAUGAUUUAUAUAUCCUAAGGAAGUUAUGGUUUACAGUAGCAUAGUCAAAGUUAUUAUUGCAUGUGUCAAGGAUGUAAUUGAAUAAAUUUUAGAAGUUAAGGAUUUUGUCAAUAUAGAAUACCUCUAUCAAGUAUCUAAUAAAUUUGAAAAUAGCUCGUACUUNNNNNNNNNNNNNNNNNNNNNNNNNNNNNNNNNNNNNNNNNNNNNNNNNNNNNNNNNNNNNNNNNNNNNNNNNNNNNNNNNNNNNNNNNNNNNNNNNNNNNNNNNNNNNNNNNNNNNNNNNNNNNNNNNNNNNNNNNNNNNNNNNNNNNNNNNNNNNNNNNNNNNNNNNNNNNNNNNNNNNNNNNNNNNNNNNNNNNNNNNNNNNNNNNNNNNNNNNNNNNNNNNNNNNNNNNNNNNNNNNNNNNNNNNNNNNNNNNNNNNNNNNNNNNNNNNNNNNNNNNNNNNNNNNNNNNNNNNNNNNNNNNNNNNNNNNNNNNNNNNNNNNNNNNNNNNNNNNNNNNNNNNNNNNNNNNNNNNNNNNNNNNNNNNNNNNNNNNNNNNNNNNNNNNNNNNNNNNNNNNNNNNNNNNNNNNNNNNNNNNNNNNNNNNNNNNNNNNNNNNNNNNNNGCUUUUCUUUUGCUGGUCCCAAUGAAAAAGCAAGCAAUAUCCAAAAAUAUCUGUUUUUGUCUAUAAUCCAAUGCUUCAUAACUUAUCCUUAACUUUUCUUGCACUUUCUUAUGAGGGACUUUUCUUAACUUUUUUAUCGUAUCCCUCCAUAGCAUUGGCUGUUGUCCACACAAAUAUGAACCUAGAACCUCAAGAGAUAAGGGAAGCCCUCCAGUGGUGGACACAACAUCAUAAGCGAGGUCUUCAAAUUCACUUGGAGGAGAGUCCUUUCGAAAUGCAUGUCUACUAAAUAGAAUCAAAGAUUUAUCCUUAUCCAAUUCCUCAUGUUCAUAGUUGUAGUUCACCCGAGCAUUGUCAAGAAUACUCUUGUUUCUGGUGGUAAUAAUGAUCCUACUUCCUGAAGAAAACCAAUGAUGAUUUCCAGCCAAAGCUUUCAGCUGAUCAUAAUCAUCUACAUCAUCAAGAAGAAUGAGGACUUUCUUACCUUUAAGCAUUAAUGAGAGGAUCUUAAUCCCUUCAUCCUUAUUACGAGCUUGAUUGUCUUGCUUCAAUAUAUCAACGAUUAACUGAUUUUGUAAGCAAUGAAUGCCAAAGCGCUCCCAUGACUCCUUAAUAUCAGCAAUGAAGCUAUGAUACUCAAAUUUAUUUAAGAGCUUGUUGUAGAUGGUUUUAGCAAGAGUUGUCUUGCCAAUGCCUCCCAUUCCAUGGAUGCCAACAAAUAGGGUGUCACAAGGACUUUUAUCUACAAAUUUUAUAAUCUUCUCCACAUGACUGUUAAUUCCAACCAAAUUCUCAGGAAUAUUCAACUCAAACUUUUUUUUCAACUCGCUUAACACUUUCCGGACAAUCGAUUUUACCAAUUCUCCUUCAUACCUAUCAAGUGUAACAGGAGUUCAAAUACAUCGUAAAUAUAAUUUUAUAUUGUUUAUCUAAUGAGAGCACAGUAGUAAAUAAGUCUAGGGAUAAAUCCUAAUACUUUAACAAUCAUUUUGUCCACCUUCAUAUAUUAGCAUACUUUGGAUUGAAAUCAUAUUUCAAACUUCUUGUUGUUGAAGAUAUUAUGGAUGACAUGGACAUGGCUUUGAAAACUUUUUAGAGCGUUUGGAUAAGAAAAAUUCAAUUAGGCAACAUGGUAUGAGAGCUCAGCCACCAAUUAACAAACAAGUUGCAACUUUUGAUGCAAGAGGAAUUUAAGUCUUAUAUACCAAUCCCGAAAGUCGUUCAAAGUGCUUUAUUGUGAACUACUUGAAUACAAUUAGGGGAUUUCUCCUUAUUUGCCCAAUUUUACAUGCUUGCAAGUUUCUGCUCGUGCUGUGAAUUUUGAUUCUAAAUUCAUGUUCUUAUCAAUUUCCAUUGCAUCAAGAGUUGAUAACAUGUACUUUACUUUCCUUUUGGUGUCUAUAUUAUAUGUAUUGAUUUUAUUGGGAAGUAGAAGGAUAAAUUUUCGCAAAAAAAAAAAAAAAAGAGAACAUCGCUUUGAUAUAGGAAAAUGCAUUGAAAAUUAUUUGAACAAACGUAUUACAAAGAUAAUACUUUUUCCUCAACCAUCUCUUUUUUGACUUGCUUAGUUGAAUUACAAUCUCACAUAAAUUUGUAAAUAGAAAAGUUUGUAAUGAAGAUUGAUGUAGCUUACACUGUAAACAUGGGAAAAAAAAGGCACAAUCUAACAAAAUCUUUGGAUAUAAGAGCAAAAAUUCAUUUGAAAAAUCUUAUAUUAUUCAAGCGAUUGUAAUCAUAACAAUGAAAUCUAUAUUAGAUUGGUCAAUAUCAUCUUAUUAAGAAACUGAAAAAAGAUAAUUUAUGGAACUUAUGCAUCGCCAUGUGUUACUACUAUAAAAAUCUUGCUGCUAACCAAUAAAAACGAAAAAGAAGCGAGUAGGAAUCAGAUUCAGGAAACACCCCUACAAAUUAAAAGAAGGUACAUAAUGCUUUCGUGAAAGAUUUUACCCAUUAGCGUCCCAUCCUUUCAAGGAACUAACUUCAACAAGUGCUUGCUUCCAUUUAUCGAAAAUUGUUGGGUCGAAACGCCUCUCGCGCUUAUGAAAUGCAUCCCCAAAACUCCCGAUUUGAUGUCGCACGUGAGCUGGCUCCACUUUGUAGAAUAUCGGCAACACUAUAUGCCCGCUGUCACUUUUCUUGCACUCCAUUAUUUGAACAAGCUCGUCCAUGCACCAAUUACUUGAACCAUAAUUUACAGAGAGAAUCGGGAUUAGGAUCUUACUAUUCUUGAUGGCUGUCAAAAGAUCUGGGCCGAUCAUCUCUCCUUGCCGAAUCUCAUUAUUGUCUCUAAAAGUAUGAAUUCCAGCAUCGAGAAGGCCGUUGUAGAGGUGAUCAGUGAAACCCUUUCGAGUAUCUACACCUCUAAAGUUCAAGAACACAUCAUAGUAGUUUCCAAUUGAUGCGGUCAAUGAACUAGAUCCACCAGAAUUAGUUUUUGUGGGCGCAGUCAACAGAUCAGACGCACCAGUAUUUGCAUCUUCUGCAUUUCUAUGCACACCGACGUUGCAUUUCUCAAUGGGAGGAUGCAUUUCUUCUUUGCCUUCAAGUGGUGGAAUUUCAAUGCCCAAGAAAAUCCGAGAUGAUACCUGCCCUGGAAGAAGAGAAUAUGUGAGAUGCAGAAGCAAUCAAAUUAAGUAGUACCAAAAAGAAAAAGACAAGUGCCAUCAUAGAAUUAGUCCGGCAAUCCAUUGUGCUAGAUACAUUAUGUUACUACCGCAUUACAUNNNNNNNNNNNNNNNNNNNNNNNNNNNNNNNNNNNNNNNNNNNNNNNNNNNNNNNNNNNNNNNNNNNNNNNNNNNNNNNNNNNNNNNNNNNNNNNNNNNNACCUUAAUAUAAGAUCGAUUUGAAAAGGAGGAUACAGAAUCAAGAAAAAGCAUUCUCAAAGAAUAAAAAAUCGAUCCAGUCCGGGUAGUUCAGUUGGUCCGAAUCCCACCCUAGAAACAGAAAUUGGAUCACCCAUCACCGUUUCCAAUUUCAUGGAAUCAGGAACUAGACUAGCACUCUUGUGAACCACCUAGAACCAGCUGGUCCAAUCUAGUUCAGGCAGUUAUCAGUUCAGACGGUUCCCAUUACACACCGCUAAUAUUCUUGAGAGGACAUGUAGAGAGGAAAAAAGAAUUCUGCGUACUUCACUAUCCUUUUCGAUUCACAUAGAUGUCCACUCCAUCCGACCGCCUCUAGUUGUCAAUGUGGGUUUCUCUAUGACGGAUCAGCUAUCGGUGUUCAUGCUAUAAUUUGCUAUUAAAGUGGGGAAUACGACAGAACAAAGGACUCUCCAUUCUUAAGAAAAAGAUUGAAUGACACACAUCGAGACUCAACCACAUAUUCAGGCCCUCAGACAUUCUCUCGAUUAUCGAAAGAUGGUGCACUAAAAGCAGCUUGAUGGAAGGAGUUCGGAACUGCCCAUAAAAUAGAUGAAGUUGACACUUAAAUUUUGGCCACCAUAUUUAAUUCUUUAUCGCAUAGAAAAAUUAAGUAUUAACCCAACCCCAUAACAAAAGUACAAUGAUCAUAAUUUAUAUUCACAUAUUAUUUAAGUCAUGCAUCACAUACAAGCCACAUGACCCCACAUGAUAUUAUGAUGGACCGUCAUGCAUGCAAACGUGGGCACUAUGACUGGCCAUCUUCAGGAAGAGUUUCAAUUCUGCACCCCACUCCUGAUUGAUAAUGUUGGUUACUAAGUUGUUGCUUGCAGAAUUUAUCUCCAUUCGGGCACACCGGGGAACGCCGGAUUACCCCCCAUAUGGUCGACUAAAGAUGAAUGAAUCUGGAUGAAUAUACUUCGACCUUCGAGAUAAGGCUUAGAUAUAUUUGCAUGCAAAAUUAAGUGAAAUUUGGUGUACAUGAAUUGGCAACAAAAGAUGGAAGGAUUCGGUCAAGAUGGACUUUGAAUUUAUGAGAAGCCGAGAGAGGAAUGUGUCCGUGAAGAGAGACAUAUAGUGCAAAAGAGGGGAAAAUAUAUAAAAAGAUCUCUUAGGUUGUUAUGGAGGGACAAGCAUUUGUUUAUUUCGUCUCUUUUAUCUGCUUACAAGGACACACAUACUCGGCUAGCACAUGUGGACAUAAUAUUCAACACCACAUUGGGAGAUAAAGAUGACGGGUUUAGAAGUAAUAUCGAGUUGGGGACCAACGGUCCUCAAUUAGCGUGAAUACUUCCAUAUCCUUAACUCACGCAACAUUGAAUUUCCAUUUUAAUUCGAUUAAUCAUAUGAGAAUUAUACAUGAAGAGUUGCCUCUAACUUAUUAGGGCCGAGUAUAAAUCAAGUGAAGUAUGGGAGAUACCUUACUUCCUACGUAACUAGAGAUCCAGUGUUGUUGUGUCGAAGACUUAGGCAUUGUUUGGUAACCAUCCAAAUAGUGGCUGAUUCUAAUUUUUUGUUCCUGGGAUUAGUUUGGGAACAUAAUCGCGUUUGGUAAAAUUUUUGUUCCUGAGAACAGAUUUGGAGUAGAAUAAAAAAAAAAUUGAUUCUUGUUCCGGGAACAAAAGAAAGAAUAAAAAAAGUGGAACCCUUCUCUCCCCUCCUCUGUUGCCGUUCGCCAUUGUCCACCAUUUACCGUCACCGCUGUUCGCCGCCAUCCACCGUCGUCCAUCGCCGCCGUCCGCCAGUCGCCGGCAACCAGUCCAGCAAGCUCGUCGGAGGCAAGCCUAGCCUUGCCGGUGGCCAGGCGGGCCUCGCCCAGCCCCGCUGGUGGCCAGGCAAGCCUCGCCCAGCCCCAGCGAGGCCGAGCCUCGGCGGGGCUGGGCACGGGCUGGGCAAGGCUCGCCUAGCUGCCGACGAGGCUCGGUCGACGAGGGCCGGCCUCGCCGAGAGCUGGCGAUGCUCCGGUGAGGUCGCCGGCCUAAAGAAGAAGAAGAAGAGGAAUAGGAGAAAAAAGAAAAAAAGAAAAAAAGAAAAAAAAAGAAAAAGGAAAAAAGUGUAAAAAUUAUUUAAAAAUUAAAAAGAAAUUGAUUUGGAACAGAAUUAAUGAGCACAGUACCAAACGCAAUUCUAUUCCAGAAUCAGAAAUUUUGGACAGUUACCAAAUGGCUUAAAAUACUUAGAAUAUGUUCUAAGAACAGAAUAAAAAAGAAUUAUUUCUGAUCAGAAUCUACUUCCAGGAACAAAAUCGUUACCAAACGCACCCUUAAUUACAUAAGUUAUCUAACUAUUGCCCUUUUAAUCCCUAAGCUUAAUUACUUACCUAGGUAUUUUUACAAAAUUAUAAAUCUUAAGGUUCUCAUCCGCUAAGUGAACAAGCAAUGCUUUUGUGUUUAUAAUGAUUUGAAAUGUACCCAAAAUAUUCAGCUAAAACAAGCAAAAUCAAAACUCAAAAAAAGCUACAUAAAAGAUAUACAAUCAAUUGAACUAAAAAGGUAGUAAAAGAACGAACAAAAGUAAAGUGUAUUAAAGUAAUCCGAUAUGAGUAGGGAAAAGAACAUGACAUGGCCUUGUUAUUAAGCCUUAGGACAACAAUCCCUAUGAGGUUGACUUCAGAAACUAUUUUAUCUUAAAAUGGGUAAUAUGAUUAAUCGAAAUUUUCAGAGACAAAUAAAGCCUUACAUCGGUACUUUGUCGUCCGAGGUCAGAUCCCAAUCCAACUUUUGGAUAUUAGGUAUUCACUUAGUCCUCCUCAAGUUUAUCCUAGGUUAUUCAAUUAUUUGAAGUGAAUCCUAAAUUCAACUAAGCUAUUUACUAUGGUUUUUUUUUUCUCAUAGUUAUGUUUCUAAACAACUAAUUUCAUUUUUUUCUUUAUAUUUUUCAAUUAAGUCUAUUUCAUUUAUUAAGACUAAUUAGCUAAACCGAUCCCAAGUGGAUCCUAAACUAAACCAAAUAUUACUAUUUUUAUUCAACGUGACUAUACUAAGUCUAUUAUCGAGCCUGAUCUAGAGUUCGAAUUCUAGAACUAACUCUAAUCUUAAUUAAAGCUAAUGAAAAUCUCCAAACUUCUCCGAUCCACCUCCACAGUUCGGUUUAUCAUAGUCUCAUUGCACUCACUCAUGCACCACGAUCAAUAAAAGCAUUAGAAUGCUCACAAAAAGAAUUGACCACCAAAGAGCUAGGAAAAAUCAAUAAAUUGGCACUCAGCACAUCUCCUGCAUCAAGCAUAUCAAGCAAGGAGAAUCAACACACUUAAUCGCUUGAACAAAUGAGGUCCAAUUUUGAUGAAACACCCAUGAAUUUGCAGCUUAUUAAGUCUACUUUAGUUUCUCAGAUAACCAUUUUCAUGAUCAGAGCCACAAAACCCGAAAUUGUAAAUCACCUCAGAAAAUUAUGAAACCAGUCCUGUUUGAAAGCUUAAGACGUCUUCUAAAACUUUGUAGUUUAUCAUUUACUGAGAUUCGGCCCAUAUUUUAACGAAAUUGCAGAAACAGCCUUGAAGGUCAGACUGGCCUUUGACAUUCUGACUGGUACUUUGAGAAGACAUUUGACUGAGCAAUUCAAUUUGGAAUUUCAUGAAAAUUGAAUGAAUGGAAAGAUCUGGAAGUCUUUUAAAAGUUUGUAAUUCAUGAUAUUCCGAGAUUUUGUCAUUAAGAUCUCCUAAAUCCCAAAAUACCCAGCACGCCUGAUCAGACUUCUAAUUCCAGAUUCAACUUCAAUUUUCUAUUAUCUUUGUCCUAGAUUUUGAGGUGGAUUUGACCUAGUAAAUGAUCUUCAACUUGGGAUUAUAAUCUAUCAAAACGAAGCUUAAAAUGUCAUGAUCAUUUCAUUAGUUAAUUCCUUUUGAUGAUUUGGUCAUUUACUAGGUCGAAUAACCUGAUUAAUCUCAAUGAGUAUCCAAACCUGUGAUACUUCUCAACAACAAAUCGUCAGGCACACGCAUUUUGGUCCUUUAAACCAAUCCCAUUGACCUUCCAUGACUCAUCACGCACAAAAUACGAGCAAGCCCACAAAGAGUUCCUCAACAGCACUUAUUUGCUACGCUUACGGGGCCUAUUUAAAAGAACCUUCUAACAGUGAUCAUGCAAUGCGUCUCAUAGCAAGCAUAAGAAGAACAAACCAGCCACGUUUGCUUUACACGAUUGCAUGGAACAAACGAAAAUUUUAGCAUGAAACAGACCUAAAAGAACCGUCUAUCGGUUAUCAAUGGCAUGACAAUCCCAGAACAUGCCCACGGUGAACUCGCCAGCAUCUCGCCACAUACAUAUAUACAUUCAACUUUUUCUUCAUUGACGCUGUCACAUAUAAGCAGCAUAUACAAAGGAUAAUGAGCAAGAAAUCUCAGUGUAUAACCACUAGACUCAUCCUCAAUGAAGGAAAACAAAACUCAAGCAAAGCUUCAUUGACAGGAGACAGUAAACAAGUUACUCUCGAUCAAAACCUAACCUGCAAUGUUCGCUGUUCUAUUUCGAGAAUAUAAUCAAACCUGUGGUAAGCACUUCAGUCAAAGGAUCUAGCUGCAGCUGUGAAACAACGAUUCACAUCCGAAUUAUCAUCAGGACAAGCUCAAGUCACCAACAGAUCCUCAAUUGGAGGCUAAUUUCAAAUAAAUCACAACAAAAUUUCUCAGCCUCAGCUUUAUACAGAGAACAUCAGAACAUAGAAUUUGAGUCUAUGCUCAUCAUACCUUCGAGUUUCAGUUUUGGAAGAGAGCAAAUCGAAGAACAGAGUUCCUAGAUAUGUCAAUGAUGGAGAUCAAAGAAUAGAGUUCCAAACAGAUUAAUCUACUAAGAGUAAACUCUAUCAAAGGUGUUCACUAAAAUCCCUAAACUAAAUGCAUACUAACCAAAUGAAACUAAGCUAAAUCUAGCACUGGAUUUUUUAUUUUUUUUAUCGGUCGUCUUAUUUCUACUUUAUAAGUCACUGUGUGUACUUUGUGUAGGUUAUGAAACCCUAGUCUUUCUCACAUGUCCCUACCCCUCAGCUCCUGAGAAAAGGAGGGAAUCAAACUCAACACCUCCCCCUUUUCAAGUGAGAAAUGUGUCUACCGGACUAACCCCUAGUAGUUAAAUCUAGCACUAAACAUAACAACCUAAUCAAGAUCUCUAUCUCUAGCUAUUAUACAAUUUUUUAAUUUAUCGAAUUUUUCUGUUAGAAAUUAUUACUUUUAUAGUAGAGGGGGCUCGGGCUGGUCCUCUGGCCCGGUCUGAAGUUGGAAUGGACGCUUCCGCCUGGCGAGGGCCACAUCUCUAGUAUCAUGGGUUCUGGAUCUUAAGCUUGGGACAUUAUUGGGCUCUUAAAUCAAGCCCACUCAACUGAACUAAACCGAUUUCAUAAAAAGUCAAACCCAGGCCAAACAUUAAAAAGCUGAGUCAAGCCCGUCCCAAAUCAAACCCAACGUGCAAAGAUUUUUAACCUCACCUUGUCGAGGAAAUAACCAACGCAUGAACAGAAACAAUGGAAACGUACGGAAGGAAAAUGAUGUUGUUGAAAGCUUAUCUCUGGGCACCAUUGAAUGCUUCACUAACUCCUGGCCAUUCCUCACACAUUACCACCACAGAGCCAUCAUCAUAACAAGCUCUGCUGCAACCGCGAAACAUAUAUAAAAGAAAACGUUCAGAUUCGAUUUUGUUAACAAAGAAAUCUAACUGAAAACGUACUCAGCAAUUAAUAGAAAAUUCCUUUCACAUGAAACAUGUUCACAAGUGUUGCAACCCUCUCAAAGCACAUCCGACAGCAAGGUCUGAACCUUUUGAGGGGUUUAGAGGCAUUACUCAUAAGACGGUCCAAAUAAUCUCUCGAUUAUGAGUACAGGCUCUCCCCAACCAUUCUCCCUUGUAACAUUUGGAGAUUUCAUUUUUUAAGUCCUUUUUAGCCUAAUUAAAUCCUAGAGUUCCCACUAGCAAUUUGAAUAGGCUAAAAACCAUAUCAAAUACGGGAGGUUUGACUCAUUUUCUACGCAACUAGAGAUUCUAAAUACGAGAAUUGGAUUACGCUAAUAUUUAUAUUAAUGCCCUUUUGGUGCCUCUAACUCGGAAGGCCGUUGCCUAAGUGGUUAUGCAUUGUUUUUACCAUUUUACUCUUUUUGCAUUUUUCCUCUUACCUUCUGCCUUUUAUUCUAUUAUUUCUUUUGUUCCCAUCAUCUUCCUCCUUCCUCAGAUGGACGAGCCUCUGCCCUGGACUUCUCAGAACUUCCAUCGAUAAAACCCCAAAGGUGCAUUAAACCAAACCUACUCCCGCAAAUCUUGUCACUGGCAACAAUCGCUAACCUCCGAUCAUCAAACGAAAUGCCGUUACCAGACCACCACAGUCAACCACUCCCGGCCACCGAAAUUUAUCAUCGCCGGCCACCCCAUGAAGUAGGGCAAAGCACAGAACAGAUGGAAGGGAAGUGAACGCAGCAACAAUCCCAGAAACGACGCAAUAUGGCAGAAGAUGUGAUGUUCAACAACCAUUAAGAAGGCGUCUUAUCACGCAAAACAUAUAGAUAUGCACUCAAGGUAAUUUACAAUCGGGAAUAAACUGACACGGAUUCGGUUCCUGCAUUUCGUCGGACAUGCAGCGUAAGUGGGCUGAGGAGAAGGUAUUGACCAUUUUUAGACCUCGAACUCGGAUCUAGACCCAAAGAAAUCAUCAAGAAACACUCGAAUUCAGCCAUAUCAACUUACUCGAACCCAGCGAAUGGAUCAGAAAAAAUACCAGUCUCGGCCUCCGAUUGGACCAAAAGGGGGCGACGGUUCAUGGGAACCGGGUUUAACCGCUAAGACUCCUACCCGGCUCGAAGCCGACGGCCAUAGUAUGAGUUCGGGACGAGUCAGUCUACAGCCGGCUGCCUCCCUUCGUCUCCAAGCUGCAAUCCUCGGAUUAAGGAACUCGAACCGAGCAACUAAAGAAACUCACCGGAAAUGCUGAGAAUCAGGAGAGAGGAGUAGUGAGAAACGACGCCGGCUGGAGGUUGUUGGACAGCGGCAGUGGAAGUGGCCGGUCGGGUGAGGUCCAAAGAGACAAGCAAAGGGAGAUGCGGGACUGAGAGGAGGAGAAGGCAAAUGGCUUGGUGAGGGGGCGCCGGUAAUGGCUGCGACUGGUGGUGGCGACUGAGGCUAUGGACGGAGGAGGGUGGUCGACGGUGAGGUAGAGGUAAGGGGGAAUGGAGAAGAAAAGAGCGGGUGAGAUUUAGAACCAAAAAAAGAGAGUGCGCCUGAGGAUGGAGAUGAGCAAAAAGAAGACCCCGUUUGCUCUUUUCCCCGACCUUGUCUGCAAUAAAUCUCCAUUUUUCAUUUUGAACACUUUAACUUGCUCUAUUUCCACUCCAUCAUUGAUUCCUCAACCCCAUUGUUCACAUUGAAUUGACUAUAUUAUCCACUAUAAGUCUUACUCUUAACUUAGGUUUAUUUCUCACUUUGAUGAAACUAUCCAUACUCCUCCUAAACAAUAAUUAUUAAUUUUAAACAUGAGGUCUACUCUUGAUUUUAAGAUUAUCUUUGCCUUUCUUUUCUUCUUUUUUGAUUUUUUCCGUUUCUUUCUCCAUUUGAAACAAAGUUGGCGUACCUCUUUUUCCAAAAAAAAAAAAAAACAAUCGGUAAAUACUAAUUAUUUAACAAAAAAGCUAAUCAUUGUAUUGAUAGUUGUAUAUUUCUUUUUUUACUAAGAACUAUUAUUCAAAAAAUAGCCUAAGCACAAGUAAAAGGGAAAAAGAACUAUCUACCAAUUUUAGUAUGCAUUUCGUUUAUAUGUGUCAUUAUGUUGUAGUUCGUGUAUUUUAACUCGUCAACUUUCAUUUUAUUUAGUAAAUUUGAUAGUCAAAUUUUUAAUUAUUAUAUUGUGUGACGUAUUAAAUAUUUUAAGUGACCUUGAUCAGUUCCUUUUCCAAAUUAUAGUCAAUCAAACAUGAUCCAAUCUUUCUUCUCUAUUGUAUAAUGAAAAUAUUACGCAAAUCAUGAUAAUUACCUCUUCUAUUGCAACCAAGAAGAACAUAUUUGUCUCUCUUUGACUCUUUUAUAAAGACAACAUAACCUUAAGUAAGAAGAUGCGUCUGCAAACUACAUAAAAAAAAAAAAAAAAAAAAAACUCUCACGUUAGAAAAUUACCUCAUAAUGUUUCAAAUGAACUUGUUGACUUGAUUAAUUAUUGUUUUCCAUUUGCAGUUUCGCCAUCGAUGGAUACAUUUAGUCAAUUAAACAAUAUUGUCUUACAUAGUGACCACAUUACUAGAAAAAAAAUGCAAUGAAACAUAAGCAAACUGUGUAUAAUGCAUAUAUCAACCACAAUAUCAAAGUUGAAAAAUUCACCAACAUGAGGACAAUCUAAGGAAAUAAAUAAACAAUUUACAGAUAAAACUAACAUUUUUUACUCUAAUGCGUGAUUAGUGCGUCUAGAUUACAAUAAUGGAUAAUAAGUUCAGAAGAAAACAAACAUGAAAGAAAUAUUGAAAUGUAAUUGGUGUAAAAGAAGCAGUUAGGUAAAAACAAGGCUUGCACUAUUUCCACUCCUUAUUAGCUUUUGACAUGCCUAUCACAUCUAAUUGACUAUAGUGUCAUUUGCUUUCUUAACUUUUACUAUAGACGAAACUAAUCAUACUCCUUUCAAAUAAAUUUUUUUAAGAUUAAAUAUAGGGUUCAACUCUCUUGAAAAAAAAUACUUUACCCGAAUCAUAAAUAAAUUUUUUUAUUAUAUUAAUAAGAGACUCAUUAUUCACUUAAAGCAAUAUAUAUCAAGGUAUAUCUUUCAAUUUAUAGUGCGAGGAGCUCCAAGUGAAUUUGUUGACAUGAUUAAUUGAUGUUUUUCAUUUGUAGUUUCAUCAUCAAUAAAUACAUUUAAGUAAUUUGGGUUCUCUUUAAUAUUGUCCACACAUAAUAACUACACUACAAAGAACAAUACAAUGAAAUAUGACUAAAUUGUGUAUAAUGCAUCAAGUAACCACAAUACUCAAUCUUUGAGUAAAUUCUUGUAAAUUUGCAACAAAAAUUGAAAUAAAAAAAUUUUCAAUCAUGAGGAUUAUCUGAGGAAAUAAAGUUAAUAACGGGCAUAAUAAAUUUAAAAGAAGACAGACAUGAAGAAAAGUUAGAAUAAAAUGGGUUUGGAAGAAACAACUAAAGUGAAAAAAAAAAGUUGUUCGAAAGAGACGUGGGUAGUUUUGUCUUUUAAUAAAAUUGAAACAAAAGAAAAAAAAAUGGUAAGAAACUAUUUUAAUUUAGGGUAGGACCUGUAAGAGUACUGUAGUCAAAUCGAUAUGACGAAGGGGCGUGGGAGCUAAUAAUGGGAUGAAAAUAGCACGAGCUUAAAAAAAGUGUUUAAAAGGAAUAUAGAUAAUUUUGUCUUUUAAAAAAAGUUGAGACAAAAGAAAAAUAAGAAAAAAGGUGAAAAAAAAAAUCUUAAAUCAAGAUUAAGAAUCGCAAUAUUGCAGUCAAUUCAAUGUGACAAAAGUGUUAGGAGACAAUAAGAAGCGGAAAUAGUGUGCGCUUUUUCUUUUUGACCCUAUGUGCUUUUGUUGCUGUUGACCCCUCCCUUGUGUGCAAAGUAAUCCCAGAUACCCCCUUUUGUCCUAUUCAUCCACGGCCCCCCACAAAAUAGAAUAACCUAGCUUGGUGACAAGUGGGAAGCUUGCAAUGGUGAGGCUUCAGACAAGGCGCCAUGUGGCACGAGAAGUAGAAAGGCACGAUCUAGGGUCGAAUUGAGCCGAGCUUUGUCGGGCCUUGGCUUGAGCAAUUAGAUCAAUGAAGUAUGUAAUAAUGCAUACAUGUGGUGGCUCGAGCUAGAUCUUGAGCAACAAAGAUAGACAUACAUACCAUUCUAGUAAUAGAGCUAUGUUACUAGUAUGUUCAUGGAGCAAAUUAUUAGCACACUAAUGAAAUUACUAUCAUGGCUUGAAUUGGUUGACAUAUGAGAAUAACCAUUUAAAAAAAAAAAAAAAAGUUGCUAUCACGAGAUAUCACCCUAUGCUUUUCACUAUAGGACAAAUUUCCUUGCACGUUCAUAGAUUGACUUACCUAGUACUCCAUAUUAGGAGCUAUUUGUCUUAUACAUGAAUGAGAACUAAAAGUACUUCACUAUCAAUCACGCCCCUCCCCGAAGAUCCGCCGUCAGCUCCAUUUCCGUUCCCCGGGAUCCACACUGCCCGCACCCAGAGAUCUGAUCGGCCUCAAUGUGCCUAUGAAGACCGCAAAUCAUUUCAUCCAACGGCCGUGGAUGAAGGGAAACCAAAAUGGGUGAAAUCUUCCACGUAAUCUACGGCUGAUUAGUGAAUGGAGAGAGAAAUUUCCCUUGGGUGCUUUUUUCUCUUUCAGUGACAUGAAAAUAUUCGACUUUGAGUGCUAAAAACGACCACUAUCACGACACAUUUUGACUCACGCCAUUUUGGGGAGAAGUCGGUCGGUUUCGUUGAAAAAUAAAAUAAUUUUUACAUAUUAACUUGACUUUGAGCGAAUCAUGAGAGGCCUGGCCUGUCGUUACAAUAAAAGGGAAUUGAGACACGAUCCCACAGGGUGCCGAUUACGGAUUGAUGUAUUGGAAUUGAACAUGCAUAUGUCGUCUAUGUGAGCCAUCAAUUAAGAAAUUAAUCCUAAACAGCAUGUGAAUCCACUGAAUGACGUGCUGUAUGAAUAAUACAAAAAAUUAUUAAUGUGGUCUAAUUUUUUGUUUUCUCUUUUUAAUUAACAAAAAUACAAAUGACCCUAAAUUUCUACAAAUUAAAUGGAUUUCUAUUAAUCUUUAAUCAUGCUCGAGUAAAAUUGAUACGUAUGACCUAAUGUUGGCACUUGAUUUUUGCUGGCCAUUCAAAUUUCCAUUCUCGCAAAAAAGAACAAUUAUGGAAAAUAGCAAUGAUCUUCGAUCUCCAUUCUUAUCAUAGAGAAUUAUACAGGUUAUGAAAAAUAGCGAUGAAAAAUAGGAAUGAUCUUGGUUCCGCAUAACUACAGAGUCCAAUUGAUUCUCCAUAUUAGUCAUUCGUGUGCUCUCAUUUUCAUUCUCCAUUCUUGUUGUUGAAUGCGUUCAAAUAGAAGAUUUUCCUUUGGCCGUUUUGCAUUACCUUGAUUUUGCAAAAUAAAGUCAAAAGAGAUUAAGGUAGUAUAUGGAAGAGAAGUGGAAAGAAUACAGCUCUUCAAAAUUCAUCCUUUCUUAGAGUGACUCUUGUAAAAGUCCAAUCUCAUAUGAAAAUUUCUUUAUAAGUUCGAAGAGGAAACGCAUGGUGAUUAAUCAAAAUGCCCAUUCCAUAUUCCAUUAGAACUUGGUAAAAACACACGAAAGGGAGGCUUUCACUAGUUACAUCAAAAUUUGCAAAAGACAAUCCCUAUACAUUCUCUGAGAAUUGGAAAGAAAUUCCUAUAAAUCGUUACUAAAAUGCGUAAAAGAAAGUCCCAUACAUUCUGUUUAAAGAAGUAACCACUUAACAGUUAUUCUGACAAUUUCAGCAUAAUAGGCGAGAGUCUUUUGGAAUUUUCACUGAACAUAGUGAGACCAAAGCGAUGAAUUUUUUUCUAAAGUCAGAAGCAUGAAGAGAUGAUCUAUCAUAAAAUAAAGUAAUUAUUAACACAACACGUAACUCUCACCCUUCUUUGUCAUGUCUAUCACCUAGUCUAUCUUUUCGCACGAUUCUCACAAGUAUAAUCAUCAAAUCGUUAAACUCUCACCCUUUUUUUCGUAAUAAAAAAGAAUAAGUUGAUUCAUAGUGAAGGUCAUCGUGCUUUCUAGCUAUGAUUAUAUAAUGUUGUUGAUUUUCCACUGACUAGCUAACUCCAAGAUCAGAAUACACUACUUAUCCGUUCGAGAGAAAUUUUUUGAGCGGAAAGAAUGCUUACCAAACUUGUUUUUUACUACUCACGAAAAGCUCAAAAUCGGACGUGAUUCUAACAAAGACGAUCUACCCUAGAAUCGGUUUAAGUGGUCCAUGUGUUUGGAUUUGGUAGAGGGAGUUAGCAUCAUGGGAGUUCUCGGGUGAGCGUGCCUACGGUCGGGGCAACGAUGCUGUGUUUUCGGAGUGCAACGUCAACAUUGGGAAGCCAAAAUAUUAUCCUUGAUUCAAAGACAAACCACGAAGAAGAUACAUGCGAGUAUGGAUACAUCAAUGAAGGGCAUUUUGAUAAAUUAACUAUAAAGGGGUGUUUUUAAUCAAAGAAUUUUAGCACCACCCUUUUUGCAAACUAAUCUUAAUAAACAUAACAUUUUUCCUUUUUCCCAUUAAUUUUUCAACAUAUAACUUACAAGCAGGCCCAACACCUUGGUACUAAUACAUAAUGUUUAUUUACCUCCAAAAUUUGGGGGAAUUUUUGCGUAAUUUUUCAACAAAUUUAUUGUGCAACAUCAAAUUUGUAAAACAUUUGUAAGAAGAUUGUGGCAUAAUUAGGUAUGUCGAGUAUUGAAAUAUGGGAAGCAAAACUUAUAUUCCAACUCAAAAUCUCAAAUUUCCCAUUGAUGUCACUCAGGAACUGCAAAACGUAUGGUCCAUAAUCAUAGUGAGACCUUGACAAUUGGGGUGGACCUAACCCUAAUGUUGCCGAUUUAGAAGGAACACAAGAAGGCUCAUCAAUCUGUCGUAGUGAUUUUUUUUUUCUCUCUCUCAAUAACCAGCAACUCCGGUGGAUCUUUAAACACCCUUCAAGCCCUAUAAUUCAGUUAAGUUGAAGCCUUUGAUCCACAUGGAUGGCUUGACAGUGAGUAACUCGCACGCAAAUGAAAUCAUUUAAACAAACGACUUCCAAUUUUUGAACUACAACCAUUAUUGCCCUAAUAAACCACGCCAACUUCGACCGUCUAGGCAGGUUUUUUUCCUAUUAUCUUUUUCGAAGAAAUGUAACUGUUGGUAGGCCCUCACUUUUUGACAUGAGUAUGAACUUAAAAGAGCUAGUUAUAUUAGAAUAAUUAUGUUAGUGUUGAGUUGUAUAUCUUCUCAUCUACUAUGAUCUGGCCCCAUUAUGCUAGAUAUUGGUGCACGGACUCAUUUAAUUUCUAUUCAAAGUUACCACCGGUAUGAGAAUGAUAUAUAAUUAUUUUCAUAUCGGAGGUGUAACAGUCAAUCUACCUUAUGAUUGGAAAGAUAAAUGUUUGUCUGUGAUUAUUUUUAAAUAGUAAUUUCUGCAUAUAAAAAUUUUAUGAUGUGAAAUCCUAUUUUUUCAUAACGAGCUAAGGGGUAGGUAUUGUUGGCCUAGAAGUAGCAAUAAAUUGGACUUUAUUGAGAUCAUUCAUGCGCCUAUUACAAAGUAUUUGAAGUGAGCCACUAAGUACUAUACAUCAUUUGUGAUCCGAAGGUUCUCUCUUUCUUCUGACAAUUGAGGUCACGAGCGUUGGUCACUUGACUACCUUAAAGCUCAUGAAAUAUUUUGCAAGCUUUAUGCAUAUAUUAAGUUCCUCCUAUUUGGCCCAUGGAUAUAGCUUAAUCUAGCAUUUGGGCAUGGUNNNNNNNNNNNNNNNNNNNNNNNNNNNNNNNNNNNNNNNNNNNNNNNNNNNNNNNNNNNNNNNNNNNNNNNNNNNNNNNNNNNNNNNNNNNNNNNNNNNNGACGUUCUACAUGGUUUAAAAAAGAGAGAUAAAAAUAAGGAAUAUUGAAAACAUAGUAAUAUUAAAACAUUAAAGAAAGGGAAAUUCGAAAGGUAAAAGAAGGGACGGACAAGGGAGGGAAGUGGCGCACUGUUGCCUGACUUUAGCAGAUACCGACCAGGUGUCUUGCGACCUCGGUGAUCCAUGAUUAGGGUUACACAGCCCCAGCCCAAAUUAGACCUUGGCUAGCUUCUCGCGACCCAACUAGGAGUCUAGGACAAUGGCUUCUCUCCCUCCCUCUCUCUCUCUCUGGCUUUGAUUUUUUUUUUUUUUUAAAGAACAAGAUUUUGUCGAUAUUUUAUCCAGCCUAAGAAACUCGCAUGUAAGCACAAGAUUGCCCGGUCAAUGCUAACGUCAUGCCGAUGUGUCAACUCGCCUUAGUAUUUUCAUUUUUUGUUAUAACAAAACGACCAAUUCAAAUAUUAAGAAAAAGAACAUAUACUUUAAAGACCAAGUUGCACAAAAAGCAUAUAUCCCUAAUGUGUUUAAUGUUACGUUUCUAAAAAGCAUUUCUUGAUUCAAAGAAUCUAUUUAUAUUGCAAUGCAAGGGCUUUUUAUUAACUUGAUCAGUCCAUGAUACGGCGCCGUCCAAUCCGACGCGAUGCAACUCCUGCCUUACGUCUUCACGUCGACUCUCUCUCUCUCUCUCUCUCUCUCUCUCUCUCUCUCCCUGCUUUCAUUUUCAACAAGCGUACCAGGAAAGCCAAAUCCCAACUCUCUCGAACGGACCCAUUGUACCGUUAGUUAACCCAGCUUUUGUUUUGCGUUCUCUGCUGCUUUGCGUGCGUGCGUGCGAGUGACGAGUGUUUGCUAGCUAGUUUAGCUCNNNNNNNNNNNNNNNNNNNNNNNNNNNNNNNNNNNNNNNNNNNNNNNNNNNNNNNNNNNNNNNNNNNNNNNNNNNNNNNNNNNNNNNNNNNNNNNNNNNNGUGCCUAAACAACAUAGCACGAGCUGUUUGGAGAUUUAUUCAUAACGUGAAUCGCGCUCGUGACCCCAUGGAAGAUGGCCCAUUUAACUCAGGCCAACAUAUUGAAGGUCGGUCCUUCUUUUUUUACUUUUUGGUAAACUUAUUAAAGAUUGGUCACAGUUAACAUGAAGCUUCUUCAUGCAACCUUAGUAGGGAUAAAGAUGGACGGUAUCAACUGAGCUCACAUUUGAUGAGAUUUAAGCACCUUCGGUGUGAAUCUACUUUUGGAAAAUGCUGCUGCAAUUCCACACCCCUCAUAUAAAUUAGUUUUUUCUAUAAGCUCAAUAAAAUAGCUAGCGAUAGUUUGACCACGAGCAUCAUGGGAAACCUUUAUGAUAAGUUAGAAUUCUGAAUCUGUGGGUGCGUUUGUUUCCAAAAAAAAAAAAAAAGUUUCAAGAUAAAAGGACAAUAUCUUACAAAAAAUAUCUUGAAACUUUUUUCUUUCUUUUCAGGUUAGGGAAUUUGUUUUCCUACUUUAAGAAUACAUAUAUUCUUCAAUUAUAAAUAAAUUUUCUGUUUACUAAUUAUUUUCAGCAAACCAAAUGUGUAAAAGUCAGAAAAACUAAUUCAUUAAAAAAAAUUUCACUCGAAUAAGGCUAACGAACUCUUGUCACGUUUUUCUUACCUUUACCAAAAAAGAAAAAAAAAAAAAACUCUUGUCACGUUGAAUUGUUUGGGCUUGGACGCCCUUGCCCCAAAGAAAACGUAUAUAUUAAUUACUAUAAAUUUAUUUUUCUAUGUUAAGACUACUGCUAAAAGUGAAUCAUGAAAUCGAUGACUUACUGAGCCACCAGAAUCACUAACUAAUACUAAUCUAAUAUUAAUAAAAUAGAACAUACUUAUAGAAUAGAAGAAAACUGUCUUUUAUGUAUACUUCCCCAGUAACACACCCUAUAUUGAUAGUUGGGCAAUAAUUUGCUAUAUUACGAUGGUGGUUUAAGCCAUGUUAAACUUCCAAAGCCAAAGCAAUGGGUAGUAGGGUAGUGCAACCAGUCCGACUCUACUCGAAAAUUAGAUCAAACGGGCCAUAGAAACAGGUCCAAUUUCUAGUUCUAGUGGAAACAACUUCAGUUCUAAGUUCUAAAUUUUUUGAACCAAUAGUAGGGGUGAGCAUGAUCCGGGUUGGUCCGGGCCACCCCUUAACCCUAGGACCAACCCGUACAAUGUCGGUUCUCAAUUUUUAGGACCGAGGAUCGACCCUAUUGAGCUUGGGACCAAGGAUCGGACCGACCCAUUGGGUUCGGUCCGGUUCCAAGGUCAACCCAGGACCGAUCGAUAAUUUUUUUCGUCUUAUUUUUUUAUACUCCCUAAAAAAGCAAACUUAUAAAUUCAAAUUACACAUCCAUCUACAAUAUGGCAUUGUGCAACUAAACUAUAAAUANNNNNNNNNNNNNNNNNNNNNNNNNNNNNNNNNNNNNNNNNNNNNNNNNNNNNNNNNNNNNNNNNNNNNNNNNNNNNNNNNNNNNNNNNNNNNNNNNNNNUUUUGAUUCGAGUGUGUCUGAAGAGGAGGGAUUCUAAGUCCGAACAGGAAUCGAUUUUGGGUUUGUCCGUGCCGUGUUGAGGCAGGGGAUUAGGAUAGUUCCGAGGCAUUGAGGCGUUUGAUGUCUUUUUUUUUUUAUUUCUGAUGCAGUUGAAUGUUAUAGGAUCUUGAACGGACUCCUUGCAUGGUCAUAGCGUUUUGACCACCGGUCCAAUAUGCACCUCUUGGUGCUGGAAGAGGUUUCUCUUAAGGAGAGAGAGAGUCGGCAUCUAAUGGUAUCGUUGUAGAUGUUAGUCUGAUCUUACAAUUUUUGAACUGUUACUCAUUUGGCAGUUUUAUCGCCCGACUUUCCGGUUGAUUAACAUGAGCGACAUCGUGGCUCGAUUCUUGUCGAUAACAAGAGGAGUAGCUUGGUGUUGUUUUUUCCUUUGUCGAAGUGACGGAGUUCCCCCGCUGCUUUCCUUUCCUUUACCGCCAUCUCGUGCGAUUGAGGAUGUGGCAUUCCAAUCAUUUCCUAGGAACAAGUCGCUCUUAUCCAGUAUAUGUUAUGGACAGUGUUAGCCGAUAGGUGUACAAGUAUGUAAACUGUGAGUGUGGAUUGGCAAUGAGAACCAUCUAAGUUUCGAGGGUGGAACUACUCAAAACUUCACCAUAGUCUAUUUUGAAGAUUACUAAUGGAAUCCAGUCUUACUGCAGCUAUUAGUUUAGGAGACUAGACAUAAGCUUGAUAUAAGCCAAAUCAUGAUAAAUCUAAUUUGCAACAUCUUUUAUCUCUUUGCACCUUUUUCAAUAUUUUUCUGACAAGGGCAUGCUGCAUUGCAUAUAAGCAUAUUGCAUAUUUACGUCUGGUAACAUCAAGCUUUCCCUGCUUAUAUCCAAGUCCAGUUUCAAAUAACUUGUGAAAAUCUAAAAUAAUAUUAUUAUACAACAUAUUCACCCCUAUUUAGGUUGUAUCGUUAAUCUCAACAAAAAUGACGGCCUUUUGAAUGUUGCACUCUCUAAAGUUUUUGGAAAUUAUGCCGAGUAGGCCCAAUGUUCUCAUAUAUAGGAAAAUUUAUUUCUCAAAGUUCCUGGCCCUAUUUCACUUCUUUGUAAAAGCAUGCUCCAAGAAUUCACAAAUAUGUGUAAACCUUCACUUUUUCUUUUACACUUGCAUUUGAGUUUAGUUUUCAAUUUUGGAAUAUGUACUUUUUCUGAUCCAUUUUUGUCCAUAUAGUUUGGUUAUAUGGAUGUAGUAUGGUCAUAUGUCCGUGCAUGUGUGACAUAAGAUAACAACUCAAACAUUUAUAUAUUUAAAUUUACAAGCUGCUCGCAAAUCGACACCGACUGAUAGACUAUUUGUCACUACAAAUGACUUUCAGUAUUGUGAGAUUAUAUAUGCAUGCUUUCUAGGGUAUAUCAAUCUAGUAAGGCUAACGUCCUUUUUACAUUAGAACACGUUAUAAUGCCUUAAAGAAUAUUUCGCUUAAAUUUAUUGGAGAAAAAUCUACAAGUGAUUUUGAUGAUAUCCAAACUAUCCUUAAUAUAAUGUUUACUACGACAUAUGCAUAUAUAUAUUUAGAAAGGAUUACACAAUAUUGAUAGUGUGAUCUAGUAUAUGAAGUAUGCAACAGGUCCGGAAACAGUUUUUUGUGUAAAUACUACCAAUGGAUCUAAAGAUCAACUGAUGACGAUGUUCAUAUCGCAGCUACAAAUAUCAAGUCGUUGGUGUUAUAACAACCAUGAACAUCUUAUAAAGUUUGUUGGGUUAGCAAAUUAGCCAUUGUGGCUAAGGAUUUGCACAACAACAUAAUCCAGUUGAAAGUAGUAAUUUGAGAAUCCAAGUCGUCUAAUAAGUCUAUCAGAGACUACAGUGAUGGGACAGUGGCAAAUGCUAUACUUAAGUAGACUACAAAUGUUCAAGAAAAAAAGAACUAUAUGGGCAGUUCUAUUCUUGGAUAGACUCCAAUGGUUCCUUGCUUUUUUUUUUCUUCUUUUUUUCAUCCUAGAACCACCAUACAGCCGGCAGCCAGUGGCGUAAACCAGGGAAAGCACUAGCGCGGGGGCCCACCUCCCACAACACUCCACUUUAGUCACACAAUGGGGGCAUAGAGUUUCGAACCCCUUCCCUCCCGAAUGAGAGGGCAGGGCGCGAACCAGCGCGUCCACCGCAGGGUGAGUGGUUCCUUGCUUGUUUGAUCUUCUCUUAACGGGCAAAUUGGAGAUGAAUAUAAGAGAAAAGACCUAAGAAGCCAAGGAGGAGAAAGAGAACAACAUUAUCUAAAGAUUUGCAUUAUGCUUUGUUCCUAACUAUACACUCUUGCCCAAAGUGUUUCGUUAAGUUUUGUAUUCAUGAUAUUUGAGUAAUUGUGUUCUAGAUUAAAUGUAGAGGGUAAGAAUUGCAAUUGGGUCUUGAUAAUGUGAUUUAUCUUAUAAUAAGACUACUGUUUGCCUAUUGUAAUUGUCUGAGUAGCUUACACAUGCAAUCCAGCCUGAUUUGUGGCUAUUAGUCUGAAGAGUGAACGUAAACUUGGAGAUAAAGCCAAACCACUAUAUAUCAUUGUGUGUUAUUGUUUUACUCUCUCUUACUCUCACAGGCACAGAUCACAAACUUCGAAACAUCAUCUUGACCUUAUCUUUACUUAGCAUUAGCUAAUUUAUGUGAAAAAUUGUCAAGUUUUCUUUAAAAACCUAUUCACCCCCUCUAGGUUGUAUUAUUAGCUCCCAACAAAUUAGUUGCUUUGGAGCAACAAAAAGCUACUAAAAAAGUCUUGAAACUUGCUAAAUAUAAUAGAAGAUGUUCUUUUCAUAUAUUUUUCUCUCUUGAAGUAAAUACACAUAUUUUUCAUAUUCUUCCUUUUUGAAGCUUUUGGUGUUUCGGAGACAAAAAGAAUAACUCUCCAAUCAGAUUAUUCAACUGGAAAAGCAAUCGAUGCAAAAACAAACCUUGAAAUUGGAAAUUGAACAAUUGAGAAGAUCAUUAAAUGUCAUGAAGCACAUGAAAGACGAGGAUGAUACUGAAAUUUUGAAAAUAAUUAUUUUGCUAGCGGAUAUGAGGGGAAAAUAGGGGAAUCUUGAGGAUGUAGAAGUGCUGAAUCGAGCUAUCAUAGUAAAGGUGCAUAAUCGCAAUAAUGAGCUUCAAGAAGCUCGCAUAAAAUUGAUCAAUGUAAGUUUGCUUUUUCUCUUCUUUUUUUUAUGGUGAGAUUUUUAAAUUUUUUUGCAGGGAAUCAUGUUCACUUGUAUCAUUUGUCAUCUUUUUUCAUUUUUGGUUUGCUAUCUUCAGUUACUUCACUCAAUACAAGUUUCUGUUGCAGCUGUACAUCAUUGAUUGACUUAGCUAAGGUGCCAAAUUAAACUUAAUUUGCAAGUAUCAAAAGACAUACAUAGUGAUUUUAAAGUCGAUGGCAAUGUUCAAGGUUGACAGAAAACUCCAAUCCUCCAGUGAAGCUGCACCUAAAUAAGUACGUAUUUGCUUGCGCCAUAGUGACCUCCGUGACCCCCCUUUUGCUUGGGGGAUUGACCAUAACCAAUCAAAAGGGACCUCAUGGAGGCCACCACGGCGGACCCAAGGGCAUACUUCUUCUAAGGCAGCUUUACUCGAUCAACUUAGGUUAGACAUUUCCAUCGACUUUAAAAAUUACUAGAUUUGUCUUCUAAGACUUGCAAAGUAAGUCAAUUAACACCUUAGGCAAGUUAAUUAGUGGUGUACAAUAGCUACAAGAGAAACUCAUGUUGAGUGAAAUAACAGAAGACAACAUCUUCAACUAUAUGAAAUUCAAUUUAAGUCUAGUACCGAAGCUCAUUAUUCCUUACCAAUUAAUUGGGAACUCUACUUCUUUAUUAUUAUUUCAUAUCUUUAUGUGCACGGAACUUCUGGCCUUUCUUUGUGUUUUUUAUUUAGUCCCUUCAUCCCUAAACAAAUUAAUCCUCUCUUCAUUAGUCUUUUUUACCCAGAACGCUUUUCACUCUCAAGUUCAGUAAGCUCCCAUCUCUUCAAACCUCCAUUAAUCUUUUCUCUCAUUCUCGCUCAACUCACUCACCAUUCUUCGAGCAAUUCACUCAUAUCUGCACCCUUAAACCCAUGAAUUUGGAGGCAAGUGUCGUGUGCACUCAAAGAAAAGAGAUACACCCAGAACACAUGGAGAGAGAGAACGCAUGUAUCUGCAUAUAUUGAAAAUGCAUUCACUCAAACGACACUUACACAGAAGACACAUUCAGCAAAGACAAUUUGUGAUCUAACAUGUCAUCACAAACACUUACGCGGGAGAUAUCUAAUUGAGUCUCACACACGAUAAUAUAAUUCUUCAAUUUCAGUAUAUGCCUAAUGAAUUCUCCAGCAAUAACCACCAAACUUUCUCAAAUUACCACACUGACAUUACCGAAUUAUUCUAGAGAAUCGAGAGCUUAACACGUGCAAACAUGGGAGGCUUAUUAGAGUCGAGAUUCUUGGAAUUAACUAACAAAUGAAUUCAUCUAGCCUAUGCAACUAGCGCAUUGGAUGAAUAAAACAGAUGAGGUGAUCAUGGUCAGACCUGAGGUUACGUCUAUUAGUAACGCAGUUCAGAUAUUUCAAUGAAUAAUUAGUAAACAUCAAGUCAGAGAACAACACGAUGACAAGUUGGUGGAAAUCAAGACACGUUCAACAUGAAACUAUCAUUUAGAAUUGAGAUCACGGAUAUAAGCUCUGACGUGUAUGAUUUUAAAGCUAGGAAGAACUAGAUUCUCAUCCUCUGUUUUCAUUUUCAUACAUCUAAACCAGAAGAUACUCAGUUAGAUCUAGCGAAAGGUAAUUACCUGCAGCGACGGCUGAUGGCUUUGAACAAAACAAUCACCGAGGCGCUCUAGAAGGCUUGAAUUUGCGAAGGAGUCGAUGGCAGCAACUGGUCGAACUUUUCAUUCAACAAUGGCACUCCAAAAACAGGGACAAGCAGGAAAAUUCCAGAGCAGCUCGGCGAUGACGAACAGCCGCUGUAGGCAGGGUUACGACAUCCUGAAAUGGUGCACCAUGAAUGCUGAUGUCAAUUAACCGUGAAGAAACUCCUGGAAAGCGAUGGGAUCAAAGUGUGUUUAAACUACCGUUAGACCCUCAAUCAGUAUGGUUUUCUCCCCUCAAACCUCGGUCACAUAACUAGGACUUGACCCACCAGAGCAGAGCAGAGAUGCAGUUGCAGUAAUUACCUCGGAGAUGCAGCAGAAGGUCACGAACAACGAUCGAACGGAGAACUCAAAAGUCCCGGGAGCAUCUCCACCGAUGGUCCGGGCUAUGGGGGGAAGAAAUCUCGACUGAGAUCUGAGCUUUCCGGACUACCCUCUGGCGGAACAGGGGCGAAUAGAGAGGUGGUGGAGGUCUGCAAAAUCUAAAACAAAACUCGUGAGAGCUUUCUAGGGACUCAUUGCAACUCCAAAACUGAUGCUCUGUCUUCUUGCUCUGGUGUUCUCUCGGCUAAAGAGUUUCAAAUAUCAGCAAUUACUGUAACUUUUUUUCUCCUAAACCGGACAAGGCAUAUAGAUAUUAUGUUAUUAGUACCAAAGUGCGGGGCCUACUUUAAAGAGUUUCAGAUAUCAACAAUUGAUAGAGACACCCAUUUAUAGUUAAUUUAUCAAAAAGCCCGUUUAUUAAUAUAUUCAUGCCAACACGUAUCUUCUUCCUGAUUUGUUUUUCAAUUAAGGAGAAGACUGUAGCUUCCCGAAAUUGAUGUUGCACUCCGAGCAUGACGACAUUGCUGCCUCGGCCGUAGACACCCUCACUCGCAAAGUCCCGCGAUGCUAACUCCUCAUGCCAAAUCCAACUGCGUUAGACCAAAUUGUUAGAGAAAACUUCCAUGAGUGUUUUGAAGUUGACAAAAUGUUUCAAUCAGUCUAGUAUAAAGACUUGUAGACUCUUUUAUCAAAGUUUGAAGGCUUCCGGACUGCUAGACUUAAGACUCAAAGUCUAUAAUCAUUGACAGUUUUUUAGACCGUCGAAGAAGGCUUAUCCAGAACUGAGUAUUUCGUUAAGGAUUUGAUUCUAUCGAUUGAAGAAGAUCUCUUGGCUGGAUAUAACAUGUCGGAAUCCAUUAUUCAAGUUGAGAUUAAUUCAGGGAUUUUGGAUCCGUUGAUUGGCAAAGUAUAUUUGGAAGGUUCUACUUGUGGAAACCUAGAUCCUGAUUGUAUGGGUGAACAAGAUUGGUGGGCUAUCGUCAUAUUCCUUAAAUAACUCGAAAUCUCCCUAAUUGAUUCUGUCCAACGGGUAGAUUGGAAUAACUUCUUUGGUAAGUGCCAAUGGGUGUGAUGGCAUGAAGGAGUAUAUAAGGAAGACGUUCCAGUUAUUUGAGUGUGUGCGCGAUAGAAGAAUUCCAAAGUCUGAAGCUCUUUGGUCUUAGUCAAUUCAAUCGUUGAGCAAAAUAUUGUACUAAAAAGAGAGUUUAUAUUUUUGUGAGACUUUGAGGAAGUGUAGCAUAGUUUCUACACUGUGAAAUCAAUGAAGAACUAUAUUGUAACAACUCUUUUGAUUCAUAGUGAAAUCCAGCCGGUGGGCUGUCAAUGCAGAAGAGUGGACUUAGGCUUGGAUUAAGCCGAACCACUAUAAACCUUGUGUUCUUAUUCUCUUACCUAAUCUUUUUUACUUUGAUCGUAAUUCAAUUUGAUUAUUAGAGUCUAAUUUCCUUUUCAUAAUCUAUUGCUGAUCAGAGUUGUUUUAAAAGUAAAAUCACUCACUUCACUCUGGAAAAUUUGUUUUCGUGCCUAUUCACCCCCUCUAGAUGCUCGUACUAACUUUCACAGUUGGUAUCAGAGCAUGUAUACUCACUUAAGUUGAAAUGUUUUACUUCAGAGUUAAAGAUUCAUCGCUAGUAUGUUGGCUCCAGGUCUGGUUGAAGGCAAAGUAAUACCAGAACACCUUAUUUUGAUGGAAAGGAAUACAAUAUAUGAAAAAAGAAGAAGAUGAAAGCAUUCCUAAGAUCAAAUGAUCCUUUGGAAUGUGACGUGGUAGACAAAUGAAUCAUUCUUAAAGCUGCAACAGUCUCAAAAAGAGGAAAAGAAACUGUUGAGUCUAGUGAAAUGACUCAAGAAGAGAUAACCAAGAGACAGGCUCUUGAUAUAAAAGUAAUUUAUUCUUUAUAUUGUGCAUUAUCUCCUACUGAAUAUAACAGAAUAUCUUCUUAUGAAACAGCUAAAGAAGUCUGGGAUAGAUUACACAUCACCUAUGAAGGAACUGAUCGAGUGAAAGAAACCAGAAUUAACAUUCUGCUCGGUCAAUAUGAAGCAUUUAAGAUGAAACCAGAAGAAUCUAUCACUGACAUGUUUAGUUGUUUUACAAAAAUCAUGAAUGGUCUUGAAUAUCAAGGUCAACCAAUUUCUGGACCCAUGAAGGUUAACAAGUUACUACGUGGAUUGUCCAAAGAUUGGAAUCACAUAAAGACCUCAAUAAGGGAGACACAAAGAAUUAUGCCACUCUCUGUUGACAAAUUGGUUGGCACUCUUCAGUCUUAUGAAGUGGAGCAAAUCAACGAAGAUGGAGAUCCCAAAGGUAAAAGAUCUAUUGUAUUAAUAACUAAUGAUGAUUCUGAUGUCACAGAUUCUGAAGACGAUAUGGAUGAUGAAGAGCUUGCUCUCAUGAUAAGAAGAUUCAGAAAACUGAACAGAAAGGGGAGAAGAUUUAAUUCAAAGAAACAAAGUUCUCAAAAGUUAUAAAAUAAAUCAGUUGAGGAUGAUGAAUCCAAUAAAGAUGUAGUCUGCUUUGAAUGCAAGAAAAAUGGACACAUCAGACCCAACUGUCCUCUGCUGAAGAGAAAUAAAGGAAAAGCUAAAAAAUAUCGAAAGACGCUUAAAGCAGAAACUUGGAGUGAUACCGAAUGUGAGGAAAGUGAUGAUGAUUAUGCCAAUAUUUGUCUCAUGGCACAAUUAGACUCAGACUUAGACAGUGAAAUCGAAGUAAGUAAUUUAAAAAUUCCUACUAAAGUUUCUAUAUAUAUUGAUGAAUUGUGUCUUAAUCUUAAAACCUCUCUUAAAAGGAUUUCCAAACUUGAAAAGGAAAAUUCUGCACUAAAACAAUAGGAAAAUGUUUGGAAAGAAAAGGUCGAAAGUUUAGACAAAAGUGUUACUACUUUGAAAGAAAAUGCAAACAAUCUUUCAAAAGAAAAUUCAUUCUUAAAAAAUGAUAUCUCAAAUAUUUCUAAAAGAUUUUCUAUAUGAUCUGAGAAACUUGAAAAAAUUCUUUCAGCACAAAGAUCUUACUUCAACAAAUCAGAUUUGGGAAUGACUGCUGAAACCAUUACUCUAAUUGAUUUUCCUAAAGUAAAGGAAAGAAUUAAGCAAAGACUUACAAAAGAUUCUUACAAAAAUCAUUUCCAAAUUUUUUUUGUAAAACUUGUAGGCCGUAGUGCUCUUAAAUAUUCUAAGUGCAAUAGCUCGGAUCAUUUUGAGAAAGAAUGUCCUAUGGUUUGGAAACCUGUUAAGAAGGUAUGGGUAAAGACCGUAUAUUACACUAACACCAAUGGACCCAAGAAAAUAUGGUAACUAAAGAAAGCUUAAGUUUCUUUUCUAAAUGCAUGUCACUAUCAAGAAAAAUGUUAAAUGGUACUUGGAUAGUGGAUGCUCAAGACAUAUGACAGGAGACUCAAAUUGUUUCAUAAAACUUGUGCAAUUAAUGGUGGAAAAGUUUAUUUUGGAGGAAAUAGCAAAUGAAGAAUUGUGGGAUACAAAACUGUAAAGAUUGGAAGCCUCAAGAUCAGUAAUGUUUCCUUAGUGGAAGGACUCAACUACAACUUGUUGAGUAUUAGUCAACUGUGCGACACUGGUUUCAAAAUCAACUUUCAAGAAGGAAUAUAUUCAGGAACCAGUAAAGACUCCUCUCAGUCUUUCACAAGGCGAAGACAUGGGAAUAUCUACCUCUUAGAUAUCAAACCAGAUGAAACCCAAUGUCUAAUCUCAAUUCAAGAGAAAGCAAACUUAUAGCAUAGAAAACUUGGGCACAUCAACAGGAAGCAAAUAGCCAAAAUCUCAGCAAAGAAGCUUGUUCGUAGACUACCCAAACUAACAUACCAAAAGUCUGAUCUAUGCACACCAUGCGUGUUAGGAAAACAAGUAAGAAAUUCAUUCAAACCAAUAAAUCAAGUAUCCACUAACCGUGUACUGCAGCUCUUGCAUAUGGAUCUCUUUGGACCAACCAGAACUCAGAGCAUUGGAGGUAAGAAAUACUGCCUAGUAAUUAUGGAUGAUUAUUCACGAUUCACUUGGGCAUAUUUCUUGGCAAGUAAGUCUGAAACAUUUUCUUAUUUUAUAAAGUUUGCUAAGAAAAUCCAAAAUGAGAAAAUGUAUGUUAUUUCAAAUAUACGGAUAUACCAUGAAGGUGAAUUUGAAAAUCAAGACUUUGCUAAAUUUUGUGAAGAAUCUGUCUUUCAGCAUGUGUUCUCUUCACCAUAUACUCUAAAGCAAAAUGGAGUUGUGGAAAGAAAGAAUAGAUCGCUGCCGGAAAUGGCUAGAACUCUUUUAAUUGAAAGUAACAUCUCUUCUCGUUUUUGGGUUGAAGCAGUUUCUACAGCGUUCUAUAUUAUUAAUAGAGUCUUCUUAAGGUCUAUUCUGGAGAAAACUCCCUAUGAGUUAUUCAAAGGUAAGAAGCCAAUUGUUUCGUAUUUUCAUAUGUUUGGAUGCAAAUGUUUUAUAUUGAAAAAUGCAAAUGAUCGAGUUGGUAAGUUUGAAGAAAAAUUAGAUGAAGGUAUUUUCCUUGGAUAUUCAAUCACAAGCAAAGCUUACAAAGUAUACAACAAAAAGACUCAAUUUGUGGAGGAAUCGAUGAAUGUCAAAUUUCAAGACUUUAUGCAAAAUCAAUCGAUUCAGACUCAACCUGAAGAACCUAAACCUGCUCCAGACUCUACAAAGUCUACAUUUCCAGAAGCAGCUCAGACUUCAGAAGAUUAGCAACAAAUGAUCAUUGAAGAUUCAAAUGGAGGAAAUGAUCAACAGUCUGACAAAUCAACUAGCAACUGGAAGCAUAAGUCCAGUCAUCCCAAAGAUCUCAUUAUUGGUGAUAUUAAUAAAGGAAUUCGCACAAGAUCCAAAAGGCGUGAAGAGUCUAGUGUUGUGGCUCUUAUUUCUGAAAUAGAACCCAAAAGCAUGAAAAAGUUUUAACUGAUGAAAGCUGGAUUGAAGCUAUGCAAGAAGAACUCAGGCAAUUCAAUAUUAAUGAUAUCUGGGAAUUGACUCCAAAACCAAAAGGUAAAUCCCUCAUUGGAGCUAAAUGGGUUUUCAGAAACAAGAUGAACGAGAAAGGAAAAGUCAUAAGAAACAAAGCAAGAUUUGUGGCCAAAUGAUAUACGCAAGAAGAAGGAAUAGAUUAUGAUGAAACUUACGCGACAGUAGCAAGGUUAGAAGCAAUUAGAUUACUUGCUUUUGCUUGUUAUAAGAAUUUCAGGUUAUUCCAAAUAGACGUCAAAAGUGCUUUCCUAAAUGGAUUUAUCCAAGAGGAAGUCUAUGUGGAACAACCUAUCGAUUUUGAAGACCCAAGGAAACCAGACUCUGUAUUCAUACUAAAAAAGGCUAUAUAUGGUUUAAAGUAAGCGCUUCGAGCUUGGUAUGAGAGACUAAGUAAGUUUUUAACUCAAAAUGGCUUUGUUAAAGGUAAAGUAGAUAUUACAUUGUUUAUCAAAAGAGAAAGCAAAAGCUUUUUACUUGUUUAAAUUUACGUUGAUGAUAUUAUUUUUGGAUCUUCUAAUAAAAAUAUGUGCAAGAAAUUCUCUAAGUCUAUGCAGGAUGAAUUUGAAAUGAGCAUGAUGGGUGAACUAACUUUCUUUCUCGAGCUUCAAGUGAAACAACUGAAGGAGGGAACCUUUACUCACCAAGAAAAAUAUGCUAAAGAACUUGUCAAAAAGUUUGGACUAGAGAAUUGCAAAAAGACUGAUAUACAAAUGUCAAAUUCCUUGAAGCUAGACAAAGAUGAAGGAGGAAAGAAAGUUGACUAGAAGCUAUACAGGAUUAUCAUUGGUUUACUUCUUUAUCUUACUGCUUCUAGACCUGACAUUCUGUUUAGUGUUUAUAUUUGUGCUAGAUUUCAAUCAGAUCCCAAAGAAUCUCAUUUAAGUGCUGCAAAACGUAUUAUCAAAUACAUUACCUCAACUUCAAAAUUAGGCCUCUGGUAUCCUAAAGAAGGAGACUUCACUCUUCUUGGAUACUCAGACGCAAACCUAGCAGGAUGCAGAGUUAAUAAAAAGAGCACCUCGGGCACCUAUCAACUACUUGAUAACAGGACAGUGUCUUGGUUUUCAAGGAAGCAAAGUACCGUAGCUCUUUCUACAGCAAAAGCAGAGUAUGUAACUCUUGGAAGUUGUUGUUCACAAAUUCUGUGGAUAAAACAACAGUUAAGAGACUUUGGAAUUGAAAAUUCAUGCACUGAGAUCAAAUGUGACAACACCAGCGCAAUCAAUCUCACCAAGAAUCCAAUUCUUUAUUCAAGAGCAAAACAUAUAGAGAUUCGACAUCAUUUCAUUAGAGAUCAUGUUCAAAAUGGAGAAGUUUUGAUUCAGUUUAUUGAUUCAAAGAAUCAACUGGCGGACAUAUUUACAAAGCCUUUGGAGAAAAAUCAAUUUGAAGUUAUUCGUUCCAGACUCAAUAGCUUAAAGUCUGAGGAAGUUCAGACUCAGGGCUGAAAGUCUAAAGACACUCAGACUUAGACGAUCAAGAUUCACGACUGUAAGUUAUUUCUAUUUUAGAAAUUUAUCUCUCGGAUAAAAUCUCGAAAAUGUACGAUCAUCUAUCUGUAAUUGAUUGAUGUUAUCUUCCCCAGUUUUCAGGAUUAUUGCAAUCUUUCCUUUUCGAAAAAGAAGUUAUUUUUUUUAAAAUGACGGUUAUCUAAUUUUUCAAAAAGGCAGUUAUUUUUGGAAAGACAUUUUUAUUUUUCCUUUUUACGACAUUCCGUAUGCCUUGCUUCGACUGCCUUAUAUAUUAUUGGUUCUUCUUCGUUUUACUCACAAAAACCCUAAGAGAGCACAGAUUGUCAACUUUUUUUUCUUCUCUUGUAUAAUCCUCGAAAAGUUGUCACAUAUCUGNNNNNNNNNNNNNNNNNNNNNNNNNNNNNNNNNNNNNNNNNNNNNNNNNNNNNNNNNNNNNNNNNNNNNNNNNNNNNNNNNNNNNNNNNNNNNNNNNNNNNNNNNNNNNNNNNNNNNNNNNNNNNNNNNNNNNNNNNNNNNNNNNNNNNNNNNNNNNNNNNNNNNNNNNNNNNNNNNNNNNNNNNNNNNNNNNNNNNNNNNNNNNNNNNNNNNNNNNNNNNNNNNNNNNNNNNNNNNNNNNNNNNNNNNNNNNNNNNNNNNNNNNNNNNNNNNNNNNNNNNNNNNNNNNNNNNNNNNNNNNNNNNNNNNNNNNNNNNNNNNNNNNNNNNNNNNNNNNNNNNNNNNNNNNNNNNNNNNNNNNNNNNNNNNNNNNNNNNNNNNNNNNNNNNNNNNNNNNNNNNNNNNNNNNNNNNNNNNNNNNNNNNNNNNNNNNNNNNNNNNNNNNNNNNNNNNNNNNNNNNNNNNNNNNNNNNNNNNNNNNNNNNNNNNNNNNNNNNNNNNNNNNNNNNNNNNNNNNNNNNNNNNNNNNNNNNNNNNNNNNNNNNNNNNNNNNNNNNNNNNNNNNNNNNNNNNNNNNNNNNNNNNNNNNNNNNNNNNNNNNNNNNNNNNNNNNNNNNNNNNNNNNNNNNNNNNNNNNNNNNNNNNNNNNNNNNNNNNNNNNNNNNNNNNNNNNNNNNNNNNNNNNNNNNNNNNNNNNNNNNNNNNNNNNNNNNNNNNNNNNNNNNNNNNNNNNNNNNNNNNNNNNNNNNNNNNNNNNNNNNNNNNNNNNNNNNNNNNNNNNNNNNNNNNNNNNNNNNNNNNNNNNNNNNNNNNNNNNNNNNNNNNNNNNNNNNNNNNNNNNNNNNNNNNNNNNNNNNNNNNNNNNNNNNNNNNNNNNNNNNNNNNNNNNNNNNNNNNNNNNNNNNNNNNNNNNNNNNNNNNNNNNNNNNNNNNNNNNNNNNNNNNNNNNNNNNNNNNNNNNNNNNNNNNNNNNNNNNNNNNNNNNNNNNNNNNNNNNNNNNNNNNNNNNNNNNNNNNNNNNNNNNNNNNNNNNNNNNNNNNNNNNNNNNNNNNNNNNNNNNNNNNNNNNNNNNNNNNNNNNNNNNNNNNNNNNNNNNNNNNNNNNNNNNNNNNNNNNNNNNNNNNNNNNNNNNNNNNNNNNNNNNNNNNNNNNNNNNNNNNNNNNNNNNNNNNNNNNNNNNNNNNNNNNNNNNNNNNNNNNNNNNNNNNNNNNNNNNNNNNNNNNNNNNNNNNNNNNNNNNNNNNNNNNNNNNNNNNNNNNNNNNNNNNNNNNNNNNNNNNNNNNNNNNNNNNNNNNNNNNNNNNNNNNNNNNNNNNNNNNNNNNNNNNNNNNNNNNNNNNNNNNNNNNNNNNNNNNNNNNNNNNNNNNNNNNNNNNNNNNNNNNNNNNNNNNNNNNNNNNNNNNNNNNNNNNNNNNNNNNNNNNNNNNNNNNNNNNNNNNNNNNNNNNNNNNNNNNNNNNNNNNNNNNNNNNNNNNNNNNNNNNNNNNNNNNNNNNNNNNNNNNNNNNNNNNNNNNNNNNNNNNNNNNNNNNNNNNNNNNNNNNNNNNNNNNNNNNNNNNNNNNNNNNNNNNNNNNNNNNNNNNNNNNNNNNNNNNNNNNNNNNNNNNNNNNNNNNNNNNNNNNNNNNNNNNNNNNNNNNNNNNNNNNNNNNNNNNNNNNNNNNNNNNNNNNNNNNNNNNNNNNNNNNNNNNNNNNNNNNNNNNNNNNNNNNNNNNNNNNNNNNNNNNNNNNNNNNNNNNNNNNNNNNNNNNNNNNNNNNNNNNNNNNNNNNNNNNNNNNNNNNNNNNNNNNNNNNNNNNNNNNNNNNNNNNNNNNNNNNNNNNNNNNNNNNNNNNNNNNNNNNNNNNNNNNNNNNNNNNNNNNNNNNNNNNNNNNNNNNNNNNNNNNNNNNNNNNNNNNNNNNNNNNNNNNNNNNNNNNNNNNNNNNNNNNNNNNNNNNNNNNNNNNNNNNNNNNNNNNNNNNNNNNNNNNNNNNNNNNNNNNNNNNNNNNNNNNNNNNNNNNNNNNNNNNNNNNNNNNNNNNNNNNNNNNNNNNNNNNNNNNNNNNNNNNNNNNNNNNNNNNNNNNNNNNNNNNNNNNNNNNNNNNNNNNNNNNNNNNNNNNNNNNNNNNNNNNNNNNNNNNNNNNNNNNNNNNNNNNNNNNNNNNNNNNNNNNNNNNNNNNNNNNNNNNNNNNNNNNNNNNNNNNNNNNNNNNNNNNNNNNNNNNNNNNNNNNNNNNNNNNNNNNNNNNNNNNNNNNNNNNNNNNNNNNNNNNNNNNNNNNNNNNNNNNNNNNNNNNNNNNNNNNNNNNNNNNNNNNNNNNNNNNNNNNNNNNNNNNNNNNNNNNNNNNNNNNNNNNNNNNNNNNNNNNNNNNNNNNNNNNNNNNNNNNNNNNNNNNNNNNNNNNNNNNNNNNNNNNNNNNNNNNNNNNNNNNNNNNNNNNNNNNNNNNNNNNNNNNNNNNNNNNNNNNNNNNNNNNNNNNNNNNNNNNNNNNNNNNNNNNNNNNNNNNNNNNNNNNNNNNNNNNNNNNNNNNNNNNNNNNNNNNNNNNNNNNNNNNNNNNNNNNNNNNNNNNNNNNNNNNNNNNNNNNNNNNNNNNNNNNNNNNNNNNNNNNNNNNNNNNNNNNNNNNNNNNNNNNNNNNNNNNNNNNNNNNNNNNNNNNNNNNNNNNNNNNNNNNNNNNNNNNNNNNNNNNNNNNNNNNNNNNNNNNNNNNNNNNNNNNNNNNNNNNNNNNNNNNNNNNNNNNNNNNNNNNNNNNNNNNNNNNNNNNNNNNNNNNNNNNNNNNNNNNNNNNNNNNNNNNNNNNNNNNNNNNNNNNNNNNNNNNNNNNNNNNNNNNNNNNNNNNNNNNNNNNNNNNNNNNNNNNNNNNNNNNNNNNNNNNNNNNNNNNNNNNNNNNNNNNNNNNNNNNNNNNNNNNNNNNNNNNNNNNNNNNNNNNNNNNNNNNNNNNNNNNNNNNNNNNNNNNNNNNNNNNNNNNNNNNNNNNNNNNNNNNNNNNNNNNNNNNNNNNNNNNNNNNNNNNNNNNNNNNNNNNNNNNNNNNNNNNNNNNNNNNNNNNNNNNNNNNNNNNNNNNNNNNNNNNNNNNNNNNNNNNNNNNNNNNNNNNNNNNNNNNNNNNNNNNNNNNNNNNNNNNNNNNNNNNNNNNNNNNNNNNNNNNNNNNNNNNNNNNNNNNNNNNNNNNNNNNNNNNNNNNNNNNNNNNNNNNNNNNNNNNNNNNNNNNNNNNNNNNNNNNNNNNNNNNNNNNNNNNNNNNNNNNNNNNNNNNNNNNNNNNNNNNNNNNNNNNNNNNNNNNNNNNNNNNNNNNNNNNNNNNNNNNNNNNNNNNNNNNNNNNNNNNNNNNNNNNNNNNNNNNNNNNNNNNNNNNNNNNNNNNNNNNNNNNNNNNNNNNNNNNNNNNNNNNNNNNNNNNNNNNNNNNNNNNNNNNNNNNNNNNNNNNNNNNNNNNNNNNNNNNNNNNNNNNNNNNNNNNNNNNNNNNNNNNNNNNNNNNNNNNNNNNNNNNNNNNNNNNNNNNNNNNNNNNNNNNNNNNNNNNNNNNNNNNNNNNNNNNNNNNNNNNNNNNNNNNNNNNNNNNNNNNNNNNNNNNNNNNNNNNNNNNNNNNNNNNNNNNNNNNNNNNNNNNNNNNNNNNNNNNNNNNNNNNNNNNNCCUGAACUCACUGCUUACUUCUAUUCUAAUCUAAGUUUCUUGGAUACGAAUAGAUUCUCUUUUAGUGUUUGAGAUCAGAACUAUGUAGUUGACAAGGAUACAUUGGCUGAUGUGAUUGGAGUUGAAAGAAGGAAAUUCCAACCAAUCAGUGUGUAUUAGUUGUGCGACGGUAGAGCUUGUUCGAGAUAGAAUGGCGGAAGGAAAGAUUUCAUAUUUGAGGAUGCAUGCCUCAAAUAUUUUGCUUCACAAGAUAGUGAUCAACUGCCUCAGACCCAAAUCGACUUCGAAGACCGAUGUUUCAAACUCGAAGGCAAAGCUAAUGUAUGCCAUUAACGCUGGCAAAAAGUUCUCUCUUCCACACACUAUUUUGUUCCACAUGUAUAGAACGAUGGUGAAAGACAAUGGUCAACUUCUUUACUUCGCACUUGUCACUAAGUUAUUCAAACAUUUGAACAUUCAGCCUCUCAGGAUUCUUUGUGUUCGAACAUGCGAUCAAAUGGUGGUGGGACUGAAAAUGGUCUCUAAAAUGCGUCUGAAGGAACUUAACAAGACUUUGGAGCGAUUCAAGGAUAAAACCCCUGUCAAGACUCAUCCAGUUUCUUCAGCUGCAAAACGGAAAGGGAAGGACCCCAUGGUUGCUUCAUCCAAGAAAAGAAGAGCACUCAUCUUGGAGGAUGAAGAGGAUGAUGAUGAUAUCACAAUUUCUGCUCUUGCUUUGAAAAACUUAAGUCGUUCUGUUCCAAAGACAGAGGUGAGACAAGAACAGGAUAAGGAGGAGAUCGAACAAAGGAUCGGAGAGAGAGAAUCAAUGGAGAAAGAAGUAGAGGAAGAAAGGAUUGCUGAAGAAGAAGAAGAAGAGGGCAGGGGUGAACAAGAGGAAACAGAGCAUGAAGAGUACUUCUCACCACCUGAAGGCAAUGAAACAGGGGGGGAUUCUGAGAAAAGAGGUAUAUCUUCAAUUGCUGCUACUAGUGAAGGAAUAAGUCGUUCACCUUGCAGAUUCAGAAGACAUUUAUGCCUCUCAAUUCCCUGAGGAAUGCUAUGAGGUUUCAUCGCCAAAUCUAAGUGAUCGUGCUGACUUGCCAUCAUCUGUCAAUACACCUACUAAUCGUGCAAAAGCCAGUACUUAGACUGAUAAUUCAGCAGAUUUUCGCAGAGUGCUUGAUGUUCUUAUGGAGAUGCAAUGCCAAAUUUAUGCUCUGGGAUGCGAAGUUUAGAACUUGCAGAAUGCAGGUCAAGCCUCUUCAAUUUCUUUACAUGAUCAAAUUCAUGCCCUUACUCUUCAAGUUCAAGCAAAUGCCAAGGGUGAAGAUGUGGCUCAACUGAAGGAGGAUUUGAAAAAGCUGAAAGGGAUUGUCUAGUCAAUGGGAGAUUUCCAACUUGUUCGUGUUCCAAAGCAAUCCUAAUUCCAUUCGCUUUUCAUCUCUACCUUUUUAAUGCUGACAAAAAGGGGGAGAGAUGUGGUGCAAAUUUGAGAUUUGAGAUUUGAGAUUUAAACUCUUGACUUUUUGAUUGACUUUACUUUUGUGUUUGGCUGUUUGGUUGUGACUGGAUUUUGAUUUGGAUUGUUUGAUCGUUUGUUUAUUUUGAGCACUAUUGGUAUUUCAUGGCAAAGAUAGAUGCUUAUUUACAUGACUAACUUAAUUCCUGUGGAUGCAGAUUUUAAUGUUAUCCUUAUUAAGCCAAUUAUCUUUUGUGAGAUAUCCAUGUUUGCUUGAGUAUUGUUUUGCAGGUCAAAGUUAUCCAAAUCUGCAAGAAAGUUUUGUCACCAUAAAAAAAGGAGGAGAUUGUUGGAGAAAACUUCAUUGAGUGUUUUGAAGUUUAAAAAGGUUUCCAUUAGUCUAGUCUGAAGACUUGCAGACUCUUUCAUCAAAGUUUGAAGGCUUCCGAACUGCUAGACUCAAGACUCAAAGUCUAUCCUCAUUAACAGUUUUCUAGACCGUCGAAGAAGGCUUAUUCAGAAUUGAGUAUUUCGUUAAGGAUUUGAUUCUAUCGAUUGAAGAAGAUCUCUUGGCUGGAUAUAGCAUGUCGGAAUCCAUUAUUCAAAUUGAGAUUGAUUCAGGGAUUUUGGAUCUGUUGAUUGGCAAAGUAUAUUUGGAAGGUUCUACUUGUGGAAACCUAGAUCUUGAUUGUAUGGGCGAACAUGAUUGGUGGGCUAUCGUCAUAUUCCUUAAAUAACUCGAAAUCUCCUUAAUUGAUUAUGUCCAACGGAUAGAUUGGAAGAACUCCUUUGGUAAGUGCCAACGGGUGUGAUGGCAUGAAGGAGUAUAUAAGGAAGACGUACCAGUUAUUCGAGUGUGUGUGCGAUAGAAGAAUUCCAAAGUCUGAAGCUCCUUAUUCUUAGUCAAUUCAAUUGUUGAGCAAAAUAUUGCACUCAAAAGAGAUUUUAUAUUUUUGUGAGACAUUGAGGAAGUGUAGCAGAGUCUCUACACUGUGGAAUCAAGGAAGAGCUAUACUAUAACAACUCUUUUGAUUCGUAGUAAAAUCCAGCCGGUGGGCUGUCAGUCCGGAAGAGUGGACGUAGGCUUGGAUUAAGCCGAACCACUAUAAACUUGUAUUCUUAUUCUCUUACCUAAGCUCUUUUACUUUGAUCGUAAUUUAAUUUGAUUAUUAGAGUCUAAUUUCAUUUUCAUAAUCUAUUACUGAUCAGAGUUGUUUUAAAAGUAAAAUCACUCACUCUGGAAAAUUUGUUUUCGCACCUAUUCACCCCCUCUAAGUGCUCGUACUAGCUUUCACACAAAUGACCCAAUUCAAGGGUAGCCUAAAUUUGGUGGGUCGUGUUUGAUUUUGAGCUGCUCCAUUGUAAUUGAAAGAAAAAAGGGUUUAGUAAGCAUUUCUCUUGCUUGAGGAAUUUCUCUCCAAUAGUUAGCAACGUUACAUAAUCAUGGCUAGCAAGCAUGGCCACUUCCACCAAACCUCUCCAAAGCUUUGGGGUUGUAUAUGUUUUUUUUUUCUUUGGUGACCAAGGAUCUGUCAGAGCAUGCCUUUGUCGGCUUACGCCAAUUUGGAGUCUCAUAGGCCUCCGCAGUGGAGGACCUACAACAACUAUACCUCGAGGAAAAUGGCCUAGCAAGCCACUGCCGGGGCCCCCGCUUGAAUCGCUAGCAAUGCAGGGUUUCGAACUCUUAACCUCCAUGCGUUGGAAGGGGAGCUCUCAAUCAACUGCACUGCCCACGGGUGAGUUUUAGGUAGUAUACGUUAGUCCCCAAUUUUUCUACUAUUAUCUAAUACCCUCUUAACUUUCAUUUUGUUUGAACUGUAAAGGCUCAGUUAUUUUUUCGUUAACCUAUUCAAUGCACGUGCCUUUCAAAAGAUGGAAGUAUUUUUUUCAUCUCUUUUUUUUUUUUUUGAGAAAAUCUCUCGUUUACUCUUAUUUGAUAUAAACUAAAUGAAAAAUAUAUAAAAUUAAAGAAAAAUAAAUUGUGUAUAAUACUAAUAAUAAAAAUAAAUAAAUAUCUAUAAGUUGCGUCUGAUCGUCCAAAUUUCAAUUGGAAUAAGAUUGAAUAAAUGGGAAUUUGAAAUCCUCCAAAUAUCCCUGGAUUGUAAAAAUAUCCCAUCAUAUGUUUUUUGGUAACUAAGAUAGGAUUUGAAAUAUUUUUAAAAAAUAUUUGAAAAUAUUUAGCGUUUGAAAAUCUUUGAAAUUCCCAUCUCCUUAGGGCUUCAAACCUUUCCGAUCACGUGGUUAGUUGGAAAUUCGAUCUCGAUGCAUGACGGUUCCCAACCGGCACGAGUUCACAUAAUUUUUGGAAAAGCCUCGUGGAUAACGAGAGGCACUUCUUGUGGGUUGUACAACCGGACUUCAUCACCAAAGAAGGCCCGUGAGAGGAGAUUCCACAUCACGGUGCCAUUGUGGCAUUCUUGAUGCACAUCAAUUGGAACUCCAUGCGUGAGAGAAAGGUCCCCACGAAGCCAAUGGUGUGUUGGCCGUUCUUUGUCGACCAACUAGUGAACAGGCGGCUUGUGAGUCACACGUGGAAGGUUGAGCUCGACAUGAAGGACAUAUGGAAUUGGAAUGGAAAGGAUGAUCUAUGCGUUGGUGGUGACAACUAACCUAGUAAGGUGACAAUGAUCAUGCUAUGGUUGGAAGUGAUGUUGAUAAGCUAUCUUGGUGGUGUCCUUGUGCAAUGCUGCCGACAAAGCAAUAUAUGAUGCGUCACUCUAUUAGUGAUUUUUUUAUAAAAAAAUUAUAUCUAAUUCGGGAUUAUCCCAUCCCCUAGACUGGAUUUCUUAUUCGGUAUUUUGUCUGAAUGUAUCCAAGUUUAUAUGGUUAUGAAAACGUCACCAAAUAUCGAAUAAGAUAAUUUGUUAUACCACCAGAUUCAAAAUUAGACUACCAAACACAACCAUAAUUAUAUUAAACGGUAAGAAUUUGUUACUAUUUAAUAAAAAUAGCCACUCUGAUAUAACUAAAUAAGAAAUUUUAAGAAUUAUAAUAAACAACAACUAAACGAAAAGGGAAAAGGCCUCGUAAGAUCAUGUGACAAAAUUUGCUUUCAUCGUUAUGUAUAUUUCGGGGGUUAAUUAAUGUAAAUUUGAUUGAUUAACAAAGAAUUUUACAUGAAGAAUAAUCGAUCCCUUGCAAAUUGUGACCCUUUCAAAGGUAAUCCUUAAGGAAGAGCUUUACAUAUGCGCGCGCAACACAUAUAUGAUGGGCAUCGUGAACUAAAAAGUGCCUUCGCAUCUAUAAUAAUUCAAAAAUUUCAAAAAUUUCAAAAAAUUAUAUUUUGUUUUUAGAUAAGUUUGCAAAUUAGCACCUUCUCGGAUGCGAAGGCAGAUAUAACUCGCUCCAUUUUCGGCUCAUACAUCAUAUUUCUCCCUUGCAGAACUAAUUUUUUGGUUAUGCAAAACUAAAAAAAAAAAAAAAAAAAAAAUUUAUCUUAGGCUCUAAUCAUAUCAUAUUACAAAAUUAUUUUAGAUAAAUUUGCAGAUAUGAAUUGCAGACCUAAAUUUUUAGGCCUGAAUCAUAUCAUAUAACAAUUACCACUUUCUUUGUGUAGGCUACUCUCACCUAUAUCAUUUUAAAUAUGAACCUUGAGCUAUUUUGCUGUUCCUACAUAUUUACUUUCUUUUGGGCUGUAUUAUAUGCGGUAGAAUUUCUUAAUCUUUAGAAUCUGGGACAUAAAAGAGGACAUACAUAUAGUUGGGCCGCAUGCAGGGGGGAAGUUGGCAAUCGAGUUUGGUCCAAGAUCCAAUUAUGUAAUUAAUUAUGGUUCGCAUUUCAUUAAAUUAGGAAAAAAUAAACAAAAUCCCUCUGACUUUUAUGGGUUGUACUGCCCUCAAUUUUUUGACUACCACGUAAUAUUGGAACAAUUUUUCAAAAAAUCAUAAGUUUAUUGUAUAAUGACUACUUCAAUCAUAAACAUUUCGAUUGUGUCAAUGUAGUUGUAGACCUUUAAACAAUUUGUCAAACUAGUCUUCAAUCUUUUAACGAAUUGUUAAUUUAGUCAUUCAAACUAAUGUAGACCAAAUGUCAUUGGCAUGACAACCCCAUUACUGCCAAUCUUCCUAUGUGUCACAUGUGAUGAUAACAUAGACAAUUUUUUUAAUUAAAUUCAAUUUUUAUUUCAUUUUAUUUCAUUUUUUCUCCAUUUUUUUUUUAUACAUGGCCUACAGUAGUCAAGAGCUAGUAACCUUUGUCAGCCACCAAAUAAAGGUUAGCAGAGUCACUGGGAAGGGCUUGUGAGCCAUUGCUCAUUGCCAACAAGGGUGUUGCAACCUUUGCCAACCCCAACGAGGGCGUCAUGGCCCUCCCCCAAGCCACUGUUAGUGAGGGCCUAGGUGAGAGCUUGCAAUGCCCUUUACCAAACCUAGUGAGGGCCAUAAUGCCCUCGAUAGAUCUAGUCAGGCAAAGGCAUCGUGACCCUUGCUUCAACCCUCAUUGCCACAGCAAGGGCUUGUGAGCCCUUGCCAGAUCUAGUGAGAGUCGCUGCCCACCUAGUGAAGGCUUUGUGGGCCUUGCCUAGGAGUUGCGAGACCCCUUUAGCCAUGUGAAAAAAAAAAAAAUGAAAGAAAAGAAAAUAUUAAUAAAUUGAUAAUUCUUUAAAAGGUUUAUGACUAGUUUGACAAAUUGUUUAAAUGUUUAAAAUAAAAUUAGCAUAAUAAAAAAUUGAAUUGAAUUGAUAAUCAUAAAAUAAUUUUAAAAUUUUUUAGACAAGUUUCUCACCGAAUAACUCAUGUACUUUUGUUUUCUCAUGUCCCAUGAACCCUGCACUUGAGGUCCUACCUCGCGAGUCUUCUAUUUUGCUGUAAGUGCACAAAAAAUCUGCCAUUGAAAGGACAGAUGAUUUGUAUUAAACGAUUGAACCCGAAAUGAUGCCACUUCACUGUCCCACUUACGAUAAUAAUCAUAUCAUUGUCAAAUCUUGCUAGCUUUUGGUGGAUAUUUCAUUGGGAGAUAGGUCUUUUUUGUAAUGGUAUCCGUCUAGAUUCUGGACCGUCCCUGACUCCAUCAGAGAAAAUCCACGUUCGUGACGGCUCCGGGGCCGACACUACACGUGUCGCUAGGCCACAAGCCCCGCCAAAAUGAUGCUUUUUUGACACAUGUUGAAAUGUAACCCGUUAGAAUGAUACCCUCCGACAACAUCAUUCUUAGCCGCAUGAUAACCUUAUCGAUCAGCGCCAAUCAUGCCCCCAGUUUGACAAUGCCCUCAUUUUUUUUUCCUAACCCAAUAGCAUGGGCACGAAAACCCUUUUUUUUUUUUUUUUUUUCUAAUCCAAUGGCAUGGGCACGGAAAACCAAUUACUUGGACAACUAUGAAACAACUUGCAAGCCUCAUGGAAUUGAACUACUGUAAAUUGAUAAAUAAAUAAAAAAGAUAGUUGGUGAUAGGCAAACCGUCAAUUCAAACUAAACAAAGAUUCUUUUUUAGAAUGUUAUCUUAAUUCAAAUUUAGACUACCAAAAAAAAUAACAUAAUUAUUUUAAAUGGUAAGAGUUUGUUAGCUUUUAAUAAAUACAGCCACCCUAAUAUAAAUAAAUAAAAAAUUGAGAAAAUUCCAAAUAAGAGCCUAAGAUGUCUUCAUUUUUUCAAAUAAGGAUAUAAAGUAGACAUUGUUGCGUAUAAAGAAUUGAAGUGUUAUCAUUUUCUUAAAUAAGAGCCUAAAGUAAUCAUACCAGUUUCAAAUAAGGAUCUGAACUCAUUGUAUGGUGAAUGACAAUUUCGUCUUAUAAAUAUUUUCCAUUUCUCCUUUCUUUUUUCUUUUUUCCAAACUCAAAAAAAUUAAUUAAAAAAAAAAGAACACACACAAGAGGAAGGGCUCCCUCCUAUCUAUGGCCAUUGCCACAUAAUUAGUGGGGCGUGUGGCAAUGGCUGAUGAAGUCAUCGACCCUAGGCAAAGACCCUGGCUUGGGGGUUGAUGACCUCAUCGGCCACCACCACCGCCCCACUAGUGAUGAGGCGGCGGCCACAGGAGGGAGGGCCCUCCCACCUCUAUUUUUGCUUUUUCUUUUUCUUUUAUAAUUUUAAUCUUAUUUAAAUUGUAUUCUGAGGAAAUACUUUUGCUCGAUCGGAAUUUUUUAACGGUUGGCAAGUCAGCAAAACUAGGCCCUUAUUUGGAACAACCGUGACUACUUUAGAUACUUAUUUGAGAUUGAUAUAGCCACUUCAAGCCUUUAUUUGAAACAAAGUCUACUUUAAACCACUAUUUGAGAAAAUUAUGGCAUUCGGGCUUUAUUUUUGGAAGUUUUCCUAAGAAAUUUUAAGAAAUAUAAUAUACAACAACUAAAUAAAAAGGGAAAAGGCCUCGAUAACAUAAAGAUCAUGUGACAAAAUUUGCUUCAAUUGUUGUACGGUGAUAAAUUCAAUCUUAAACCUUUCGAUUGUGUUAAUUUAGCUAUAGUCUUUUAAAUGAAUUGCCAAACUAGUCUCAACCUUUUAGCAAAUUUUCAAAUUAGUCAUUUCGGUUAAUUUUGAUCGAACAUCACAAAUGUGACAACCCAAUCAGCGCUGGCCCUUUUUUACACAUGGCCAGCAGAGCCAGCCACUGGCCAAGAGACAGCAGUCUACAUUGGCCACUGAGCAAAGGCCAGUGGGGCUGCUUGUCACUAGAGAGGGCUUCGCAACCCUUCAAGCCGUCACUGAUCCUAGUGAGAGUGUCACGGCUCUUGCCUAGGCCAUUGUUGACCCUAGCGAGGGCUAGGGCAAGAGCUUGUGAUGCCCUCGCCAAACCAAAAAAGUGUCGUGACGCCCUUGACAGAUCUGGUGAGGUGAGGGUAUUGCGGCCCUUGCCAAAGUCCUCGUUGCCACAGCAAUGGCUUGUGAGUCUAACGGGGAGGUGAAAUUUGUAAGCUUGCGAUCUCCGAUAACUUCUGUUAGAUUCAAAUUCUCUAGUGUUCAAGGUUGUGAAAGCCAACUUGUGUUUGGAUAUUACAACUUUUUGAGAUUAAAACGUUCUAAGAGGUUGUGUUUGGAGUCGAUACUGAGGGAGAAUUGUUUGCUAGUUGAGAAACUUUCUCCUUCUGAAUGCACUUACGGUGCGCUUCAAAAUGGAGACGUGCCGUUACUGACACCAGCUGUUUUGGACUCUUCGCGAGAGGUAUUAUUCUCUUUAUCAUUUUCUUCUCAGAAUGUGCAAUUUCUCUGUUCAGGAGUUAGGGUUGUGGAGCAAUAUGUGCAUGAUUUUCUGUUGUUUUUGGUAUCUCAACAUUAACAAUUCUUCCAUGAACCAAUUUCUUAAACUCCCCCCCACCCUUCCCUCUUCUCUGUCGGCAUGCGCACGUGCACACGCACACACUUUUACUUUGUGCUUAGUAUUGUGGUUGUUACUUAUGUAAAACCAGUAUUAAUUGUCCUAAGCUUAACUGAUCAGGGUCUACAGAAGCUGACCGGUGAAGCAAUGCGGCCCUCGGAUGUAUCUAGAGAUAAUGACGACAUUAAUGGGGGAAAUUCUUCAGGUUCUGAUGCAGAGUACAUGAAGCUUCUUCCGUUUGCUCUGUCCUUUUCCGCUGCUCCUACUUUCUUUCUGAGAUUGCACCUGAAGCUUCUUAUGAAUCAUAGUGUCUCCAAAAUUAGUUUUGUUGAGCUUAAUCAGGAGAAGAGCACUGAAACUGCAAGAAUUUUGGCUCAAUCUAACAUCGCCAUAGAUGACUGCUCAAAGAAUGAUGUGGGAUUCCAUGCUAGCCAAGAAGUUCCAUCAAGAGAAAGUCCUUGUGAUAGGUACUUGCAUUGUGCUAAAGAUGAUCAAGCUGUUCAGCUAGUUGUUUGCGGGGGUACAGAUUUGAGGACCCCUGAGGAUAACCAAAGCAGUGAUCUUCAUGCUGGCAGGAUUCACAGUGGUAAUGCUGUAGUUGGUGAUGAGGUUGGCCAGGUGCAGGAAGGGCAAGGAAACUAACGCAGCAUCAGAGAAAACGUCAAGGCCUCUGCUUGGUGGGGAGAGGAUCACAAAUGGUGCUUGUCCUUCUUUGAAUGGUAUUAAGAUAGAUACUCCCCAUUAUAAUGAAGGUGAUAAGCCUGCCAAUGAUGGAUCCCUGCGUGGUUUGCCGCCUACUGGUAUGGCUUGCGAUAUGAAUGGGCAGCCUCGUUCCCAGUCCAAAUCCCACCGCACCAAGAAUCGUAUGGGCAUCGCAGUAGAAGUAGGUUCAUUUUAUGGACACUUCUCACGUGGUUGGGUCAGAUGCAAAAUCAGACGGUUCCCUGAAUAGUUUUGGCAAUGGACCGAAGAAACCACGGACACAUGUUACUUACUCAUAUCCUUCUGGAGUUUCAGUUCAAGUUCAAGGCCACAGCAGAGGAACAUUCCUCACAAAGAAUCAGGAACUCAAUGAAGAGGGCCUCGAUGUCGCCUGAGUUCCUCAAAAAACUGGGAGUUGUUAUCGUGUCAUGCGACUUGUUAAUUACAGUGGGGGACAGAAUGGAGAAGAGAGUGGGGCAGAGGUGGUACUUGAACUUGUUGAGAAUGAAUGGAACCUUGCAGUAAAAGUUUCAGGAACCAAUAAAUAUUCUCAUAAAGCACAUCAGUUUCUGCUGCCUGGGUCCACUAACAGGUAUACACAUGCUAUGAUGUGGCGAGAAGGGAAACAGUGGACACUCGAAAUUUCAGACAGAAGCCAAUGGGCUCUUUUCGAGGAAAUGCAUGAAGAGUGUUACAACCGAAACUUCCGUGCUGCAUCAGUCAAGAACAUUCCGAUUCCUGGUGUCUACGUGGUAGAAGAUUAUGAUGAUAAUGGAAUGGAGCUGUCAUUUCGCAGUUCUGCUAUCUACUUCCAGCAGGUUGAAACAGAUAUUUAAAUGGCCUUGAAUCCAUCUCGUGUCCUAUAUGACAUGGAUAACGAUGAUGAGUGGUGGAUUUCAUCUCGUCAAAGUUCUUCAGAUGUUAAUGAUAAUGGCUAUGGGCAGAUAUCUGUGGAGAUGUUUGAGAGGACAAUGGACAUGUUUGAGAAGAAAGCUCAUGCUCUACAGCGUGACCAUUUCACAUCCGAGGAAAUGGACGAUUUGCAGUUAGGUGCAGGACCAGUUGUAAGAGGUAUUUAUGAACAUUGGCGGCAGAAGAGGCAAAAGAAGGGAAUGCCAUUGAUUCGACUUCUUCAGGUACCUUUUAAAAUCCUUUUUAUUGUCGUUUAUUGAUUUUUUCCAGAUACACAUUUAUGUGAGUUGCUGCAUUUAAUUUGGCUUUCUGCAAUUACUGUUAAUCUGCCAUCGGGAACAAUUUCCGUCACUCGGUUUUCCAGAUGAACGUUUCCUUGUUGAGAUGCUCAUUUUGUUUUAUUUGGGGUGUACUUUGUUUGAGUGAAUUGCAAAGGAUUGUCGGGGGACCUGUUGGUAUGUGAUUGCUUUGUUCCUCUCUUCCAUGCCCGUUUCAUUUUUAUCUUUUCCUGGAGUCGUUCUUUGGAAUUUUGUCUGAUAUGGGGCUGCUUUCUGCUCUGGAGCAUGUGGAAAUAUCUGGUUUUUGUGAUCUUCCUUUUUCGUUCUUGCAUAAUUGUUAUAUAGUAAUAUCAACUUCUUAGGCCUUCAUGCAUGAUGGUAAUGCUUGGUUUUUCAAUUAAUAGGGCAUUGAGCAUGAAUAAAGAAACAAAUAGCCUUUGAAAUUAGCUCUUAAUUAGUUCAGUUAUUAAUUAGUUGGUUAGACAUAUUAUUCAAAAUCAGAUGCUAAUUUGUAUGUCUCUUUUUUGUUAAUUAGAUCUUCCUGUCAUGAUUAAUCCUGUCUGUUACCUUUGUGUGCACAUAGUGUGCACUCUUUUGAACUUGUGAUUUAAAUGUCAUGGUAUCAAUUAUUCAAUUCAUGCUCAUGCUUUGCAGCCACCGUUAUGGGAAAUGUACCAGCAGCAGUUGAGAGAGUGGGAGCUAGCUUUGAAUAAAGGGAACUCUGCUGCUUCUGAUGGAUGUCAGAAGGCCUCAGCUGCUGAAAGACCUCCCAUGUUUGCUUUUUGUAUGAAACCUGGGGGCUUAGAAGUCCCUAAUAAAGGCUCAAAGCAAAGGUCGCAAAAACGAUUCUCAGUCACGGGGCAAAGCAAUGGUUUUCAUGGAGAUCAGGACAGUUUCCAUGCUUUUGGUAAGUUAUGUGAAUUUUACUAAGCGGAACACUUUUAGGUUAUUUUUUCUUGGAUCCAGAAUCUUGACGUCGUUAUCUUUUUGUUCCUGUCAGGGAGGAGAUUGAACGGACCUAGUUUUGGAGAUGAUAGGGCCGUCUAUUUGGGACAUAACUAUGGACAUGCAGACAAUUCUCAAAUGGCACAGACGUCUCCAUUGGGAUAUUCUCCACGAGAUGUCCCUGGCCAGGGAUAUUUUCCAAUUGGCAAUGAUGGAUUCAAUCGAAAUUAUCCUCCGAGACUACAGAGAUAUAAGUCAAAGAAGUCGUGCUGUUGCAUCUCCUCGACAUUCACAGGUGGUCACUGCCUACAGCAGGGGAGCCACGGGCAGUAAUAAGAAUACCCAUCACUGGAAUUCUCAUCAACAGUUUUCGUCUGAAGGCUCUCAGAGACCAUCUAGUGAGCAGUGGGACCGGACGGAUAUGGAUGAAUAUAAAUUGUUGGAUGCAUCUGGUGCAGCACGGUAUGCAUCUAAUUUAGCUAAGCUUAAGAGAGAGAGGGCACAGAGACUUCUUUGCAAAGCAGAUGUAGCAGUUCACAGAGCUGUGGUUGCUCUCAUGACUGCUGAAGCGAUGAAAGCGUCUUUGGAGGAUAGGAAGGAUGAUGGGUAGGUUAUCUGAAGAUUAUCAGUGAACAGAUUGGUAUAUUUCUCAAUUUGACCCCCGGAGAAUGUGCAGAUGGAAUGAAAAUAUUUCUCUUGAGGCGGGAGCUGGUCCAAGAUUUAUCAGAUGCUGGUGCGCCUUUCACCAAGCACAGUUUUUGAAGGAAAAGUUUGUGGAGAGGGUAUUCAUAGAGAUAUAUUUGGUUAUCACAUUUAAUUGUCGAUAUUUUGGCAGUUUUCUAGUCCAUCCUUGCAAUACCUUAGUGAGAUUCCAGUAGUCUCUUACACCAGCAGCAAGUGUAUGCCUCAUUAGUGCUGCUUGUCGUGUUUAUUUUGCAAGAGCAUUGUAUAGAAUCUUUUGCUACCAUUCUCUGUACAGUCAGCCCACCCCCUCUACCAAUUUAGAAAGGAAAUGAAGAGAGAUUUACCAAACGUAAUUGGUUUUGGCAAGAAUUUGGUUGAUGCUCUGAGUCUGUUCUCCUUAGAUAUCCUUGUCAUCAUCUGUGGCUUCGAAUAGCAGAAUGACAAAUUACCAUGCGAUACCUUUUUAUCUUCUCUUGUACAUAGGGCGAUGAGUCUCUGAAGCUUGUGGCCUCUUUUUCGCUUCUUGAGCAAUCACUGCAUUUGAUCUGUGGCAUUUAGAUUAUGUAUUAAGCUUAUGUUGGAAGAUACGCAAGAUAUCUUCAGAUCGCAUUGAAUAUUUCUCAGAUCAAUUAAGAUCAAAUCAGGGAUCAAUUAAUAUCAAGUCUAGUUUGUACAUUAUUUAGUUCCCUUUCUCAUUAUACAUGUCUUGUAAUAUAAACAUUGAUAUUGUACGUACAGACAUAUACAGAGAAUACUCAAAAACUUCUCUUCUCAAUUUUCCCUUUUCAUAUUCUUACAUGGUAUCAGAGCCCUUAUGGUUCUGACAUAGCUUCCGCACUUGUCUUUGAAUUGCCUUCCAUGAUCUUCUGUUCUUGGCUGUCGUUACACUUGCAAACCAAAACAGCAUCCGACAGGAAUUCUUGAUUCUUCGCUCUUUGGCCAAUCUGCAGAACAGAGUUACUGCAGAAUUUUUUUCUUCAUCAUGACAAACCCAGAAACACUUCGCCCAAGCCCUCCACUACGCCUUACGAUCCGUGAGGCACUUCGCGAAAGCCAUGGCUCGCGAGAUGGAGGCGGCAAACUGGAACCUCGACGAGGCCAUCCCAUUCAUCAAGCCGCAAGCAAGGUUCGCGAAGCCCGGCCACCGGCACUUCGCCAUCGAAUCGUUCGAGGCCAGAUCGAUCUUCGAGGGCUUCAACUUCCCCGACGGAGGAAGAGCUCGGUUCUGGCGGAGGCGGUGGCGGUGGCGGUUUGGAGCAACGACGCCCUGGACGGCCGAGCGAGCGGCGGCAAGAGGUGGUGACGGUGGCUUGGGGACGGCGGCGAGGAGCGGCGUGGACGGCGCGACAGCUCGUCGGGCUCAACGGCGAGACGGCUUGUCGGACGAGCGGUGGGUGGUGGUGGUUCGGUGGCCAAGAGGUGGUGGUGAGUAGGGCGUGGGGCGGCGGUGUGGUGGUGGGUGAAGCAGCAGCUACCAAGAGGAGGAGGAAGAAGAAGAAGAAGAAGAAGAAGAAGAAGAGGUAGGGUUUCGGCCGAGAGAGGGGGAAAGAGGAGAGAGAGAGAAGAAAAGAAAAAAGUUGGGGGGGCAAGAAGUGACGUGACGAGGGAAAAGGGGAGAAAAGAAAGAGAGAGAGAGAAAAGAAANNNNNNNNNNNNNNNNNNNNNNNNNNNNNNNNNNNNNNNNNNNNNNNNNNNNNNNNNNNNNNNNNNNNNNNNNNNNNNNNNNNNNNNNNNNNNNNNNNNNUUUGAACGGACCUAGUUUUGGAGAUGAUAGAGCCAUCUAUUUGGGACAUAACUAUGGACAUGUAGACAAUUCUCAAAUGGCACAGACAUCUCCAUUGGGAUAUUCUCCACGAGAUGUCCCUGGCCAGGGAUAUUUUCCAAUUGGCAAUGAUGGAUUCAAUCGAAAUUAUCCUCCGAGACUACAGAGAUAUAAGUCAAAGAAAUCUGGUG
rnacentral:lncRNA from 1 species